CUUGUUCUAUAUGGGGGUGAUGUGAAUCAACUUUUCAAUUAUAUAUUCUGUGGUAAUUGUGAAUUCAAUUUCAUUUGUCUCCUGCAAAUUAUGAAGAAAGUACAGAGUUAGAAUAUGGAAAAGUUCACUGGCAAAUACUUUGUAAAAGCUUCGGAGUGAAACAGGGAAUGCACUUGCAACUAAGGACAAAUUGGUGGCCAGCUAAUGCAUUCAUUUUAUGUACAUUCAUCUUUUUAAUUAUUGAAGAUAAGUGGUUCGUUGCUUUUGUUGUAGAUAAAAUUCAGGCGACCUCAAUUGUGAGAUGAAAAUAUUUAAAAUAUCUCUUAAAUUAUUAUAAACUUUAAUUUAUCUUAAUUUUAUUUAAAAGAUAAAAGAAAAAUGUAGUAUAUGGAUAAAAAAAUUUUUAUCUUCUUAAUAAAAUGAAAUAAAUUAAAAUUUACAAUAAUUUAAAGUAUUUUUAAAAUUAUUAUUUCAUAAGAGAUUAAUAUGAAAUUAAUCCUUUUUACUUUUUGAAUGUGAAAGGACAAGAAAAGAGAAAGCAAGUUUCACUGCUUUUUAUUUUAUUUGAAAUCGGAGUUAUCCCAUAUACUUUACUACUUUAGCUCUAACAUUACAAUGUUUUUAGGCUACACUUUUAUUUUUCUUUUUUCCCCUUUUUUUAUACAUGCAUGUGGAUUACUUUUCUCUAAGCUCCUUAAUAUUUAAGACAAAUCAUAAAAGCGAUUGAAGUAUAACAAGAUGAUCAAAACAUUUAACCAAAAAUAAAUAAAUAAAUAAAACAUUGAAAAUGGAGAUGUUGAUUAAUGUAGAAGAGAUGCAAGCAAAAGAUAUUCCCAAAAAAAUGAAAAAAAGAAAAAAGCAACGUUAGUUCAUCCAUGUCUGUCAAUGCGUUUUUUAUGGUUUUUUUUCCAGUUGUUUGUUGUAAUAGAUUGAUUGCAAAUUGAUAUGAACUUGAUGUUGUAAUAUGUUCGCUUUUGUGGAAUUAAAUUUGAAUAUUCAAGAUUAUUCAAGUCUUAUUUAGUAUGUGUUUAGUUGUGUUGUCGAUAACUUUGCAUUCGAAUAAGUUUUCACCUAAAAUAUUAGCAUGAGUAGUAGUCCUUGAAACUUUGGUCAAAAUUAUUGUUAUUGUUUCUUUUAGAGGAAAUUUUUUUAUUAAAGCCUCGUUAACACUAUUUCUUAUUAAGAUUAUAAGUUAGUGUCGGUGUAGGAUUUGCAGCGACAAAUCCUGUCUAGCCACGUGUCAAAAGUACAAAUAAAUCAAGGGAAAAGCACAUGUCGCGGAUUAGGAUCCAAUAAAAUUUAAAUCCCAAGGAAAAGGACAAUUGUAUCCUAAAGUUUCAAUAAGAGAUACUGAUAUAUCUUUUGACUAAUGUUAUUUUUUGGCUUCAUUAAUAAAAAGAUCCAAUAGUUUAUAACAAAUAAAAAUAUAGUAUUAAGCUAAAUGUGAUAAUAUAUACAUUUUACAUAAUUUCAAUAAAAAACAUUUUAAUGUUUUACAAUCUAUCAGACAUAUUUUAUUAAAUUAAUAAGAAUUUUCUUAUAAAUAGCAACAUAAUAUUAAAAUAAAUUUAUAAAGAUUAAAAUGUAAAAUAAUUUUAGUAUAAUUAAUACGUGGGAUAUAUUUUGUAAAUUAUAAAAUUACUUAACCCAAUGAUUUUUAAAAUAAAUAAAAAUAAAUUAUUCACAUUUUGAUGUAAAUAUUUAAAACAUUUUUAUACAUUAGUCCACAAUUAUUUAUGUUAUAUUUGUAUUUAUUAGAAAUUUUGAAAGUCAAAAUGUUUUUCACCUCUAUCUUAUUAGAAUUAUUGCACACAGAGAAAGAGCCAUAUAUGCUUUAUAGCUUUAAAAUCGGUUUGUUUUAUAGCUGGGAACAGAGAUGAUCAUUAUUAUAAGGAUUAAAAAAAGAUAAAGAAUAUUAAUGAUUAACGAAAUCUUUAUGGAAAUUGAAUUUAGUAAGAAAAAAUUGAGCUGAUUUUAGUGGUAUAGUAAUAUUUUAUAUAGAGAAAAGUAAAAGUUGCACCCCCAAAUGUUCAAAACUCUUUUUUAAUCAUAAUAUUCUUUUUCCUAGAUAACUUAAAAAUUUGACUCUAAUAUUUUAUAAUAAAUAAAAACAUAUAAUCCUAAAAUAAAUAAAAUAAUAUAUAUUUUAAAAUAAUCUCAAUAUUUAAAAUAUAUUUUAACAUUUUAUAGUCUAUCAGAUAUAUUUUAUUUUUUUAAAGUAAAUUUUAUAAUAAAUACAAACAUACUAUUAAAAUAGAUAUAUAAAAUUUUUAAAGUAUUUUGAAUAUUAUAUAAAAUAACUUUAAUAUUGUUAAUGCGUGAGAUGAAUUUUAUUAACUAUUAGAUAGACUAAACUAUUUAUAUUAUUUUCUAUUUAUUAUAAAAUUUCAAAGUUAAUCUUUUUAACUACUAUUCAAAAGAUGUUAUGAUAAAAACAGAAUUUUUGUGUUUUUAUUGAAAAUUUGGAGUUUACAUCUAUUUUUUCAAAAAUUCGGGGUGUAACUGUUUUUUCCCUUUUAUAUAUACGAACGGUGGUGAGAAAGCUUGAUUUAACGUUAUUUAUUUAAAUAAAAUCUCAGUUAAAAAUGUACAGAGAAGAAAUUUCUGUUGGUAUUUUAGUCUUUUACCAAUUAAUUGUUUCACUUUUAGCGCUAGUGGCGUUGAAAGUUGUCAAGAAAAAGCAAGACCAUAUUCCACAAAAGCAAAAGUAACGUAGGCUCUUUUAUUAAAGGCAAAGUAUAAAGUAGUCAAGAAUCGAAUAUCCUGUCGUCUACUCUUUUUUUAAAUUCUUCUUUUAUUAUCUUUUAGAAUAGUUUUUGGUAAUUACAAUCAUUAUUCAGAGUUAUUGUUAUCUUCCGGGGCAGUCUCUGUUCAUCGAAGUCGUUACCUUUUUUUUAUGGAUCAGUUCCAGUGGUCAGCAGUAAUUUUCUUAGAACUCGGAUCUUUAAUUCGAGUUUCUGUGUGAAUUAAUAAUAAAAAAUUUUCAUUACACGCAAUUUAAGCUACGAAUUACUUUUUGCAAAGUUGAAUAUGAAAUUGGAGAAAUUAAGUAAUUUAGAAUGUUGGUAAAAAUUGACGAACAUAUCUCCAAUUACAGUAAAACCUCUCUACAGUCAUAACAUUAUAACAAAAUUAAUUUUAUUACUAUGUUGAGGUAAUAUAGGUUUAGUUACAAAAUUAUUGUUUUAAUAUGGUUGGUGUCAAGUGAUAUAAAGGUUAAAUAUGCAGUACAAUGAUAAUUAAAUAAUGAAGCGUGUCAAUUCUAAUGUAUAUAUAUUAAUGAUAUAGAUAGACAUAGUUUUAAAAAACUAAUUAAUGUAUAUUUAUGUAGUGUUAUGAAUAUGGAAAGUCAAGCCUACACUUGACAUUAUCCUUAGUUUUUUCUCUCAGUUAAAUUCUACAAAUAUUGUACAAUGAUUGGGCAAGAACUCUAAAUUAAGAAUAAAUUAUUGUCACAAAUAAUUUUAGAAAAUAUUUUAUUUCGUCUUAAACCUUUAAUGUAAGUAAACAUAUAUAUAUAUAUAUAUGUGUGUGUGUGUGUGUGUGUGUGUGUGUGUUUGUGUGUGUGUGUGUGCAUAUUUUGCAACGUAUAGAUAAUUGUUAGUAUAUGGAGACAAGUCUUUUAAGGUAGGACCUAGAAAAAUUUAUAACUUACUACACUGGGGAGUUUUUAUUCCUUUUUAUAAUUGGCUCAUAUUGAUACAUUCUUACACAAAAAUAUUACCAUUGACAUAUUUUACUACAAUUAGUUUAGAUUCUUUAGAACAUUUGUUAGGAAAAAAAAAAAAAAGAAAAGAAAACAUCCCUUGGAUGUAGCUCUCCUGACUAUUUAAAUCUUUUAAGGAAAAAAAGAAAAAAAGAAAAACUGACACAUUCAAAUCUUGAAGCAAUUACAUUAAAACCUCUCCAUAAUGAUAGGAAUAAUCUCCAUUUAGUAAUAAAAAAUUUUGUUCGCAAUUUAGGCAGAGUUAUAAAUAAGAAUAAAAUCCUCAUUGUAAUAAGUUAUAUUUAUUAUGGAUCCCAUCCUAAGGAACUUGUCUCUAUAUAGUAAUAAUUAUUUGCAUAUUAUAAAUAUAUAUGUUGCAUUAGAUUAAACGAACUUGUCUCCACAUACUACUAAGACAACAAGAGAAAGUUAUUAAAGAGAACACAAAUAUUUAGAGAUUUUUAAGAUUACUUUGCAUAUUUAUAACAAUAAUACAUUGAUAUAUGUAUUAGUUUUUUGAUAUAUUAGAUUUGACAUGCUCUAUUAAUAAAUUAUUAAUAUGAUGCAUACUUCAUCUCCAUAUCCUUGCAGUAAAAGUAACUAAGUUGUAACAAUAAUUAUUAAUACGAUGCGUACUUCAUCUCUAUAUCCUUGCAAUAAAAGUAACUAAGUGAUAACAAUAAUUUUUGUAACUACAUGUUUAUUAGGUUUUAACUGCUUCAUAAUAAUAAAUUAGUUUCGUCCUAAUAUUAUAAUUAUGUAGAGUUGUAGUGUAUAGACACACCCAAUUUAAAUAGUAUCUCAAAUAAAAUUGUCCCCACAAAAAAGAAAAAAGGGUAAAGGAUUGUUAUUUCUUCAAACAUCAGGAGCACGUUUGUACAAGUGCGAUGCCUUUCUUUUUUUUUUUGAAGGCAACGUCAGUGGGUACUAAAUAGGACGUGCGUAAAUCUUUCUAAAAUUUCUCCGGUAUAACUCACAGAGAUCAUUACUUUUCUCUUCCACAGACCACAGCAGCUUCAGUUAAUCCGACUCAAUCAAUUUUCUUGGUUUCUUCGCUUAUCAAAAUUCCAAAAUAUGGGUAGCAUAUUUCAAAUCACAUGCGAUGGUGCUUUUUUCAAUCGUUGUUUGGAUUGCUUUCUUGGAAAAGUAGCAAACACAAGUAAGCUCCAAGAUAACCUUGUUGCCUUGGAGACUGAAUUGGGAAAACUAAUCGCAGCAAAGAACGAUGUGAUGAUGAGGGUUGUCAAUGCUGAACGGCAACAACUGAGAACGCUGGACCAAGUGCAAGUGUGGCUUUCGAGGGUGGAAGCUGUUAAAACUGAAGCUGAUGAAUUGAUAAGACACGGCUCUCAAGAAAUUGACAAAUUAUGUGUUGGAGGCUACUGUUCCAAGCACUGCGCGUCAAGCUACAAGUUCGGGAAACAAGUGGCUAAAAAGCUACGGGAUGUGCAGACUUUAAUCGGCGAAGGAGUUUUUGCGGCGGUGGCUACUGAGGUGGUGCCUGAGAGAGCUCCAGAACCUGUAGCAGAUGAAAGACCCACUGAGCCAACAAUAGUAGGCUUGCAAUCACAACUUGAACAAGUUUGGAGAUGUCUUGUAGAAGAAUCAGUGGGAAUCAUUGGCCUAUAUGGUAUGGGCGGUGUUGGUAAAACUACACUAUUGACCCAUAUCAACAAUAAAUUUCUUGAGAGUCCAACCAGUUUUGAUUGUGUGAUUUGGGCCGUAGUUUCAAAGGACUUGCAACUCGAAAAAAUUCAAGAAGAUAUUGGGAAAAAGAUCGGUUUGGUUGAUGAUUCAUGGAAGAGUAAAAGUGUAGAGGAGAAAGCUCUCGACAUCUUCCGGAGUUUAAGAGAGAAGAGAAUUGUAUUGUUGUUAGAUGAUAUAUGGGAGCGGGUUGAUUUAACAAAAGUGGGCAUUCCACUUUCCGGACCAAAGAAUACUACCUCAAAAGUCGUAUUCACAACCCGUUUCGUCGAUGUUUGUGGUAGCAUGGAAGCUGACAAGAAGUUCCAAGUGGCAUGCUUAUCAGAAGAGCAUGCUUGGGAACUGUUUCGAAAAAAAGUUGGGGAAGAAACUCUUGAGAGUGAUCAUGAUAUCGUUGAGCUAGCCCAAACUGUGGCCAAAGAGUGUGGUGGUUUGCCACUCGCACUUAUUACUAUUGGUCGAGCUAUGGCCUGCAAAAGGACAGCCGAGGAGUGGAGACACGCAGUUGAAGUGCUAAGAAGAUCAGCUUCUGAGUUUGCAGGUUUGGGAAAAGAGGUGUAUCCUCUUUUAAAGUUUAGCUAUGAUAGUUUGCAGAAUGAGACGAUUAAAUCUUGUUUCUUAUAUUGUUGUUUAUAUCCCGAGGAUUAUGGCAUUCUUAAAUGGGACUUGAUUGAUUGUUGGAUUGGUGAGGGAUUCUUAGAGGAAUCUGACAGGUUUGGUGCAGAAAACCAAGGAUACUACAUUGUGGGCACUCUUGUUCAUGCGUGUUUACUAGAAGAGAUAGAAGAUGAUAAAGUAAAAAUGCAUGACGUUGUUCGUGAUAUGGCUUUAUGGAUAGCUUGUGAAAUUGAGAAGGAGAAGAGAAACUUUUUGGUUUGUGCAGGUGCUGGAGUAGGAGCGGUACCAGAUGUUGAAGGAUGGGAAAAUGUGAGAAGAUUGUCAUUGAUGCAAAACCAAAUUGAAAUUCUGUCAGAGGUUCCCACAUGCCCUCAUCUCCUCACUUUAUUUCUUGACUUUAAUUAUAAAUUGGAGAUGAUCACCGAUGGCUUCUUCCAAUGUAUGCCUUCUCUCAAAGUUUUGAAGAUGUCAAACUGUGGGCAUGUCAAAGUUUUGAAAUUACCUUUUGGGAUGUCAAAGUUGGGUUCACUACAACUUCUUGAUAUUUCACAUACCGGCAUAAGAGAGUUACCAGAAGAGUUAAAGUUGUUGGUAAAUCUGAAAUGUUUGAAUUUGAGGUGGACACAUAUGUUAAAUAAAAUUCCACGGCAGCUAAUAUCAAAUUCUUCAUGGUUACGUGUGUUGAGAAUGUUCGCUAUUGGCUUUGAAAAUUCCAAAGAACCAUCAGAAGACAGUGUUUUAAUUGGUGGGGGUGAAGUUUUAGUACAGGAAUUGCUCGGUUUGAAAUAUUUAGAGGUAUUGGAGUUGACCUUGCGAAGUUAUCAUGCUCUCCAUUCUUUUUUGAGCUCAAAUAAGUUAAAAAGUUGUAUUCGAUCUCUUUUCCUCAAUAAGCUGGGAGAUACAAAGUCGAUUGAUGCUACGGUUUUGGCAGAUCUAAAGCAUCUCAAUGAACUAUGCAUUCGUUCGGCUGUGGAGUUGGAAGAAUUGAAGGUUGAUUAUACAGAGAUAGCGCCAAAAUGGUCGGAACAUUUUGUUUUCCGCAGCCUUCACAGUGUUACUAUGGAGCGGUGCCAUAAAUUAAAAGAUUUGACAUUCCUCGUUUUUGCUCCAAGCCUCAAGUCUCUUUCGCUAUACGGUUGUAAUGCUGUGGAAGAAAUAAUCAGCGUUGGGAAAUUUGCUGAGGUUCCUGAGAUGAUGGGACAUAUAAGCCCUUUUCAGAAUCUCCAAAAGCUUGAUUUAUCACAUUUGCCAGCUUUGAAGAGCAUCUACUGGAAGCCAUUGCCUUUCGCUCAUCUGAAAGAAAUGGUGGUGCAUUGGUGUGAUCGGCUUAAAAAGCUUCCGCUCGAUUCCAACAGUGCAAAAGAGCGUAAAUUUGUUAUUCGUGGAAGAGCAGACUGGUGGAACCAUCUUCAAUGGGAGGAUGAAGCCACUCAAAUUGCUUUCCAUUCCUGCUUCCACUCUAAUGAAAUAUAAAUUCCUUAGCGGUGGUUGCAAAAUUUGAUUUGUGCUUUUUCUUAAACUCUUACAUUUAUUUCAGAUUCGUUUUUUGUCUCCUGCAAAUCACAAUUAAAUGCUCAAUUAUAUGGAGUCAAUGCUUUAGAAAAUUUUCAAGGCACUGCCAUUUCCUUUUUUUCAUUUUUUUUUUGGGUCGAAUUGAUGCUCUGGCUUUUUACUUUUUGUUGUCAAAUUUUGCUCUGUUUUUUCAAGUUGAUGCUUGAAUAGUUGAAUUCAAUUAAUGCUCACAUAAAUUUGUUUAGUUGCCGUGAAAGGAUAUAAUUAGACUGAAGUACACACUUCUAGAAUGAAUACAAAAUGUGAAGUAUACUAGCCCUCUUUACAGAAAAUCAAAUGAAAAUCAAUUUUUUGGGGCGUUGAUUUUCUAUGGUCUAUUAUAUACUCUUUUUAAUAUCUUCUGUUCUAACUAUAACCAAAUCCUUUGUUCAAGGAUUUUUAUUUGGGGUAUUGAUAACUGUCCACCAAAAGAGUGAACACUUGGAUGCUGCUCAAGGAUCUCUAAUCAAUAGCUGGAAGCAACUGAGAAGGCGGUCGCUACUGUUUACAAAGCGAAUCAGUAUUUGCCAUUCAUCUUAAUAAUUAUGAAGCUUUGGUAAAAUUUUCAAACAAAGUUGAACAUGUUGUUUUGAGAUUUGGUUCAUGAUUUUGGAUGAAUAUCGUUGUUCCGUUUGAGUUGGAUGUGAAUUCAAAAUCUAUAUAUUCUUUGGUUUUCAAUUCUGAACUCAAUUUCUUUUUCUCAAGCAUGUUAUGCAGAAAUGAAUUUUACUAAAUCAUUUUUGAUGAAUUGUUCAAAUUAAACAAUUGGAAUAAGAAUUGUAAAGGUUUAUCAUAAGCAUGCUAAUAUGAUAAGUUGUUUUAUGAACGAUUAAUUAAUUAAUCAAUUAAUAUUAAAGAAUAUAUUAGGCAAUUAGAUAUGCGUUACAUGUCAUGUUUAAAAACUAUUUAUUUAUAUUUCAAACAAAUUUGACUGGAUGUUGUGUAGGUAAUACUCAUAAUUAAUUUCAAAACAAAAAAAGUAAUAAAAACACGUUAAAUUUUGUUUUUAUGAAGAAAAAUUUAAAAUUUUGUUAAAUAGGUGAAAAUAAUAAAUGGAUUCGUGUAUGGUUUGAGAUUCUUGACAUAAUUAUGAAAUAAGCCGGAUUCGACUUAGUUCAAUUUUGACGCGAUAAGAAGACGACACCACACAAACACACGAUAAGAACCGGUACCUGAGAAGAUUGCCAUCAGGAAUUUUGAAAUUGAUUUCACUACAAUACCUUAAUCUUUCAGAUACUCCCAUCACUGAGCUGCCAGAGGAGCUAAAAGCCUUGGUAAGUCUUAAGUGUUUGAACUGUACACAAAUUAUCUCUCUACAAUUCAAAAACAACUGAUUUGUUACUUUUCAAUGCUACAUGUUCUGCGAAUAUUGAGUUGUGGUUAUCUUGUUGAAAGAUCAGAAAAUAGAGUUCUAUUUGGUGGUAGUGAAUUGUUGGUUGGGGAGUUGCUUAGUUUAAAACGUUUAAAUGUAUUAAGCAUCACCUUACAAGGUUUUUCUGCUGUCCAAAAACUUACGAGCUCUCAAAAGUUUCAAAGCUGUACAAAAUGUUUGGAGCUUAUAGACUGUGAUGAUUCAAAGUCUUUUGCCUUGGCAGAGUUGAAGCAUCUCGAAAAACUAGUUUUUCGAAUUGUGGAAGAGUUUAAGUUCUGCUGUGUUGAAGUUGGAAAAGCUCAAGAAUGUUUUCGUUUGAACAGCUUUCACCGAGUUAAUAUAAAGGCUUGUCAUAAAUUGAGGGACGUGACAUGGCUUGUAUUUGCUCCAAAUCAUACGGUUAUUCAAAUAGAAAAAUGUAUGCAGAUGGAAGUAAUAAUCAGCGCAAGGAAAUUGGGUGAAGUUCCAGAGAUGAUGGCAGAUCUAAACCCUUUUGCAAAACUCCAAUAUCUUCGCCUGCGAGUUCUACCAAAAUUAAAAAGCGUCUAUUGGAAUGAGUCACCCUUUCCGCAUGUCAGGGAAAUUAUUGUAUCUGAAUGCCCAAUUCUCAAGAAGCUUUCACUCGGUUUUAACAAUGCAAAGGAAUCUAAAAUUGUCAUUUAUUACAUGUUUAUAUCUAACUUUUGUUCUCCUUUAUGGUUAAAUUUUACUAUAUAUAUGUUGUUAUACGGUGACAUUCUCGCAUCAAUUAUUAGCUUUUUAAUUCUCUUCUCGUAUUAAUUGCCCUUCUGAUCAUGUAGGAUAUGCCGAUGUCAAAGAGUAGUAAAUUGGGAUACAAAUGUAAGAAUUAGCCAGAUGACAUGUUGUUUUGAAGCUUUCGAAGGACUAAUUAUGUCAUUCAAAGCAUCCAAUUUCGCUACUUUUUUUUUUUUUUCAUUUGUUGCUUUUUCUAUUUUUAGAUAGCUUGAUUGUCAGUUGUCGUAAUGUAAUGUUUUAGUAUAGAAAAAUGAUAUUCGGCCAAGACAUCGAUAGGAGGGCACAUUGUGCAUGCAUACUCGUGGAUGAUUUUGGCAUGCCGAAUCCAAUUAGUGUGAAUAACCCUUUAUAAACAUCAGGCUUCUCUCAUACCAGAUAGAGGUGGCAAAAAUACCCGCUCGGUCCGGAUCCAGACCAUACCCGGGCGUUGUGGGUCGGGUAUUACUUAAUCUGGGUAUAAAGUCGAGUCGGUCUUGGGCAUCACUUGAUAAACCCGGAACCCAGAUUUUAUUAAAAAAAUAUUAUAAAAUAUAUAUUAUUUUAAAUAUUUAUAUUUAUUUGACUCAUUUAUUAUACAUAUAUAAAGUUUUAAACACGUAAAGUUUAUAUUUUCAUGUCAAAUUUUAUUAAAAUAAAUUUAACACUUAUAAAAUUACCUAAAAAUAAAAAAUAUAUAUACAUAUAAUAUUAAAAAAUAUACAAUUCGGGUACCCAGAUUAAAAUCUAGCCUGGACUCGGACCCAGACCGAUUGCAUCCAAGCAGGAUCCAGUCAUUGCAAUAAUCGGACCUGGCCUGGGGUUUCGCCAUCUCCAAUACCAGAGCAAUGUAGAAUAUGUUUAUAAACUGUGAAUUACCCUUUAUAAGUAUUAGGCUUCUUUUAUACUCGAGCGAUGUGGAAUACCUUUAUAAGCAUUAAGCUUCUCCCAUACACUUUAUGUUAAAAAUAAUAAUAAUAAAAUAAAUCCAUUUUAAAAUAGGCUUUUUUUUUUCUUUUUCUAUAUAAACAAAAUGCAUUCUUCAAAUCAAUAGUGGGUGGAAGAAGUGAGUAGAGAAGAACUAGGCCCCUUUCAUUCCCCUAAAACCUCACCGAAACCUCUCUUGUGAACUUCUCAGAUUCUCUCUCAAUAUUUCUUAUGAUCUCGUUUUUGAUAGAAUCACUUCUUUUGCAUGCUGCAUUUUGUGAGUUGUUUUUGGGUAAUAUCUUAUCUGGAAUGCUGUUAUGAUCAAUAGAACAAGUAAUCAAUUUUUGGUUCGACGGAAGUCGAUUUAUUUAUUUACUAUUAUUUUUAUUUGAAAUUUUGUACAAUUGUGUUUCAUUCAUUUCUUUUCUUCUUUUUUUUUUUUAUAUUUAUUAUGUAGAAUUGUGUUUCAUUUGAUAUUGAUCAUACUGUAGAUAACUAUGUGAUUGUAGCUGGGGAUUUUAAGUUUUGUGAAUUCAAGAAACUGUCAAAAUGCUAGUGAAAUUGGGACCUUUAUUCAUAAGCUUGUGGUUUUGAAAAGUAGCCCGGUUCAACUGAUGAAGUUCCUUUUUGGGAUUCUUUUUUUUCUAGGCUGCAAUUCGGAUAUGUACGUGAUAGACAAUCUUUUGUGGGUUUAGCAUAUCUUCUUCGAUUUUGUCUUUUAUUCCCCAAUUUUACAGCUACACACCAUGAAUGCUGGGUGAUUGUACAGAAAAUUUGUGUUAGAACAAAAGCAUUGUGAAGGAGUUUCUGUGCUAUAAGUUAUUGGCUUCAGUUUUAUUGGCAUUAAUUGGGUAGAUUAUGUGUUACAGUGAUUCAAUUUGUGAUCCACACUUUAAUUUUCUCUUUUCCCCAAUUAUUUAUGUCAAAUUCAAAUCCAGAAGCAUGUGCUGAUUUUUUUUUUUUUGUGUUAAUCUGUGAAGUUUAUUUGGAAAGGAUGUAUCUGGGUCUAAUGGAUUAAAUUAUGACAUUGAGGAAAAGGCACUAAAGGUUUUGCUUGACACAUUUGGUCUGUGUUUACUCUGCAAUAAAUAGCUUCGCUUAUCGGAAAUCCCGAUUUGGCUGGUGAAUUUCUCAGUGACAGACAGGCAAACACCUAAACCGCUUCUAUCCAUUUUUCUGCUGGUGAGGUAAGGGGUAAAAAGUCUUCAAAAUCAUCAAAUAGUAACAUCUCUCAGAAUUCAUUUUAGAAAAAUGGAAAAUCUAGACCUGCUAGGACAAAAUGGCGUCCAGUAUCAGGAGGUACCGUUUCAAGUUUUCUUGGUAAAGAAUAUAAUAAACCUGCGCAACCAGCUAAUGGCACUUUUCUGGCAUCAAAGCCAUUGAAGUUGGAUCUAAAGGAGUUUUCCCAUGCCUGCACUGUGCAGAGAAGAAACUAAACCAAAACAAUCAAAGAAUGACCAUUUGCAGAAGGAUACGGAAGAUUUUCUAUUUAAAUUGUUAGUAGAAGGGUCCCAGCUGAACAGGGAUGUGAUUCAGGAGGUUCUCGGUAAUGUCUUAAAUAUACUGAUGCCAAUUUAAUACAUAUUGUCCUUUUCAAUGUUCUUUCUUUCUUUUUUUUUUCCCUUCUUCUUCUUUUUUCUUUUUGUGUGCAUGUGAUCACUGAUUUGGUAUUACGCUUAAGUUGCAGAUAGUUGUGGAUUUGAUAUGCAAAAGGUAAGGACUAUAUCUUCCUGAUGUAGGCCUCUGCUUUUUCCCCUUCUAUGUAAUUUAGUAAAUCACAUCUUCCUUUGUGAUUGUUAUACCAUAUCAAAGUCAAGUCUUAAAUACUGCUGUCAUAUGUUAAGGUUCAACUUGUAUUUUGAUUAACAUCCAUUUGCUGCUGCUUCCAAAAGUGAGAAUGAGAUACUUUGGUUAAUUUCAGUGGUUGAACCCAAUAGAGAACUUUAUUUAGAUCUUCAUGGUUCAAAGGCCUGAAAAAACUUCCUGUAAUUGUAAAAUGCCAUUCUGUGCUUUUUAUGCAAUAGGGAACAGGGAAGUAGAGCUUUGGAAAAGCCUGGAUUGAUAACUAUGGAGAGACUUAUUAUUUAAGUGAUGAAAAAUUCCCAUCACCCGCGGUCAAGAAAAUUUCAGAUAGUUAAAGACUCCAUUUUGCUUCAGCCAAAAAUGUUUGUUGCAAUGAAAGACUUGAACCAUUUUCAUUGAACCUGAUUGUGAUCCUUUACGUUAUGCAUGUUCCUCUCAAUCAAGAAAAGUUGAGGUCAUGAUUCUAUAUUUCUAUAUUGUAACUUGAAAUAAUAAUUGGUCUACUUGUUUCUGUAUCUUGAUAAGAUGAAUUUUCCUUCUCAAGUUAAUUUGAUCAAUAAAGUAAUUCUUCAAAGAAAAUAUGCCCAUUCUAUAAUCAUUUUCUUAGCUAAGAUGUUUUUUCUUCACUCUUCAGAGCAUGUCAAAACUAAUUGAUCGCUUGGCAGAUACUUUGGGUGAGAAGACAAAAUUUCUUGGUAAAUCCUCGGAAAAGGUAUGCAUAAUUCCCGAGUAUUAAAUAACCAAUAGUCAUAAUUUUUGUACAUGACUCUUUUUUCUCUUUUUUGUGGAGAUCAUUAAAAUUGGUUGAUGAUCCAUUUUGUAAUAUCAUAGAGGGAUCAUCAAUUCCUUCUCUUUUCUGUGGCUAGGCAACACUUUCUGGCCAAAGUAAGAAAAUCUAUUUAGGUAAUGUGAAAACCAACGGUAGGAUGUAAUAGUUUAUUAUGCACUGACAAUAACUUUUUGUAUGAUUGGCAGUUUAAUGAAUACAAGAGGAACUUUGUUGACAAAUUCAUCCAAGAUAGAUGCUAAAAUUAUUUAUGCAUGCCAGUUGCCUUAACUAAUUUUUCUUAACACUUGUAUUGAACAGGAAAAUGAAUAAACAAUCUGUAUAUUGUGCCAUUGUGGAGUAUUUGGAUAUUCUGAUUUAAGUAACAAGGAGAAUACUUGUCUCAUCUUUAAACAAUGAAUCUUUGAGAAAUGAGGAGUGGGGGAUUGGAAGUGUCUUCAUGUAAAUGUUCAUUUAUUUGUAUUUUGAACUAUUAUGAGAAUCUUAUAUGCCAAAUCAGUAAUACAAAUGUUCAGAUGAUUUUUGCUGUUGAUCAUGCAUUUGUGUCUGCACACAACCAUUGUAUAUCACUUUAUUCUGAUGUGCAGGUAUGUGUAGCUUAGAAGAAACGGAAUAAUAAUCAUCUAUUAUUGCUUGGUUCAUGAUUAUUAAACGAUUAUGGCUUUAAAAAGUCUACAAAUUCCUUCUGUUCAUAUGUGAAUGUGUGAUGGGUGUCGAAGCCAACAAAAAUAAAUUCCUACUCUAAAUAAAUUGUGUAUAGUGAUUGAGCAGGGUCGUGUCCACAGAGAUCGGUAAUUAUUUAAAUCCUUUUGAAACGUAAAACGUAAAAUGGGGGAAUUGUUGACAAUAAUAAAAAUCAAAUUAAAAUAACAAGAAUGCAAAUUAAAGUUGUAAUUCAAAUUGGAGAAAGCUCUGGUUGAAGGAAUUAACUCAGCUUGAUUCGACUACUGAUCAUUGAUUCAAAUAUAGAUUAUUAUUACUCAUGAAUAGACCGGUUAUAGCUACUGAGACCCUCGAAUAGCCAAUCUCUCCUUAACUAGUCGAUAACCAAGGUACGACCGUUGGUUAUUUCCCUAAUCAAUAGACAACCCUAGAUACGAUCAUAGGAUUUAAUCAAUUGACAGCCUGAAAAAUCAGAGAGACCCAAAUCCUAAUCAACACAUAUGAUGAUUCAUUUAAAUUAGAUUGUUUAUUCUCACAACACAACUCUCUGCUAUGUUAUUUGUCACAAACAUUAAAUUCUUCAUACGAUGAAUCCUUUAAUUGACAAUAGAUUAAGUUGAUAAUUAAAUAGUGGCCAAUUACCUAAUUAACAAACAUAAUCAUGAAACUAAUUCAGAGAAUAAACAAAUACCCAAAAAGUAAUAAAACAAUUAAAGCAUAAGAAAGAUCUCACAGUAGUGAUGAAUCAAAGCUUCAUUAUCCUUCAACCAGAAAAAUAAGUUUAGUUCUUCAUAGAGAGAAGAGAAAAAUUAGAUCUAGGGUUUCUUUCUUUGUCUCCAAUCCAAAAAUCCCCCUUUUUCACAAUAGAUUCCUCCCUUAAAUACUCUCUCUCUCUUCUCUUUUAGAAUUCUAUUUAAAAUAAAAUACUAAUAUCUUAAAUAUUAAAUUCGUAAUUACAAAAAUAGCCAAAAAUACAAAACACGUUAAACUAAAAACUGCAGGUCCGCAGUUGACAGCACGCGCCCACGCCUUAUCAACAAAGUUCUUCUGACGCUCAUAAUUUCUCCAAGAGAACAAUCCUCCUUAAACAUCAUCUUUUAGCUCAAUUUUAUCACCAAUCAAUAGAAUUGCACCUACAAAAGUAAAACACAAGUAAAAUAUUAUUAUUAAGUGCAAAACAUCGAUAUUAAGGGAAGUAAAUAAUGCAAAACUAGUGCAUAAAUUGCACUCUAACAAAUUCCCCCACACCAAGACGAUGCUUGUCCUCAAGCAUAUAACUCAAGAUUAAUCCCAAAUCUCCACUCAAUUCUCAUCUCAACUCAUCCAAAAAUAAUUUUAAGCAAGCAUACCUCAAGAAAUUAAGUCGAUCAACAUUCGAGAGACAAGGAUUUUAAAGCAUAGAAUUUCAUAAGAUAGAAUAAGAACAUUCAACCACCAAGAAGAUCCAUUCAAAAUUCAAGUGCAACAAGAUUUAAUAGCCCUCUCAAUAACUUCACUCCAUGCACUCAAAGUGUUUAGGGUGUCAUUUAUUCACUCAAAUCAAAUCAAAGAAUGCUAUUACCAUAAGCUUGCUCAUAUAUCACAUCUCAAUCCACAAAACAUGAAUAAAAUGCAAAAAUCUAAGGGUCUUAAAAGGGUUGUAAUGGGGUUAAAUGGGUUAAAUGAAAAAGAAAGGUUUACGAAAGAAAACAAAAAUCAAAAUGAGAAGAAUGAACUCAUUGAAUGAACUUAUGAUAUCAAAAUGCUUAUUUCUACUCAAGUCACCAAGAAUGUAAACAUUUUUUUUUUCAAUUUUUUUUUUCGAUUUUUUUUUUCUUUUUUUUUUCUCUUUUUCCUUUUCUUUUCUUUUUUUUUUUUUUUUGAAUCAAACAAAAGAAAUGAACCUUGCACAAUUUAAUUCAAGCAUAAUGCUUGUUGAUCUAAUUGAGAAACUUUAAUACAAGGUAGAAAAAGCAACAAAAUAUAUCCACACAAUGAGUCCAAAAAUCUCCUUAAAUUGAGGCUCAAAAAGAAGAAAAAUGGUUAAGUAGACGGAGAGAAUUAGAUGGGUAAUGGUUAAGGCUCAAACAAAGGUAGCAAAUAAAGGUCUUCGGGUAGAGAAAAAGGAAAAAGCGAGAAUAGAAAAAUGGUAAAUUGUUUGCCCUUAUUAUUUUAAUGCCUAAAAUCCCGUAAUGUGGCUUCAACAUGCAUAACAAAGCAAGUUCUAGAAUAAACAAACUAGGAUUGAUAUUCACAUAACAAAAAUAAUUAGAGCAAAGUGGUUGCUCAUAGGCUCAAAUCCUCACAAAGUUGGUAAAUUUGCCAUCAAAUCAUGUACACUCUUCAAAUGAAUCAACCAUCAAUAGUGGUGUAGAAUGGGAAGAAGGUAUGAGUGAAGGAAAGGUAAAAAUGAUAAGAAGUGAGAAAGAUGUAUGUAGUAAUAUGAAAAGUGAAAGAUAAAAUGUGAGUGAUGAAAGAGUAUGAUAGAAUAAAAAUAGAUGUAAAUAAUUUGAGAUAGAUGGGAAAAAAGUAGUGAGAAAGAAAAGAAAAGAAAAAUAAUAAUAUAUGAAGCAUACUAACUCCAAAAUCAUUUAAGGAUGAGUAGAGUGAAAACAAUAAUUCCAGACAUCAAUAAUGCAAAAAUCCCUCCCCCACACCAAGAACUUACAUUGUCCCCAAUGUAAGAUAAUUAAAGCUCACAUAAAAAUUAAAGCGCAAGGAUAAAAGAUUAAAGGCAAAAAAAACUUCCCUGAAUUGUGAGCUUUGAUCCACAUAACGUCUAUGGUUGCGUUGCGAUUGCUGCUCGGCUGGAGCUUGCUUGAUGGGCGCGGGAUGGAGCUGAUUGUGUUACGCGCGCGCGCUGGGGCUGCUGGAUCUGCGCGCUGCGUGGGCUGUGUUGCGCGCGAGAGCAGGGCUGACGCUGGUUUUGCGCGCUGCUGGGCGAAGGCUGGAUCUACGCGCGCGGUUUGCUGCUUGCUAGACGCGGGAUGCUGGUGCUGCUGGUUGCGUUGCAGGUGGGACUGAUGCGGUUGCUGCUGGUUCUGCGCGCUGGAGCUGAGGGUUGCUGCGGGAAAACGAUAAUCAACAGUGAAUUUUUUUGAAUUAGGGAUUUGUGAACAGUGAUUUGUGAUUUUUGUGUUUUUUUUUGUGUUUUUUUUUUAAAUAAAUAAAGAAAAUAUAUAUAUAUAUAUAUAUAAGAAAGAAAAGAAGGAAAAAAAACUUUUUUUUUUCGUUUUUUUUAUAAAUAAAUAAAAAAUAUAUAUAUAAGAAAAGAAAAUAAGGAAAAAAAAACUCUUUUUUUUUUUUUUUGAAUCACUUUGAGACACUAAAAAUUUCAGAAGUACUUUUCUAAUAAGCACGUAGGCACGCCUUAAAACUAUUUUACUUUAAAAAUUACAGAAGUACUUAUUAGUUAAGACGUGGGCACGCCUUAUCAAAAAUUUUCUUCUGACCAAAAUAAGCAAACACAUUAUUUAAAAAAAAAAAUAUGAAUCAAAAUUAAAAGAAGAUAUAACAAAAACCAAAAUAAAUAAAUCAUUUGGGUUGCCUCCCAAAAAGCGCCUUUGUUUUAUGUCUUUGGCUAGACACAUUUAUGCAUCAAUCUCCAUAAUUAGGACUCUCGAGAGCCACAUCCUCCACAAUAUUCACCGAAAAACCUUCAUAAAAAGGUUUUAAGCGAUGACCAUUAACCUUAAAAACUUUGUCAGAGGUCGGACUCCGAAUUUCAACUGCACCAUGAGGAAAAACAUUAGUAACAAUAAAAGGUCCAACCCAGCAAGAACGUAAUUUACCCGGAAAAAGUUUAAGCUUAGAAUGAAAAAGAAGAACUUUUUGACCAACAGAGAACUCCUUUCUCAAAAUCAUUCUAUCAUGAAAUGUCUUCGUCUUUUCCUUGUAAAAAAUUUCCUGCGCUAUAGGGUUAAUAACAUCCACAGAAAAUACCGAAUGUUCCUCACUAGGAUAUUUCAUGGCAUCAUUCAUAUUGAAUUCUAUAACCUCUCCAUCAAACUCCAUAGUGAGAGUCCCUUUAUGUACAUCCAUUUUAGUCCUAGCAGUCUUAAGAAAAGGUCUUCCUAGCAAAAUUGGGACAGAAUUAGAGGAGUUAUCCUCUUCCAUAUCAAGUACAUAAAAAUCAGCAGGAAAAACCAACUCAUUAACUUGUACUAAGACAUCUUCUAAUACCCCAUCAGGAUAUGCAUUAGACCUAUCAGCUAGUUGAAUUAUCACGCCAGUUUCUUUUAAUGGACCAACAUUCAAAGAUGAAUAAAUGGAACGAGGCAUGACAUUAAUAGAAGCUCCUAGAUCUAACAUAGCCUUUUCAACUCUAACACUACCAAUUUUACAAGGGAUAGUAAACAUACCUGGAUCCUUGCACUUACGAGGUAGUUUCUUUUGGAGAACUGCUGAAACAUUCUCCCCCAUGUGAACUUUUUCAUCUCCUCUUAAUUUUCUCUUGGAGGUGCACAGUUCCUUAAGGACUUUAGCAUAUCGAGGUAUUUGUUUUAUAGCAUCUAAUAAAGGAAUAUUUACCUCAACCUUGCGAAAUGUCUCAAGGAUGUCUUUCUCUUGUUCCUCCUUCUUGGAUUUUGCAAAUCGGCUUGGAAAAGGAGGAGGUAUCACAAUAGGUAGGGGUUUAGCUCUGGUGGGUUCCGCAUCAUGAGAUUGAGGCAUCAAUUCAUUCUUCUCAAGUUCAUCUUCUACAUGCUUUGUCACUUUCUUACUAGGCUCUUGCAACUCCGUCCCACUUCUAAGAAUGACAGCACUAACGUUUUCCUUUGGAUUCACCUCAGAUUGUGAAGGCAAUCUCCCCAAUACUUGAGACUCCAGACGGCUCACUGUAGUCGCCAAUUGACUCAUUUGGUUCUCCAAGUUCUGAAUGCUUGCUGUAGUUGCCUGCUGAAAUUGUUGAGUGUUAGUCGCAAGUGAUUUAACAAUUUCUUCAAGAGAUAUACCUGACUUGGAGUUUGACUGUGGAAGUGCUGGUUGUCUUGGUGGAUACUGUUGUGGGAAUCCUGAUUGCCUAACUCCAUAGCUGAAGUUGGGAUGAUCCUUCCAUCCCGGAUUGUAUGUUUGUGCAUAAGGAUCAUACCUCCUCUGAGGCAUGCCUGGAAAUCCUCCAAUUGCAUUGGCUUGUUCAACGGGUUCUUCUUGAAGUGUAGGACACAUAUCAGUUGAAUGACCCAUAUUGUAACAAAUGCCACAAGUCUUCACCUGUUGCACAUUACCUACAACAAACUUUUCCACAAGAGAAGUAAGUUUAUCUAAACGUUGUUCAACAGAAGAAAUAUUUACCUCAUUCACCGUUCUUGAAGUGGCAUCUUGUCUGCUGCCAAAUUGUUGUGCAUUGGCAGCCAUAUUUGAGAUCAACUCCCUUGCUUGAGUAGGGGUCUUGUUCACCAACACACCUCCACUAGCAGCAUCUAUCAUACUCCUAUCCAUCAAUGAUAGUCCUUCGUAAAAAUAUUGAAUAAGAAGUUGAUCAGAGAUCUGAUGCUGAGGACAACUGGCACACAAUUGUUUGAAUCGCUCCCAAUACUCAUACAAAGUCUCCCCAGGAAGUUGUCUGAUCCCACAAAUAUAUUUUCUGAUGUUGGCAGCUCUUGAAGCAGGAAAGUACUUCUCAAGGAACUGCUUCUUCAAACCAUUCCACGUUGUAAUCGAUCCAGGAGGCAAGUAGUACAACCAAUCUUUAGCUAGCCCAUCUACAGAGAACGGAAAAGCACGCAGCUUAAUCUGCUCUUCAGUCACGCCUUGUGGUCUCAUACUUGAACACACAACAUGAAACUCCUUAAGAUGUUUAUGAGGAUCUUCACCUGCAAAACCAUGAAACUUGGGUAAUAAAUGAAUAAGACCAGACUUUAAUUCAAAAUUUACCUCCAAAUCUACAUAUUGAAUGCAGAGUGGUUGCUGAUUCAAGUCUGGUUCAGCUAACUCUCUAAGAGUUCUUUCUACAGGUGCAGGUCUAUUCAUCACUUGUUCUUCCGAAUCACUAGAUGAUUCAACUAAAUCAGGCACUGUAUCUGUUUCAGAAAGCAAAGGCGACGAGGAUCGUUGCUUAGCUCGCUUCGUCUGCUGUCUCAGCUGGCGAGCUGUCUUCUCAAUUUCGGGAUCAAACGAAAGUGUACCUGUACGAGAAGAACGAACCAUACACAAAGUAAAACGUAAAAAGGAUUAAAUAAAUGACACCAAUCCCCGGCAACGGCGCCAAAAUUUGAUGGGUGUCGAAGCCAACAAAAAUAAAUUCCUACUCUAAAUAAAUUGUGUAUAGUGAUUGAGCAGGGUCGUGUCCACAGAGAUCGGUAAUUAUUUAAAUCCUUUUGAAACGUAAAACGUAAAAUGGGGGAAUUGUUGACAAUAAUAAAAAUCAAAUUAAAAUAACAAGAAUGCAAAUUAAAGUUGUAAUUCAAAUUGGAGAAAGCUCUGGUUGAAGGAAUUAACUCAGCUUGAUUCGACUACUGAUCAUUGAUUCAAAUAUAGAUUAUUAUUACUCAUGAAUAGACCGGUUAUAGCUACUGAGACCCUCGAAUAGCCAAUCUCUCCUUAACUAGUCGAUAACCAAGGUACGACCGUUGGUUAUUUCCCUAAUCAAUAGACAACCCUAGAUACGAUCAUAGGAUUUAAUCAAUUGACAGCCUGAAAAAUCAGAGAGACCCAAAUCCUAAUCAACACAUAUGAUGAUUCAUUUAAAUUAGAUUGUUUAUUCUCACAACACAACUCUCUGCUAUGUUAUUUGUCACAAACAUUAAAUUCUUCAUACGAUGAAUCCUUUAAUUGACAAUAGAUUAAGUUGAUAAUUAAAUAGUGGCCAAUUACCUAAUUAACAAACAUAAUCAUGAAACUAAUUCAGAGAAUAAACAAAUACCCAAAAAGUAAUAAAACAAUUAAAGCAUAAGAAAGAUCUCACAGUAGUGAUGAAUCAAAGCUUCAUUAUCCUUCAACCAGAAAAAUAGGUUUAGUUCUUCAUAGAGAGAAGAGAAAAAUUAGAUCUAGGGUUUCUUUCUUUGUCUCCAAUCCAAAAAUCCCCCUUUUUCACAAUAGAUUCCUCCCUUAAAUACUCUCUCUCUCUUCUCUUUUAGAAUUCUAUUUAAAAUAAAAUACUAAUAUCUUAAAUAUUAAAUUCGUAAUUACAAAAAUAGCCAAAAAUACAAAACACGUUAAACUAAAAACUGCAGGUCCGCAGUUGACAGCACGCGCCCACGCCUUAUCAACAAAGUUCUUCUGACGCUCAUAAUUUCUCCAAGAGAACAAUCCUCCUUAAACAUCAUCUUUUAGCUCAAUUUUAUCACCAAUCAAUAGAAUUGCACCUACAAAAGUAAAACACAAGUAAAAUAUUAUUAUUAAGUGCAAAACAUCGAUAUUAAGGGAAGUAAAUAAUGCAAAACUAGUGCAUAAAUUGCACUCUAACAAUGUGCCAAGUUUGCUAUAUCUUAGAUUAUCUUCUUCCAAGAUAACAAGUUCAUAUUCUUUUUAAUCUUUUUCCAUCACAGUUGACUUUUAGGUGUUAAGAUUUGUUAUUAGUCCCCUGUUAUUAUGAUUUCAUAAACAGUGUACGGAUAUGUGCUCUAACUUUGGAGGACCUCCACGUGAAAGAAAAUUGCAACAAUUGAAUUCUUCCGGAGGGUAUGGUCUUUAAUUUAUUUUCUCAACUUCUCGUAAGAUUAAUAUAUUUCAUUCAGUAGGCACAGCAUGGGGGGAAGGGUUUUUAUUGAAAGAAUUCUGAUAUUUCUUAGACUUCGUUUUGGAAUGGGGUGGAGGGAUUUCUCAUCCAUGUAUGGUUACUUGAUUAGCUUUUGACUGUAUUUCCUCAGUCAUGUAAAGGAAGAUCCAAAUACCAACGAAGGAAAAUUGCCUAGACACCCGAAAGACAGAAAUGAGCUACAGAAGCAAGUUUUAGCUACUUUAUUUAGUGCUCCUGAGAAAUCUGAUGGAGACCGAAUGGAGGUCCAAAGCACUGGGAAAGGUAGUGAGUGAACCGCCGGAGGAGUUGGCACCGGAAUGCAAGGCUAAUGUGGUGCACUUGCAGCAAGAUAACCAAACCGGUAUGUGCUCUUAUAUUAACUAUACUGACAGGAUUUGUGAGUGUGUGCAUUUUUUUGUGUAUACUCUUGUAUUUAUGCAUAUUAAUGUGUGUAGGAAUUUCUGCCACUUACUGGAGAACUAGUGGAAAGCUUUAUACCGAUAUAUCUGCAAUAACUAAUUGGAAACUAUGAUAUUAAUAUUUUCUCUCACCUGAGGAACUGUGUAACAGAUAUACUUUGUGGCUCUGGAAUACUAGAGAUUCUGCAAUAACUAAUGGAAACUAUGAUAUGAAUAUUUUAUCUCAACUGGAGAACUUUGUAACUUGUAGCUCUGGAAUGUCUAAGGAAUUUUGUCUGCUUCAGUUAGAUCAAAUAUCUUUUAGUUGCAUACAUUAUAGAAAAAGAUAAAGUUCUCUGAAUCUGAAAGACUGAAACAUUUUGUAUAUUUUGUGAAAGGGAAAUAUCUGUAUAUACUAGUUCAUGCAUUGAGGUAACAUCAAUGUUAAAGAAAAACAGCAAUAAGUUAUUAUGUGGAACAAGGUUCACUUGCUUUAAAUGCUGGUCUGGUCAACCAUAUGAACCUGUAAGUUCUGCAGAAAUAUAUAUAUGGGGAGAAACUAGCUAAAUUUUCCGUUCAUUGAUGGCUUUGGUCAUUUUUUUCCCCUUAUUUUUCAGCUUUCCUUCUCCUGAAGUAUGUCAACAACUGCAGAUAAUGAUGAAGAGGACAGCUUGCAGGCUCUUCUUAGAGCCAUGAUGGAAUAUAGGGGCACAAUGAAGGAACAUUGCAAAGCUGUAGGUUCUUUUUCUCCUGUCAUUUAUGUUUUCUCACACAUUUUUUAUAUGCUCCAAGCAUGCAAUUUUGUAUGUGUCAACUGCUUCCUAAGUUUUAAAAACCAUAAUGUAAGAAUACAGUUCUUUGUCAGGUUAUUGAUGCAUUUGCUCAGGGGGAUCAUGUUCGAGCAGGAAAACUUCUAGAGCUGACAAGGUUUUCCAUCUACAGCCAUCUAUUGACAACAGAUACAUUUUCAUUCAGCAAACACUGUUAGCAUUCAAGAUACUGGCAGAUUCACUUGAUUCUUAUUAGUUUGUUUAGUAGCAAAGCAUAUAACCUGUAUUUCAAAGCCAAGUUGUGCUAUUGAUUAUGUUAACUUUAUUGUUCACAUAAAGUGAUAUGGAGGAAAUAAUCAAUGUAGGAAAAUUAGGUGAAGAGAUGAUGUCACAUCUUGAACCUCUUACAAAGCUCCAAGUUCUUUACUUGAAGAAGCCGCCAAAUUUGAAGAGCGUCUACUGGAAGGCAUUUCCAUUCCCAGAUGUAUGCAGAAUUUUUGUAUUAAUGCCCAGUUCUUAAGAAGCUGCCACUGGACUUUCAAAGGCGGGCCAAGGUAAAAUUCUUAUCGAGGGAAAGGAAGAUUGGUGGAAACAACUUCAAUCGGAGGAUCAAGUAACUCAGAAUGCAUUGCUUCCAUUUUUAAAAUCAACUGACAAGUGAUUGAAGGGGGCAUCAUCAACAUCAUCAACAUGGAUGGAGAGAUUCAGGAGCAGAUCAGCAGGGUUUAGUACGACCUGUGGUGGUUUCUUUUUUGUGACUUUUUUCCCUUUCAUUUUUUCACUUCCUGUCAUAUUAUCAUUUCUGUCUCUGUUUCUAUUGCUGUUGUUGCUGCAUGCUUGCUGUCCUUGACAAAGUUAGCUAGUUUUUUUGUUUAUUAAAUUUUUUAUGUUCGGGACAUCCUUGACAAAGUUAGCUAGUUUUUUUGUUUAUUAAAUUUUUUAUGUUCGGGACAGUCACAAAGUACUACUUGUUCUAUAAGGGGGUGAUGUGAAUCAACUUUUCAAUUAUAUAUUCUGUGGUAAUUGUGAAUUCAAUUUCAUUUGUCUCCUGCAAAUUAUGAAGAAAGUGCAGAGUUACAAUAUGGAAAAGUUCACUGGCAAAUACUUUGUAAAAGCUUCGGAGUGAAACAGGGAAUGCACUUGCAACUAAGGACAAAUUGGUGGCCAGCUAAUGCAUUCAUUUUAUGUACAUUCAUCUUUUUAAUUAUUGAAGAUAAGUGGUUCGUCGCUUUUGUUGUAGAUAAAAUUCAGACGAUCUCCAUUGUGAAAUGAUAAUAUUUAAAAUAUCUCUUAAAUUAUAAUAAACUUUAAUUUAUCUUAAUUUUAUUUAAAAGAUAAAAGAAAAAUGUGGUAUAUCGAUAAUUUUUUUAUCUUCUUAAUAAAACGAAGUAAAUUAAAAUUUAUAAUAAUUUAAAAUAUUUUAAAGAUUAUUAUUUCAUAAGAGAGUAAUAUGAAAUUAAUCCUUUUUACUUUUUGAAUGUGAAAGAUCAAGAAAAGAGAAAGUAAGUGUCCUUGCUUUUUAUUUUAAUUGAAAUCGGAGUCAUCCCAUAUACUUUACUCCUUUAGCUCUCUCCUCAAGGUGAGAUGCGUGAGUUGGGUGAAGAUUUGGUGAGUGUUGUGAUAUGCGUGCUACUUUGAGAAUUUAUAGAUAGCACAAAACGCAGCGUUCUGUGUUAAUUGUGGUUCUUACUGUGGUAAGAAUCUCAUUUUCUUAUUUCAACAGGUUUACCAGAAGAAAAAUCCCUCAGAUCACAUCACUGCCUUUUCUCUCAUUUUCUCUCUCUAUAUUUUCUAAUACAUUCUACAUAUUUUUCAUGUCCUCACAUACUUGUAUUUCAAAUGCAAUAGAUGUGUUUAUAUAGAGGCUAAUGAGAGUGAUUAAAGUUAACUAAAAAACUUCUAUGUAAAAUAAACUUCUAUGUGUUUAAAACCAAUAAAAUAGUAAGUAUAGCAGCCCUUUUUACAAUAAUGAAGUGAAAAUUAAUUUAGCAAGAUAUUUUCUUAAUUUAUACUUUCUUUUUUGAAGUUUUUAUUUUCUAUGGUCAAUUAUACCGUUUACAAUUUCUUUUGAUCUAACUACAACUAAAUUUUUGGUUUAAGGAUUCUUAUUUGGGAGUAUUAAUAUGUGAGCGAACGCUUGGAUACUGCUCAAUGAUAUCUAAUCAAUAGCUGGAAACAAUCGAGAAGGCGGUCGCAGCUGUGCACAAACAGCUUUGGUAAAAUUUUUAAACAGAGUUGACAUGCUAUUCUGAGAUUUGGUUCAUUACUUUGUAUGAUUUUUUCUCAAGCAUGUUAUGCCGAAAUGAACAAUUAAAAAAGAAGAAGGAAAAGUUAGGGUAAAAUUUUUACUAAAUCAUUUUUUAUUAACUAUUUAUAUUAAACAAAUGGAACAAGAAUUGUAGUCAUUCGUCAUAAGCGUGCUAAUAUGAUAAUUCUCUGACUACCAUUUUCUAUUUACCCCUUUUGCAGCAGGGAAUCCAAAUUUUGAAUUGUCCAAUGAUCCACAAUCAAUCCAAUGGUCCAAAACUUUUGGUCGUUAUGCGAAAAAUUUUCCCAAUUUUGGGCCAAUAUUCUAACAAGUUUUAUUGAAGGGCUGGACUAUUGGCACCCCUCUAAAAUUUCCUUAAAACCCCUUUUCUAUUACAAUUACAUUUAAAGAUAAAAAUAAUUACCAAUUCAUCUAUUUUAAUAUUUUAUCCCUCUUCAAACUUUUCUAUUUUCUUCUCAUCAAAAUUUUUCCCUCAAAUUCUCUGUAUUUUUUUGUUUUAUUCAUUUAUUAACAUAUUCUUUUUAUUAUAACAAAUCCAAAUUUUCAAGCAAAAUUAUAGUACAAUAUUGAUUGUUGUUUGCUUUAUUAGAAGGGACUUUUUAGCUGAGGAAAUAAAAACUGUAUAUUUGGUUUCUUCUAACUGCUCGUUGACGAUAGUCACGGCAUCCUGCACAUUUCUAAUGACUUCCUUUAGUAUGUUCUGCUUCUACCUCAUUAGUUCCAAAUAGCUUCUGUUAUCCCAUGCGUACUUCUUAAAAAUAACUUCUGCUAUUUUUUUAAUUAAUUAUUUGAAUCUUGGAGUUUUCUUUUUUAUCUUUUCCACAAUUUUUCAUUCGGAUUUAUUCAUAAUCAUACUAAAACUUUUUACAUUAUAAUUCUAAAGAUAUUGAAUCUAAUUCACUAAUUUGUAUUAAGAAGUUUAUCGCAUAAAUUUUGUGUGGAGAUUGAUAUAAUAAGACUCUAAAAUAAUUUUAGAAAUAAGAAAAUAUUAAGAAAUCGAAAGAUUAACAAAUUAGAAAUAAGGGUAAUUCUGACAUUAAAUGAAAUAUUAGGGACAAAGGAGUUUUUAGAGGAUUUUAACGGGUGCCAAUAGUUCAACUCUUUAUUGAAAUAAAAGGGAGAGGAUCGUUAAAUUGAAAAGUCCAUUUUAUUAUCAAGUGUUUUAAAUUAGUGCAACGUGACAAUUUUUACUGAUGAUAUCUUCUAUUUUUUUCAUAUAAAAUUAAUGUUAUUUUACUUACAAAUAUAAACUCCUAAAUAUUUGUAGUAGAUUUGAAGUUGAGCCCAUGAAACGGUAAUGAGGAAUUAAUGAGACUGAGGAUCUGCAAUUUAGUCAUGAAAAAUUUGUAAUUAAGCACGACUAAAUUUCAAUUUUCUCUUUGUAAUUUCUUUGGGUGCCUGAAAUUUUUUCUCCCUUAAUUUUCUGAUUACAAGUGCAUAAUUGUAAGUGCAACCGAUUUUAUUUUCAGGGAAUACUAUCGGACGGUGUGGAUAUAUAUAUAUAUAUAUAUAUAUAUAUACGAGAAAUGUUCCAAUUCAGAAUUUUAAAGUGUAGGAACGUCUGGGAAAACGCAUAAACCGUGCAGUUUAAACGCUUUAAGUUUUAAGCCUUUAAAACCCCGCAGUUUUAAAGUUUUCCUAGAUGUUUUCCGCACUUUAUGAUCCCGGACUAGAAAACUACUAUAUAUAUAUAUAUUAUCUGCUCGGUGAAAAGUUUUUUAAUCCGAGCUUAGAAUCUAGGAUUAAAAUUAUGAAAAAAAUUUAAGUAUUACACACACACACACACACUAUUCGGUCAUUUUUUUUUAAAAUCUGAGUUUAGAUGUAGAAUUAAAGUUCGAAAUGAAUUUACUGUGUUAUAAAUCAAUUUUUACAAUGUUGUAAAUUGAUUUAUGAUAUUAAAAAUCCAUCUUAAAUUUUAAUCUCAGAUUCUGAGUUUGGAUCUAAUAAACACUCUCUCCGAUUAUGUUGUCUAUAAUUUUGCAUUCAAAGAAACUUCACGAAAAAUAUAAUAUCAUGUGUAGCCCUAGAAACUUUAAUAACAAUAAAAAAGAUAUCAUAAGAAAAGAAAACUCAUAAUUGUUCAGAUAUUUAUAAAUUGGUGGCCGUUGGAAAUUUAACUGCAAGUGCCAAUCCGAGAAAAGUCUUCGUGCAGGAAAGACUUUUAGCCAUACGUUCUUCCAAGUCAAAUGAAACAGUGGAUGUACAAAGAAUAAGACAUGUCAUUCAGCUGCAGAUUUCAUGGCCAGUAUGACUCAUUCAGUCCCUUAUGGGUUACAUGUUUUUGAUAGCCCGCCUGUGGGUAUUUAUUCAAUUAUUUUACAAGACAUAUUUGGGGUUGCUAAACCCCGUAUGGUUCUGUCUUAGCUCGUUUUAUUGAGCCCAUUUUAAUCAAAAAAAAAAAAAUAAUAAGACAUGUCAUUCAUUGUUUGUUUGCUGCAUUCCCUCUCAUUUUCUUAAUUAUUGAAGACAGGUUGCUCAUAGCAUGUACUUUUCAAAUGUGGAACCGCAGCUAAUGUCACUAUUUUAAUUUGGAAUUAAAUUAGGGCCCAUCUAUAAAAUUUAUAACAUUAUAUUGCAGUGUGAACUAACUUUUAUGUUUAUCUAAACACCUUAAAUUUAAGGCAAAUUAUGGCAUAAAUAAGAAUUAAAACAGAACACUUAUGAUGUAUAGCAAAAGAGUUGUGAUGAAGAUCUUGAAGAAAUAUAAUAUUAGCGCCGAAUUAAGUAACUAAGAACACCCCUGAACUGAAUAAUGGUUAUCAAAAUUGUGUUACUUGCACUCCUAUUUACUAAAAGUCUGGUUCUGUUCCAUUUGAGUUUUUAUCUUCAAAUUUCAAAAUCUUGCUAAGUUUUGACAACAAAAAGGCUCAGUUUGCUUGUUCUAUAUUUGUAUUAUAUGAAUCCAAAUUUUUGUGUUCUAUUUUCUCAAUUUUGAAUACAAAUUCUUUUCUUCUCCCACAAACCAGAAAGAAAUGCUGUAUUAAAAAAAAUGGAAAUAAAUUCAUUACAACAAAAAUUAGGAAAAAUAAUACAAACCAAAUUAGGAUAAAUAACAUCACUUUCUAGAGAAGCAGGCAAAAAUGGAAAAUGAUAUUUCAAUUCUUCAAGAUCCCAAAUCUCUGUUUCUAAAUUUUCUUUCAUGUUGCUUCUCGCAUAGAAUCAUUUGGUAUUAAUAAAAUUUUUACUUAUUAAACAAAAGUUUUUAAAAUUUUUUUUAUUCCUGCUGUUAAUCUAUGAAUGGUUUCAUUGUUGGAGUUUCUUUCAGAAGACAAGAAUACUUUGGUUAAGUGUUUGGCUAAGUACUAAAUUAAAGGUUGUUAGAUAGAAGAAAUUAAAAAAAAAAAAAUCCUAACCCUUUUAUUCAGUGUUUAAUCAGCAAAUAUUCAACUCAACAUGAAUCUUAAUCAUCUUUAAAAAAAAAUUAUUCAAUUUUCUAAUAAUAUUUAUUCAGGUACUAGAAGUUAAAACCCUACUUACAUGGAUGCGUGGCCAUCGGUCCAAUUUAAAAAAAAAGAGAGAAAAAAUAAAUGUAAUCCAUGAAUUUGGUUAAUUUUCCUUUGUUUGUUUGUUUCUGUUCUCCCCCCCCCCCCCCCCCCCACCCCCUUUUCAAUAUCAUUCCUUUUUGGCCGCCCAAGGACAUUUUCACAAAUACCUUUUGUGCAUAAGUCUUUUAAACCAUCAAUCGGAAGAAACAUGCUUCCAGUGAUACCUCCAAUUAUCAUUGAUGACUUUUCUUACUCUAAUGCUAUGUCAAUUCCAACAUUUGUAUGUUAAUAUAACAUAAUCAAUGAUUUGGAUAAUUGAUGACUUUUACAGAUUGUGGAUUCUUGCGGAUUUUCAAUCUAAUCCAAUCCACCAAUUCACAAAUUCAGAUUUUUACGGAUUAAAUUUUUACAGAUCAGACGAAUUGAGCAGACUAGAUUGGAUUUUGAACAUUGCUAAUUUGUAUGUUAAUUAUAAGAUAAUCAAUUAUUUGGAUAAUCCCUUGUGUUUUAUCUCUAAUUAGAACAUCAAUCUUCACAAUAUUUACAAUGCUACAAUGGCUAUAAACAAAACCUGCUUGCAAAUUGUCAAGGAUACUUAUCCUUUCGCUUGACAAGUCAUUUGGAAAAAUAUUGUCCCUUGGCGGCUCCAUGUCUUCCCCGCCCUUCCUUUUGGUCUUAAUGUACGGUUGCUUAAUGAUAGUUUAGGCCCUUUAGGGACUACUUUCCCUGGUGUUGUUAAGUCUUAGCUUGUGCUAGGCUCGUUUUUCUUACCAAAAGAAAAGGAAUACUUCUCCUAUAAGAAAUAAUCUCUAUAUAUAGGGUGGUUGGAUUCACUUGUUUACAUAACAGAUCAAUUAGUUCUCUGUAAAUAGAGAGUUUCAAGUAUGAAAGAAACGGUAGGUCUAUUGAGAGAUUAUGUGUUAUUAGGAUUUUGGUUGUGAAGAAAAGUACUAGAGUGAUUGUGUUAAUUUUCUACGUAGUUGAUUUUUCUAUCGUCAUCUUUGUGGCUGUGAUUUUUCUUUCAUAUAGAAGUUUCCCACGUAAAUUGUUAUGUUAUGUGAUUAGUUUUGAUAUUUUAUUUGUAAGAUGUUGGAUGGGAUUAAAAGUUCAUAUUACUGCUAGAUGAUAUAUGGGAGCGGGUUGAUUUAGUAAAAAUGGGUGUCCCUCUUCCUAGAUCAGAAAACAACACAUCUAAAGUGAUAUUUACAAACCCGUUCUAAGGAAGUUUGCAGCUUAAUGGAAGCUCGUAGGAGUUUUAAAGUGGCGUGCUUAUCAAAUAAAGAUGCUUAGGAAUUGUUUCGAUACAAAGUUGGGGAAGAAACUUUGAACAAUCAUCCUGAUAUCCUUGAGCAAGCACAAUAGUUGUUAAGGAGUGUGGUGGUUUGCCACUUGCACUUUUUACCAUCGGCCGAUCUAUGGUGUGCAAGAAGACAUAGCCGAAGAAUGGAGAUAUGCUAUUCAAGUGUUCACUUCGUCCGCUUCCCAUUUCCAGGUCUGGAAGAAGGGAUAUAUACUCUUGUAAAUUCAGUUAUGAUAGUUUACCCAAUGACACAAUUACACCUUGUAUGUUAUAUUGUAGUUUAUAUCCAGAAGAUUGUUGCAUUUCUAAAGAGAAUUUCGUAUAUUGUUAGAUUAGUGAAGGAUUUUUGAAUGAAAGUGAUUGGUUUGGAGAAAAAAAUCAAGGAUAUUUCAUUUUGGGCAUUCUUCUUCAUGGUUUUUUUUUUUUUGGAAAAGGGAGGAGAUUGUGAAGUGAAAAAUGCAUGCAUGACGUUAUUCGUGAUAUGGCUUUGUGGAUCGCAUGCGACCAUGAGAAGGAGAAGGAGAACUUUUUGGUUUAAGCUAGUGUUGGUUUAACUAAGGUACCAGAUAUUAGAGAUUGGGAAAAGGUGAGGAGAUUGUCAUUGAUGAAAAAUAAAAUUGAGAAUCUAACUGAGGCUCAUACAUGCCCUCAUCUCCUCACUUUCUUUCUUGAUGAUAAUGAGUUUCGAAAGAUCCCCGAUGACUUCUUCCAGUUUAUGCCUUCUCUCACUGUUUUAAACUUGUCACAUAUUAAACUAAAGUCAGUUCCUUUAGGGACUUCAAGGUUGGUUCCACUACAACAACUCGAUCAUUCAUAUUCAAGCAUAAAAGAGUUGCAAGAAGAGUUAAAUGCCUUGAUUAAAGUUAAAUGCUUGAAUAUAGAUCAUGUAGAAGAGCUAAUUACAAUUCCACAACAACGAAUAUUUAAUUUUUAAGGUUAUAUGUGUUGAGAAUGUUCGAUACUAUUAGUUUAAAUUUUCAAGAAGCAUUAAAUAAAGACAGUAUUUUAUUUGGUGGGAGUUAAAGAAACAGAAAAUAAGUGUUUGGCUAAUAAAAAAAUAAAAUGAGAUCUGGAAACUUUUAAUCCUUUUAUUUUCUCAAGCUUAAGUUGCUACUGAACGAUUACAAACAUAUAUAUACAAGUGUAGCUGCUCAGCUGAAGAUUACUAAACUAACUAACUGAUUACAAAUUGAUUAACAAACGCAUCACGUGUAUGAGUACAAGCAGCUACAUAACCACCUGGUGCCAGCUGGCAGUACAUGUCAUCAACUUGUAACUGAUUAUAGAAGCUUCUGUGAUCCUCUGCUCUGUGGUCCUCAGCUUGACUACAAAUAUGAGUUUCCUUAAGAUCCCCCCCAAGCUCAAAGGUCUACUAAUGACAUGGAGUUUGGACCUGAAGUAGCUGAAUUUUGGAAGAGAUGAAGCCUUCGUGAGAACAUCAGCAACUUGUUCAUCUGUAAGAAUGUAUCUCACUUCUAAUUGCUUUUGAAGUACCUUAUCUCGGAUGUAAUGGAUGUCCAACUCGAUAUGCUUAGACCUGGAGUGAAACACAUGAUUUUUGGCUAAUUUCCCAGCACUCUGAUUAUCACACCAAAGCACUGGUGUUGGCAGUUUUACAAUGUUGAGCUCAUAAAAUAAAGAUUCCAGCCAAGAGAUUUCUGAACUUGCUGAUGACAGUGCUCUGUACUCAUUUUCAGUGCUGGAUUUUGCCACUAUGGCUUGUUUCUUAGAGGACCAUGAAAUCAAAUCGUUGCCAAGAUAGAUGCAAUAUGCUCCAAUAGACUUUCUAUCAUCUAUAUCACAAGCCCAAUCUACAUCUGAGUACCCAUUCAAACCUGUAACUUCAAGCUCCCCUUCUUUCUGAAUAUAUAUUCUAUAAGUAACAGUUGCUUGAAGAUAUCUAAGUACAUUUUUACAAGCAAGCCAGUGCUGAAGUGUAGGAGCACUUAGAUACUGACUUAGCUUAUGAACUGAGUAUGCAAUAUCAGGCCUGGUGAGUAUCAAGUAUUGGAGCCCUCCAACAAUGCUUCUAUAGAGAGUUGGAUCUUCAAAUUCUUUCCCCAAACAACCCUUUGCUACCUUUUCUAAUUUCUAACUUUGUGCUGAGAGGUGUAUCAGAACCUUUACAGUUCUGCAUUGAAGCUCUACUUAAGAGGUCUUCGAUAUAUUUUGUUUGUGAUAAAUGUAUCCCACUAUCUGUAUAACACACCUCAACACCAAGAAAGUAGGAUACCGAUCCCAAAUCUUUUAAGGCAAAAACCUUACUAAACUUAAUGAUGAAGGUUUCCAACAGGGAAAAAUCUGGUCCUGUAAUGAGAAUAUCGUCCACAUAGAUAAGAACAAGAAUGAUACCUCUUCUGUCAUGUUUGAUGAACAGGGAUGUAUCAGCCUUGGAGUUGAAGGAAUUCUAGCUUGUAAGACACCCUUUGAGUUUGUCAUACCAAGCUCUAGGAACUUGCUUCAAGGCACAAAGAGCUUUGCUAAGUUUACAGACAUAGCCCUCUUUGGUUAUGAAGCCCUCUGGUUGUGUCAUGUAUAUAUCCUCUAAAAUAUCUCAAUUAAGAAAAGAAUUAUUUAUAUUGUAGAAAAUAUGGAAAGAUUAGAUUAGUUGACAUUCCUGAUUUCUAGGAUUAGUUGUCUAAUUUGUCUGAUUUGUACAGCUAUUACUAAUUUGUAUAUUUUCAGAAAUUAGAAAGUUAAAUUUGGAAUAUGUUGUCCUAUAAAUUAACCCUAUUGUACUGGCUGUUAGAGGUACUUAAAAAUAAGAAAAGAUAUUUAUUCUUCUCCUCUGUUAACAUGGUAUCAAAGCUAUGGCAGAAUUAAGCCUAGCUUGACUCCCAUACGGAUCAGUUCAUUGCCUUGUUGUAAUGGCGCAAAACACCAUGCCUGGGGUUACAGUAAUUGGUGAUACUAAUUCCACUGCUACAUCUAUUGGAAUUGGUACAGGGGAGUUUCUUCCGUCGGGAUUUGGAAACUUGAACGGAAGUGAGAGUUUUCCCAUGCAAUUAACCGGUCACAAAUUGAACGGUAAAAACUAUCUAGAAUGGGCGCAAUCCAUUAAGUUGGUGGUCGAUGGCAAGGGUAGACUUGGCUACAUCACCGGUGAGACGAAGGAGCCGGAAAAAACUGAUCCAACAUGGAAGACUUGGAAGUCAGAAAAUUCCCUAGUUAUGUCCUGGUUGAUCAAUUCCAUGGAGGUUUCUAUUGGGAGGACGUAUUUGUUUCUUCCCACCGCAAAUGAUGUAUGGGAUGCAGUCCGAGAAACGUAUUCUGAUCUAAAAAAUUCAUCAUAGAUUUUUGAAUUGAAAACAAGACUAUGGCAGACUAGGCAAGGUGAUCAUGCUGUUUCUGAGUAUUACAACGAGAUGAAGGCUUUAUGGCAGGAGCUUGAUAUCUGCUAUAAAGAUGAUUGGGCCUAUAUGACAGAUAGUGUUCGUUAUUUAAAAAGAAUUGAAGAUGAUCGUGUUUAUGAAUUUUUGGCAGGUUUGAAUAAGAGCCUUGAUGAAGUGAGAGGCCGGAUUCUUGGCAGAAUUCCUUUGCCAUCAAUCCAGGAAGUAUUUUCAGAAGUACGACGAGAGGAAGGUCGACGCAAAGUGAUGUUAGGAGAAAAAACUGUAUCUGCUCCAGAAGUUUCAGCCCUAAUGACAGGGACUAAUCACAAUAAUUCCCCAUACCAAGCACGAUAGAACAAGAAAGGAGAAAAGGUGUGGUGUGAUCACUGCCACAAACCACGUCACACUAGGGAGACUUGCUGGGAUUUACACGAAAAACCUCCUAAUUGGAAGCCACGAAAUUUUAGUCAGUCAAACCGUGACUCAAAGGCCUUCCACUCAACCACUGAGGAGAAUGGAAACACUGCAACUACAACUACGACACCUUCAUUCAGUAAGAAAUAGUUAGAACAACUGUACUUUUUCUGUCCAGAUAAGUGACCAAUCCAGUAUCUUCUUCUUAUUCCUUAGCCCAGAAAGGUACUUAUCAAUUUGCUAUCUUCAAUGUGUCCACUAUUCCUCUUUGUCCAUGGAUAAUAUAUUCAGGUGCCACCGAUUAUAUGACUGGAUGCUCUAAAUUAUUUUCUUUCUAUAGUCCUUGUACAGGCAAUCAAAAAAUUAAGAUUGCUGAUGGCUCCCUCUCGGCAAUUGCUGGGAAAGGGUCAAUUGUUAUAUCUAAUACUCUCGUUCUUCACGAUGUCCUUCAUGUUCCAAAUCUCUCUUGUAAUCUUUUUUCUGUAAGUAAAAUAACUCGUGGUUUAAAGUGUUGUGCUAAAUUUCUUCCAAAUUGUUGUGAAUUUCAGGAACUGGAUACGGGGAGGAUGAUUGGCAAUGCUAGAGAGUAUGGCGGUCUCUAUUACUUUGAUGAUGGGAACUCUAUGUGUCAGCAACAGAAAAUUUUGAAUCUUGGAGCAUGCUUUAGUUCUACUGAUGAUAAAAUAAUGCUAUGGCACCGUAUGUUAGGCUAUCCUAAAUUUUUAUAUUUAAAACAUUUGUUUCCAACCUUAUUUCGUAAUAAACUUUUAUUGUCUUUUCAAUGCGAUAUUUGUCAGUUAGCUAAACACCAUCGUGCAUCUUUUCCUAUUCAACCAUAUAAAGCAUCCAAGCCUUUUACCCUUAUUCAUAGUGAUGUGUGGGGUGCCUCUAGGACAUCCACCAAUUCUGGAAAAAGAUGGUUUAUAACAUUUAUUGAUGACCAUACACGCCUAAGUUGGGUCUAUCUACUCAAAGAAAAAUCUGAAGCAGAACAUGUUUUUAAAAACUUUUAUAAUAUAGUUGAAACACAAUUUCAAACAAAAAUUCAAGUGUUCCGAAGUGACAAUGGGAAGGAAUACUUUAAUCAAAUAAUGGGGUCAUUUUUCUUAGAAAAAGGAAUUGUUCAUCACAGCUCUUGUAAUGACACUCCUCAACAAAACAUAAUAGCAGAACGGAAAAAUAAGCACCUCCUAGAAGUAGCUAGGUCUUUAAUGUUCACCACUAAAGUUCUUAAAUACUUAUGGGGAAAAGCAAUUCUUACUGCUACAUAUCUUAUUAAUAGGAUGCCAUCAAGAGUUUUGAACUUUCAGCCACCAUUGACAGUUUUUAAAAAAUUCUUUCCAAUGACACGUUUGACUUCAGAUUUACCUUUAAAGGUCUUUGGAUGUGUUGCCUUUGUACAUAUACACAAUCAUAAUAGGGAUAAACUAGAUCCAAGGGCUGUAAAAUGUGUUUUUCUGGGCUAUUCUCCUACUCAGAAAAGGUAUAAAUUUUUUUAUCCUAACAAACAAAAAUAUUUUGUCACGAUGGAUGUUACCUUCUUUGAGUCUCAAAGUUUUUUUAAUCCUCCUCUUCAAGGGGGGAAAGGAAAUGAAGACUCAGUGUUUGAGCUUGACAUGAAUACUAAUGGUGAGGCAAAUAUUGAAACUGAAAUUUUUAAUCCUAAUACCUUGAAUAAGGAGGAUAUGAGGAUUACCUUAGUGCCUGAACAUAAAACUGACACUACGAUAAUAGACGAGACAUGCUUCAAUGAUGAGAGAUUGUUCGGGAAAACUUACACUAGGGAGAAACGGAUUCAAAGUAAGAAAAAUGCAGCGAUACUUCCUCAACGCCAUGAAUCUGAUCCAAUUCCAGAUUCGAAAAACAUUGAUUCUGAAAAUCCAGGUACAAUCUCUAAAUUUAUAGAGUAUGAGUCUUUAUCUAUCCCACAAGUACAUUCUGACCCUCUAGAUCUUCCCAUUGCUCUUAGGAAAAGAAAUAGAUCAUGUACUCAACAUCCCCUUUUCAAUUUUGUGUCUUAUAAGAACCUGCCAUUAUUUUAUCAUACUUUUGUCUCACAAUUUUCAAGUGUGGAUAUACCUAAGUCUAUACAGGAAGCGCUAAAGGUUCCUAAAUGGAAGAAGGUUGUUCGUGAAGAAAUGGAGGCUCUAGAAAAAAAACAGAACGUGGGAGAUGGUUUUACUUGCCUGAAGGAAAAUUGAUUAUUGGUUGCAAGUGGAUUUUCACUGUGAAAUACAACUCAGAUGGAUCCUUGGAACGCUAUAAAGCAAGGUUAGUAGCAAAAGGAUUCACACAGACCUACGGAGUUGAUGAUCAAGAGACAUUUGCUCCCGUAGCCAAACUAAAUACCAUUCGAAUACUACUCUCUGUAGCUGUUAAUUUGGAGUGGCCAUUGUUUCAAUUGGAUGUUAAAAAUGCGUUCCUCAAUGGAGAAUUGGAAGAGGAAGUAUAUAUGGGUGCACCCCCUGGUUUUGAAGACAAGUUUGGAGGAAAGGUGUGUAAAUUGAAGAAAUCCUUUUAUGGACUGAAGCAGUCUCCUCGUGCUUGGUUCGAGAGAUUUACUAGGUUUGUUAAAAAAGAAGGAUAUAGUCAAGGACAAUCUGAUCAUAUAAUGUUCGUGAAACACACAGAUGGUGGAAAGAUGGUUGUCCUAAUUGUAUGCGUAGACGACAUAAUACUUACUGGAAGCGAUAAUGAUGAAAUGAAUAAGCUGAAGAAGCACCUGGCAUCGGAAUUUGAAAUUAAGGAUUUGGGUCCCUUACGCUAUUUCCUGGGUAUGGAAGUUGCAAGAUCUAGAAUGGGAAUUUCUCUGUCACAAAGAAAGUAUGUUUUGGACUUGCUAGAGGAGACAUGAAUGAGUGGUUGCAGACCAAGUGAUAACCCCGUGGAUCCUAAUCAGAAGUUAGGAGAGGUUUCCGAUGGAGUUCGAGUUAAUAAAGGUAGAUAUCAACGUCUCGUAGGGAAACUCAUUUAUUUAUCUCACACAAGACCUGAUAUUGCCUUUGCCGUUAGUGCUGUAAGUCAAUAUAUGCACUCACCCUAUGUGGAACAUUUGGAGGCAGUUCACAAGAUUCUCAGGUACUUAAAGAGGACACCUGGAAGAAGGUUAUUAUUUAAGAAGAGUGAUCAAAAGAGUGUAGAAGUCUUCACAGAUGCAGACUAGGCAGGCUCAAUUUCAGAUAGAAGAUCAACAUCUGGUUACUGUACAUUCUUAUGGGGAAAUUUAAUUACUUGGCGAAGCAAAAAACAAAACGCGGUUGCCAGGAGUAGUACUGAAGCUAAGUUUAGUGCCAUGGCAAAUGGAGUUUACAAGGUAUUAUGGAUUAAAAGAGUCCUUGGAGAACUGAAAUUAGAUAUUGAAGCACCUAUGAGACUGUUCUGUGAUAAUAAAUCAGCAAUAAGCAUUGCAAAUAAUCUUGUUCAGCAUGAUCGUACAAAGCACAUUGAGAUUGAUAGACAUUUUAUUAAACAAAAGCUGGAGAAUGGAGUUAUAUGUAUGCCAUUCAUCCAUUCAGAGUAAUAAACAGCAGAUGUUCUUACCAAGGGACACUUCAGGCCAAAGUUUGAAUCUUUCAUUGACAAGUUGGGCAUGAUUAAUAUCUAUGCACCAACUUAAGGGGGUGUAGAAAAUAUGGAAAGAUUAGAUUAGUUGACAUUCCUGAUUUCUAAGAUUAGUUGUCUAAUUUGUCUGAUUUGUACAACUAUUACUACUUUGUAUAUUUUCAGAAAUUAGGAAGUUAAAUUAGGAAUGUGUAGUCCUAUAAAUUAACCCUAUUGUACUGGCUGUUAGAGGUACUUAAAAAUAAGAAAAGAUAUAUAUUCUUCUCCUUUGUUAACAUAUAUCAAUUUGCCUGACUUUCCAACACUUCAUCACUGCCAAACUCAGUAUAGUUCUAAUUGUAAAAGACUUUACCACAGGACUGAAAGUUUCCUUAUAAUCCACUCCUGCUGUCUGGUGAAAGCCCUUGGCCACCAAUCUUGCUUUGUGUUUAGAAACUGUACCAUUUGUAUUGUACUUGGUUCUAAAAACCUAUUUACAUCCAACCAACUUGUGCUAAGAUGUCACAGGUACUAGAGUCCAUGUGUUAUUGUUGGUUAGAGCAUCAAAUUCUAAUUGCAUUGCAGCUUUCCACUUAGGAUCAGAUAAAGCUUCAUCAACAGUGGAUGGUUCCAGGCUGUUAUGUGAUGUUAAGAAUGCUUUAGGCUUGAAUAUACCAGCUUUUACUCUGGUAAUCAUAGGAUGAUUUGGCAGAGAAUGUUGGGAUGGUUGUGUGGAUUGAGUAUGAGAUGAUGAUGGCUGUUGUGUAUGUGAAGCAUCUAUGAUAGAGGGUUGAAAAUGUAUUUGAGAAGGUGAAACAACAAAGGUUGUAUUGUGAUUGUCAGAUGAGGAGUGAUCACUGAAAUGAUGAGAUUGAGCUUUAUCUUCUGCAGAGCCAGCUUCAAAGGUUUCUUGAUUGCUAUUGGGAAGUGAAAUAGUAUAAGAUUGAAGAAGACUGUAAUGAAAAUCAGAGAGUUUAGAUGGUGAAGUUAAAAAUUGUGAAUUUGAUGUGUAAGGAAAAGAGGUUUCAUCAAAUAAAACAUGACUGGGUAUAAAAUUCUUUCCAGAAGAAUGAAUACACUUGUAACCAUUGUGUAAAGGGCUGUAACCAAGAAAUACACAUUUUGAGGUAUGAAAAUGGAAUUUGUGAGUAUUAUAAUCCCUUAGGAAUGGAAAACAUGAACAACCAAAGACCUUGAGAAAUUUGUAAUCAGGUUUGGUUUUGAAAACACAUUCAUAAGGUGACUGCAUAGAUAGUAUGGGUGUGGGAAGUCUAUUGAUAAUAUAGGUGGCUGUAUGGAAGGAAUCCCACCAAAAUUUUAUAGGUAAAGUGGCUUGAGCAAGUAAGGUGAGACCUAGCUUGGUUAUGUGUCUAUGUUUUCUCUCAAUUAAGCCAUUCUGAUUGUGAGUAUAGGGACAUGAGUUCCUAAAUUGAAUACCUUCCUCAUGAAGAAAAUUAACAAAUGAUCUAUACUCUCCACCCCAAUCUGAUUGAAUACACUUGAUGGAUCUAUCUAGCUGUUUCUAAAUUUGCUUUUUAAAGAUUUUAAAAACAACUAGUGUUUCAUCCUUGGUUUUUAAUGGGAAUAUCCAUGUGAACCUCGAAAAAUCAUCCACAAAACUCACAUAGUAUCUGUAACCUUGAACUGAAAGCACAGGGGCAGGUCCCCAUAAAUCAGUGUGCAAAACCUUUAAUACAUGCUUUGUUUUGGUAGUAGAAACUGGAAAAUGUAAUCUAUGCAUUUUUCUCAUUUUACAUGCAUCACAUGAAUCAAGAAAUUUACUUCCAUUUAAAUUCUUGAAAGCUGAACAAGAGUUUAUUACAUGACUUAAAACUUUGGAAUUAGGAUGACCAAGUUUCUGAUGCAAUACAGAAACACUCAGCAUAUAAUUUGGACUGAUACAAGGUUCUGCUGCAGUAUGCAAGCAGGUGCUUGUUUGAUUAUUGACAACUGAUUGAACAACUGAAAACAUAAACAGGGGAACAUCUGGAAUUUUGGAUUGAGUGGCGUCAAGAGACCUUUGAAAUGAUUGAGAAGAGACUUUAUUAGAGGGAAACAAUAGCAAUCUGUAUAAACCUUUUUCAGCUUUGCCCUGCAGUAUGAUCAAAUUCCUUACCUUGUCCUUCACAUAAUAGGAUUGAUCAGUAAAUUCAAUAACAAUAUUGUUAUCUUUGGUUAGCUGAGAUAUGCUAAUAAGGUUCUUGGAUAUUUGUGGAACAAAUAGCAUGUUGUUUAAUUUGAGUGUGUUAUGAUCAGAAGAGUUAUGCAUUCUUAACACAGCAUUUCCAACAUGUGUUAUGUGCAAACCAGUACCAUUUCCAAUUAUGAGUUUAGAGUUACCUGCAAAAGGUUCUGUCAUAGUCGUAUUUCUCAUGUCAUUGGUAAGAUGGUGUGUAGCUCCACUAUCCAGAUACCAGUUGACAUCAGCUGCACCAUCCAUAUCAGCUAGAUAUGCAGCUUUGGGAUUUCUAUUUGGAGGAGGUCUGUAAGCACCAGAGGUAAAGAAUUCUUCAAGUUUCUAGCAGACAUUUGCAGUAUGACCAGUUUUGAAGCAGUUUUAGAAGCAUUCCACUGAGGUUUAGGAUUCAUUUGGGGCCUAAUAGAGUUAUUGUUACCACCCCCACCAUUGUUCCAAUUUCCUGAGCCUAAUCCCCUUUGAUUAUCACUUUGAAAUCCUCUGAACUGGUUAUUUGAAUUAUUUCCAGAACCAUUUCCAAUGAAACCAGAUCUUCCAUAGCCACCUCUGUAAUUAUUUCCAAAAUUUCCAGCAUUAUCUAAACCAGAAAAAUAGUUAUGAUUUCCAGAUCCUCUACCACCUGAGAAGUUUCCUUUCUUAAAACCUCUGUUCUAAGCUAAAUUAGCUUCAAAAUUAUGCUUAACAUCCAUUCCAGAAAGCAUAUGUGCUUGUUGCUCAAUUCUAGCCUCUUAAGUCAACAACAUAGCAUAAGCCUCAUUCAAAUUCAUUUUAUCACCACUUAUUUGACCAGUAAUAUAAGUAGCAACAACAUUAUAAUCUGGUCCUAGUCCUGAGAGUACAUGCAAAAUUAAAUCAUCACUGCUUAAGGCACUUCCUGCCGCAACCAUGUUAUCAACAAUAUUCUUCAUUUUAAUGAAAUACUCAUUGAUUUUCAAAUCAUCUUUCCUAGUUGAAUUUAUCAAAUAUCUCAAAUGUAAGAGUCUGGAUUUUGAUUGUGAUCCAAAUUGGGUUUCAAUAGCUUUCCAUACCUCAAGAGAAGUUUCCAGAUUAAACACCAGGCUUAUAAUACCUUCACUCAUCGAUGAUAGCAACCAGCCAAGGAGUACUUGAUCUUGUGCUUUCCAGCUUGACAAAUCUGGAUUCUCAAUAGAUCUAAGUUCAUCGUCAAUCCUCUGAGCAAUAUGAGAUGGAGGAGGAGUGACAGUUUCAUCAAUGAAUUUUUCUAACCUAUUGCCGCAUAUGGAAGCUAAAACUUGGGACCUCCAGAUCAGAUAGUUUGCCUGAUCCAGUUUCACAGGAGUAUUGAAAGUGAAUGAGAAGUUUGUUGAGUUUGCAUGAACAUUUGAAGUGUGGUUUGAUGAGGCAAUAUUCAGAGACGCCAUGACUAGCUCUGAUACCAAGUUAAAGAAACAGAAAAUAAGUGUUUGGCUAAUAAGAAAAUAAAAUGAGAUUUGGCAACUUUUAAUCCUUUUAUUUUCUCAAGCUUAAGUUGCUACUGAACGAUUACAAGCAUAUAUAUACAAGUGUAGCUGCUCAGCUGAAGAUUACCAAAUUAACUAACUAAUUACAAAUUGAUUAACAAACUCAUCACGUGUAUAAGUACAAGCAGCUACAUAACCACCUGGUGCCAACUAGCAGUACAUGUCAUCAACUUGUAACUGAUUAUAGAAGCUUCUGUGAUCCUCUGCUCUGUGAUCCUCUGCUUGACUACAAAUAUGAGCUUCCUUAACAGUGGGGAGGAAGUUUAAGCAGAGGAGUUGCUCGGUUUGGAAUAUUUGGAGGUAUUGAGCUUCACUUGAGAAGUGUUCGUGCUCUCCAAUUUAUUUUGAGCUCACAUAAGCUACGAAGUUGUACUCAAGCGGUGUUCCUCCAAUCCUUCAAUGAUUCGAUAUGGCUUGAUAUUUCACUUUUGGCAGAGUUAAAAGCACCACUACAGAUUUAAGUAUUUUUGGGUGUAGAAAAUUGGAGGACUUGAAGAUGGAAUAUACAGGGGGAGCGAAAAACAAGCGGCAACCUUGUGUUUUCUAAGGCCUACAUACAGUUCACAUAGAGGUUUGUUCUAAAUUGAAGGACUUAACAUUCCUUGUUUUUGCUCCAAAUCUCAAGAACUUGUAAAUACAAAAUUGCCCUGCUGUGGAAGCAAUCAUCGGUGUGGAAGAAUUUGCGGAAGCUCUAGAGGUGGUGGAAAAUCUAAACCCAUUUGCAAAACUCCAGUAUCUUGGACUAGAAAAUCUGCUAAAUGUGGAGAGCAUCUAUUGCAAGCCUCUGCCCUUUCCAUGUUUGAAAAGAAAUGACUGUGGAUGGUUGCCGUUGUCUUAAAAAGCUUCCACUCUACUCCAACAGUGUAAAAGAGUGUACAAUUGUUAUUUCAUCAUUCGGAGAGUUAAUGGUGCAAUGAGAUUUGGCAGUUAACUCUCGUGGGAAGAGCUUGAAUGGGAAGACGAAGCUGCUCGAAUUGCUUUUCAUUCCUGUUUCAAAUCUCUGAUUGGAUUGGAGAUUGCAUUUCGCCUCAGGUUCGUACUUUUCUUGAAUUUUUCUUGUUAACUUCAUUUGUUCAUUUAUCCAUUUUUUUUUAAAGGAAUCAGAAGGGUUAAUAUUUUUGGUUGUGUUAGGUCGACUUCUAAUCACGAGGCAGAAGGAGUUGAGAUGAAGUUUAAUUUUGGUGGAGAAAUUGUUUGAUUUAAAAAAUUUAAAUGAGUUGAUCAUCAUUCUUUAGCAUAUUUGUAUGAACAGGAGUGUGUAAAUAUGCAAACUGUCCAGCUGUAUGUGUGUAACGUAAUAAUUUUGAGGAGUUAAACAUUGAAGAGUAUUGAUGUUUCCAUUGUCAAACCAAAUAUACUUAAUUACUUGAGGAUAAUGAUUACUGCUAAUACAUUUGCAAAGAAAAAACAUGCCUAUUGAAAAACUCAUCUUAUUAGCAACAGCAUUAUAAGUAGUAUCCAAUCAUAGUUUCAUGCAAGAUUUUGAGAUUUUUCAAAUGCUGAUUCCGGGAAUGGAGAUUAAUAGAAAAUGGAGACAGGUUGACUGCAAUGGCUAAUUGCAAGAGGGAAUUUUAGUCGUAAAAACAGACCAACUAGCAAAGCAAAUUCCAAAUCUUGGAAUGAAGUGGCAAAAAAACGAAACAAACAAAUGGCAAGAGGAAGUGACUAUACAAUAAUAACAUCGACUUGCAAUUCAACAUUUAUACAGUUUUACACACCAAGAAAAGAGAAAAUUACAAUAGCAAUUUGGCUACUAGAAGAUGGUCAUUCAUGCUUAUGCCUGUCAUAUGGAUUUGAAACAAGGAGUAAAAGCAUUUAGAGUGGCUUCAUCCUUCCACUGCAGCUCAUUCCACCAGUGUUGCUCUCCCCUAAUAACAAGUUUUCGUUCCUUGGCGCUGUUGUAAUCGAGUGGAAGCUUCUUGAGGUUCGGGCAUCCAGAUACAAACAAUUCCAAGAGAUUUGGAAAGGGCAAUGCAUUCAAACAGAUCUUCUUCAAAUUUCUUAGAACUUGCAACCGAAGAUAUUGGAGUUUCGCAAAAGGUUUUAGCCCUGGAACUUCUUCCACUUUCCAAACACUGAUUAUUUCUUCCAUCUCAUAACAACGUUCUACAUGGACCAUCUUCAGAUUUGGGGCAAAAACAAGCCAUGUCAUCUCCCUCAAUUUACUGCAAUAGUCUAUGGUAACACUUUGAAGGCUGUUGAAACCAUAAAGUUCUCUUGUUGUUUGAACUUCUGCAUAGUCAACCUUUAGCUCUUCCAAACUUGUACAAUACACAAAAUCUAGUUUGUCAAGAUACUUGAGAUCUGCUAUGGACAAAAUAUUCCAUGACCUUGAAUCCUCACAGCGGCGAAGCUCUAAAGCAUAUUUACAACUCUUGUACUGUUGGCAGCUCAAAAGUCUUCGUAGAGCAUAAAAACUUCUUAACGUGACGCUUAAUACAUUUAAAUGUUCCAAAGUAAUCAACUCUACCAAAAUUUCACUACCACCAAAUAGAACGCUAUCUUCUGGUACUGUAUUAGCAGAGCCACAAUCUAGCAUCCUCAACACCUUUAACCCAGAAAAAUUACAAAGCAGUUGCCGUGGAAUCGUAUGGAGAUAACGCAUGUACUCCAAGUUCAAACACUUUAGAUUUUUCAAGGCUUUUAAUUCAUGUGGCAACUCUUUGAUGAAAGUUUCUGAAAGAUUAAGAUAUUGUAGUGAAACCAAUUUUGAAAUUCCUGAAGGCAAUUGACUCAAGGAGCGAUUCUUUGAUAGGUUUAAAACUUUAAGAGAAGGCAUAAAAUCGAAGAAAUCACUAGGGAUAGUAUCUAACAUAUUAAUGCCGAGGAACAAAGUUAUAAGAUGAGGGCAUAUUGGAGUUAUUGGUAAAAUCACAAUUUUAUUUCUCAUCAACGAUAUCCUUCUCUUAUCUUCCCAUUGUUUAACCUCGGGUGGUUCAGUUAAUUCAAUACCGGAAGAAACCAAAAAGUUUUCAUUCUCCACUUCACAGGCUAUCCACAAGGUCAUAUCACGAAUCACAUCAUACAGUUUUACAUAAUCUGAUCCUGCUUCUUCCAAUAGGCAUGCAUGAACAAGAACACCAAUAAUGUAGUAUCCUUGGUUAUGUACUCCGUUAAUUCCUUCAUUUUCCUUCAGAAAACCCUCACCAAUCCAACACCCGAUCAAUUCAAUUUUGCUAAUUUGAUAAUCCUCAGGAAAUAAACCACAGUAUAACAGACAAGAUCUAAGGACGUCACUAGACAAACUAUCAUAACUGAAUUUUAAAAGACGAAACACCUCUUUCUCCAUACUUGGAAAUUCAUAAGCUGAUCUCCUUAACAUCUGAAUUGCAUAGCUCCAUUCUUCGGGUGUCUUCUUGCUGCUCAUGGCACGACCGGUGGUAAUAAGUGCAAGUGGCAAACCACUAGACUCCUUUGCCACAGUUUGGGCUAACUCCGGAAUAUCGGGAUGACUUUCAAGAGUCUCUUCUCCGACCUUCUUUAGGAACAAUUCCCAAGCAUCUUGAUCUGCCAAACACUCCACCUUGAACUUUUUUUGAGCUUCCAUGAGGCCACAGACGUCCACAAGACGAGUCGUAAAGACUAUCUUUGAUGCAUUUCUUGAACUCGCAGGAAAAGGGACACCCACUUUGGCUAAAUCAAUUCUUUCCCACAUAUCAUCUAACAAUAGCAGAAAUUUCAUUUUGCUCAAUAAAUUGAAUAUGCCUGAUGCUUUCUCUUCAAAGCUUCUAUUCUGAAGCCAUCCUAUUCUUUCUCCGAUUUUCUGUUGAAUUCUCUCAAGCUGCAUGCCUUUUGACACCACCACCCAAAUCACAAUAUCAAAAUAAUUUGGUGUUUUAAGGAACUUGUUGUUGAUUUGGGUUAAUAGUGUAGUCUUGCCGACUCCCCCCAUGCCAUAAAGUCCGAUGAUUCCAAAUUGUCCUUCUACAAGACAUCUCCAAACUUUAUCAAAUGAUGAUUCUAGGCCGAUUAUUGUUGGCUGAAGAGGCCUUUCAUCCACUGCUGGUUGUGGUACCUUUUCAGCUACCACUGCAAAAGCUCCAUCAUCUAUUAAAGUAGCCACAAGCUGCAGCUUUUUAGACACCUUUUUCCCAAACUUGUAGCUUGACUUGCAGUUCUUGGAGCAGUAGCCUCCAAGACAUAGUUUUUCAAUUUCUUGAGAGCUGUCCCUUGUCAAUUCACCUACUUCAGCUUCCACAGCCUCCACCCUUGAAAGCCAACCUUGCACUCUGUUCAGCCGUCUUAGUUGUUGUUGCUCAGCAUUAGAGACCCUCAUCAUCACAUCGUUCUUUGUUUCAAUUAGUUUCUGCAAUUCGGUCUGGACGGCAACCAGGUUAUUUUCAAGCUGGCUUAGAUAUGCUGCUUUUCUGCGGGUACAAUUUAUGAAGCCAGUGGAAAGGGCAUCACAUGUAAGUUGGAUUCCCAAAAUAUUACCCAUAGUUUGUAUGAGAUUCAGAGUACAAUAGAAGGAAUGCAACACAGUAUGUAUUCGGUUGUGGUGUCUAUGAUUUUACAGUCGCAGAAGCUUUUUCACCUUGUGAGGGCUGAUCAGGUGGGCACCAUCACUCUCUUUACGCUUUAUAGAGAGCGAUAGUCCAUGUGGUCAGAUCUCAUUCAGAUAACUAGCCAAGUGGGCAAUCGCUCCACCUUAUCAAAAUUCUUCAUCUUAUAAUAAUAUCAUGAGUAGGCCUUGAAUUUUUCUUUUAAUUUUAACAUUUAAAAGGUAGAGGUGAAAAAGUCUAAAUAGUAUUUUUGUCCUCGUACUUUAACUAAAUAACAUUUCUUGAAAAUCACUCAAUCUUAAAAUUUAAUUAAGAAGAUAUUAUAGAUUUAUAAGCCCUUAAAAUUUAUUUGCAAGUAACAAUUAGAGAAAAGUCGUCAGGCCCAAAAGACUUACUAAAAGUCGUCAACUCGUCAUGACCAAAAUUCUUCCGCGUGUGAAAUACGGCAUGCGCAGAUGCAUUAAAAACAAAGGCCAGCUAUGAUAAUCUUUGUAGUAUUAAUAAUUUCAGACGCGUCGUUCGUUGCCUGUGACUUUUCAUAUGCAAAAGCGGAGUCAGUGUUACUUGCAUUCCCUGUCACCUUAUUAAUAAUUUCAGACACCAUCGUUGGUUGCCUGUGAUUUUCAUAUGCAAAAGCACAGUCAGAAUUACAAUUUUACAUUUGGAAUUGAGUGCCAUCUAUUUAUUCUAGCUGGAUCUAAAAUGAUAUUGCAGUAUUGCACUGACUUUUUAGUCACAGCGUUUCUCUAUGAAUUCCUUAAAGUUUAAACACAUCAUGGAAUAAUUAUUUUCUUAAAGACCAAAUUAACAUAAUUCUUAAAUCAUUUAUAAAACAACAUUUAUCAUAUAACAGAUCGUACAUGAAUAAAUUUACCUUGAACCGUAGCAAACAAACAAGAAUCUCAACCACAUCAAUAUCAUAACCCCUUCUGACCUUAACAAUAAUUUUAUUCGUCCUUAAUUCAUAGGUAUAAGUAUCCCAAUAUAUACUUGAUGUCAACCUUUACAAUUCUUUACAGAAUUGCAGCAGACCAAAUUUGUAUGCAAAACUGAAAUCAUACAGUAAUUGAAUACAGUGAAAAUAGACAUGAUGGGAAUUAGUAUAUAUAAAUAUCUUAAUAAUUUAAAAGUUUCUUAAACUGAUUUUACAUAUCUGAAAAAUUAUAGAAAUCGGAACUGCUGCAGAAAUCAUAAUUUUCCAGCGAAUGUGUUACAACUUCAGAAACUCAUAAGAAAUUAAAUUCUUGGGAUCACAAAAUAAUUCAAUAGAAAGCUUAAGAUGUCUAGUUCAUAAAAUCUGAUUUUUUUUUUUAAUAAGAUCUUUGGAAUUUAAGAGAUUCAGCAGUACUUUUAUUACAUCAAUUCUUCAAACAAUCACCAAUCUAACAUUCAUCAAAAUUAAGUCAUAAAAAUCAUGUGGUUUAUAAAAAAGAAUUACCUGAAAAAGAUUAGCCUUCCCCUUUCAAAAGCAACGUGAAACUCCAAAAACUCUUCUUCCAUUACCUAUUCAAACAUGAAAAAAAAAAAAAAAAAAAUUGGUAUCUCCUCUUUAAACGCGUGAUGAGUGUGCUCUGUUUUCUCUGUUCUUCUUUUUCUUUUUUAGAUUUCGAAAACGUAAAGAGUGUUGGAGUCUUUAUUUUCUAAAAACAAGACUUUUCCAUGUAUUCAAUUAAAUUAAAUUAUGUCCUAAUGCUAUGUCAGUUCCAUCAUUAACAUUUUUUUUUUUCCUUUUAACACCAACAUUAGCGUAUCUUAAGUAUCAUAAUCCAUAGUUGGACAAUUUGAAAUCUCUUCGUGUUUUAUCUCAAAGUAGAGCUUCAAACAAUUUGUACCUCACAAAUUUACAAUAUCUAUGAGGGCUAAUAAGACCAAACUCAGGCAUAUUGUCAAAUGUGCUUAUACUUUCGCUUGACAAGUCAUUUUAAAAUUGUCUUUCAAUGCCAAAAAACCACAUAAACUAAUGGUCCACUACUUUAAUUUGAAAGCAUGCAUGCGAUCGCCAAUAAUCAAGGAUGUUAGGGUCAUGCUACAGAGUAUAGAACAUGAUUUGAUGGUAUAGCCUUUUUUCUUUAUAAUUUUUAAGUUUAAUACUGUUACGUAUGUAGCACAUAAGUUGGAAAACAUAACAUAAAAUUUGAAAAAUGUGUAGUUUUCGUUCCCUUUUUUCCCCUCUAAAAAUGGGAAAAAAGAACGUAAUUUUGAUUUAUUUAAAUUACUGUUGUGAUAACAAUUUUUAUUUUAUUGAUUAGUUACCCAUACAUGUGGCAAAUUUUUUAAGAUAAGGUGAAGGAUGAAGCUCAAAUAUAUAAAUUAUAUAAUUAAUUACCCUCUGUAGUAAGUUUAAAGUUUAUUAUUUUUAACUACAUGUUUAUAAUUUAUUUUUAUUAUGUGUUAAUCUAUAGAUCUAAAUUCACUUCGGAACCAUAUACAUAUUUAGACAUAAUGUGCAUGUUAAUCUAUAGAUCUAAAUUCACUUUAGAUCUAUAUGAGUAUUUAGACAUAACGUAUUGCAACCAUAUUGGCAUGUUCUCACUAUAGUAUUGGUGUAUUGAGUAUUGACAUUAUAUCUAAUUGUCCUUAUAAAUCCAAAAAUAAUCUAGAUAUACAAAUUAACAUAAAAUAAAUAUAAUUGGUAGAAAAUGCAAAUUAUAAACAUAUAAUUGAAAAUGAUAAAUUUAAAUUUACUUAAGAAAGUAAUUAAUCACUUAUUUCUUUUUUAUAAUAUGACAAAUAUUAUAAUAAAUAUUAAUUAAUAAUAAUUAGAAUAACAAAUUAAGGAUAUUUUAGUAACUUAAAAUAAUUCAUUUUGAUUUCGAGACAAAAUAAACACAUCAAUCACAAUACAACUCAUUCUGAUUCCACUCAUUCAGAUUUCAACAUAUUUUAAUUAAUUCAAGUGCUCUCCAUUAUAAUUGAAGCCGCUGCCCCACUCGUGAUUCCAAACUUUAUCUUUUUCCUUUUUUAAAUUAAUGCAAGCAGCCGCUGUCCUUUUUAUUAAUUAAUUAAUUAAUUCGGCCUCCCACAUUUCUUUUCCUAAUGUCUUCGGCUUUCGAUUUUCUUUUAUUUUCUCUUUAUUCUUAAAAUAGACUUAUAAUAAUAAAAUAUAAAAAUAUAAAAAAAAUUAACAUAAUCAAAAUAUAAUUUAACAGAAAAUUAAGAUAAAAAAUGUGAAAAUAAUAUAUAAAUUAUGAGCGUAUCAAUCAAUAAAUGAAAAAUAAUAAUUUUUAUUUUUAUUAAAUAUAUAUUUUUCAGUAUGAAUCAGUUAUCUAAAUAACUAAAAUCAGUUAAAAAUAAAUAAAUAAAUUAUUCUUAAAAAAAAAAUUUUAUACCACUCACUAUGCUGGCUGUCAAGGGUAGAAGCUUUGGGGACUGAAGUUGGUAACUUCUACAAGUAGUCUUAAGUUGACUGGCAACAACUACAUUGGCAUGUUCAAAUGUUCUCACUAUUGUAUUGGUGUGUUGAUAUUAUCUCUAACUGCCCUAUAGAUCCAAAAAUAAUCUAAAUUUACAAUUUAACAUAAAAUAAAAUAAUUGGUAGAAAACAAUUAUGGUUCAUUUACUUAUCAGUAAUUAGAAUAAACUAAAAUCAGAAUGAGUUGUAUUGCCGUUAAUGUGUUUAUGUUGUAUCGGAAUGAAUUAUUUUAAGUUACUAAAAUACCCUUGGUUUGUUAUUCUAAUUAUUAUUAUUAUUUAAUAUUUAUUAUAAUAUUUGUCAUAUUAUUAAAAAGAAAUAAUAAUGAUGAUAAUAUUAUCAUUAUUGUUUGUUAUAUUAUUAUUAUUAAAAAAAUUAUUGUUAAUAACAAUAAUAACUUUAUUUCAAUAAUAAAAAUGAUAAAAUUAAUAAUAACAAUCAUGACAACAACAACAAUUAUUUAUUAUGCCAAAAAAUAACAAUAAUAAUAAGAAUAAUAAUCAUCAUCAUUUUUUCCCAAAGAAGCAUUAUCAUCAUCAUUUCAAAAAAAAAAAAAAAUCAUCAUCAUCAUCAUUUUUGUAGUGGCUGCCUAUCGGCUGCUGCUUUCAUGCGAGAUUGACUUGCGACGCUUCAACUGCUAUUAUUUCUGGCAAUGUCAGGUGUUGUUGUUUCAAUGGGGGGAGAAGUUGUUUCGGUGCGCUAACGAUGGGAGGUAAUGACGGUAGGUGUUGCUGCUCAAUGCGAGGUCCAUGGCCAGUUGUCUUGUUUUACAACCAGCUCUUGUAGGAAAUUCUUCAUCCAAAAUAUUUUUUUGUAACCUUCAAUAAUUGUAAUAUCAUUUGCUUCCGUGGUAGAAAAGACAACUCAUUACUAAAGUCUAGAUUGUGAUGAGACUGCUCUCCCUGCAAAAGUGAGCAAAUAUCCUAGUAGGGAUUUUUCAGAAUCAACAUCUCCUGUCAUAUCUACACACUUGUAACACAGGUUUGUCACCACCAAAAUAUAAACAUAUUCUGGAAAUGCCUCUAAGAUAUCUGAGAAUUCAUUUCACUGUUGUCCAGUGCUCUUUGCCAAGAUUGAAGAGAAACCGACUGACUACACUAAUUGCAUAGGCAAUAGCUGGUCUUGUACAAAUCAUGGCAUACACCAAACUGCCAAUUGCUGAAGCAUAAGGAACUCCUCUCACUAAGAAAUGGGUUUUGCUCUUGAGAUUUUUGGGAACAUGAAGAAUAAAGAUGUAAUUUCUUGGACUACCAUUGUUUCGGGGUAUAUAAAUAGAGGACAAGUCGAUAUAGCUCGACAGUAUUUUGCUCAGAUGCCAGAACGAGAUUAUGUCUUAUGGACUGCCAUGAUUGAUGGGUACCUUCAAGUGAAUAGGUUCAGAGAGGCUUUGACACUUUUCCGGGAGAUGCAAACUUCAAAUAUAAGGCGAGACGAGUUUACCAUUGUUAGGAUUCUUACAGCUUGUGCGAAUCUGGGGGCACUAGAACCGGGAGAAUGGAUAAAGACUUAAAUUGACAAAAACAAGGUCAAGAAUGAUAUAUUUGUGGGGAAUGCUUUGAUAGACAUGUACUGUAAAUGCGGAGAUGUUGAGAAAGCUCAAAGGGUAUUCAGGAAGAUGCUUCGAAAGGACAAAUUCACAUGGACGGCCAUGAUUGUUGGCCUUGCCAUCAGUGGCCAUGGUGAUAAAGCUCUUGAUAUGUUUUCCCAAAUGCUUAGGGCUUCGAUUAGACCAGAUGAGGUAACUUAUGUUGGUGUUCUGUCUGCCUGUACUCACAAUGGUAACGAAAUUUUUUUGAUAAAUAGUUGCAACUUAAGGUGAGAAUUGGAGGAAACGAAAUAGACUGAAGUUGUUCAAUCAUCGGUGGUUGCUAUUUGAUUUUAAGUUGUUCAAUCAUCGGUCGUCUCUAUUUGGUUUUCUCCAAUAUCUCAUCUCCAGUUUUGACUCAGAUUCUGUCUUACCACUAGUAAUUACAUAGACUUGCUGCCAAAGGUAAGAAUGGUAAUAAAUUAAAUAGAUUAUGUCGAUAACGAAAUAGAUUUACUAUUGCUAUGUGCAUUAUAUUUGGUUCCUGCAAAAUAUUUUCUCCUGCCUAAAAUUUUUUGAAUCAGUAAGUUUUUACCUUACGCAAGAAUUGUGCUAAGAGUAAUUCCAGUCUCUCUAUGUUUCAAUGAAGACGUAAAACUUGUGUUUUAGAGCACCAAUGUUAUGCUUCUUACAAUUGGAUUUUAAUUUACUUCGUAAAACUUUUGUCAAGAAGUACUAAGCGUGUAUUUGAAAUUGAGGUACUGUAGUUUUUAAGCUACAACUGCUGUGGAAAAAAAAUUGUAAUUAUGAAAUAAAAAUUAAUAAUAUAUAGUAAAUAUAAAUUUUAAAUAAUAGUUUUGAUAAAAUUAUUAAAGAUAUAAUAGUUUUUUUUAUUAUACAAGUGAAAAAUUAUAUAAACAUAGUUUUCAAGUUACAGCAGUUAGUGUUUACCAAACACUUUAGUGCUGUACUUUUUAAGUUGCAGCUGCCCAACAUCAAUCUCAAACGCACCUUAAGGAGUAGUGCGCCAAACACCAACUUUAUUACAGAGAGGACUUUGGUUAAACUUUAAGAAAAACACUCAAAGGAAGAGUUAUAAAUUAUUAUAGAAAUAUUUCACAUAAAUAAAAGCCAUUCCACAAUGCGAAGAUCUUGCUAUCAUCACCAGAAACCAUCGGGAGCUUUCAGGGUUUCCAUGAAAACGCCAUUUCAUUCCAAGAGUCAAUGGUGGGUAGAAAGUGGUGCAAACGAUACUCAUUGUUAAUGCUAUAAGUUUUUGCUAAAUUAUGUCUUACCCAAAAUGAUGAUUUAAUUUCCAUUCUCAAUUAAUUUUCAAGUUUCAACACUUUUCUUUGUAGCAUGACAUUGGAAAGGUCUUGUACUACUAAAAGCUAGCACCACACGUUAAUUAUUGUUAAGUUCUUUUUCAACGUGAAAUAAAGGAAGUAGUCCUUCGUUAAAACCAUUAUAGCCAAAUUUCAUGUAAUUGGACACUUACAGACUUUCAUUUCAAGCUGGAAUUUGGUCCAACGUUUCAAAGUUGACCCAACUAAUUGUCUGAUCAAGUCCUACACAGCUAAGACCCUCAAUGAAUGAGGGUGAGACUGCUAAAAAUUACGACAGUUGAUAUUAUUAUUAUUAUUAUUAUUUUGGGAUAAAUCCUCACCAAGGUGAGUGAGGAGAUUUUAUCAAAAUAAAAUAAAAAUAUAACAAGAAAACUAGCUAAAUUAAAAUAUUACAAAAGCUAGAUGAACUGAAAGGCAGCCUAAAAACAACCUUAUGGAAAAGAGAAGCAACAUGCUAGUAUUCCAAGCUUCUUGUUAUAAAAGUGUAGAAUGAAGUAGGUGACGUAGUUUUAAGUUACACCUCCAUGCCCAAUCACAAUAUCAAAUAAUGCUUAAAGUAGUUAUAUUAACUCUUAAAUUUAUAAAUAAUUAAAUUUGUAAAAGUAUGGAUUUAUAUUAAAAAAUUUAUAUAUAAAUAAAUAAUAUAUGCAUUUUUACAACAUAGUCUUUAAAUUUAAACUUUUCUAGAAAAAUCUUCUGGAUAUCUUUUCUAUUAAAAAAGAGUUUCUCAAAAUUUAUAAAAGUAACUUAAAGUUUUGUCUUCCCUUUUCUUUUAGCUUAUACAUAUGUGUGUGUAUUCUUUUAUAGCAAUAACUAACGUUAUUUAUUUUUAAAUCAUAAAAAAAUUAUGAAAAAAAAAUGUACCAAAUUUAAUUGGACCCAGCACAAUGCACAUGCAUAGAACACAUUCUGAAAAGCCAUGCUAUUCGGAAAUUGACGAAUGGAAAGUGAAGAGGCAGCAGUCAAUGCUAUUUCGGCUUGGCCCAAAAUUUCACCAGUUUGUUAAUCAGUGUUCUGCAGCUCUUGCUGCUUUCCUAGAGAUUCUGCAUGUUUUGCAAUCUGAUAGAAUUAAAAAAAAAAAAAAAUUAGUGGCCAUUUGGAAUGGAGGAGAGAUUUGUGUGAAUGGUAUAGGUGAAAAAUUGGAUGAAAAUAAACAGGCAACCGUCCGUAUAAAACAACAAUAACAAUAUACAAAAAGAUAAGUAAUUCACGAAAGGAAAUUUACGGUUGUUUCUGAAAAACAUACAUAUUAAUUUCACUUAUACUCUAAGAUUUGCCAUCAUGACUGGGCUUGUGAGGAAUUUGGAAACAUGUAUGAUGUAGAAAUGCUGAAGUAGCUUGAACCAGAUGGUGAAAUCGUCUAGCGGUCAGCGGGACAUGAAGCUAUAGGGGUUGUUAGUUGUGUUUUGGAUAUUUACAGACAUGCUGAGUUUGAGUUUAUAUCUUAACUUAAAAUUUGUAGUUUUCACUUGAAAAGAUUCAGUUAAAAAUUGAUUGGUAGAAUUGUUAAAAAGUCUAAAUUUUUAGUUCAAACCUAUUGCAUAUUUAAGAACAUCUCAAAUGAAUUGUUUAUUGCUAUCGUCAUCAUCAUUGCCCGUAUAAUUAUUAUUAUGUCUUUAUAAUUAUUAGUAUCGCUGUUAUUAUUUUUAUGGGUAAAUGGGCUUUCUAUCCUGGCAAUUUAAGCCAAUUACCUAACUAAUCCAUGUAAGUUUAAAAAUGUUUCAAAAGAUCUUUAUUUUAUAUAUGUUUCCACUAAAAUUUAUUUAAUUAUUCUUUAUUUUUCAAUUAUUGCAUGUUGGAUUUUUUUGAGUUCUAAGCUAUAUCAAUAGAAAUGUUAUCUUAUAUAUCCACAAAAAGUUAGAUCCAACAAUUAUGAAAAUUACUAUAGAGCUGCUUUGAAUAAUUUUUAAAAAAUACCACAAGUAAAUAAUAAUUAGUUUAAAUAGUGGAGACUAAAAAGCAUUCACCCUUAUUUUUUAUCUGUUAUUUGUAUUUUUUCCCGUUAAUGCACAUGUUAUACAUUUGAAACAUUCCGUUAAUUGCCAAUUAUGUAAGCGAGAUAGUAAUUUAAAUUUUUUUUUAAAAAAGUGAAAAUUAAUCCUAUGCAAUGUGAAUAAAUUUCUUUCCUUUUUCCUUCACUCUUUUUAUUUGAUAAUUAAGUUUCAAUCUAUGUACGCAAAAUUUCUGCAACAGGUGCAAAACAUAAAAAUAUAUGAUUGUUAAGGGAAACACGCGGAAGCUCAUCAUUUCAAUGUUCAGUAUUUCCAAUUUUGGCAUACGAAUAUAUUUCACUUAGAAAGCCAAAUAUUAGAUUUGUGAUUUUAAUUCAUUCAUCAUAUCUCAUUUCAAUCCCAAAAUAUUCAAGAGGAUCCAAGUUACCAUAAGACUUCAGAGGCUCGAGCCUUAGCCAGAGACGGUUAAUUGAUAGACUAUGUGCCCGGGUCGAGCACUGGAAGCGUGCAAUGCAGACUGAUUGAUUUAUCAGUUUGAUGUGUGCCAGGAAUGAAGAACUGGAAUAUCACCGUCAAGCAAGCACCCAGUGAAGCAAUACCAUAGAAUGCACAAUCCGGCCUUGCUAGGUGACACUGGGGGCUUUUUGAAAAGUGCUUCAUGCUCACUUGCACAGAUUGAGCAUCCCCUCUGGAUAUUGCCCUCUCUGAUCGAGUCAGAGCACUCAAAUUUCGGUCCUCAGAUGGAGCUACAGCUUUCUCUCCAAUAACCAACAAUUUUCUAAACUCAGCACCUAGUGUGAUCAGAGUUGUUGAUAUUUGUAAAUGGAGAUCCCCAUAUUUGCAAAUGGAGACAUUUAACAAAUCACCAACAUGCUUCAUCCGGUCUACGAAAUUCUGCAGCUGAUUCAAAUCCGGAACCUGAACCAGAGUCGGAGGUAAAUCUUGAGCCAUAUCUAAAGCAGUUUGAAGUUCAAGUACUUGAGCCCUCGACAGUGGUUUUGAAAUUGGAACAUCUUGAAUUACUGCAGACUUGUACCCUUUGGUUUCAAAGGUAAGGAAAGGCAUUGCUUGAGUACAAUUUGGAGGCAGCUUCUUCACCAAUUUUAUUUGGAGGCGAUUGGCAGCAGAUCCAGCUGCACCAUUUUCAGAGCAAAUACUGACACUACUUCAAACAGCACGCUGAAGAAGCGCUAUGUCUACGGCAAAGGCAAUGCAGUCCUCAUUUUGGCUUGAGAUGCGGUAAUCAUCGAAGAGAGUUUCCUUAUGAAACUGGGCAACACAUUGAAUCCCUUCACCACUGAGAAGGUUGUGGAGGAAGUACGCUUUCUCUCUAGUGAGGAAGAGGUGGCAUACCUUCCCCAUUUUGUCUAGGGCAGUUAGGAAUCUUUUUUCUAAGAGAUUUACUCCAUUCUCUGUGAGAAAUGCUUUGAACUUCAUCCCUCUGUCUCUAUCCUCACUUAUCAGUAAAACAGUUGAAAGUGAUACAAGGAGAGAAAAGGAGAGUACUAAGAUAUAUAGACAAGAAAAACAUUAGGUGUCGAUCUUACAUGUUAAUACUUCAAACAGUAUCCUAGAAAGCUAAAAACUGCAGAAUGGCUUGAAAUUUGAAAAGAACACAUGCUUUUCCUCCUUAACUUGAGAAAAUGUUUAACAUAGCGCGCCUUACAGAAGCAAGCAAUUAGAACUUUGCACAAAAACAUUCAAGAAGACCAAUAUUUCAACUAUUUUACUGAUGAAAAUCUCAAAGCACAAAUGGCAUUGCAUUUUGUCCUCAACUGUAAUAUUUAUUGAUGAAAAUCAGUACAGGUCCCUCAUUUGUUAUGGAAAGCUUUCUUGCAAAGUGACGGACAUUUCUUUCGAUUUAAAGUCUUUGCAUCACCACUUCAUCACACACCAAGCCAAUAUUCUGUCUACCUCUACAACAAAAAGUUUUAAGUAAACGAUCCUAAUGCACGCAGCCAAAUAAAAUGCAGUAAGAAUAUUCAACUUAAAAAUCUGAAAGUCAACUUGGUGAAUUGCCUUCUUAGGGGAAGUUCCAUGAUUUACUAUACUAGACAGAACUGAGCAAAAGCUUCCAUACGACAGAUUUUGACAAUAAUGAUGCCAACAGAUCCUCAUUAAAUCCAUUAAAACUCCUAAGGUUCAUUGUUCAUGGAUGUUUACAGAGUGAAAAUUAGAUCACCAGCAGCUAAUUGUAAAUUCAAACUUAACUCUUCAUCUCCUUUGUAAACAGGAAACAAAAUGGAGACACGCAAAAUGAAUAAGGAGAACAUUUGAACUCAAAUGAAAUGAGGGCACGAAAGCAAACAAAUGGCAUGCACAAACAAACCAAGCCUCAAUAAAAAACUAAUUAACCAUUAAAAAAAAAAAAAACUGGUCAGAGAAUGAACUCCAAAUUCGGUUCGGGAGUGAAGCAAGAAGCUUUAUUAUUUCAGAAGCUCCUGUACAAAUUAAUAAGUUAUGCUCUUUGGAAACAAACCUAAAUUCCAUGAGAAACAGAACUCAAAAAAUUUGCAAUUAUACGCCAAGGAAGUGAAGCACAGCAUUCUAUCACACGUACGAAUUGUAUAACAAGAGAUCGACACAUCGAAUCAGAAGAACUCAAUUCAAAUUUGUCUCAAAAAUCAAAAUUAGAAGAUUUCACAUUUCGAGAGGAACAAGGGACAGGUCAGAUGCAAAAUUUUCAGCCACAACAUGCCACAAUUAACGGUUUAUUUCCAUGGAUUUAGAGAGCUAACUGACCUUUUGGCUUUUGGAAUUGAGAAGAUCGCGCGCCAAAAUGGAAGAGGGAAAGCGAAAGUGCGGGUUUUAAUAGGGUAUUGGAUUAGCAAAUUUUAUUAGUUUGCGGGGGUAAAAUAGGAAAGAGAUAUCACUAUUAACCUUUUUUUUAUAAGAAAAAAGAAUAAUAAAGAAUAUUUUAUUGUCAUUUGCAGCCUUUAAUUUUUUUUUAAAUGCUAUUAGAAAAAUACGACGACAAAGAAAUGCUAUUUUUUUAUUUUUUUCUUGAAGGUGAAAUCAAUUAUUUAGCUCCUUAUAUGUAAUCAAACUCCAUUUCUUACUUUAAGUCAUAUCCAACGGACCAACAAAAUAAUUAUUUUUUUUUCAUUCAUUUUUGCAGAAAAUUAAUAACUUAAAAAUAUUGAAAGCUAUUGUAAAAUUUUUUAUUAUCAACCUCAUAAUUUAAUUUUUUUGGGGAAGAAUUGAAUUUUUUUUUUUAAUUUCCAAGAAUUUCAUUCUCUAGUUUUUCCAUUAAUAUUACUUAUCUUCAUACCCAUCUUAAUUAAAAUCUGUAGUUUUAUUCAAGAGUCAUGCUAUUCAUUCACUCGGACCAAAGGCUUUCCGCAGCAAUAUUAUUAUUUAAAUUACAACAAAGGGGAAAUCAAAUACGUCAUACAGAGGCUUAAAGCUCAAUCUACAAAAUCUAGAGUUCUCAACUACAUAAAUUACACUUGAUGAUCCUCUACAAGAUGAAUCUUGUUCAAUAUCUCAUCCAAAGCUUAUAAAGUAACCUUGUAACGAUCUUGAGAUUGCCUGCCUUCCUCGACGACCUGCACCAUGCGUUUGUACAAAUCAUCUGUGAUCAAGAACAUAAGAGCGUUUAACAUCUUUUCUCCAUCGAGAAAGAAUGUAGUGAGAUGGGAUCUCCUCCAUACCACUCUGGUUUAGAACACAAAGAAUGUGUCUGCAUAAAUAUCCUCUGAAAUUGAACAACCCACAAACACAAAGCACCUCCAAGUCGGAGGCAUUGUACAAAACAUCGAAAGCCCUUGAAUCUUUCUCGUUGCUACCAACCUCAAAUUCUUCCUUCACUAUGUAUGUUAUAGGUCCAUCAGCACUGACAUGUUUUGUGCUAUAGCAAGAGUACAUAGCCUCCACCUCCAUCUGAAACUUCCUUAACAUUUCAUUUGUGUACAGUUUUGAGAGUUGAAAUUCAUAGGAACAUCUUGGUUUCUGGAUACAACUUGAAUUUCUUGAAUCCAUAUCUGCCAAGGCUUCCAGUUGAUAAUUCGCCUGCAGUGCUUGAUCAUAUUUGUCUAAGUAUUCUUUCAAAGGAGUAUUCUUAUCAAGAUAUCCUUCAAAGUAUGAAGUAGAAACCUCACUCUGCAGGAAUGAAAACACUCCUGAUAAAAAUGUUUCCUUCAAAUAAACAGGAGCCCAACUUUUACGAUCCUCAUAUAAAGUUUGAAUCCAUCCAUGAUCCCUUAUUCCAUGACGUUGAAUCGUGUCCUCCCAAGCUGUCUCAAAUUCCUCAGGCCUAAGAGAGUGACAAAUUGCUCUAUGCAAUGCAGCUCUAAUAGCUUCAUAUUCAAAAUAUCCUUGGAGAUUCUCUGGAAUUUUUUGCAUGACGCAUGACAAUGAAAAACAAUGAUAAGCUCUUGGGAAAACAUCGCCGACAGCAGUUUGCAAGAUCUACAUUGGUCAGUGAUGAUUGUUUGUGGAGAGCGUCCUAACAUACAUGUAAGCCACACCCUAAACAACCAUGUAUAUGAUUCUAUAGUCUCACCGGCAAGUAAACCACAGCCCAACAGCACUGAUUGUCCAUGAUGAUUCACCCCAAUGAACGAAACCAGCGUUGCAUCAUAUCUUUCUGUCAAGCAUGUAGUAUCAAUUGAUUUGAGCUAUUAACAUCAUUUCCAAAUACUCCAUUGGCAUCUACAUUACCAUUUCCCUCGGCAUCAAUGAUAAGAGUUCGAAACAGUCUAAUCUUUUGAACUUCUUCAGCACCAUCUAAGAGCAAUGUUCUUUUGGUUCCAAUACCCAUGUGCUUAUGAGACUUGUAAAACUUCCCGCUUCUUGGGCUUAACAAGUGGUUAUGCUCAAGCUCGACUUCAAUGAUUCUCCACCUUUUGGUUUCCAUCAACCUAAACUUUAUCAUUGCUGGACAGCCCGUUCUUGUUUCUGGUCUUGGGCGGUUUGCCUCGCUUUUCUUCUUGAAGCCUGCAUUACUACAGCUGAGCUUUCCUUUAUACUUUUCUCUACUCUUUUGGUACCAUGUAUUGCUAACUCCAACACCAAAACCCUGUUCCUUGGCAUAGCAAUUAUAAAAGUAAUAUACGUCAUCAUACGUCUCAAACUCCAUUCCAACAGCAGGAGGCAAUGGAUUUUGGAUUAUCCCAGUUUGUCCAACAUAUUCAGUCAUCGCACAAUCUCCUACGACCUCAAAAUCAUCAGCUUCAUCAUCACCUACUGGUUCAGUAUUCAGAGAAACUUCAUCCAUCUACAAUAGAUGUUUAAUGAAGUGAGCUUUAAGGAGAAAAAGCAAAAUCAGUUCAAGGAAAGAUAAUAUAACCAUACAGUUACUUUCACAAAGCUGCGUAUUUCAUCAAUACUUUAACAACAUACAACUGCCUGAGAACAUAUAGACAUGUCAUAGACGUUUGAAUUAAGUAUUGGUACAAAUUAGCACACAUCAUGUGGGACACAAUUUCAGUCACUAAACCCAAUGCCUUUUUUUUUUCACAUCAUACCAAGGAACGGAUUAAACCCAAUACCUUCUUUUACGCCAUACCAAAGAACAGAUUAAAUCAUCAAUGAAAAUUUAAUCAAAUAAUAAUUUAACUAGACAAUUGAAGAGCUUGAAACAGCACAAAACUUGAAUCUGAUUAUGAUAAUUGUUGAGUCCUUGUAUCCACAGCUUUCCUUCAAUGAGAAGAUUAUGAACAUAAACUACACAUAAAAAAAUUAUUUAAACUGACAGCCCAUGAUAUAAAUCAAACAAAAUUAACUCCUUUUACAAAUCACAUCUCGUAUUCAGUUACAUUGAAACACAAAAAAGGAAGCAGGAGCCGGAGAAAAACAACAACAGAGAAACUUAUUUCCAGAAGGUUUACGAAAUAAGGAAUUUAUUAAGACACAAAAUUUGAGGUCAACAAUAAGAAUUUGGUUCUCAUUCUCUUUUUCUUCAUUUUUCACUUAUUGAUGGAGUUAGCGUACAAUCCUAUAUGAUAAAACCCCAUCUCCAUCUUUUUGAACUAGAGCUAAAGCAAAGCAUUUUAAGAUGUUUUUCCCUAAAAGACUCAAUAGUACAAUGCUUUUCAAUAUUAAAUACACAACUCAAUCUUCCCCUAAUUUACUCUAAUAAUCUCUUAACUAAGGAAGAUUAAGCUCCACUUGUAAGCUAAAACAAGUUUCUUAAAUCAAGCCCCAAUGCUCUAUACUAUUCAACAAGGCCUCAUAAAUGAUAAAACUACCUCUGCAAAGAUACCCAUUUUAAUUUCGCAAACUAAAAUCAAACUUCUGAAACGUAACGAGCAUUAAAACAAACAAGUCCGAACAAGAACUGAAAAAUGAUACGUAAACCCGUUUACACGUUUCGACAAACACUUUCCAAUCAAUGAGCAAAAAGGUUAAUGGAAAACAUGAAAUUCAAACAAAACAUACCUUAGGUUGAUAAAUUAGUAGGGCAAAAGAAAUUUUAGCGAGAUAUGGGAUCAGGGAUUUUGCCACGGUGAUGUUAAUUGCGACAUUCGGGUGACUCAGCAGCCUUCGAGGCUGAAACUUUGAUUGACCAAAAGGUUCCCGUUCGUUGAUUCUCUAAUUGCAGAAACGAAACUGGCAGUGUACAGAAAAAGUACGCUGAUUUGAUAAUUCUGUGAAAAUCAUUGUUUUUUUCAGAUUUUAAUGUGUUCGAUAAAAUAUCAAAAUCUCAAAAACUUUUGUCUUUCAUUUUGGGGGGAAAAACACACUGAGAUCCUUAUGUUUUUUCUUAUAUAAUCUGGCUUAAUAAUUUGCAAAGUCUAUUACUUUGCACCCAUGCAUGCUGCGUUACAAUUUACAAAAUUGUACGUGAGUGCAUCCAGCUAAAAUUUGUAAAAAGAAAAUAACAAUAACAUGUUAAAAAUGUGAUUAUUAUGAAGAAAUUUUAAUUUAGUUAAAUAGGUGACGAUGGAUAGGUAUAAAAUCUGAGAUCUUUUAUGAGAUUAAUAAAUAUGUUGAGUUUGGAUUAGUUCAAUUUUGACAUAAUACAGAAUAAACACAACCUGCUAAUCUAAGUUACCAUCUUUUCCCGUCAUCAGGUACCUGUUUGAAAAAUAAUUAUAUACAAUUUUAUUUGCGUUGUCUCUCUAAAAAUUUGGGACUCAAAUGUUAUUUCUAAUUGCUAAAAGUACGAAAAUGCCCCAUUUCUCUUCAGCUAAAGGAGUGCAAAGUCAUCUGUAUAAUUGAAGCUGCAUCAUCAGUUUCUAUUGCUGGUGUUUACUGCAUGCUUACAGUUGCUUGACAAAGUGAGCCAGUUUUUUGUUUAUUAAUUUUUUUUCUUGUCGAGAUAGUCACAAAGUAUUACUUGUUCUAUAUAAGAAUGAUGUGAAUCAAUUUUUCAAUUAUGCAUUCUGUGGUAAUUGUGAAUUUAGUUUCAUUUGUCUUGUCUCCUGCAAAUUUUGAAGAAAAUGCAGACAUACAAACUUACAAUACGGAAGAGUUCACAGGCAAAAACUUUGUGAAAGCUUCCAAGUGAAACAGGGAAUGCGCUUACUAGUAAAGAACAAAUUGGUGGCCAGCUAAUGCAUUCAUUCUAUGUCCAUUGAUCUUUUUGAGUUAUUGAAGACAAGUGGCUCACCGCUUUUAGUAUUGGUAAAAUUCAGAUAAUCUCUAUUCCGAAAUAAUAAUAUUCAAAAUAUCUCUUAAAUCAUUAUAAACCUCAAAUUUAUUUUAAUUUUAUUUAAAAGAUAAAAGAAAAAUAGGUUAUGUUGGUGAUUUUUUAUUAUCUUUUUAAUAAAAAUGAAAUAAAUUGAUGUUUAUAAUUAAUUAAAGUAUUUUAAAGAUUGCCAUUUUAUGAGAGAAUAAUAUUUCACUUUUUUUAGUGUGAAAGACCGAAAAAGGACAAAGCAAGUUUCCCUAAUUUUUAUUUUAUUCGAAAUUGGUCAUCUCAUAUACUUCACCCUUCAACAUUAUAAUUUUUUUGGUUAUAAUUUUAUUAUUUUUUUUUCUUUUACACAUGCAUGUGAAUUACUUUUCUUUAAGCUCCUGAAUAUUUAAGACAAAUCAUGGAAGAGAUGAGAGUAUAACAAGAUGAUCAAAAUAUGUAACAAAAAAAUUUUAGAAGUGAAAAAUAUGUUAGAGUCGAAGUAAAACUCUGAGGUGAUGUUUGAUUUGAAGAAAAUGGAGGAGAGGAAAUGAGUGGAAUGGAGAGGAAAAGAGAGAAAAGGAGAGGAGAGGAGAGUGAAAUUUUUUUCUAAUGUUUGGUUUGUCACAUAAUUAUACAAAGAAAAGAAAUCUCUAAUUUUUUAUUUAGACAAUUUUAACCUUAAUAAGUAUUAAGCUUUCAAUAUUUAUCAUGUGUAUAAUUUAAAAAAAGUAAAUGGUAGAAAGCGGUUUCUGAUUCCGGCCACAUCGCCGGCAAUGGAAGGUACUUAUCAGAACAUCAAGAGCCGACCAUCAUUCCCUAGCCAUCACUGCUGUCGGAACACUGCCAGAAAGCUGCCGAUUGAACCGCAAAAAGUCGUGGAAAUCGCUGCCUCAAAUCGGUGAGUUUCGCCUUUUUCUGGUCACGCCGUCACCUUGGCUUUGUCCAUCAAGGCUGCCACUUCCAUUUUCAACCAUCCAUAGCCACUAUUAACGGCCAAAUCGCCGCCGAUCAGCGGGAUAUGUGGAAGUUAAAAAGUUUCUAAAUUUUUUUUAACUGGAUUUGAACAACAUACGACCAUUUUUUGAUCUCGAUAACGACGUAGUAAUGUUGAUCAUUGGUCGGCAAGUCGAAUGGUAGUGGCGGUGAGUAACACGCGCCAAUGACAUCGGCGGCGGCACUAUCCGGCGACUGUUAAAAUUAAUAUUUUAUAUUUUUAGAUUAAAUAAAUUUAUUUUAUUAAACUUUUUAAAUCAUUAUUUAAAUUUAAUUAAUUUAAAAUUAUCUAUAAUGUUGAAUUGAUAAAAUAAAUUUAUAAAUAAUAAUUAUGUGAUUACAUUAAAUAAGUUAAAAAGUUGAAAGGUUAUUUUUGGAAGAUUUAGUUUCCAACACAAAGGGAAUUUGAAUUCUUCACUUCUUAGUGUGGAAUUCAAAUUCUAUAUUGUAAUGGAUAUUAAAUUCCAAUAGAAAUUAAAUUCUUAUAAGUUAUGUCAAACCAAACAACGGAAAUAAAAAAGGAAUUUAAAUUACUUUCCUUUCCUCCACCCUCUCCUUCCAACCAAAUACAUCCUGAAAAUAGAGAUAUUGAUUAAUUUAGAAGAGAUGCAAGCAAAAGAUAUUCCAAAAAAAAAAAGCAAUAUGUCCCUUUGGAGGGCAAACUUGUCAGUUUUAAAAAAGUACAUGCUUUGGAUUGAUAGUUGUAGGAUAUUUGUUUUGUCACUAUGUAUUAGUUGGAGAAGUCAAGCCUUGUGAAGAAUGUUAUGAAAGAGCAAAUGUUAGAGUACAAUUUAUGCACUAGUUUUGCAUUGUUUACUUCCAUUAAUAUCGAUGUUUUGCACUUAAUAAUAGUGAUUUACUUGUGUUUUACUUUUGUAGGUGCAAUUCUAUUGAUUGGUGAUAAAAUUGAGCUAUAAGAUGAUGUUUAAGGAUGAUUGUUCUCUUGGAGAAAUUUAGAACGUCAGAAGAACUUUGUUGAUAAGGCAUGGGCGCGUGCUGUCAACUGCGGACCUGCAGUUUUUAGUUUAACGUGUUUUGUAUUUUUGGUUAUUUUUGUAAUUACGAAUUUAAUAUUUCAGAUAUUAGUAUUUUAUUUUAAAUAGAAUUCUAAAAGAGAGGAGAGAGAGAGUAUUUAAGGGAGGAAUCUAUUGUGAAAAAUGGGGAUUUUGGAUUGGAGAAAGAAAGAAACCCUAGAUCUAAUUUUUCUCUUCUCUCUAUGAAGAACUAAACUUAUUUUUCUGGUUGAAGGUUAAUGAAGCUUUGAUUCAUCACUACUGUGAGAUCUUUCUUGUGCUUUAAUUGUUUUAUUGCUUUUUGGGUAUUUGUUUAUUCUCUGAAUUAUUUUCAUGAUUAUGUUUGUUAAUUAGAUAAUUGGCCACUAUUUAAUUAUCAACUUAAUCUAUUGUCAAUUAAAGGAUUCAUCGUAUGAAGAAUUUAAUGUUUGUGACAAAUAACAUAGCAGAGAGUUGUGUUGUGAGAAUAAACAAUCUAAUUUAAAUGAAUCAUCAUAUGUGUUGAUUAGGAUUUGGGUCUCUCUGGUUUUUCAGGCUGACAUUGAUUAAAUCCUAUGAUCGUAUCUAGGGUUGUCUAUUGAUUAGGGAAAUAACCAACGGUCGUACCUUGGUUAUCGACUAGUUAAGGAGAGAUUGGCUAUUAGAGGUUCUCAAUAGUUAUAACCGAUCUAUUCAUAAGUAAUAAUAAUCUAUAUUUGAAUCAAUGAUCAGUAGUCGAAUCAAGCUGAGUUAAUUCCUUCAACCAGAGCUUUCUCCAAUUUGAAUUACAACUUUAAUUUGCAUUCUUGUUAUUUUGAUUUGAUUUUUAUUAUUGUCAACAAUUCCCUCAUUUUACGUUUUACGUUUCAAAAGGAUUUAAAUAAUUACCGAUCUCUGUGGACACGACCCUGCUCAAUCACUAUACACAAUUUAUUUAGAGUAUGAAUUUAUUUUUAUUGGCUUCGACACCCAUCAGCAAAGGAUAUUCCUGAUAGCUGAUAGAGCUCUAUUUGAUUAUGUAUCCAAUGAAUGGAUGUGUUGUUGGAAGAUAUCUGAGUGCAUUAGUUCAUAUGUGUCUGUCAAUGUGCUUUUAAUGAUUUUUCCACUUGUUUGUUGUAAAAGAUUAUUGUAAAUUGAAAUGAGCUUGAUGUUGUAAUAUUUUUUCCUUAGUGGAAUUUCACCUAGUAUGUAUUCAGUUGUGUUCUCUAUAAUUUUGCAUUCGAAUAAGUUUCACCUAAAAUAUUAGCAUGAGUAGUGGCCUUUGAAACUUUGGUCAAAAUUAUUGUUAUUAUUUCCGACUAGAUGUAAAUUUUUUAUUAAAUCUCGUUAACACAAUUCUUAAUUAAAAGUAUAGGUUAGUGUUGGUGCAAGAUUUGCCACACCAAAUUCUGCCUAGCUGUCAAAAGUGCAAAAUAAAUGAAGAGAAAGCACAAAUACACGACUUGAAUAAGGAUACAACGAAACUUAAUUUCAAGAGAAAAUGAUAGCUAUAUCUCAAGAUUUGAAAAAAUGGUCAUGUAGAUUUUUAAGAUUUCAAUAAGCGACUGAGAUUCAAAUAAUAUCCUUUAAUUCUAUUAACAAAAAACAAAGACUCAAAUAUUUUAUGAUAAAGAAAAAUAUAAUAUUAAAAUAUAUGUGAUAAUAUACACAUUUUAAAUACUUUUAAUCCAAAAAAAUAGUUAUGUUUUACAAUCUAUUAGACAUAUUUUAUUAAAUUAAUAUAAAUUUUCUAUAAAAUAAUAAUAUAAUAUUAAAAUAAAUUCACAAAAAUUUAAAGAAUUUUGAAUGUAAAAUAAUUUUAAUAUAUUAAUACGUGAGUUUUUUAUUAAUAUAAAAAUUAUUUAACUUUAAGAUUUUUUAAAAUCUUUACAAUAAGUAUAACUAUAUUAUUUACAUUUAAAAAUAUUUAAAUAUUAUUAACCUACAAUUAUAUUUGCAUUUGUUAGAAAUUUUUUAAGUCAAAUAUUUUGCACUUCUAUAUUAUUAGAAUUAUUGCACACAAAGAAAGAAACAUAUACCUUUAGAAAUUGUUUUCUUUUAAAAUAGAGAUGAUGAUUAGUAUAAGGAUGAAAAAAAGGAUAUUAACGAAAUCUCUAUACAAAUUGAUUUUAGUAGGAAAAAAAUGAGUUAAAUGAUUUAGAGUGCGUUUGGAAUUGAGAUUGGGCAGUCAUAGAUUUUAAGUUACAACACUGAAGUGUUUGGUAAAUACUAGCUACUGCAGAUUGAAAGUUAUGUUGAUAUGAUUUUUCACAUGUAUCAUAGAAAAUAUAUUACAUCUUUAAUAAUUUUUUUAAAAUUUAUAUUUGCUAUAUAUUAUUAUUAUUUUUUUUUAUAGUUAUAACUUUUUUUCCAUAGCAGCUGUAGCUUAAAAGCCACAGCACCUCAAUCUCAAACAAGUCCUUAGACAUUCAUAGUGUGUUUAUUUUUUGGAUUGGUGAAUCAAAAUUAUUGACAACGCUAACUUCAUCUUCACCGUUCGCAAUCCAACAGCAGCAAUUGUCACCAAUAAUGAUAUCUCCAAUGAUGAUGACAAUUAUUAUUAUUAUUAUUAUUAAUUAAUUAAUUAAUUAAUUAAUUAAUUAAUAUAUUAAUGUUAAUAUUAUUAUUGUUAAGAUUAACAAUAAUUAUUAGUAAUACAAUUUUUUGAAUAAAAAUAAUCACAAUAAUUAAAAUACAAAUUAAUAAUUAUGACAAUAGUUAAUUAAUUUCUUUUUAGUAAUUUGUAACAAUCUAACUCAUUUUAAUUCUGAUUAUUACAGCUUAAGUAAACAAAUUAUUAUGAUUCCUAUUCUCCUUUCCCAUUUUAGCUCACUUCGAUUCCAGUCUAUUCCGAUUUCUAUCUAAUAAAUGCACCAUUAGUGCUAAAGUAAUAUUUCAUACAUAGAAAAGUAAAAACUACACCUAAGGUUAAGGGAAAGGACUUCAAAACUCUCUUUUGAUCAUAAUACAUUUUGUCCUAAUUAACUUAAAGAUUUUGAAUCUAAUAUUUUAUAAUAAAUAAAAAUAUAUUCCUAAAAUAAAUAUAAUAUCAAUAUUUAAAAUAUGUUUUAAUAUUUUACAAUCUAUCAUACACAUUUUAUUAUAUUAAAGUAGAUUUAUAAUAAAUAUAUAAAAAAUUUAGAAUAUUUAGAAUAUUAUAUAAAAUAAUUUUAAUAUAAUGCGUGAGAUAUAUUUUAUUAAUUUAAAAUGUCAUUUUACCUAAAAAAUAUGAUAAAUUAAUAAUUACAUAUUUGAAGUUAUUUCAAAUAUUAAAAAAAUUUAAUAUUAUUAAUCUUUUAGAUAGAUUAAAUUAUUUUUCAUAAGAGAGAUUAAUCUUUUACUAAAAUUUCUCUUCCACAGCCCACCGCAGCUUCAGUUAAUCAAACUCCAUCAAUUUUCUUUCUUAACAAAAUUCUAAAGAUGUGUAGCAUUUUUCAGAUCACAUGCGAUGGUGCUUUUUUCAAUCGUUGCUUGGAUUGCUUUCUUGGAAAAGCAGCAUACAUACGUAACCUCCAAGAUAAUCUUGAUGCCUUGGAGACUGAAUUGGGAAAUCUGAUCGCUAGAAAGAACGAUGUGAUGAGGAGGGUUGUCGAUGCUGAACGGCAACAAAUGAGAAGGCUGGACGGAGUGCAAGUGUGGGCUUCGAGGGUGGAUUCUGUUAAAACUGAAGCUGAUCAAUUUAUAAGAGACGGCUCUCGAGAAAUUGAAAAAUUAUGUGUUGGAGGCUACUGUUCCAAGAAUUGCAUGUCAAGCUACAAGUUCGGGAAAAAAGUGGCUAAAAAGCUACGGGAUGUGCGGUCUUUAAUCAGUGAAGGAGUUUUUGAAGUGGUGGCUGACAGAGCUCCAGAGUCUGUAGCAGAUGAAAGACCUACUGAGCGAACAGUAGUAGGCUUGCAAUCACAACUUGAACAAGUCUGGAGAUGUCUUGUAGAAGAAUCAGCGGGAAUCAUUGGCCUAUAUGGUAUGGGCGGUGUUGGUAAAACUACACUACUGACCCAUAUCAACAAUAAAUUUCUCGAGAGUCCAACCAACUUUGAUUGUGUGAUUUGGGUUGUAGUUUCAAAAGACCUGCGACUCGAAAAAAUUCAAGAAGAUAUUGGGAAAAAGAUAGGUUUGGUUGGUGAUUCAUGGAAGAGUAAAAGUGUAGAGGAGAAAGCUGUCGACAUCUUCCGGAGUUUAAGAGAGAAGAGAUUUGUAUUGUUGUUAGAUGAUAUAUGGGAGCGGGUUGAUUUAACAAAGGUGGGCAUUCCACUUCCCGGACCAAAAAAUACUACCUCAAAAGUCGUAUUCACAACCCGUUUCAUCGAUGUUUGUGGUAGCAUGGAAGUUGACAGGAAGUUUCAAGUAGCAUGCUUAUCAGAAAAGGAUGCUUGGGAACUGUUUCGAGAAAAAGUUGGGGAAGAAACUCUUCAGAGUCAUCAUGAUAUCGAUGAGCUAGCCCAAAUUGUGGUCAAAGAGUGUGGUGGUUUGCCACUCGCACUUAUUACUAUUGGUCGAGCUAUGGCCUACAGAAAGAAAGCGGAGCAGUGGAGACGUGCAAUUGAAGAGUUAAGGAGAUCAGCUUCAGAGUUUGCAGGUUUGGGAAAAGAGGUGUAUCCUCUUUUAAAAUUCAGCUAUGAUAGUUUGCAGAAUGAUACGGUUAGAUCUUGUUUCUUGUACUGUUGUUUAUAUCCUGAAGAUUAUGGCAUUCUUAAAUGGGACUUGAUUGAUUGUUGGUUUGGCGAGGGAUUUUUUGGGGAAUCUGACAGGUCUGGUGCAGAAAACCAAGGAUAUGACAUUUUGGAAACUCUUGUUCGUGCAUGUUUAUUAGAAGAGGUGGAAGAUGAUGAAGUAAAAAUGCAUGACGUUAUUCGUGAUAUGGCUAUAUGGAUAACUUGUGAAAUUGAGAAGGAGAAGAGAAACUUUUUGGUUCGUGCAGGUGCUGGAUUAAAAGAGGCACCGGGUGUUAAAGGAUGGGAAAAUGUGAGAAGAUUGUCAUUGAUGCAAAACCAAAUUGAAACUCUGGCAGAGGUUCCCACAUGCCCUCAUCUCCUCACUUUAUUUUUUGACUUUAAUAAGGAGUUAAAGAUGAUCGCGGAUGGCUUCUUCCAAUUUACGCCUUCUCUCAAAGUUUUGAAGAUGUCAAACUGUUUGAAUUUGAAAUUACCUAUUGGGAUGUCAGAGUUGGGUUCAUCACUAGAACUUCUCGAUAUUUCAUAUACCGGCAUAAGAGAGUAACCGGAAGAGUUAAAGUUGUUGGUAAAUCUGAAAUGUUUGAAUUUGAGGUGGACAAUUUGGUUAAAUAAAAUUCCACGGCAACUAAUAUCAAAUUAUUCAAGGUUACGUGUGUUGAGAAUGUUCGCUACUGGCUUGGGCAUUUUUCAUGAAGCACCAGAAGACAGCGUUUUAUUUGGUGGGGGUGAAGUUUUAGUACAGGAAUUGCUCGGUUUGAAAUAUUUAGAGGUAUUGGAGUUGACCUUGGGAAGUUAUCAUGCUCUCCAAAUUCUUUUGAGCUCAAAUAAGUUAAAAAGUUGUAUUCGAUCUCUUUACCUCGAGUUGACCGGAGAUACAGCGUCAAUUAUUGAUGCUACGGCUUUCGCAGAUCUAAACCACCUCAAUGAAUUAUAUAUUUUUAAAGGUAUUGAGUUGGAAGAAUUGAAGAUUGAUUAUACGGAGAUAGUACGAAAAAGGCGGGAACCUUUUGUUUUCCGCAGCCUUCACUGUGUUAUUAUGGUUUCGUGCCGUAAAUUGAAAGAUGUGACAUUCCUCGUUUUUGCUCCAAACCUCAAGUCUCUUUUGGUAGACGGUUGCGAUGCUAUGGAAGAAAUAAUCAGCGUCGGAAAAUUUGCUGAGACUCCUGAGAUGAUGGGACAUAUAAGCCCUUUUGAAAAUCUCCAAAUGCUUGAUUUAACGGCAUUGCCGGAGUUGAAGAGCAUCUACUGGAAGCCAUUGCCUUUCACUCAUCUGAAAGAAAUGGAGGUACUUAGGUGCGAUCGGCUUGAAAAGCUUCCACUCGAUUCCAACAGUUCAAAGGAGCGUAAAUUUGUUAUUUGUGGAUACACAAAGUGGUGGAACCGACUUCAAUGGGAGGAUGAAGCCACUCAAAUUGCUUUUCGUUCCUGUUUCCAACCAAUGGGAGUACUGAGCGGUGGUCGCAAAAUUUGAUUUCUGGUGAGUGCGUUUUUGUUAACGCUUAUGUUUUUAUUCCAGUGUGUUUUUCUUCUGUCUUCUGCAAAUCAAUGCUUUAUAAAUUUUCCUUUUCCCUUUUUUUUUGGGGGGGGGGGGGGGGGCGUGGGUCGAAUUGAUGCUCUGGUUUUUUACUUUUUGUUGUCAAAUUUGGCCUUUUUUUUUUUUUUUUUUUUUUACAAGUUGAUACUUUAUUUAUAUCUUCUUAGCGAUUUAAUUUCCUGUCAAAAGACGAGCGAGAAGAACAUAUGACUUAAAGCAAUUGAUACUUUAUUUAUGUGCAUUGUAUGUAAUAAAUAUUAAGUAUACUUUAUUUUGCCCUGUUCUCUGUUUUUAUUUCAGUCUCUCUCUCGCUCUCUCUCUUUCCUGUCUUCUGCAAGUCAUAAUUAAAUGUUGAAUUAUAUGGAAUUAAUGCUUUAUAAAUCUGCCUGCGCUGGCUUUUUUUUUUUUUUUUGUGGGGUCGAAUUGAUGCUCUGGUUUUCGACUACUUUUUGUUGUCAAAAUUUUCUCUGUUUUUUCAAAUUUAUAUCUUAUUCGUGAAAAGUGAUUUAAUUUCCUGCCAAAAGACGAACGAGAAGAACAUUAGAGUCAAACUAAUGCUCACAUAAAUUUCCCGUAAGAAUAUAUAAUUAGACUGGAAUGCACACCUCUAGAUUGAACAGAAUUAAAGCUGAGAAAAUAUUGAGUAUAGUAGCCCUCUUUACAGAAAAUGACGCGAAAGUUAAUUUAGAAAGAUAUAUUCUCGAUUAAUCCAUUUUCUGAAUUUUUUUUUUAUUUUGUAUGGUCAAUUUUUUUUUUAAAUUACAACCUCAUAGUCAUGCUAUUCAUUCACUCACAGACCAAAGGCUUUCCGCAGCAAUAUUAUUAUUUAAAUUACAACAAAGGGGGAAUCAAAUACGUCAUACAGAAGCUUAAAGCUGAAUCUACAAGAUCUAGAGCUCUCAAGAUGAAGCUUGUUCAAUAUCUCAUCCAAAGCUUGUAAAGUAACCUUGUAACGAUCUUGAGAUUGCCUGCCUUCCUCGACGACCUGCACGAUGCGUUUGUACAAAUCAUCAUACUUGUGCACUGGAUUUUUAAUAUCAACGCCACUGCAGCUGUGAUCAAGAACAUGAGAGCGUUUAACAUCUUUUCUCCAUCAAGAAAGAACGUAGUGAGAUGGGAUCUCCUGCAUGCCACUCUGGUUUAGAACACAAAGAAUGUGUCUGCAUAAAUAUCCUCUGAAAUUGAACAACCCACAAACACAAAGCAUCUCCAAGUCAGAGGCAUUGUACAAAACAUCGAAAGCCCUUGAAUCUUUCUCGUUGCUACCAACCUCAAAUUCUUCCUUCACUAUGUAUGUUAUAGGUCCAUCAGCACUGACAUGUUUUGUGCUAUAGCAAAGAGUACAUAGCCUCCACCUCCAUCUGAAACUUCCUUAACAUUUCAUUUGUGUACAGUUUUGAGAGUUGAAAUUCAUAGUAACAUAUUGGUUUCUGGAUACAACUUGAAUUUCUUGAAUCCAUAUCUGCCAAGGCUUGCAGUUGAUAAUUGGCCCGCAGUGCUUGAUCAUACUUGUCUAAGAAUUCUUUCAAAGGAGUAUUCUUAUCAAGAUAUCCUUCAAAGUAUGAAGUAGAAACCUCAUUCUGCAGUAACGAAAACACUCCUGAUAAAAAAGCUUCCUUCAAAUAAAUAGGAGCCCACCUUUUACGAUCUUCAUAUAAAGUUUGAAUCCAUCCGUGAUCCUUUAUUCCAUGACGUUGAAUCAUGUCUUCCCAAGCUGCUUCAAAUUUCUCAGGCCUGAGAGAGUGAUAAAUUGCUCUAUGUAAUGCAGCUUUAAUAGCUUCAUAUUCAAACAAUCCUUGGAGUUUCUCUGGAAUUUUUUGCAUGACGCUUUCCUUCAAUGAUAAGACAAUGAACAUAAACGAGACACAAAAAAAAUUAUUUUAAACUGACAGCCCAUGAUAUAAAUCAAACAAAAUCAACUCCUUUUUUUACACAUCACAUCUCAUAUUCAUUUGCAUUGAAGCACAAAAAGGAAGCAGGAGUGGGAAAAAAAAAACAACAGCAGAGGAACUUAUUUCCAUAAGGUUUAGGAAAUAAGGAAUUUAUUAAGACACAAAAUUUGAGGUUACCAAUAAGAAUUUGGUUCUCAUUAUUUUUUUCUUCAUUUUUCACCAAUUGAUGAACUUAAAAUACAAUCAUCAAUGAUAAAACCCCAUCUCCAUCUUUUUGAACUAGAGCUAAAGCAAAGCAUUUUAAGAUGUUUCAUCAUUUUUUUUAAUAAAAAAAAACCUCAAUAGUACAAUGUUUUUCAAUGUUAAAUGCACAACUCAAUCCUCUCCUAAUUUACUCUAAUAAUCUCUUAAUUAAGGAAGAUUAAGCUUCAGUUGUAAGCUAAAACAAAUUUCUUAAAUCAAGCCCCAAUGCUUUAUGCUAUUCAACAAGGGCUCAUAAAUGAUAAAACUACUUCUACAAAGAUACCCAUUUUCUAAAUUAAUUUCAAAAACUGAAAUCAAACUCCUGAAACGUAACGAGCAUUAAUAUAAUCAAACCCGAACAGGAAUUGAAAAAUGACACAUAAACUCGUUUACACAUUUCGACAGACACUUUGCAAUCAAUGAGCAAAAAAUUAAUGGAGAAGAUAAAAUUCAAACGAAACAUGCCUUACAUUGAUAAAUUAGAAGGGCAAAAGAAAUUUUAGUACGAUAUGGGAUCAGGGUCUUGCCACGGUGAUGUUAUUUGUGAUGUUCGAGCGACUCAGCAGCCUUCGAGGUUGAAAAUUUGAUUGACCGAAAGCUUCCCGUUCGUUGAUUCUCUAAUAGCAGAAACGAGACUGGCAGUAUACACAAGAAGUUCGCUGAUUUUAAAUUCCGUUGUUUGAGAUGGAAAUUUUUUUGAAAAAAUUAAUGUGUUCGAUGAAUAUCAAAAUCUCAAAAACUUUUUGUUUCUCAUAGCACCCAUGCAUGAUGUGUUGUUUCUCUAAAAGUUUGAGACACAAAUGUUAUUUCAAAUUGAAACGCCAUGCACUAGUAGUAGACUAGUAGGUAGGAGAAACCAAGGUUGAAGUUACUGUUCAUUUAUUUUUAUUUAUGAUUUUUUGUAAAAUGUAAGAAAUAUGUAGAAAUGUUGCCAGCAAUGAUUUUGGAACUUUGCAUAAAAUUUUUAUCAUUAUUGUUUUUGGUAUUAAGAAAUCCGAGGCGGUGAUUAGACGUAUGUUGCAACAAUUAAGAAAUUUCUUAUUGGAGAUAAUUUGGUAGGUUGCAACAAUUAGAGAAUCAUUUUCCUGUCAGUUAAUCAAUCAAUAAUAAAUUUCAAAUUGCAGAAAAUAAAAUAAUACUGUCACACUUAGAAUCAUCUUUUCUAUCUCUUUCAAUUGUGGCAAUCAUUUGUAACAAAUAAAUCAAUUUGAUGCACAUCAUUUCCCCAAUUCAAAGUUCAAGUCACUGCUCAAUUGCAGAGUAGUUAGUAGACAUGCAUGCAUGUUUAAUUAAGUACUGCAUUGUAGUAUCGAAAAUCAUAAUAUCUCACCAAGCCCGGAAGCAUAGCUCUUUAUCUUGUAAACGUUGAAAUCUUAUGCAAACUAUGGGAAACAUGAUCUCACUCUCAGUGUCACUUGAUUCCAUUUUCUGUUCUUGCCUUGAUUUCGAUGUUGGGAAUGUGACGUCUGAGUCCAAGGUUGAAGAUAAUCUCGAUGCCUUGCGGACUGCAAUGGAAAAAUAAGCGGAAACGAGAAAUGAUGUGAUAAGAAGAGUUACUGUUGCUGAAGGACAACAUCAAAUGCAACGAAUGGAUCGAGUGCAGGGCUGGCUUUCAAGGGUAAAAGCUGUGGAAAAUAAAGCUGAUGAUUUGAUGAGACACAGCUCUCAAGAGAUUGAGAAGUUAUGCCUUGGAGGCUUCUGUUCCAAGAACUGCAAAUGAAGCCACAGCCGUGGGAUAGAAGCUGCUACAAUGCUACGAGUUGUGGAGACUUUAAUGGGUGAAGGAUCAUUUGAAUUGGUGGCUGAGAGGGUGCCAGAAGAUGCAGCAGACUGAGCAGAGGAGAUAAAUUGUGAGUCAACAAUAAUGGGCAUGGUGUCGACUUUUGAGAAAGCCUGGAGAUGCCUUGAAGAAGAAUCAGUUGGAAUUAUUGGCCUAUAUGUCAAUGGGAGAGUUGGAAAUAUUUACUCAAAUCAACAACAAGUUCCUUGAUAGUCCAAAUAAUUUUGAUGUUGCAAUCUGGGUAGUGGUCUGCCAAGAUUUGCAACCCCAGAAGUUUCGGGAAAAGAUUGGGAAAAAGAAAGGCUUGUUCGAUGAGUCAUGGAAGAACUGAAGUUUUGAAGAGAAAGCACUCGAUAUAUUCAAGAAUUUAAGCAAGAUGAAGUUUGUAUUACUGCUGGAUGAUAUAUGGGAGCAGGUUGAUUUAAUUAAAAUUGGUGUCCCUCUUCCAAGCACAAAAAUUACAUUCAAGAUAGUCUUCACAACUCCUUCUAUUACAUUUGUGGCCUCAUGGAAGCUCACAACAAGAUUAAAGUGAAGUGUUUAAAUGACGAAGAAGCAUGGGAAUUAUUCUGCAAGAAGGUUGGAGAAGAUGUGGCGACUCUGUACAAGUGCUAAGGAGCUCAGCCUCAGAAUUUCUAGGUAUGUAAAAACAAGUAUAUCCUCUUUUGAAAUUCAGUUAUGAUAAUUUACCUAGCGAUAAAAUUAGAUCGAGUCUGUUAUACUGUAGUUUGUUCCCAGAAGACUUUCCAAUUAGCAAAAUGGAAUUGAUACUGAGAUACGAAAUCAAGGAUACUACAUUAUUGGUGUUCUUGUUCCUUUAUGUUUAUUGGAAGAAGAGGCUCCACUGUUUGUAAAAGUGCAUGAGGUGAUACGCGAUAUGCUUCUGUGGAUAGCAUGUGAAAUUUUAUUUUUAUUUUUUUAUAGGGAUAUCAUGUGAAGUUGAGAAGGAGAGAGAGAAUUUUUUGGUUCGUGCAGGUGCAAGGAUUAACUGAAGUACUAGACAUUUGGAAAUGGGAAGGGUUGAGAAGGGUGUCUUUGAUGAUCAACAAAACUGAGAAGGUAUCAGAAAUUCCUUCAUCUCACGAUCCACUAACUUUGUUGCUUCAACAUAAUUAUUUAGAGGUGAUCAAUAAUGACUUCUUCCAAUCUAUGCAUUCCCUUAGAGUUUUGAACUUAUCAUGUAAUCAUUCUCUAACUGAUCAUUUCAAAGUUAGUUUCCCUACAUACGAGAGUUGCCGAAUGAGUUAACGUUCGUAGUGAAUCUUAAGUUUUUGAAUGUGGAGUCUGCACGGUUUCUUCAUUCAAUUCCAGGGCAAGUGAUAUCCAGUUUUACGAUGUUACAAGUUUUGAAGAUGUUUGGUUGUGGCAGGUCAUCUUCUGAUCGUGAGCCACACCAGAAGAUAGCGUUUUAUUUGGAGGCAGUGAACUUUUGAUUGCGGAGUUGUUUGGUUUGAGAGACAUUUAGAUGUGUUGACCAUCAUCCUAAGAAGCUCCCAUGCUCUGAAAAGAUUUUUGAGCUCCAACAAACUUCAAAGUUGUACUCAAUCUCUCUAUCCUAAAUGCUUUGAUUCGAAGUCAGUUGAUGUUUUUUGCCUGGCUGAUCUGAAGCAUCUCAAUAGGCUAUAGAUAUUGCGAGUUGUAAGCUUUUGGAAGAAGUGAAGAUUGACUUUGUUGGGAAAGCACAAAUGAACUCAUGGUUUUCACAGCCUUAUGUCACGGAAGUUGUGUAAACACUGCACGGGUUGCUGCGCAAAGUAACCAUCCUAUGACAUUGAGCCAUGUUGAAAUAUCAUUUUGCUGUAAACUGAGGGAUUUGACAUAGCUUGCUUUUGCUCCAGACCUUCUUGUUGUUUCCAGAAAGCAUUGCCAUGAUAUAGAGGAAAUACUCGGUGUUGGAAAAUUAGGUAAAGAGAUGAUGUCAAACCUGGAACCCCCUAUAAAACUCCUAAGGUUAUGUCUGGCAUGUAGGAUUGGAUUGAACUAAAUUAUUAGGACUGGAUUAAAUUGGGUUAUAUUUAUAUUCUUAUGUUUGGUACAGUACUGGAUUGAACUAUAUUAGAUUAUAUUUAAAUAAUAUUAAAUAGUAUUUAAGUUGGUAUUUUAAUAUAAAUAUCAAUUAUCCAUGAAAUUUUAUAAUCAUAAUUAAAAUAAAUUUAAAAAGCAAUUACUAGAAAAAUUAAAUAUAUUACAAAAAGUUAUUGGGUAGUCAUAAUAUAAUAAGCAAAUAAAAUUAAAUAAAACAAAUUAAAUAUUUAAUUAAUUUUUAUCAAAUAUUUAAAAAUAUUAUAUAAAAUCAAUUAAUUAAUGGUUUUAUUAAUUUUCAUGAUUAUUUUUAAUAUUACAUUAGUAAUUAUUAAAUUUAAUACAAUCAAAUAAUGCAAUAAAUAAUUAAACGUUUAAUUUUAUCGAUUAAUUAUUAAAUAUACAAGUAAUGAAAAUUUAAUCUCAGGAGUUGGCAGAAGCAAAAGUACUAAUUUAAUUAGAUCAUAGAUAAUAAAUAAAAAUUAAUUUUAAGUAAAUCAUAAUAAAAAAAUUAAUUAAUUGAUUCAAUCAAUCAAUAUUAGGUGUAAAUAAAAAAAGAGUAAUGAUAUAGCCACAAAUUCUUGUACAAACUUAUUUUGUACAAACUCAUGUGUCAUGAUAAGAUUAGUUGAAUUAAAUAUCACUUGGCCCACAUGAUUUGUUUUUAUUAUUUUAUAUUUUUAUUCAACCAAUGAAUUAACGCCACGUCAGUUUGUACAAGAGUUUGUGGUUGUAUCAUCACUCAUAAAAAAAAAGAUACAAAUAAAAAUCUCAUAAAUGGACAACUUUUAUCUUUAAUCUUAUCCCAACUAAACACAUGUGUGAAUUAAGAUUAUUAAUCCCAUGAUUUUAGGAUUAAAUUCAAAUUAAUUCCCCCUUAAUCCAAUCCAACUAAACUUGUCAAACAUGGGAUAAAAGUUUAAUUCUAAAAUUAGUCCAAUUCCAUACUUAAUCCUAGCAUCCACAUAUAGCCCAAGUUGUUUGCUUAAAGAAGCUACCAAAUUUGAAGAGCGUUUACGGGAAGGCCUUGCGUUUCCCAGAUGUAUGCAGAAUUUUUGUAUCCAAAUGCCCAGAACUUAAGAAGCUGACGCUGGAUUUUGAAAGGGCGGGCCAAGGUAAAAUUCUUAUCAAGUGAAAGGAAAAUCGGUGGAAACAACUUCAAUGGAAGGAUCAAGCAACUCAGGAUGCAUUGCUUCUGUUUUUCAAAUCAACUGACAAGUGAUUGAAGGGGGCAUCAUCAGCCUGGAUGGGGAGAUCCUGGAGCAGAUCAGCAGGGUUUGAAUCUGCAUCAUCAACAUCAUCAGGAUCUCUAUUUCUAUUGCUGGUCGUAAUGCCUGCCUACUGUUACUUGAAAAAGUGAUUAAGUGAGCCAGUUUUUUGUUUAUUAAAUUUUGUCUUGUAGAGACAGUCACAAAGUAUUUUUCUUAGUUGUUCUAUAUGAGAGUGAUGUGAAUCAAUUUUUCAAUUAUAUAUUCUGUGGGAAAUUGCAAGUAUUUUUAAAAUAUGAUCGUUAUUAAAGGAAACAAAGGAAUCAACACAGCAUACUGAACCUCAGCAGUAUGAAGCUAAUGAUUAAACUCCUCACACAAUUCAUAACAUGCAAAACCAUUCACAAAAUCAUCCCCAGCAACCAUAAUUGGCGUCCAAUAGAAAUUUACAAGAAUUACUUUUCUGUUCAUGCAAUCGGCGUCCGAAUGCGGCUGAUCGGUCACCGGUGUUGGCGUUUACUGUGAUUAGACAAAUUGUAGGAAUUCAAAAAUAACUUCUAUAGGGGUAAUUUCGAUUUCACAUAAUUAAUUUUAUUUACAAUAUUUUAUUCCUGCUAGAUCAAUUGAGAUUCUUUCCACCGGGCACACCCUUCAUGUUCUUUUAUUUUCUGUCUUUUAUUAGCCGUAGGAUUUUACUACUCUUAUAUCCAACGGCUUGCCACAACAAGACAAAUGAGGUGGUACCUUCCAACCGCUGAAAGGUCGUUUUGGCCCCAGGUGAAAGAGGGAAAUAGGGAAUUGAUGCUAUAUUUUAUAUUUUCUAUUUUACUACUCUUGUAUCCACCGGCCUUUCUUAUAUUUUAUUGCAAAUUGAUGCUAACAAGAAAAAGCUACAUCAUAUUCCACAAAAAACAAAAGUGACAAAACAACCAGUUGGAUUCUUUUAUUAAACUACAAAUUAAAUGGACUUUUUUUUAAUAAACUAUAUAUGAAAGUAGAAUCUUUUGAAUAUAAGUGGGGUAGACUUCCUUUCCAAAACAAAAAAUGCGGGGUAGGCUCUUUUAUUAAAGACAAGUCACAAGACGAUUAGAGUCUUUUAUUAAACUGCAAAUUGUAUAGUCUUUUUCAAAUUGUACAGACAUUUAUAAAUUGGUGGCCCCUUGGAAAUUUAAUGCCAAGCAGAGAAAAGUCAUCAUGCACAAUCCUCAAUAAUUGUUUCGAUAUUUAUAAAUUGGUGGCCCCAACGAAUAAUUGGGAUCGGUUAUGGUGCAAUUAUAGAACCAUGGCACAGUUGCAUCCAGCCGUUAAAUGCACUUAGAUUGGUGAGGUUUAUUGGCAUCUAAUGGCUGAAUGUAACUAUAAUACGGUACUACAGUUACAACACAAGUUUCCACCAAUAAUUGUUCCGAUAAUUAUAAAUUGGUGGCCCCUUGAUAAUUUAACAGCAGCCUGCAAGUGCCAACCAGUGAAAAGUCAUCAUUCACAAUCUUCCAAGUGAAAUAGGAGAUAUACAAAAUAAUAAAAAAAAAACAUGUCAAUUCUUUUUUUUUUUAUUCAUUCCCUUUCAUGUUCUUGAUAAGGGAGGGAGGACGUGACAUGUAAUGUAACUUACACCCAAAUACAUAAAUAAUAUAAAAUGAAUGGAUAGAUGCCCGAGCAGAUCGGCAGGGUUCGAAUAUGACCUUUGGUGCUUGCUUUUUUUUUUUGUGAUUUUGUUUUUCAUUUUUUCCUUCCUGUCAUUUUAUCAUUUCUUUGGCUUUGUCUCUAUUGCGGGUGUUACUGCAUGCUUACUGUUGCUUGACAAAGUUUGCUAGCUGAAAGAAACUUAGUUCUAUAUUGUUUGGUAGGCUAGAAAAUGAAAGGAAAUAAAAGAAAAGCUUUGCAAAGAAAUCUGUUGGAUCUUUUAUUAUUCCAAACUUACAGUUUAAUGACUACUAAUUGAUAUUUAUAUUGAGCUACAAUCUCUUAACAUACACACGAGAUUGUUGCAACACAUAACCAUUUGCUGUAUAACUAACUUGACACAUCAGCUCAACCAGCUAACUAACUUUGACAGGUCAGCUUAAUGAUUUGAUCUGCUACAACCAGCUACACAACACAUCAUGCUCUGCUCCAGCUACACAGCAACAUCAUGCUCUGCUCCAGCUUCAUCUAAUUCACUAACAUCCCCCUUCAAGCUGAAAUGUUUAGGAUGAACAUUCAGCUUGCUGCGGAAGUAACUAAAUUGUUUGAAAGUAAGAGCUUUAGUCAACACAUCUGCAGUUUGAUCUUGACUAGGCACAUAACAGACUGCAACUUCUUUAGCAGUAACUUUAUCUCGGAUGAAAUGGAUAUCCAAUUCAACAUGCUUAGUUUUAGCAUGAUAGACUGGAUUAUAAGCUAAAGCAAUGGCUCCUUGAUUAUCACACCACAUCAUAGGAGUAGAGCUCAAUUUGAUGCUAAGUUCACCAAGUAAAGACUUGAUCCAGGUAACCUCUGAAGCAGCAUGAGCAAGAGAUCUAUACUCAGCCUCUGUGCUGAAUCUGGAAACAACAGCUUGCUUCUUGGACGACCAAGAGACAAGAUUAGGACCUAGAUAAACAGCAAAGCCAGCUACUGACUUCCUAUCAUCAUGAUCACAAGCCCAAUCAGAGUCUGAAAAACAAUGGAGUUGCAGAGCUCCUUGGUUGUAGAAUUGCAGCCUAAGAUGGAUAGUACCUUUUAAGUACCUCAAUAACCUUUUACAUGCUUCCCAAUGUUGAGUCCUAGGAUUGGAAAGGAACUGACUCAACUUAUUGACAUAAAAAGCAAUGUCAGGUCUGGUAAGAGUAACAUACUGAAGAGCUCCUAUAACACUUCUGUAUUGAGAAACAUUGUCAAUUGGCUCCCAUGAGUCUUUGGUGAGAUAAUAACCUGUAGACAUUGGAGUUGGCACAGGACUGCAAUCAAUCAUGCCAUGUUUGUCCAGAACAUCAGCAAUAUACUUUGCUUGUGUCAAGGAAACCCCUUUUGAAGACUUGCUGACUUCAAUCCCCAAAAAAUAGUGAAGUUCCCCUAAAUCCUUUAAAGCAAAAGUCUGAUGCAUAUUCUGAAUAGCUUGCUGAAUCAAUGAUGGACUGGAACCAGUGAUGAUAAUAUCAUCAACAUAGACUAAAACAAUAGUUAUAUGACCACUGUUCCAGGCAUAAAAAAGAGAGUUAUCAGACCUUGAAUGCUGAAAAUGCCACUGGGAGAUCAUUGCAUCCUUAAAUCUAUCAAACCAGGCUCUAGGAGCCUGUUUUAAACCAUACAAAGCCUUAUUCAGCUUGCAAACAUGAUUAAGUUUAGUUGAAUCAACAAAACCUUGAGGUUGAGCCAUGUACACAUCUUCAAUUAAAAUGCCAUUGAGGAAUGCAUUAUUAACAUCCACCUGCCUAAUAACCCAGUGGUUCAAUAUUGCUAAGCUAAGAAUAACUCUGAUAGUUGAAGAUUUAACCACUGGACUGAAGGUUUCUGUGUAGUCAACCCCAUGUGUCUAAUGAAACCCCUUAGCAACAAGCCUGGCUUUAUACCUUGAAACCGAGCCAUCUGAGUUAUACUUAAUUCGAAACACCCACUUGUUACCAACUAUCUUCACUGGAGUAGCAGGUAAAACCAAAUCCCAGGUGUGAUUAGUUUUAAGUGCUAGAUACUCUUCUUGCAUAGCUUUAUACCACAUAGGAUCAGAGAGUGCUUUGGAAACAGAAGUUGGUUCUGAUUGCUGGGCUAACAAGGCUGACAAAUAAACUUUUGGCUUAAAAAUACCUGCUUUUGAUCUGGUUACCAUUGGAUGACCAGAUGGUGCAUGUUGUGGUAAUGUAUGUGGAGGUGAGGAAUGGGAAGAUGAGAAAGGAGAAACUGAGUUGGAAUUAUCAGAAAAAUAAACUGGAGUAGAGUUUGGGAAUGAAAUAGAAGCAUUAGACUGAUGAUCAGUAGGUUGAGGUGCUGAUGAUGCUGCUAAAGGUGCUUGUAACUGAGUAACAGAAGAAGUAGAAGACUUAAAAGAAGACUCAGAGUGUGAUGUAGACUGACAGCUUAAAGAGGUUGAAGAAAACUCUACCCCAGACUCAUAAGGAAAGGAAUUUUCAUCAAAGGUGACAUAAUUGGAAAUAUACACCCUUCCAGAAGAGUGAAGACACAUAUAUCCCUUGUGUUGUGAACUGUAGCCAAUGAAUAUACAUCUAGCAGUUCUGAAAUCAAACUUAUAUCUAUUGUAUGGUCUGAGUGUUGGAUAACAAGCACAGCCGAAAGUUUUAAGUGUUGAAUAAUCUGGUUGAUAAUGAAACAACUUUUGGAAAGGAGAAAUGUUAUUUAGAACUGGAGUUGGAAGUCUGUUUAUCAAAUAGACAGCUGUGUGGAAUGCAUUCCACCAAAAUUUGAGUGGUAAAUGUGCUUGAGCUAAUAAAGUCAGACCUACAUCAACUAUGUGUCUAUGCUUCCUCUCAAUUCUUCCAUUUUGGUGAUGAAUAUGUGGGCAAGGGUGUCUAAAAUGGAUACCAGAAGUAGUGAGUAAUGAGGAAAAAGAUCUGAACUCCCCUCCCCAGUCAGUUUGGACAGUUUUGAUGGAAAGUUGAAGAUGCUUUUCAAUGAAUGUUUUGAAAUUUUUAAAAACUUCAAGAGCAUCAGAUUUUGCUGAUAAAGGGAAUAUCCAGGUAAACCUACUAUAAUCAUCUAGGAUUCACAGGUAGUAGUUAUAUCCUUGGGUAGAACAAACAUGAGAAGGACCCCACAGAUCUGCAUAUAUUAGUUGUAAAGGUUCUGAAGUUUUUGUUUCAACUGAAUCAAAAUGCAGCAUAUGAUUUUUCCCAUAUUGACAUGCAUAACAAAAUUUCAAACUUUCAACUUUAUUAAGAGCAGUAAAGUUGUUACAAGCUUUGAGUAUGGUUUUGAGAGUAUAAGGAGCUGGGUGUCCUAAUCUUCUAUGUAGAAGAUUUACAUAAGUUAAACCCUUUGCAACAACUGACAGACAUGACUUUUUAUUCAGCUCAUAAGAACUAACAGCAGAAGGCUUAUCAGAAGUAAAAACAGGAGAACAAGCAAAAAGAGACUGAAUUUUUUUUUUACCAACUGAACUGAGAAAAACUGAGUGAGCAGCAGCUUGUGAAGAGACUCUAUACAAGCCACCUUUAGCAACACCUUCAUGUAAAAUUUUCCCUGUGUUCCUGGCCUUUAUAAAACAGAAAUCACCAAGAAAUUCAACAGUAACUGGAUUGUCAGCCAAUAAUUUGGAAAUGCUAAGUAAAUUCUUAGUAAUAAAGGGAAUAUGAAGAACAUGGUUAAGAAAUAAAGAUUGAGAAUUUGAAGUGUUCAGCACAACUGAUCCUAUAUGUGUAACAGCUAAUGCAUUUCCAUCCCCAACAAAUAACUUCUCAGUACCAGUAUAAGCUUGUGAAUCUAGAAGUUUACCUAGAUCAUUAGUAAUGUGAUUUGUGGCUCCACUGUCAAUGUACCAGGAAAGAUCUUCAAUGUGUUCUGGAAGUGAAGAAGACAUAGUUGAGGAAGAUGAAGCACUUGACUGUCCAGGAUUAUUGUUUCCUUGACCAGCAACAAAAUUAGAUGAUCCAGGAGUGAAAGAGUAAUAGGCAGAAGGAUUGUUAUCUGGAUACACUAUAUUUCCUUGAUAACCAAAACCCCUGGGUGCAUGACCAAAACUAGCAUUUUGUCCAAAACCAGCAUUUGAACCAAAACUUCUUCCACUAUUACCAUUAUAGACUCUUCCUCUACCAUAUUGCCCUUGAUUAAAACCUCUGUCACCAUUCAUAUUGCCUCUACCAUGAUUCCUCUGUGGAACAUAAGAUGAGUUGUACCUAUUCCUGCAUCUAUUUGCUGCAUGACCAGGUAUGAAGCAAAUUUGACAAACAACUUCAGAGGAAUUACUACCAGUAUUAAACUGACCAUAUCCAUAUCCAUUAAAACCUCCAUAUCCAGAAUUAUUACCACCUCCAUAGUUAUUUCCAUAAUUUUUCUGAAAAUUUCCAUUAUUCUUUCUAGCAUAUGAGUUCUUCUGAGCAAUAUUUGCUGUCAUGUUAUGCAUCACAUCACCAGCAAUUUUCCCUUUCUUUUGCUCAACUCUAUUUUCAUGAUUCAACAACAAAGAAUAUAGUUCAUCUAAUGUGAUCUUUUCACCUCGAGCUAACACAGCUGUGACUAAAGACUCAUAGUCUGAUGAAUCAAGACCAGUUAAUAUAUGCAUCACAAGAUCAUUUAACUCAAUAGGUUUUCCAGCUAGAGCUAAAGUAUCAGCUAUGCGUUUUACUUUUACAAAAUAAUCAGACAUAUGCAUUGCACCUUUCUUAAUAGUUUGAAUCUGCAUUCUAAGUGUUUGAAUUCUAGCUUGUGAUUGAGAGAUAAACAUACUAGCAAGAGUCUCCCAAAGCUGUUUUGAAGUUGUAGAAUCAAUCACAGUAGCAAGCAGAUUUUGCUGUAUCGAUGACAUCAUCCAACUCAGUAAGAGUUGGUCAGUCUUCAUCCAAGCUACGAAUUCUGGAUUAAUAGAUCUGGAUCCAGAUUCAGUUAAAACUUCAGCUCCAUUGUUGUUUCCAGAAGAAAGAAACUGCUCAGGACAUUCUCGAUCGCCAUUGAUAAAUCCUUCCAAACCGUUUCCUUUGAUUGAAGUUAAAAUUUGUGUGCGCAACAGAAUGAAGUUGUUUUGAUCUAGCUUUACUGGCGUAACAAAACUGAAAGAGUUGUUGUUUUGAACUAUAUUUGCCAUUUAUGGCUCUGAUACCAUGAAAGAAACUUAGUUCUAUAUUGUUUGGUAGGCUAGAAAAUGAAAGGAAAUAAAAGAAAAGCUUUGCAAAGAAAUCUGUUAGAUCUUUUAUUAUUCCAAACUUACAGUUUAAUGACUACUAAUUGAUAUUUAUAUUGAGCUACAAUCUCUUAACAUACACACGAGAUUGUUGUAACACAACCAUUGCUGUAUAACUAACUUGACACAUCAGCUCAACCAGCUAACUAACUUUGACAGGCCAGCUUAAUGAUUUGAUCUGCUACAACCAGCUACACAGCACAUCAUGCUCUGCUCCAGCUACACAGCAACAACAUGCUCUGCUCCAGCUUCAUCUAAUUCACUAACACUAGCUUUUCCUUUUGUUUAUUAAAUUUUUUUAUGGUCACAAAGUAUUACUCGUUCUAUUUGACAAUGAUGUGAAUCAAUUUUUCAAUUUUAUAUUUUGUGGUCAACGUGAAUUCAAUUUCAUUUGUCUCCUGCAAUUAUGAAAAAAUUACAGUCAUAAUAUGGGGAAACCUGUGGUGCAACUGUGGUACCAUGUCACAGUUGCAUCCAGCCGUUGGAUGCCAAUAGAUCCCACCAAUUUAAGUGCAUCCAACAGCUGGAUAUAACUAUAGCACGGUACCACAAUUACACCGUAACUUGAUCCCAUAAUAUGGAAAAGUACACCGGCAGAAACUUUGUAAAAGCUUCGGAGUGAUACGGGGAAUUCACUUACUACUAAAGACAGUUGGUGGCAACCUAAUGUCCAUCCAUCUAUUUAGUUAUUGAAGAUUAGUGGUCCAUUUGUAAAUUUCAGAUUGUCUCUCUCUCUCUCCCUCUUGAAAUAACAAUAUUUAAUAUAUCUAUUAAAUUAUUAUAAAUUUUAAUUUACUCUCGAUUUAAAAUGGAGCAUGUCGAUAAAUUUUUUUUCUUCUUAAUAAAAUUGACGUAAGUUGUGUUUACAGUAGUUUGAAGUUUGAAAUAUUUUAAAGAUUAUUAUUCUAUAAGGGAGUAAUAUGAACUGAAAUUUACUUUUCAUGUGUGAAAUGAAAAACGACGAAGCAAGUGUCCCUGCUUUUAUUUUAUUUCAAGGAGGAGUCAUCUCACAUACUUUAGCUCUUAACAUUACAUUUUUUCUGGUUACAUUUUUAUUUUUUAUUUUUUUUAACACAUGCGUGUGGGAUGCUUUUCUGUAAGCUCCUUAAUAUAUAUUUAAGACAAAUCAUGGAAGAGAUGGGAUUAUAUCAAGAUGAUCAAAGCAUGUAAAAAAAGAAAAAAGAAAAAAAAAUUAAGAAGUAAGACACUGAAAAUGGAGAAGAGAUGGAAGCAAAAGAUAUUCCAAACAAAGCAAUCUAUCCCCUUUCGAGGGCAGACUUAUCAGGUUUAAAAAAGUACAUGCUUUGGAUUGGUAGUUACAAUCAAGGGAAAAUAAAUAGGAUCCAAUGAAAUUUAAAUCUUGGAGAAAAUAAAUAAUCAUGCAGAUUUUCAAGAUUUUAAUAAGGGAUACUAAUAUCUUAUUUUGAUUAAUAACAUUCUUUCACUGUGUUAACUCAAAAAAAAUAUUAUAAUGCUUUACAAUAAAUACAAAUGUCCUAUUAAAUGAAUAUAUAAAAAAUUUAGAAUAUUAUAUAAAAUAAUUUUAAUAUAAUGCGUGAGAUAUAUUUUAUUAAUUUAAAAUGUCAUUUUACCUAAAAAAUAUGAUAAAUUGAUAAUUACAUAUUUGAAGUUAUUUCAAAUAUUAAAAAAAUUUAAUAUUAUUAGUCUUUUAGAUAGAUUAAAUUAUUUUUUAAAGAGAUAGAUUAAAUUAUUUUAAAAUACCUUAAUUGUUUUUACUUUAAACAUUACCGGCCUUUCUUUUAUUUUAUUGCAAAUUAAUGCUAACAAGAAAAAGCUAGAUCAUAUUCCACAAAAGCAAAAGUGACAAACACAGCCAGCUGGAAUCUUUUAUAAAACUACAAAUUAAAAUGGAUUUUUUUUUUUGAUAAAUUACACAUGAAAGUGGAUUCUUUUGAAUAUAAGUGGGGUAGGCUCUUUUAUUUUAUUUUUGAAUAUUGUAUAACGGGACUGUAGACUCUUUUAUUAAACUACAAAUUGUAUAGUCUUUUUAAAAUUGUUAUAAAUUAGUGGCCCCUAAAAUCCUCAACAAUUGUACCGAUAUUCACAAGUUGGUGGCCCCUACAAUUCUGUUCAGUUAAUUUAACUGUGCAAGUGCUCAUUCACAAUCUUCCAGGUCAUGCUCUUAAUAAUUUUUUUUUUUUUUUCUGCAUUCCCUUUCAUGCUCUUAAUAAUUGAAGAGCAUACUUUUCAUUUUCAAAUGUGGAGCCGCAGCUAAUGUCGUUAAUUUAAUUUGGGAUUAAAUUAGGGGACCAUUAUAUUGCAGUGUGCACUAAUUUUUGUGUUUAUCUAAACUCCUUAAAUUUAAGACAUAUUAUGGCAUAAAUAAGAAUAUAACAAUAACAAAAGAGUUAGAAAGUGUAGAGAAGAUCUUGCAGAAAUAUAAAUAAUAUCUAUUUUAAAAUAAUUUUUAAUAUUUUAUGAUCCAUUAGAUAUAUUUUAUUAUAUUAAAGUAAAUUUUAUAAUAAAUGAAAACAUACUAUUAAAAUGAAUAUAUAGAAAAUUUAGAGUAUUUUAAAUAUUAUAUAAAAUAAUUUUAAUAAAAUAUGUGAGAUAUUCAUAUUUUAUUAAUUUAAAAUACCAUUUAACCUAAAGAUUUAUUUAUGAUAAAUUAAUAAUUAUAUUUUUGAAAUUACUUCAAAUAUUAAAAAAAUUAAUAUUACUAAUCUAUUAGAUAGAUUAAAUUAUAUAUAUUAUUUUCUAUUUAUUAAAAAAUUAAAAUUAUUUUUAAUUACUAUUCAAAAAAUAUAAUGAUAAAAAAAAAUCUUAACAUCUUUAUUAAAAAUUUAAAAUUUACAUGAUCAAUUCUCUAAAUAUUUAGGGUAUAUGUGAACAUCGGUGGAGAAGCUUUAUUUAAUAUUAUUGAUUUAAAUAAUAUGUCAAUUAAAAAUGUGCGGAGAAGAAAUUUCGGUGGGUAUUUUAGUCUUUUCAGCAAUUAUCAUGAUCAGAUCAGCCUUUAGCCUUGAAACGUCGGUCAGAAAGUUUUAAAAUUAACGCUAACAAGAAAAAGCUAGGUCAUAUUCCACAAAAGCAAAAGUGACAAAACAACCAGUUGGUUUCUUUUACUAAACUACAAAUUAAAAGUGGAUUCUUUUGAAUACAAGUGGGACAGACGAUUAGGCUCUUUUUAUUAAAGGCAAGUAAAAAGUAGUCGAAUAGUCUUUUUCAAAUUCUUGUUUUAAUAUUUUUCAAAACUAGUUUUUGGUAAUUACAAUCGGGUCAUUCAUUAAUCAUUAUUCAGAGUAAUUAUGAAUUUCCCAAUUAUAAUUACUAACUGUUUUUCCUUAACCACUCGGCUCAGCCCGAGUGGCCAGGGCUGCUGCCCUCCAAGUUCGAACCCCCACAAAAGUAUUGUGGGGGUAUUUUCUUUCUCAAUUAAUUUGAGUGAAGGUAGUCUUUUCCUUUAUCCAUGAGUGAGGAGUAGACAUCCCUCGAAUAUUUGUGAGGGUUAAAAUCUGAGUAGAGCUCUAUUAGCAUUGAUGUAAGUUGAUCCCAGUAAUUGUCUGAUCUGUAAAUAUCAGGUUAAAAUCUGGGCAAAGCUCCAUUAGCAUUGAUGUAAGUUGAUCCCAGUAAUUGUCUGAUCUAUAAAUAUCAGUUAUAGUCUCAUGUAAUAUGAGUUGUAAUCUGAGCAAUAGUCUCGUGUAAUAAAAAAAAAAAAAAACUAUUUUUCCUUCAAAAGUUAGAGACUCGUGUUUGCAACUUGCAAGUGUGAAUGUGCAAUGCUCUUUGUCUAAAGGCUAGUGUUUCUAGUGGGUCCCGACUCGAGCGUGCCUAAAUCAUUUUAAAAUUUUUCCCGUAUAAUGGACAGAGGUCAUUACUAAAAUUUCUCUUCCACAGGCAAUUACAGCAGCUCCAGUUUAUCAAACUCAACCAAUUUUCUUUCUUAACAAAAUUCCAAAGAUGUGUAGCUUUUUUCAGAUCACAUGCGAUGGUGCUCUUUUCAAUCGUUGCUUGGAUUGCUUUCUUGGAAAAGCAGCAUACAUACGUAACCUCCAAGAUAAUCUUGAUGCCUUGGAGACUGAAUUGGGAAAUCUGAUCGCUAAAAAGAACGAUGUGAUGAGGAGGGUUGUCGAUGCUGAACGGCAACAAAUGAGAAGGCUGGACGGAGUGCAAGUGUGGGUUUCGAGGGUGGAUGCUUUUAAAACUGGAGCCGAUGAACUUAUCAUAGACGGCUCUGAAGAAAUUGGCAAAUUAUGUGUUGGAGGCUACUGUUCCAAGAACUGCAGGUCAAGCUACAAAUUCGGAAAACAAGUGGCUAGAAAGCUACGAGAUGUGGAGACUUUAAUCGCCGAGGGAGUUUUUGAGGCGGUGGCUACUGAGGUGGUGCCUGAGAGAGCUCCAGAGCCUGUAGCAGAUAAAAGACCCAUUGAGCCAACAAUAGUAGGCUUGCAAUCACAGCUUGAACAAGUUUGGAGAUGUCUUGUAGAAGAAUCAGUGGGAAUCAUUGGCCUAUAUGGUAUGGGCGGUGUUGGUAAAACCACACUAUUGACCCAUAUCAACAAUAAAUUUCUUGAGAGUCCCACAAACUUUGAUUGUGUGAUUUGGGUCCUAGUUUCAAAAGACCUGCGACUUGAAAAAAUUCAAGAAGAUAUUGGGAAGAAGAUAGGUUUGGUUGAUGAUUCAUGGAAGAAUAAAAGUUUUGAAGAGAAAGCUGUGGACAUCCUGCGGAGAUUAGGAGAGAAGAGAUUUGUAUUGUUGUUAGAUGAUUUAUGGGAGCGGGUUGAUUUAACAGAAGUGGGCGUUCCACUUCCCAGCGCACAAAAUACUACCUCAAAAGUCGUAUUCACAACCCGUUCCAUUGGUGUUUGUGGCAGCAUGAGAGCUAGGCCGGUUAAAGUGGCAUGCCUAUCAGAAAAGCAAGCUUGGGAACUGUUCCGCGAAAAUGUUGGGGAAGAAACUCUUGAGAGUGAUCAUGAGAUCGUUGAGCUAGCCCAAACUGUAGCCAAAGAGUGUGGUGGUUUGCCACUCGCACUUAUUACUAUUGGUCGAGCUAUGGCCAACAGAAAUACAGCUGAGGAGUGGAGACAUGCAAUUGAAGUAUUAAAAAGGUCAGCUUCGGAGUUUGCGGGUUUGGAAAAAGAUGUAUAUCCUCUUUUAAAGUUUAGUUAUGAUAGUUUGCAGAAUGAGACGAUUAGAACUUGUUUCUUAUAUUGCUGUUUGUAUGCGGAAGAUUAUGUCAUUCCUAAAUGGGACUUGAUUGAUUGUUGGAUUGGUGAGGGAUUCUUAGAGGAAUCUCACGGUUUUGGUGCAGAAAACCAAGGAUACUACAUUGUGGGCACUCUUGUUCGUGCAUGUUUAUUAGAAGAGGUGGAAGAUGAUGAAGUAAAAAUGCAUGACGUUAUUCGUGAUAUGGCUAUAUGGAUAACCUGUGAAAUUGAGAAGGAGAAGAGAAACUUUUUGGUUCGUGCAGGUGCUGGAUUAAAAGAGGCACCGGAUGUUAAAAGAUGGGAAAAUGUGAGAAGAUUGUCAUUGAUGCAAAACCAAAUUGAAACUCUGUCAGAGGUUCCCACAUGCCCUCAUCUCCAUACUCUAUUUCUUGCCUCUAAUAAUAGUUUGCAGAGGAUCACCGAUGGCUUCUUCCAACUUAUGCCUUCUCUCAAAGUUUUGAAGAUGUCAAACUGCUGGAAUUUUACUUUGAAAUUACCUUUGGCGAUGUCAGAGUUGGGUUCGUCACUAGAACUUCUUGAUAUUUCAUAUGCCAGCAUAACAGAGUUACCAGAAGAGUUAAAGUUGUUGGUAAAUCUGAAAUGUUUGAAUUUGAGGUGGACAGAUACGUUAAAUAAAAUUCCACGGCAACUAAUAUCAAUUCUUUCAUGGUUACGUGUGUUGAGAAUGUUGGGUACUGGCUGGUUCAAUUUUCUUGAAGCACCAGAAGACAGCGUUUUAUUUGGUGGGGGUGAAGUUUUGAUACAGGAAUUGCUCGGUUUGAAAUAUUUAGAGGUAUUGGAGUUGACCUUGGGAAGUUAUCAUGCUCUCCAAAUUCUUUUGAGCUCAAAUAAGUUAAAAAGUUGUAUUCGAUCUCUUUACCUCCAUUUGACCGGAGAUACAGCGUCAAUUAUUGAUGCUACGGUUUUCGCAGAUCUAAACCAACUCAAUCAAUUAUGGAUUGAUGAAGGUAUUGAGUUGGAAGAAUUGAAGAUUGAUUAUACGGAGAUAGUACGAAAAAGGCGGGAACCUUUUGUUUUCCGCAGCCUUCACUGUGUUCGUAUAGAGCAGUGCCAUAAAUUGAAAGAUGUGACAUUCCUCAUUUUUGCUCCAAACCUCAAGUCUCUUGACCUAUCCUACUGCUCUUCUAUGGAAGAAGUAAUCAGCGUCGGAAAAUUUGCUGAGACUCCUGAGAUGAUGGGACAUAUAAGCCCUUUUGAAAAUCUCCAAAGUCUUCAUUUAUCGCAAUUGCCAGCUUUGAAGAGCAUCUACUGGAAGCCAUUGCCUUUCACUCAUCUCAAAGAAAUAUCUGUGGGUUAUUGCCGUAAUCUUAAAAAGCUUCCACUCGAUUCCAACAGUGCAAAGGAGCGUAAAUUUGUAAUUCGUGGAGAAGAAGACUGGUGGAACCGACUUCAAUGGGAGGAUGAAGCCACUCAAAUUGCUUUUCGUUCCUGUUUCCAACCAAUGGGAGUACUGAGCGGUGGUCGCAAAAUUUGAUUUCUGGUGAGUGCGUUUGUCUUUUAAAAGCAGAAUUUAAAAGAAAUUUAUUCUUGUCGUUUUCUUCUCUGUUUUUAUUUGAUUUCUGGUUAGUUUCUCUCUCGCACUGCCAUUACUGUUUUAAUUUCCUGUCAAAAGACGAGCGAGAAGAACAUAUAUAUGACGUAAACCAAUUGAUAAAUAUUAAUUGCCUGUUCUCUGUUUUUAUUAAGUAUACUUUAUUUUGCCCUGUUCUCUGUUUUUAUUUCAUUCUCUCUCUCUCCCUCUCUUUCCUGUCUUCUGCAAGUCAUAAUUAAAUGUUGAAUUAUAUGGAAUUAAUGCUUUAUAAAUCUGCCUACGCUGGCUUUUUUUUUUUUUUUUGUGGGGUCGAAUUGAUGCUCUGGUUUUCGACUACUUUUUGUUGUCAAAAUUUUCUCUGUUUUUUCAAAUUGAUGCUUUAUUUAUAUCUUCUUCGUGAAAAGUGAUUUAAUUUCCUGCCAAAAGACGAACGAGAAGAACAUUAGAGUCUAACUAAUGCUCACAUAAAUUUCCCGUAAGAAUAUAUAUAUAAUUAGACUGGAAUGCACACCUCUAGAUUGAACAGAAUUAAAGCUGAGAAAAUAUUGAGUAUAGUAGCCCUCUUUACAGAAAAUGACGCGAAAGUUAAUUUAGAAAAAGAUAUAUUCUUGAUUAAUCCAUUUUCUGAAGUUUUUUAUUUUGUAUGGUCAAUUAUACCUUCAUACUAAAAAUUUCUGAAGUUAUGGGGUUGUUGGAUGUGUUUUGGAUAUUUGCAGCUAAGUUUGAGUUUAUAUCUCAACUUAAAAUUUGUAGUUUUCACUUGAAAAAAUUCAGUUAAAAAUUUAUUGGUAGAAUUGUGAAAAAAGUUAAAAUUUUUAGUUCAACCCGAUUGCAUAUUUAAGAACAUCUCAAAUGAAUUGCUUACUGCUAUCAUCAUCAUUAUUGUCCAUAUAAUAAUGGAUCUUUAUUAUAUAUAUAUAUGUUUCCACUAAAAUAUAUUUAAUUAUUCUUUAUUUUUCCAUUGUUGCGUGUAAGAUUUAUUUGAGUUCUAAGUUAUAUCAAUACAAAUGUUAUCUUAUCCAUAAAAAAGUUAGAUCCAACAAUUAUGAAAAUUACCAUAGAGUUGCUUUCAAUUAUUUUUUAAAAAUACCAGGAGUAAAUAAUAAUUAGUUCAAGUGGUGUAGACUAAAAAGUGUUCACCUUUAUUUUUUAUCUGUUAUUUAUUUAUUUCAUUAAUGCACAUGCUAUACAUUUGAGACACUCCAUCCUAUGCAAUGUGAAUAAAUUUCUUUCCUUUUUCCUUUACUCUUUUUAUUUGACAAUAAAGUUUCCAUCUAUCAUCUAUCAUCUAUCAUCUAUGUACGCAAAAUUUCUGCAACAAGUACAAAACAUAAAAAUAUAUAUGAUUGUUAAGGGAAACACGCAGAAGUUCAUCAUUUCAAUGUUCAGUAUUACCAAUUUUGGCAUUAAGCUUGUACGAAUAUAUUCCACUUAGAAAGCAAAAUAUUAGACUCAUGAUUUUAAUUCAUUCAUUAUCUCUCAUUUUAAUCCCAAAAUAUUCAAGAGUAUCCAAGUUACCAUAAGACUUCAGAGGCUCGAGCCUUAGCCAGAGAUGGUUAAUUGAUAGACUAUGUGCCUGGGUCGAGCACUGGAAGCCUGCAAUGCAGACUGAUUGAUUUAUCAGUUUGACGUGUGCCAGGAAUGAAGAACUGGAAUAUCACCGUCAAGCACGCACCCUGUGGAGCAAUACCAAAGAAUGCACAAUCUGGCUUUGCUAGGUGACACUGGAGGCUUUUUGAAAAGUGCUUCACGCUCACUUGCACAGAUUGAGCAUCCCCUCCGGAUAUUGCCCUCUCUGAUCGAGUCCGAGCACUCAAAUUUCAAUCCUCAGAUGGAGCUACAGCUUUCUCUCCAAUAACCAACAAUUUUCUAAACUCAGCUCCUAGUGUGAUGAGAGUUGUUGAUAUUUGUAAAUGGAGAUCCCCAUAUUUGCAAAUGGAGACAUUUAACAAAUCACCAACAUGCUUCAUUCGGUCUACGAAAUUCUGCAGCUGAUUCAAAUCCGGAACCUGAACCAGAGUCGGAGGUAAAUCUUGAGCCAUAUCUAAAGCAGUCUGAAGUUCAAGUACUUGAGCCCUUGACAAUGGUUUUGAAAUAGGAACAUCUUGGAUUACUGCAGACUUGUACCCCUUGGUUUCAAAGGUAAGGAAAGGCAUUGCUUGAGUACAAUUUGGAGGCAGCUUCUUCACCAAUUUUAUUUGGAGGCGAUUGGCAGCGGAUCCAGCUGCACCAAUUUCAGAGCAAAUACUGACACUACUUCGAACAGCACACUGAAGAAGUGAUAUGUCUACGGCAAAGGCAAUGCAGUCCUCAUUUUGGCUUGAGAUGCAGUAAUCAUCGAAGAGAGUUUCCUUGUGAAACUGGGCAACACAUUGAAUCCCUUCGCCACUGAGAAGGUUGUGGAGGAAGUAAGCUUUCUCUCUAGUGAGGAAGAGGUGGCAUACCUUCCCCAUUUUGUCUAGGGCAGGUAGGAAUCAUUUUUCUAAGAGAUUUACUUCAUUCUCUGUGAGAAAUGAAUUGAACUUCAUCCCUCUGUCUCUAUCCUCACUUAUCAGAAAAUAAGUUGAAAGCACUUCGGAGAGAGAGAGAGAGAGAAUUAAGAUAUAUAGACAAGAAAAAUAUUAGACGUUGAUCUUACAAACUAAUACUUCAAGCAGUAUCCUAGAAAGCUAAAAACUGCAAGAUGGCUUGAAAUUUGAAAAGAGCACGUGCUUUUCCUCCUUAACUUGAGAAAAUGUUUAAUAUAGUGCACCUACAGAAGCAUUUAAGCAAUUAGAACUUUGCACAAAAACAUCAAGAAGACUAAACAAAUCAGAUGCAGUGUAUUUGUCCAAGCACAAAUUGCAUUUUGUCCUCAACUUUAAUAUUUAUUGAUGAGAAUCAAUACAGGUCCCUCAUUUGAUAUAGAAAGCUUUCUUUCUUGUAGUCUCACCAGUUAAUUCACAGGUCUAUAAUCAUCUUGCAAAGUUAAGGGCAUUUCUUUCGAUCUAAAGUCUUUGCAUCACCACCUCAUCACACGCCAAGCCAAUAUUCCAUUUACCUCUACAACAAAAAGUUUUAAGUAAACAAUCCUAAUGCACGCAGCCAAAUAAAAUGCAGUAAGAAUAUUCAACUUAAAAAUCUGAAAGCCGACUUGGUGAAUUGCCUCCUUAGGUGAAGUUCCAUGCUUUACUAUAGUUGACAGAACUCAGCAAAAGCUUCCAUACAACAGAUUUUGAAAAUGAUGAUGCCAAUAGAUACUCAUUCAAUCCAUUGAAAAUCCAAAGGUUCAUUGUUAAUAGAAGUUUACAGAGUUUUGGUCAUCAAAUAGCUCAGACCUAAUCCCAAACAAAAAACGAGUGAAAAUUAGAUCACGAGCAGCUGAUUGUAAAUUCUAACUUAACUCUUCAUCUCCUUUGUAAACAAGAAACAAAAUGGAGACACGCAAAAUGAAUAUGGAGAAAAUUUGAACUCAAAUGAAAUGAGGGCACGAAAGCAAACAAAUGGCAUGCACAAAAAAACCAAGCCUCAAUCAAAAACUAAUUAACCAUUAAGAAAAAAAUUGGUCAGAUAAUGAACUACAAAUUCAGGAGUCAAGCAAGAAGCUUUCAUUAUUUCAGAAGCUCCUGUACAAAUUAAUAAGUUAUGCUCUUUGGAAGCAAACCUAAAUUCCAAGAGAAACAGAACCCAAAAAAUUUGCAAUUAUACGCAAAGGGAGUGAAGCACAGGAUUCUAUCACACAUAGGAAUUGUAUAACAAGAGAUCGAUAUAUCGAAUUAGAAAACUCAAUUCGAAUUUGUGUCAAAAAUCAAAAUUAGAAGAUUUCACAUUUCGAGAGGAACAAGCAACAGAUGAAGUUCAAAAUUUCAGCCAUAACAUGCUAAAAAUGCUACACUUAACGGUUCAUUUUCAUGGAUUUUCUCGGGAAACAAACAGAAAAUUACGGUUUAGAGAUUUGACUGACCUUUUGGCUUUUGAAAUUGAGAAGAUCGCACGCCAAAUUGGAAGAGGGAAAGUGAAAGUGCGAGUUUUAAUAUGGGUAUUAGAUAAGGAAAUUUUAUUAGGUUGCGAGGGUAAAAAAGGAAAGAGAUAUCAUUGUUUUAUUAUCGAUAAUUAUUAAAUUUUUUUCCAAAAAAAAAGAACAAGCAAGGAUAUUUUAUUGUCAUUUGCAACCUUUAAUUUUUUAAAUGCUAUUAGAAACACAAGACAAUAAAGAAAUACUUAUUUUUUUCUAAAACUAAAAUCAAUUGUUUAAAAAAAAUUGUUUCAAAAUUACUUGAGUCAUAUCCAAUGGACCAACAAAGUAAUCGUUUUUAUUUUUAUUGAUUUUUGCAGGAAAUUAAUAACUUAAAAAUACUGAAAGCUAUUGUAAAAAUUUUUAUUAUCAACCUCAUAGUUUUUUUUUUUUUUUUUGGGAAGAGAAUUCAAACUUUUUUUUUUAUGAAUAUCGCUGUUUCGUUUGAGUUGGAUGUGAAUUCAAAUACAAAUAUUCUUUGUUUUUCAAUUCUGAACUCAAUUUCUUUUUUUCAAGAAUGUUAUGCAGAAAUGAUUUUUACUGAACGGCAACAAAUGAAAAGGCUGGGCCAAGUGGAAUGGUGGGUUUCGAGGGUGGAUGCUGUUAAAAUUGAAGCUGAUGAACUUAUCAGAGACGGCUCUCAAGAAAUUGACAAAUUGUGUGUUGGAGGCUACUGUUCUAAGAACUGCACGUCAAGCUACAAGUUCGGGAAACAAGUGGCUAAAAAGCUACGAGAUGUGGAGACUUUAAUCGCUGAAGGAGUUUUUGAGGCGGUGGCUACCGAGGUGGUGCCUGAGAGAGCAGAGCCUGUAGCAGAUGAAAGACCUACCGAGCGAACAGUAGUAGGCUUGCAAUCACAACUUGAACAAGUCUGGAGAUGUCUUGCAGAAGAAUCAGAGGGAAUCAUUGGCCUAUAUGGUAUGGGCGGUGUUGGUAAAACUACAUUACUGACCCAUAUCAACAAUAAAUUUCUCGAGAGUCCAACCAACUUUGAUUGUGUGAUUUGGGUAGUAGUUUCAAAAGACCUGCGACUUGAAAAAAUUCAAGAAGAUAUUGGGAAAAAGAUAGGUUUGGUUGGUGAUUCAUGGAAGAGUAAAAGUGUAGAGGAGAAAGCUGUCGACAUCUUCCGGAGUUUAAGAGAGAAGAGAUUUGUAUUGUUGUUAGAUGAUAUAUGGGAGCGGGUUGAUUUAACAAAGGUGGGCGUUCCACUUCCCGGACCCCAAAAUACUACCUCAAAAGUCGUAUUCACAACCCGUUUCAUCGAUGUUUGUGGUAGCAUGGAAGCUGACAGGAAGUUCCAAGUGGCGUGCUUAUCAGAAAAGGAUGCUUGGGAACUGUUUCGAGAAAAAGUUGGGGAAGAAACUCUUCAGAGUCAUCAUGAUAUCGUUGAGCUAGCCCAAAUUGUGGCCAAAGAGUGUGGUGGUUUGCCACUCGCACUUAUUACUAUUGGUCGAGCUAUGGCCUGCAAAAGGACAGCCGAGGAGUGGAGACACGCAGUUGAAGUGCUAAGAAGAUCAGCUUUUGAGUUUGCAGGUUUGGGAAAAGAGGUAUAUCCUCUAUUAAAGUUUAGCUAUGAUAGUUUGCAGAAUGAGACGAUUAGAUCUUGUUUCUUAUAUUGUUGUUUAUAUCCCGAAGAUUAUGGAAUUCUUAAAUGGGACUUGAUUGAUUGUUGGAUUGGUGAGGGAUUCUUAGAGGAAUCUGACAGGUUUAGUGCAGAAAACCAAGGAUACUACAUUGUGGGCACUCUUGUUCAUGCAUGUUUAUUAGAAGAGUUAGAAGAUGAUAAAGUAAAAAUGCAUGACGUUAUUCGUGAUAUGGCUCUAUGGAUAACCAAUGAAAUUGAGAAGGAGAAGAGAAACUUUUUGGUUCGUGCAGGUGCUGGAUUAAAAGAGGCACCGGAUAUUAAAGGAUGGGAAAAUGUGAGAAGAUUGUCAUUGAUGCAAAACCAAAUUAAAACUCUGUCAGAGGUUCCUUCAUGCCCUCAUCUCCAUACUCUAUUUCUUGCCUCUAAUGAUAAUUUGAGGAUGAUCACAGAUGGCUUCUUUCAAUUUAUGCCUUCUCUCAAAGUUUUGAAGAUGUCAAACUGUGUGGAUUGGCCAGUUUCGAAAUUACCUUUGGCGAUGUCAAAGUUGGGUUCACUACAACUUCUUGAUAUUUCACAUACCGGCAUAGAAGAGUUACCAGAAGAGUUGAAGUUGUUGGUAAAUCUGAAAUGUUUGAAUUUGAGGUGGACAUUUGAGUUAAAUAAAAUUCCAUGGCAACUAAUAUCAAAAUUUUCAAGGUUACGUGUGUUGAGAAUGUUCGCUACUGGCUUUGCCCGUUUUGAUGAAGCAUCAGAAGACAGCGUUUUAUUUGGUGGGGGUGAAGUUUUAGUACAGGAAUUGGUCGGUCUGAAAUAUUUAGAGGUAUUGGAGUUGACCUUGGGAUGUCAUCAUGCUCUCCAAAUUUUUUUGAGAUCAAAUAAGUUAAAAAGUUGUAUUCGAUCUCUUCUCCUCCACUUGGCCGGAGAUACAACGUCGAUUAUCGAUGCUACGGCUUUCGCAGAUCUAAACCACCUCAAUGAAUUAUGGAUUGAUAGGGCUAAGGAGUUGGAAGAAUUGAAGAUUGAUUAUACAGAGAUAGUUCGAAAAAGGCGGGAACCUUUUGUUUUCCGCAGCCUUCACCGUGUUACUAUACAUAGCUGCCAGAAGUUGAAAGAUACGACAUUCCUCGUUUUUGCUCCAAACCUCAAGUCUCUCGAUCUAGACCGUUGCGAUGCUAUGGAAGAAAUAAUCAGCGUCGGAAAAUUUGCUGAGACUCCUGAGAUGAUGGGACAGAUAAGCCCUUUUGAAAAUCUCCAAAUGCUUGAUUUAGAAGAUUUGCCACAUUUGAAGAGCAUCUUCUGGAAGCCAUUGACUUUCACUCAUCUGAAAGAAAUAUCUGUGGGUUAUUGCCGUAAUCUUAAAAAGCUUCCACUCGAUUCCAACAGUGCAAAGGAGCGUAAAUUUGUUAUUCGUGGAGAAGAAGACUGGUGGAACCGACUUCAAUGGGAGAAUGAAGCCACUCAAAUUGCUUUUCGUUCCUGUUUCCAAUCUCUUUUUGAUUAACUCUUAUACAUUUUCUCGUCGUUUGCUUCGUGCAAAAAAGACUACGUCUUUUGUUCUCUGUUUUUAUUUCAGUUUCGUUUGUUGUCUCCUGCAAAUCACAAUUAAAUGUUGAAUUAUAUGGAAGUAACGCUUUAUAAAUUUUCCGGCACUGCCAUUUCUUUUUCCUCUUUUUUUUUUUGGGUCGAAUUGAUGCUCUGGCUUUUUUACUUUUUGUCAUCGAAUUUUGCUCUGUUUUUCAAAUUGAUGCUUGAAUAUGUGAAUUCAAUUAAUGCUCACAUAAUUUUGUUUAGUUGCCGUAAAAAGAAUAUAAUUAGACUGCAAUUCGCACUCCCAGAAUGAAUAGAAUCACAACAGAGAAAAUAUUAAGUAUGCUAGCCCUCUUUACAGAAAAUCAAAUGAAAAUAAAAUUUUUUGGAUAUUUGAUUUUCUAUGGUCUACUAUAUACAGUUUAUAAAUUCUUCUGUUCUAAGGAUAACCAAAUCCUUUGUUCAAGGAUUUUUAUUUGGGGUAUUGAUAAUAGUCCACCAAAAUAGUGAAUGCUUGGAUGCUGCUUAAGGAUCUGUAAUCAAUAAGCUGGAAGCAAACGAGAAGGCGGUCGCUACUCUGUACAAAGCCAUGCAGCAAUUGCUAUUCAUCUUAAAUUCUUAAUAAUUACGAAGCUUUGGUAAAAUUUCCGAACAAAGUUGACAUGUUAUUUUGAGAUUUGGUUCCUGAUUUUGUAUGAAUAUCGCUGUUUCGUUUGAGUUGGAUGUGAAUUCAAAUCCAAAUAUUCUUUGUUUUUCAAUUCUGAAAUCAAUUUCUUUUUCUCAAGAAUGUUAUUCAGAAAUGAUUUUUACUAAAUCAUUUUUGAUGAAUUGUUUAAAUUAAACAAUUGGAAUAAGAAUUGUAACGAUUUAUCAUAAGCGUGCUAAUAUGAUAACUUAUUUUACGAACGAUUAAUUAAUUAAUCAAUUAAUGUUAAAUUAUAUAUUAAUCAAUUAGCUAUGUGUUGCAUUUAUCAUGUUUUGUAGGUGAUUCUACAUAAUUUCUAAAAGAAUAUAGUAAAAACACGUUAAAAAUUAUUUAAUGAAGAAAAUUUUAUUAAAUAGGUGACACAAUAAUAAAUGGAUUUCUGUAAGAAUUGAGAUUCUUGAGAUAAUUAUUACAUAAGGAGAAGUUUAGUUGGUUCAAUUUUGACAUGAUAAGAAGACAACACAGCACAGAAAACCCAAAUUGCCACUUCCACUAAUAAAAGAUACCUGUUUGAAAAGUAAUUAUAAACUAUCUUCUUUGUGUUAUUUCUCAAAACUUUUGUGGCACAAAUGUUAUUUCCAUUGACAACAGUACGAAAUACCACCCCUUUCACUUGAGCAGGAGCAAAGCAAAGGUAUGAUGAGCUAUCUCUGUAUAAUUGAAACGCCAUUACUAAACGAUUCUUGAUGAUGGGAGCCACCGUGCCAGCUUUGUCGCUGAUUUGCAUGAUUUAUUAGUUGUCCAGAUGGCGGAUUUUGUACUGUUACCUUCGUUUCAUUCUUCAGAGCCAUGUACAGUUCUAGGAUACCAGAGAAACCAAGGUGGCAUUGAAGUUGCCCCAGUGGUUAGUUUUCCGAUCAUUUUUUUUAUUCAAUUAUUUAUGUUUGUAGAAAAAUGUAGGAAAUAUGUAGAAAUGUUGACAGCUAUGAUUUUGAAACUUUUGCCUAAAAUUGUUAUCAUUACUUCUUGUUUCUUAUUUAAAGAGAAAUUCUAGAAACAUGAAAUGAUUAUUCUACGCUUGUUUUAAUAUUAUGCUAUGAAGAUUAUGAAGGUUUGAUUAUAUGUCACUAUCAAUUGCCUUAAUCGUUUGUCGUAAAUCAAUUAAGCAUUUUGAUGCAAAUGAUUCCCUAUUAAAAAAUUCAAGUCAGAGCUGAAUUGCAAAUUAGUUAGUCGUGCUUGCCAUUCAAAUUAAGUAUUGUAUUUUCUCCCUGAUUUGGUUGAUUCAACUAUGUGCAUUUGCUUAUGAACGUUGUAGUACAGAAAUUGAAACAUCUUGUCUUUUGCUAAGCCCAGAAGCAAAUUCUUUGUAUUCUACUCAUCAGUUUUCUUCAUUCUCUUCGUUGAAAUUUUAUCCAAACAGCGGUUUCGAAAUUGUUUUCACCACAAUACCUUAGUCUUUCAGAUGCUCCCGUCACUGAGUUGCCAGAAGAGCUAAAAGCCUUGGUAAAUCUUAAGUGUUUGAACCGGAGUACACAAAUUAUCUCUCUACAAUUCCAAAACAACUGAUUUGUUACUUUUCGAUGCUACAUGUUCUGCGAAUAUUCAGUUGUGAUUAUCUUGUUCAAAUACCAGAAAAUAGCGUUCUAUUUAGUGGUAAUGAAUUCUUGGUUUGGGAGUUGCUUAGUUUAAAACGUUUAAAUGUAUUAAGCAUCAUCUUGAAAAGUUUUUCUGCCGUCCAAAAACUUAUGAGCUCCCAAAAGUUUCAAAGCUGUACACAAUGCUUGGAGCAUAUAGGCUGUGAUGAUCCAAAGUCAUUUGCCUUGGCAGAGUUGAAACAUCUUGAAAAACUAGGUUUUUCGAGUUGUGGAAAUUUGGAAGAGUUAAAGUUCUGCUGUGUCGAAGUUGCAAAGGCUCGAGAAUGUUUUCGUUUGAACGGCCCUUGCUGAGUUAAGAUGAAGGCUUGUCAUAAAUUGUGGGAAGCGACAGGUUAUUCAAAUAGAAAAAUGUAUGGAGAUGGAUGUUAAUCUUAAGGUUAUUCAAGCAGACAAAUUCGAAUAAAACUUAUGGUAAGUGCUUUUCCAUUUAUUGCAUAUUUAUAUCUAAUUUUUAUUUUCCUUUAUUGUUAAAUUUUGCUCUAUAUUUGUUGUUGUAUGGUGGCAUUCUUGUACAAUUAUUAGCUUUUCAUUUCUCUUCUCACAUUAACUGCCCUUCUGAUCAUGUAGGAUUUGCUGAUGCAAAGAGUCAUAAUUUGGGAUACAAAUGUAAGAAUUAGACAGAUGACGUGUUGUUUUGAAGCUCUCGAAGAAGAAGGACUAAUUAUGUCAUUGAAAGCCUCCAAUUUUGUGAUUGGUUUCUUUUUAUUUUAUUUGUUGUUUUCUCUAUUUUCAGAUCGCUUAAUUGUUAGUUGUUGUAAUGUAAUGUUUUAGUAUAGAAAAUUAUAUUCGGCCAAGACAGCGAUAGGAAGGCACAUUGUGCAUGCACACUAGUGGAUUUGGCAUGCCAACUCCAAUUAGGAUGGAUAACACUUUAUAAGCAUUAGGCUUCUCUCGUACUUGAGUAAUAUAGAAUAUGUUUAUAAGUUGUGAAUCACCCUUUAUAAGUGUUAGGCUUCUGCUAUACUCAGUGAUGUGAAAUAUAUUUAUAAGCACUAAACUUCUCCCAUACACUUUAUGUUAAAAAUAAUAAUAAUAAUAAUAAUAAUAAUAAAAUAAACCCAUUUUAACAGACUCUUUUUUCUUUUUCUAUAUGAACAAAUGCAUUCUUCAAAGCAAUUGUGGGUAGAAGAAGUGAGUAGAGAAGAACUGGGCCCCUUUCAUUCCCCUAAAACCUCACCAAAACCUCUCUUGUAAGCUUUUCGGAUUUUCUUUCUAUAUUUCUUAGGAACUCAUUUUUUAUUGAAUCACUUCUUUUGCAUGCUGCAUUUUUUGUUUGUCGUAUUUGGGUAUUAUCUUAUCUGGAAUACUGUUAUGAUUGAUGGAACAAGUAAUCGAUUUUUGGUCUAAUGGAAGUUGAUUUAUUUAUUUAUUGUUAUUUUUAUUUGAAAUUAUGUACAAUUGCAUUUCAUUCAUUUCUCUCUCUCUUUUUCUUUUUUUCCCCCCAUAUAUUUGUUAUGUAUAAUUGCGUUUCAUUUAAUAUUGAUCAUACUGUAGGUAACCAUGUGAUUGUAGAUUGGGAUUUCAAGUUUGUUGAAUAUUCAUGUAAGUGAAGUAACCGUCACAAUACUAGUGAAAUUGGGAGCUUUAUUCAUGAGUUUGUGGUUUUGAAAAGAACCACAGUUCAACUGAUGAAGGCUCCUUUUUGGGAUUCUUCUUUUUCUAGGCUGCAAUUAGGAUAUGUACAUGAUAGACAAUCUUUUGUUGGCUUGGCAUAUCUUCGCUGAUUUUUUCUUUUAUUCCCCAAUUUUAUAAUUACACACCAUGAAUGUUGGGUGAUUGUAUAGAAAAUUUGUGUUAUAACAAAAACAUUGUGAAGGAGUUUCCGUGCUAAUAGUUAGUGGCUUCUGUUUUAUUGGCAUUGAUUGGGUAGAUUACGUGUUACAGUGAUUCAAUUUGUGUUCCAAACUUUGCUUUAAUUUUCUGUUUUCCCCAACUAUUUAUGUCAAAUUUAAAUCCAGAAGCAUGUACUGAUUUUUUCUUUUUGUAUUAAUCUGUGAAGUUUAUUUGGAAUGGAAGUAACUGGGUCGGGUCUAAUGGAUUAAAUUAUGACAUUGAGGGGAAGGCACUAAAAGGGUUUGCUUGACACAUUUGGUUCUGUGUUUACUCUGCAAGAAAUAGCUUUUGCUUAUUGCAAUGCAGGGGGAAAUCCCGAUUUGGCUGGUGAAUUUCUCUGCAACAAACAGGCAAACACCUCAACCUCUUCUGUCCAUACUUCUGCUGGGGAGGCAAGGGGUAAAGAGUCUUCAAAAUCAUCAAAUAGUAACAUCUCUGAGAAUUCAUUUUAUGGAAAUGGAAAAUCUAGAGCUUCUAAUACAAAAUGGCAUCUGGUAUCAGGACGUACCGUUUCAAGUUUUCUUGGUAAAGAUUAUGUUAAACCUGCACAGCCAGCUAAUGGCACUUUUCUGGCAUCAAAGCCAUUGAAGUUGGAUCCAAAGGAGUUUCCCAUGUCUGCACUUUGCAGAGAAGAAUCUAAACCGAAACAAUCAAAGGAUGACCAUUUGCAGAAGGACAUGGAAGAUUUUCUGUUUAAAUUUCCAGGAGAAGGGUUCCAGCUGAACAGGGAUGUGAUUCAGGAGGUUCUCGGUAAUGUCUUAAAUAUAUUGAUGCCAAUUUAAUACAUAUUGUCCUUUUCAAUGUUCUUUCUUUCUUUCUUUCUCUUCUUUUAUUCUUCUUCUUCUUCUUUUUUCUUUUCGUGUGCAUGUGAUUGCUAAUUUUGUAUUAUUUUUAACUUGCAGAUAGUUGUGGAUAUGAUAUGCAAAAGGUAAGGACUAUAUCCUCCUGAUAGAGGCCUCUGCUUUUUCCCUUCUAUGUACGUAAUUUAGUAAAUCGCAUAUUCUAUAUAUCAUACCAAAAUCCUGUCUUAAAUGCUGCUGGCAUAUGUUAAGGUUCAACUUGCAUUUUGAUUAACGUCCAUUUGCUACGGCUUCCAAAAUUGAGAAUGAGAUACUUUGGUUAAUUUCAGUAGUUGAACCCAAUAGGGUACUUUAUUUAGAUCUUCAUGGUUCAAAGGCCCGAAAAAACUUGCAGGUAUUUGCAAAAUGACAUUCUGUGCUUUUAUUUAUACUUAUUAUUUAAGUGAUAAAAAUUCCCCAAACCUGCGGUCAAGAAAAUUUCAGACAGUUAAAGACUCCAUUUUGUUUCAGCCAAAAAUGUUUAUUUCAAUUAAAGAUUUGAACCAUUUUCAUUUAACCUGAUUGUGAUGCUUUACAUUGUGCACGUUCCUUUCGAUCAAUAAACGUUGAGGUCAUGAUUUUAUAUUCCUAUAUUGUAACCUAAAAUAAUAGUUGGUUUGCCUGUUUCUGUAGCUUGAUAACAUGAAUUUUCCUUCUGAAGUUACUUUGAUCAAUAAAGUUAUUCUUCGGAGAAGAUAUGCCCAUUCUAUAAUCAUUUUCUUAGCUAAUAUGUUUUUUUCACUCUUCUGAGCAUGUCUAAACUAAUUGAUCGCUCGGCAGAGACUGUGGGUAAGAAAACAAAAUUUCAUGGUAAAUCCUCUUAAAAGGUAUGCAUAAUUGAAAUGACCCGCCCCGAAUUCCCCUCAGGCGAGUCUAUCUAGUCUCAUCAAAACGGACUUGAUAAUAAUUCUAUUAGUAAAGACUCUGCCAAAAAUUCGGCAGAAUUUUUUUUUUUUUAUAUAUAACACUCCCAAUCUACAAAUAUGAAUAUAACACUCCCAAUACAAUUCAGUAUACAACAAACUCCAGUGAUCAACAUCUUCAACCAAAAUGCUGAGCUUUAUAUCUCCAGAGUCUCAAAAGAUAAUAUUAUAACUAAUAUUAAUAUCUUAGUUUAUUCUUAAUCCCAAAAGAAUAAUAUAACAAAAUUAUACAAUCCCAACAGGACGAGAUAACCAAGAUGUCCUAACAAAAAUAUUUAUAUCUUCUAACACCAUCACGUGGCCGAGAUUCAAAAUAUAUUUACAGUCGCUAGGUCGGUCUGGUGUACCUGCAACCUCCUGGUGAGGGGGGAAAAAUAUAAUAAAAACGGGGUGAGUUUAAAACUCAGUGAGAUCAGUGAGUGAAUAGUAGUUUUGAAAAUUAAUUCUUACUUUAAAAAAAAUAAUCGUAUCAUUUCCAAACACAAUUUCAUUAAACCAUAAGCGAGAAACCAAUAAUAAAUCAUUAAACAUUUAAAUCAUAUUACUAACCAUAGAAAUCAUAUCACAAUAUCAUAUAGAAUACACAAAUCUAAAAAUCAUCACCAAACAAGUACCCAGAGAAAUAAUCUCGUCAUAUCCGAACCUCAACAGACGGGCAAUGACGUACUAUCUAGGUAACGUCACACCCCGGAGCUACACGGAUAGACAGGGAAAUACCAUCUCAUAUCUCAUCAUAUAUGUGCAUGCAUAAUCUAGUCCCCAAGGGACAAAAGCGCCCAAGCACACGGCCCAAAGCCUCUGUGUAUACUCAGAGGGACCCCAAAGGCCUAUAUCUCAUAUGUAUCAUAUGUAUCAUUUGUAUCUCAAUUAUCUCAUAUCCGUAUAUCUGUAAUCAUCAUACCGCAUGCAUAUGCCCCCAAAAGGAAAAAGCGUCCAAACACACGGCCCAAAGCCUUUAUAUAUAUUCAGACGGGUCCUAAAAGCCUCUCAUCUCAUCUUAUCUGUAUCACUGUAUCUGAAGGGAAUGGUACUGUCUAAUGAUUUCAAAAACAAUCAUUAUACUCAUAUUCACAUACCUCUUAAUCAUAUUUUAAAUCAUACCACAUUUGAAUCCACUUUUCUUAUCUUUAAAAUACUAUCAUGCUUUAUUCAAAGUCGAUACGCAAAAUCAAUAACCAAACAUUUUAAUAAAAUACCAAUGCGUAAAUAAAAUCCAUUUCGAGAAAUCAUUAAAUCAGAACAUUUAAAAUACUUAUUUCGCAAACAUGCUUUACUAUCAUCGCUAACUAUGAAAAUAAGUUUUGUAUAUUCCACUCACAGUGACGGUGUUCACGGUCGGUUCUCGCUCGCGGAUCCUCCUAAAUCAACGAAACGACAUAAUUAUUUUCCGUAAAUCGGAAUUAUGACUAAAUUUUAUGCAAUAAAUUUAAAACGAACAUAUAUUCAUAAUUGACAACUCCUGUGUCCAUAAAAUUACUAAAAUGCCCUUGAGUCUGUAAAUCAUUAACAUGCUUCGAAAUCGUAAAUUACUGAAUUACUCUCGGAAUCGUAAUUACACUCAAUCCUCAAUUCUAGGAAUUACUAACAUAUCCACGGGCUCAGAAAUUACAAAUUUGCCCUCAUAGUGUGAAAUUACCAAAAACUGGAAUUUGGUCAACACUGGCUAGGAAGCUCAAAUCGUAAAGUUCCAAUCACGCUGAGUUCAAUGGUACCGGCGAUGAUCUCCAACGCGCGGCAACGACGCCGGAAUCUAGCUCGGCAGCCGUGAAUUCCACCAAUCGACCGGCGGCAAAACAGUGACUCUCGGUGCCUAUGGAUGGUCGGAAAUGGAAGAGGGAGUCGUGGGGAACAAAAUUCAACCGGUGGUGUAGCCAAAACCGGCGAAAAUCCCGGCGGAGCAAAGUGAAACAGUCGCGGGUUUCAAGCUUCGAUCGCCGGUGUUCCGAUUGGUUUUUGGCGAGGAGGAUGGCAAGGGAACGACGGCCGGCUUCUAAGCUUCAGAUUGGUACCAAGCUCGGCCGAAACGGUGGCCGGAAAUGGGAGAUAUGGCCGGGUCAAGGUCGCGGGUUCCGGGUCGGGUUUUCGGGUCUGUAGUUGGGUCGGUUUGGCAGCUUCUCUCUCACUCUCUGUUACACGUGCAUAUGUUUCCUCUGUUUCUAGCUUAUUCUUUUGCUUUUACUAACUUCUUAACCGCCUCAUACUUAUUCAUUUUUAAUUCACAUAUGUUACAAUAAUUCCCGAGUAUUAAAUAACCAGUGGUCAUAAUUUUUGUACACGACUCUUUUUUUUUUUGGAGAUCGUUAAAAGUGAUUGACGAUCCAUUUUGUAAUAUCAUAGAGGGAUCAUCAAUUCCUUUUCUUUUCUGUGGCUAGGCAACACUUUUUGGCCAAAGUAAGGAAAUCUAUUUUAGGUAAUGUAAAAACCAGUUGUAGGAUGUAAUAGUUUAUUAUGCACUGACAAUAACUUUUUGUAUAAUUGUCAGUUUAAUGAAUACAAGAGGAACUCUGUUGGCAAAUUCAUCCAAGAUAGAUGCUAAAAUUAUUUAUGCAUGCCAGUUGCCUUAACUAAGUUUUCUCAGCACUGGUUUUGAACAGGAAAAUGAAUAUGCAAUUUGUAGAUUGUGCCAUAGUGGAGAAUUUGUAUAUUCUUAUUUAAGUAACAAGGAGAUUAUUUACCUCAUCUUUAAACAAUGAAUCUUUGAGAGAUGAGGAGUGGGUGAUUGGCUGUGUCUUCAUGUAAUUGUUCAUUUAUUUGUAUUUUGAACUGUUAUGAAAAUCUUUAUAUGCCAAAUUAGUAAUACAAGUAUUCAGAUGAUUUUUCCUAUUGAUCAUGCAUUUGUAUCUGCCCACAACCAUUGUAUAUCACUUUAUUCUGAUGCGCAAGCAUCUGUAAUUUAGAAGAAAAGAAAUAAUAAUCAUAUUUUAUUGCUUGGUUCAUGAUUAUUAACGAUUAUGGCUUUAAAAAUCUACAAAUUUCUUGUGUUCAUGUAUGAAUGUGCCAAGUUUGCUGUAUCUUAGAUUACCUUCUUCCAAGAUAACAAGUUCAUAUAUAUUUUUUUUUAAAAUCCUUUUCCAUUACAGUUGAAUUUCAAGUGUUAGUUUUGUUAUUAGUACCUGGUUUCCUGUUAUUAGGAUCUAAUAAACAGUGUACGGAUAUGUGCUCUACUUUUGGAGGGCCUCCACGUGAAAGAAAAUUGCAACAAUUGAAUUCUUCCGGAGGGUAUGGUAAUUAAUUUAUUUUCUCAACUUGUUGUAAGACUAAUAUAUUUCCUUCAGUAGGCACGGCAUGGUGGGAAGGGUUUUUAUUGAAAGAAUUCUGAUAUUUCUUAGACUUUGUUUUGGAAGGGGGUGGAGGGAUUUCUCAUCCAUAUAUGGUUACUUGAUUAGCUUUUGACUGUAUUGUCUCCGUCGUGCAAAGGAAAAUCUAAAUACUAACGAUGGGGAAUUGCUUAGGCACCCAAAAGGCAGAAAUGAAUUACAGAAGGAAGUUUUUGCUGCUUUAUUUAGUGCUGCUGAGAAAUCUGAUGAAUUUCCUGAAAUUACGGUGAAGACCGAGUGGAGGUCCAAAGCAUUAGGAAAGGUGGUGAGUGAACUGCCGGAGGAAUUAGUACCAGAAUACAAGGCUAAUGUGGUGCACUUGCAGCAAGAUAACCAGACCGGUAUGUGCUCUUAUAUUAACUAUAUUGACUGGAUUUGUUAGUGUGUGCAUUUUUUUGUGUAUACUCACUUUUGUAUUUAUGCAUAUUAACAUGUGUAGGAUUCUUGAUUUCUGCCACUUACUGGAGAACUAGUGGAAAGCUUUAUACUGAUAUAUCUGCAAUAACUAAUGGAAACUAUGAUAUGAAUAUUUUCUCUCACCUGGGGAGCUGUGUAACAGAUAUACUUUGUGGCUCUGGAAUGCUGAAGAUUCUGCAAUAACUAAUGGAAAAUAUGAUAUGAAUAUUUUGUCUCACCUGGAGAACUUUGUUACAGAUACCCUUUGUGGCUCUGGAGUGUCUAAAGAAUGCUUCCGUUAGAUCAAAUAUCUUUUAGUUAGAAAAGAUAAAAUUCUCUGAGUCUGAAAGACUGAAACAUUUUGCAUAUUUUGUGAAAGGGAAAUAUCUGUUGAUACUAGCUCAUGCAUUGAGGUAAUAUCGAUGUUAAAGAAAAACAGCAAUGAUUUAUGAUAUAGAAUUGGGUUCACUUGCUUUAAAUGCUGGUCUGAUCAACCAUAUCAACCUGUAAUGAUUCUGCAGAAAUAUAUAUACAAGGAGAAAGUAGCUAAAUUUUUCUUUCAUUUAUGGGUUCGGUCUUUUUUCCCCUUAUUUUUCAGCUUUCCUUCUCCUGAAGUAUGUUAACAAUUGCAGAUAAUGAUGAAGAGGACAGCUUCCAGGCUCUCCUUGGAGCCAUGAUGGAAUAUAGGGGCACAAUGAAGGAAUAUUGUAAAGCUGUAGGUACUUUUUCUCCUGUCAUUUAUGUUUUCUCACACAUUUUGUAUAUGCCCUGAACAUGCACCUUUGUAUGUAUCAAUUGACUUUUAAAUUUUAAAAGCCAUAAAGUAAGAAUACGGUUCCUUGUCAGGCUACUGAUGACAUUCGCUCAGGGGGAUCAUGUUCGAGCAGGAAAAUUUCUAGAACAGGUAAGGUUUCCAUCUACAGCCAUCCAUUGACAGCAGAUAAAUUUUCAUUCAGCAGACUCUGUUAGCAUUCAAGAUGCUGGCAGAUUCACUUGAUUCUUAUUAGCUUGUUUAGUGGCAAAGCCUAUAACCUGUAUUUCAAAGCCAAGUUGUGCUAUUGAUUAUGUUAACUUUUUUGUUAACAUAAAAUGAUAUGGAGGAAAUAAUCAGUGUUGGAAAAUUAGGUGAAAAGAUGAUGUCAAAUCUUGAACCUCUUGCGAAACUCUAAGUUCUUUACUUGAAGAGGCUACCAAAUUUGAACAGCGUCUACUCGAAGGCCUUGCCAUUCCCUGAUGCAUGCAGAAUUUUUGUAUUUAAAUGCCCAGAGCUUAAGAAGCUGGCACUGGAUCUUGAAGGGGCAGACCAAGGUAAAAUUCUUAUCAAGGGAAAGGAAGAUUGGUGGAAACAACUUAAUGGGAGGAUCAAGUAACUCAGAAUACAUUGCUUCCAUUUUUUAAAUCGACUGACAAGUGAUUGAACGGGGCAUCAUCAAUAUCAUCAACAGGGAUGGAGAGAUGCCGGAGCAGAUCAGCAGGGUUUGAAUAUGACCUUCGGCGGUUGCUUUUUUUUUUUGUGAUUUUUUUUCAUUUUUUCCUUCCUGUCAUUUUAUCAUUUCUUUGGCUCUGUUUCUAUUGCGGGUGUUACUGCAUGCUUACUGUUGCUUGACAAAGUUUGCUAGCUUUUUGUUUGCAGCGCUGCUAUACGCCCCGAGUCAAGCCCCGAAAAUUUAUUAAACGACGCCGUUUCGACAGUAACAAUUCUUUUCUUUUCCCUUUGCCUGUUUCUUUCAUCUGCUGUUUCUCUAUCACUUUUCAUUUUUGAUUUCCGUGCUUCCCAGCUGCCCCUAAAUUGUUAUUCUAGCAAUAUACUUUCUCAUCUUUGAAUUUUCAUCCUUGAGUACUCCCACAGCCGUAAUUUCAUCAUUAUAGACUUCACUUGGAAUGCUAGAUUUUUUCGAUUCUUGAGCUACUUCAAUUACAUCUUAGUAUAGGAUCCUCAUCUUCCUUUAUUUCUUCAUCUUAUGAGGUAACAAAUGGAUUUCACAACUCAUCUACUUUUAAGCAAUUACAUAUUAUACCCUGAAUGAUUCAACUGUUCCGACAGUUAAAGAUUUUAUGCUCAACCUGCAGUGCUACGAACAUUGUCCAUGAAAGAUGAGUUUCAGCAUAUAAAAUGAAAUAUAGAUGUUUAAUCUAAAAUAACCCUUCACUGCCAGAAACCUAGGUCACAAAAUUCACAGAUAAUGAUAAAGAACUAAAAAAUUUGAAAAACUCUACAGAUCACACAUCAAGCAAGAUAUCAUGUUUUUUUCCCUCAUUCGGUGGUGAUUGAUUCGCUUUUUGAUGAUGGAUAUGGUAUAAAAGUUUUGACCCAAUUUCAAGCAAACACAAAUAGAAACACAAACACAAUCAGGACUAGAGUUGUGGGCGAUUAUCUCAGGUGUACAAGUGAAACGGUGGUGGCUGUCGAUGGUGGUAGUGGGGUGGUUGGGUAUGCGUGAUGGCUAGAUUUUAGGACAAUAAUGGUUGGAGUUGACCUCAAUCAACGAAGGAAAGUGACAACAAUUUUGACAUCAAAUGGUGCAUUUUUUAGCUUAGUAAAAUGGAACCGUUUUGAAUUUGGGGUUUAAUCCGGGGUUUGACUCGGUGCAAGUAUCAUUUUCCUUUUGUUUAUUAAAUUUUUUAUGGUCACAAAGUAUUACUCGUUCUAUUUGAGAGUGAUGUGAAUCAAUUUUUCAAUUUUAUAUUUUGUGGUCAAUGUGAAUUCAAUUUCAUUUGUCUCCUGCAAUUAUGAAAAAAUUGCAGUCAUAAUAUGGAAAAGUACACCGGCAAAGACUUUGUAAAACCUUCGGAGUGAUACGGGGAAUUCACUUACAACUAAGGACAAUUGGUGGCAAGUUAUUCCAUUCAUUUUAUGUCCAUGCAUCUAUUUAGUUAUUGAAGAUUAGUGGUCCAUUUGUAAAUUUCAGAUUGUCUCUCUCUCUCUCUCCCACUUGAAAUAACAAUAUUUAAUAUAUCUCUUAAAUUAUUAUAAAUUUUAAUUUACUCUCGAUUUAAAAUGGAGCAUGUCGAUAAAUUUUUUUUCUUCUUAAUAAAAUUGACGUAAUUUGUGUUUACAGUAGUUUGAAGUUUGAAAUAUUUUAAAGAUUAUUAUUCUAUAAGGGAGUAAUAUGAAAUGAAAUUUACUUUUCAUGUGUGAACUGAAAAAGGACGAAGCAAGUGUCCCUGCUUUUAUUUUAUUUCAAGGAGGAGUCAUCUCGCAUACUUUGGCUCUUAACAUUACAUUUUUUCUGGUUACAUUUUUUAUUUUUUUUUACACAUGCGUGUGGGUUGCUUUUCUGUAAGCUCCUUAAUAUAUAUUUAAGACAAAUCAUGGAAGAGAUGGGAUUAUAUCAAGAUGAUCAAAGCAUGUAAAAAAAGAAAAAAGAAAAAAAAAAUUAAGAAGUAAGACACUGAAAAUGGAGAAGAGAUGGAAGCAAAAGAUAUUCCAAAACAAAGCAAUCUAUCCCCCUUCGAGGGCAGACUUAUCAGGUUUAAAAAAGUACAUGCUUUGGAUUGGUAGUUGCAAUCAAGGGAAAAUAAAUAGGAUCCAAUGAAAUUUAAAUCUCGGAGAAAAUAAAUAAUCAUGCAGAUUUUCAAGAUUUUAAUAAGGGAUACUAAUAUCUUAUUUUGAUUAAUAACAUUCUUUUACUGUGUUAACUCAAAAAAAAUAUUAUAAUGCUUUACAAUAAAUACAAAUGUCCUAUUAAAUGAAUAUAUAAAAAAUUUAGAAAAUUAUAUAAAAUAAUUUUAAUAUAAUGCGUGAGAUAUAUUUUAUUAAUUUAAAAUGUCAUUUUACCUAAAAAAUAUGAUAAAUUAAUAAUUACAUAUUUGAAGUUAUUUCAAAUAUUAAAAAAAUUUAAUAUUAUUAAUCUUUUAGAUAGAUUAAAUUAUUUUUUAAAGAGAUAGAUUAAAUUAUUUUAAAAUACCUUAAUUGUUUUUACUUUAAACAUUACCGGCCUUUCUUUUAUUUUAUUACAAAUUAAUGCUAACAAGAAAAAGUUAGAUCAUAUUCCACAAAAGCAAAAGUGACAAACACAACCAGCUGGAAUCUUUUAUAAAACUACAAAUUAAAAUGGAUUUUUUUUUUAAAAAUUGUUAUAAAUUGGUGGCCCCUACAAUCCUCAAUAAUUGCACCGAUAUUCACAAGUUGGUGGCCCCUACAAUUCUGUUCCGAUAAUUUAACUGUGCAAGUGCUUAAUAAUUGUUUUGUUUUUUUCUGCAUUCCCUUUCAUGCUCUUAAUAAUUGAAGAGCAUACUUUUCAAAUGUGGAGCCGCAGCUAAUGUCGCUAAUUUAAUUUUGGAUUAAAUUAGGGGACCAUUAUAUUGUAGUGUGCACUAAUGAAUAUGUGAGAUAUUCAUAUUUUAUUAAUUUAAAAUACCAUUUAACCUAAAGAUUUAUUUAUGAUAAAUUAAUAAUUAUAUUUUUGAAAUUACUUCAAAUAUUAAAAAAUUAAUAUUACUAAUCUGUUAGAUAGAUUAAAUUAUAUAUAUUAUUUUCUAUUUAUUAAAAAAUUAAAAUUAUUUUUAAUUACUAUUCAAAAAAUAUAAUGAUAAAAAAAAUCUUAACAUCUUUAUUAAAAAUUUAAAAAUUUACAUGAUCAAUUCUCUAAAUAUUUAGGGUAUAUGUGAACCACGGUGGAGAAGCUUUAUUUAAUAUUAUUGAUUUAAAUAAUAUGUCAAUUAAAAAUGUACAGAGAAGGAAAUUUCGGUGGGUAUUUUAGUCUUUUCAGCAAUUAUCAUGAUCAGAUCAGCCUUUAGCCUUGAAACGUCGAUCAGAAAAGUUUUAAAAUGCUUAAUUGUUUUUCACUUUUAAAAAUUAAUGCUAACAAGAAAAAGCUAGGUCAUAUUCCACAAAAUCAAAAGUGACAAAACAACCAGCUGGUUUCUUUUACUAAACUACAAAUUAAAAUAGAUUUUUUCGAUAAAUUAUAAAUUAAAGUGGAUUCUUUUGAAUACAAGUGAGACAGACGAUUAGGCUCUUUUUAUUAAAGGCAAGUAAAAACUAGUCAAGAAUCGAAUAGUCUUUUUCAAAUUCUUGUUUUAUUAUUUUUCAAAACUAGUUUUUGGUAAUUACAAUCGGGUCAUUCAUUAAUCAUUAUUCAAAGUUACUGUUAUCUUCGGGGGCAGUGGGUAAAAGAUAAUUACUAACUGUUUUUCCUUCAAAAGUUACCGGCUCAUGUUUGCAAGUGUGAAUGUGCGAUGCUCUUUUCUUAAAGGCAAUUACAGUGGGGCCCGAAUCAGAGGUGCCUAAAUCUUUUUAAAAUUAAUAAUAAUAUGAGUAAUAAUUAAUAAUUACAGUGGGUCAACUUUUGAAAUUAGAGUCUAGUAUCUCUCUCCCUGUCAUUACUAAAUUUUCUCUUCCACAGCCUACAGCAGCUUCAGUUUAUCAAACUCAAUCAAUUUUCUUUCUUAACAAAAUUCCAAAGAUGUGUAGUAUUUUUCAGAUCACAUGCGAUGGUGCUCUUUUCAAUCGUUGCUUGGAUUGCUUUCUUGGAAAAGCAGCAUACAUACGUAACCUCCAAGAUAAUCUUGUAGCCUUGGAGACUGAACUGGGAAGACUAAUCGCAGCAAAGAACGAUGUGAUGAUGAGGGUUGUCCAUGCUGAACGGCAACAAAUGAGAAGGCUGGACGGAGUGCAAGUGUGGGUUUCGAGGGUGGAUUCUGUUAAAACUGGAGCCGACGAACUUAUCACAGACGGCUCUGAAGAAAUUGGCAAAUUAUGUGUUGGAGGCUACUGUUCCAAGAACUGCAGGUCAAGCUACAAAUUCGGAAAACAAGUGGCUAGAAAGCUACGACAUGUGGAGACUUUAAUCGCCGAGGGAGUUUUUGAGGCGGUGGCUACUGAGGUGGUGCCCGAGAGAGCUCCGGAACCUGUAGCAGAUAAAAGACCCAUUGAGCCAACAAUAGUAGGCUUGCAAUCACAACUUGAACAAGUCUGGAGAUGUCUUGCAGAAGAAUCAGCGGGAAUCAUUGGCUUAUAUGGUAUGGGCGGUGUUGGUAAAACCACACUAUUGACCCGUAUCAACAAUAAAUUUCUUGAGAAUCAAAACAACUUUGAUUGUGUGAUUUGGGUCGUAGUUUCAAAAGACCUGCGGCUUGAAAAAAUUCAAGAAGAUAUUGGGAAGAAGAUAGGUCUGUUUGAUGAUUCAUGGAAGAAUAAAAGUUUUGAAGAGAAAGCUGUGGACAUCCUGCGGAGAUUAGGAGAGAAGAGAUUUGUAUUGUUGUUAGAUGAUAUAUGGGAGCGGGUUGAUUUAACAGAAGUGGGCGUUCCACUUCCCAGCCCACAAAAUACUACAUCAAAAGUCGUAUUCACGACCCGUUUCAUUGAUGUUUGUGGUAGCAUGGAAAGUCACAGGAAGUUUAAAGUGGCAUGCUUAUCAGAAGAGGAUGCUUGGGGGCUGUUUCGAGAAAAAGUACGGCAAGAAACUCUUGAGAGUGAUCAUGAGAUCGUUGAGCUAGCCCAAACUGUGGCCAAAGAGUGUGAUGGUUUGCCACUCGCACUUAUUACUAUUGGUCGAGCUAUGGCCUACAGAAAGAAAGCGGAGCAGUGGAGACGCGCAAUUGAAGCGUUAAGAAGAUCAGCUUCAGAGUUUGCAGGUUUGGGAAAAGAGGUGUAUCCUCUUUUAAAAUUCAGCUAUGAUAGUUUGCAGAAUGAUACGGUUAGAUCUUGUUUCUUGUAUUGUUGUUUAUAUCCUGAAGAUUAUGGCAUUCUUAAACGGGACUUGAUUGACUGUUGGAUUGGUGAGGGAUUUUUGGGGGAAUCUGACAGGUUUGGUGCAGAAAACCGAGGAUAUGACAUUUUGGACACUCUUGUUCGUGCAUGUUUAUUAGAAGAGUUAGAAGAUGAUAAAGUAAAAAUGCAUGACGUUAUUCGUGAUAUGGCUAUAUGGAUAACCUGUGAAAUUGAGAAGGAGAAGAGAAAAUUUUUGGUUUGUGCAGGUGCUGGAUUAAAAGAGGCACCGGAUGUUAAAGGAUGGGAAAAUGUGAGAAGAUUGUCAUUGAUGCAAAACCAAAUUGAAACUCUGUCAGAGAUUCCUACAUGCCCUCAUCUCCUCACUUUAUUUCUUGACUUUAAUGAGAAGUUGGAGAUGAUCGCGGAUGGCUUCUUCCAAUUUAUGCCUUCUCUCAAAGUGUUGAGGAUAUCACACUGUGGGCAAUUAGAAGGUUUUCAAUUACCUAUUGGGAUGUCAGAGUUGGGUUCGUCACUAGAACUUCUUGAUAUUUCAUAUACCAGCAUAAGAGAGUUACCAGAAGAGUUAAAGUUGUUGGUAAAUCUGAAAUGUUUGAAUUUGAGUUGGGCACAUAGGUUAUAUAAAAUUCCACGGCAACUAAUAUCAAAUUCUUCAAGGUUACGUGUGUUGAGAAUGUUCGCUACUGGCUAUGUGUGUCUUCAUGAAGCAUCAGAAGACAGCGUUUUAUUUGGUGGGGGUGAAGUUUUAGUACAGGAAUUGCUCGGUUUGAAAUAUUUAGAGGUAUUGGAGUUGACCUUGGGAAGUUAUCAUGCUCUCCAAAUUCUUUUGAGCUCAAAUAAGUUGAAAAGUUGUAUUCGAUCUCUUUUCCUACAGUUGUUCAGAGAUACAACGUCGAUUAUUGAUGCUACGGCUUUCGCAGAUCUAAACCACCUCAAUGAAUUAUGGAUUUAUAGAGGUAGUGAGUUGGAAGAAUUGAAGAUUGAUUAUACGGAGAUAGUACAAAAAAGGAGGGAACCUUUUGUUUUCCGCAGCCUUCACCAUGUUACCAUAUAUAGUUGCACUAAAUUGAAAGAUUCGACAUUCCUCGUUUUUGCUCCAAACCUCAAGUCUCUUCAGCUACUCGAUUGCUAUGCUAUGGAAGAAAUAAUCAGCGUCGGAAAAAUUGCUGAGACUCCUGAGAUGAUGGGACAUAUAAGCCCUUUUGAAAAUCUCCAAAGUCUUUAUUUAAAUGAUUUGCCAAUUUUGAAGAGCAUCUACUGGAAGCCAUUGCCUUUCGCUCAUCUAAAAGAAAUGACGGUGCAUCGGUGCGAUCAGCUUGAAAAGCUUCCACUCGAUUCCAACAGUGCAAAGGAGCGUAAAUUUGUAAUUCGUGGAGAAGAAGACUGGUGGAACCGACUUCAAUGGGAGGAUGAAGCCACUCAAAUUGCUUUUCGUUCCUGUUUCCAACCUCGUUCCUGAGCGGUGGUCGCAAAAUUUGAUUUCUGGUGAGUGCGUUUGUCUUUUAAAAGAAGAAUUUAAAAGAAAUUUAUUCUUGUCGAUUGUUUUCUUCUCUGUUUUUAUUUGAUUUCUGGUGAGUGCGUUUGUCUUUUAAAAGAUGAAUUUAAAAGAAAUUUAUUCUUGUCGAUUGUUUUCUUCUCUGUUUUUAUUUGAUUUCUGGUGAGUGCGUUUGUCUUUUAAAAGAAGAAUUUAAAAGAAAUUUAUUCUUGUCGUUUGUUUUCUUCUCUGUUUUUAUUUGAUUUCUGUUUUUAAUGGAAUUAAUGCUUCAUAAAUUUGCCGGCACUGCCAUUACUUUUUUUUUUAAUACAAAUUGAUACUUUAUUUAUAUCUUCUUAGCGAUUUAAUUUCCUGUCAAUAGACGAACGAGAAGAACAUAUGACUUAAACCAAUGCUCGCAUAAACUUGCUGUAAAAAGAUAUAAUCUCACUGAAAUGCACACGUCUAGAAUGAAUAGAAUUAAAACAGGGAAAAUCAAUCAAUUCCACCUUUUGCAAUUUCUUCUGUUCUAACAAAAACCAAUUUCUUUGUUCAAGUAUUUUCGUUUGGGUAUUAAUAAUUCUCCACCGAAAGAGUGAACUCUUGCUCAAGGGAUCUCUAAUCAAUUGCCGGAAGGGCGCCGAGACCUGAUCGGACCUAGGCCCAAGUUUGGUCUUAAAGCCUGGGCUUGAGCCUGGCAAUUAAAUUAAAACAUUAAUUGAUUUCUUGGUUGAUUUGUCGUGUAAUUGAUUUAUGGGGGAUGACACAUCAACAUACUUGAAAAUACACUAAUCUCAGCAUCAUCGGUUAAUAACUUUUAGAUUUAUGCGUAAUCAAUAGUUAAGAUUAGUUGUCAUUAAUACUAAAUAUUUUUUACUUUUUUUGUCUCUUCUAGAAAAAUGCAUCCACAAUUAAAUUUAAUACUUUACAUAAUAAACAAAGCAUAAAUGUUAAAUUUAAGAAACUGCAUUGUAUUUCAGCUGAAGUUGACUUUAAUAUUUAGGGUAGAAAAAAAUUAAAUCCUUAAUGUGUUUAAUUUGUAUCACUUGUGUCAUUAAAAUUUUCUAGUCACCCUAACCAAUUACAUCUCAACCCACUUUGUUUUUGGAUGAUUUUAUUUUUAGACUAUUAUUUUCAUCAUUUUUUUUCCUUUUAACACCAACAUUAGUGUAUGUUACGUAACAUAAUUCAUAUUUGGAUCAUUUGAAAUUUGCUUGUGUUUUAUCUAAAAAUAGAGCUUCAAUCAAAUUGUACCUCAUAAAUUCACAAUAUCUAUGAGGGCUAAUGAGACCAAACUCUGGCAUAUUGUCAAAUGUGCUUAUCCUUUUGCUUGACAUGUCAUUUUAAAAUUGUCAUUCAAUGCCAAAAAAUCACAUCAACUGAUGGCCGACUACUUUAAUUUGAAAGCAUGCAUGCGAUCGCCAAUAAUUAUAACUUAAUUGUUAUUUUGAAAUUUUUUUCUUUAUAAUUUUUAAGUUUAAUACUACUACAUGUGCAGCACAUAAGUUGGAAAAUAUAACAUAAAAUUUGAAAAAUGUGUAGCUUUCGUUCCUUUUUUUUCUUAAAAAUGGGAAAAAAGAAUGUAGUUUUGUUUAAAUUACUGUUGUGAUUACAAUUAUUAUUUUAUUGAUUAAUUGGCAGAGAAUCGUAAUGGUUUUGCAUGGUUGUUAAAACAUUGGAAAAUCCACUACAUCAUCCGUUAAUAACUUUCAGAUUUAUGAUUAAUCAAUAGUUGAGAUUUGUUAUCAUUAAUGCUAAAUAUUUUUUUAAUAUUUUCUCUCUCUCUUAGAGGAUCAUCCAAAGUAAAAAUUUAAUAUUAUAAAUAGUAAACAAAGUAUCAACGUUAAAUCGAAGAAACUGCAUUGCAUUUCAACUGAAGCUAACUUUAAUAUUUAAUGGAGAAAAGUAAUUAAGUCCUUAAUGUGCUUUAUUUACCCAUAUAUAUGGCUAAUUUUUCAAGAUAAAGGGGAAGGAUGAUGCUCAAAAAUAUAAAUUAUAGAAUUAAUUGAACUCUCAAGUAAGUUUAAAGUUCAUUAUUUUUAAUUACUUGUUUAUAAUUUAUUUUUAUUUCGUAUUAAUCUAUGGAUCUAAAUCCCCUUUGGAUUCAUAUACAUAUAUAGACAUAAUGUGUAUGUUAAUCUAUAGGUCUGAAUUCACUUUAGGUCUAUAUAGGUAUUUUGACAAAUGUACUCCAAUCAUGCAUAUUGGCAAGUUCUAACUACUCUAUUGAUAUAUCAAUAUUAUUUCUAACUGCACUAUAGGUCCAAAAAUAAGUUAGAAAUACAAAUUAACAUAAAAUAAAAAUAAUUGGUAGAAAAUACAAAUUAUAAACAUAUAAUUGAAAACGAUAAACUUUAAAUUUACUUAAGAGAGUAAUUAAUUUCAUAGUUAAAAUCUUUAAAUUUUACCCCUCAUCUUAACUUAAGAAAAUUAAUCACUUAUUUUAUUUAAUAAAGAAGAGAUUUUUUUCCCCUAUAUUUCCCAAUUAUUUCUCUCCCUCUCGCUCCCGUAAGUUAUACAACUUGAAGUGAAAUAUGAGUGGUCUGAUUCUAGCUUAAAUAAUUUAUUGUGACAUGCUAUCUAAGGACAAUACAUUACCUAGCUCUACAUAUUUUAUUUAACCUCCGGCCCACCCUGUGCAAACUUGCCUUUCCCCUGCAAGACAAGAUUAAUCAAUGUAUCAAGUCUCAAAUUCAAUUUCGAAUAUGACCAUCGUACGCUCUUGUUCUUCCCUCUUUACGAGUGCAUUCCCCCCAACCUCAAGCUCCCUCUCUCGUCUUCAAUGUCACUGCUUAUAUCCUUAUGUUGUUCUAGUUUGAAAUAGUGGCUUCCACUAUUUCAGGGCCCCCAAAAAUCCAGAAACAUACUAUUCAUCACGAUGACAAAAUUUUUGGCAGGCAGGUGCUUCCUGACUUUCACACGGUAAUUCUCAAAUUCUGAUUUCACCAUAUUUUAAUUACUGAUUAGCAUAUAUUCAAGUGCUCUCCAUUAUAACGGAAGCCGCCGCCUCACUCGUGAUUCCAAACUUUUAUCUUUUUUUCCUUUUUUAAAUUAAUGCAAGUAGCCGCUGUCCUUUUUAUUAAUUAAUUAGUUCGGCCGCCCACAUUUCUUUUCCUAAUGUCUUCUACUGUCGAUUUUCUUUUAUUUUCUCUUUUUUCUUAAAAUAUACUUAUAAUAAUAAAAUAUAAAAAUAAAAAUUAACAUAUCAAAAUAUAAUUUAAUAGAAAAUUAAGAUAAAAAAUAAAAAAAUUAUGAGCAUAUCAAUCAAUAAAUGAAAAAUAAUAAUUUUUAUUUUUAUUAAAUAUAUAUUUUUUAAAAUUAAUCAAUUAUCUGAAUAAAUCAAAUCAUUUAAAAAUAAAUAAAUAAAUUAUUCUUAAAUAAAAAAAAGAAACUUUUUAUAACACUCACUAUGCUGGUUGUAGGGUAGACGCUUUGGGGACUGAAGCUGGUAACUUCUACAAGUAGUCUUAAGUUGACUGGCAACAACUAUAUUGGCAUUUAGACAUAAUGUACUGCAACCAUAUUGGUAUGUUCAAAUGUUCUUACUAUUGUAUUGGUGUAUCAAUAUUAUCUCUAACUGCCUUAUAGAUUAAAAAAAAUCUAAAUUUACAAUUUAACAUAAAUAAAAUAAUUGGUAAAAAAACAAUUAUGGUUUAUUUACUUAUCAGUAAUCAGAAUAGACUGAAAUCGAAAUGAGCUGUAUUACCGUUAAUGUGUUUAUGUUGUCCUUGAAUCGGAAUGAAUUAUUUUAAGUUACUAAAAUAUCAUUGGUUUGUUAUUCUAAUUAUUAUUAUUUAAUAUUUAUUAUAAUAUUUGUCAUAUCAUUAAAAAGAAAUAAUAAUGAUGAUAAUAUUAUCAUUAUUGUUUGUUACAUUAUUAUUAUUCAAAAAAAUUAUUGUUAAUAACAAUAAUUACUUUAUUUCAAUAAUAAUAAUGAUGAAAUUAAUAAUAACAAACAUGACAACAACAAUAAUUAUUUAUUAUGCCAAAAAUAACAAUAAUAAUAAGAAUAAUAAUCAUCAUCAUUUUUUUCCCAAAGAAGCAUUAUCAUCAUCAUUUAAAAAAAAAAUCAUCAUCAUCAUUUUUGUAGUUACUGUUUCAAUUUAGGAAGAAGCUGUUUCGUUGUGCUAACGAUGGGAGAUGUUGUGGCUGCGAUUCGGGGAGCUACUAGUUUAUUGCACUAAUGACGACAGGUGCGGCUGCUUGAUGCGAGGUCCAUGGCCAGUUGUCAGCAGUUCGACUUUGGUAUGGGCGUUGCUGGUUCGAUUUUAGGUGUUGUCUAAUUUCAUUUUCAGGAUUUUAAUUUUAAUUUUUUUUUAUAUUUUCAUUAAUUAAUCAGUGCAAAGUUUGAUUUUAGAAUUUGGAAUGAAGGUAAUUUUGUUAAUCAUGGAAAUGAGAUUCUGAUUGUCGAGAAUGAACUUACAAAAUUGCUGCAAAUUAAGUGAAAACAAAACGCUUUUUCUCUUUGUGUGAUUAAAACAUGAAAUGUACCAUAAAUAAAUAGGUAAAAAAUAAAUCAACACAAUUCAAAAUAGUAAACCAAUUACAAGAGGCACAAAUUUUUAUGUGAAAUACCGAAAAUGAAAAAAAACUAUAGCAUCCUAGUCUAAUAUAAUCUUCUACUAUAUUAAUGGGAUUACAGCACAAAUUCUUCCCUAUCUAACACUAGAGAUUAACAAUAUCAAAAAUCUCAAUAAUCUUAACUUACAAUACAACCUAAUAUAUGUCUCUCUAAUAAGUAGAUAUCUAAAAUAACAGUCUCUAAUAAGUAGGUAUCUCAAAUAAUAGUUAAUAAGAGGAUAAAACAAAAAUUAAGAUUAGUAGAAUGUGUAUAAGGCGAUGCUAUCAACUUAUCUUCUAAAUUUGAGAAAAAUAGUUAAAUUCACUUUUUCGAUUGUACGACCAAAGAUGGAAACCCUUGCCCCAAAACCAAAGGAAUCACCAUUGUGUUUUUUUUCUCUCUUUCUCUUUCUCGUUCUUCUCUUCUACUUUUCUUAAUGUUAGCCGCCACUUGCUUUUAUUCUUUAUAGCAUUUAAAAAGCUACUUUUAAUGGUAAAUUCAUCUAAGUCCAAAACUUAGUGAUAAUUGCACACCAAACAAUCCUUUUUGGACUAUGGACUUUUGGGCCUCCAAAUGAGAUGAAUACAACAAAUCUCCCCCUUCAGAUUAUGUGGGGGGCACUACAAGCCCGCUCUCUGCAUAUAGCUUUUCAGCUUCUCCUUGAAUAAUGACUUUGUCAUCAUACAUAACCCAUUCUUCGUUGUGUAAAUCUUCUCAAGCUAUAACUGUUCUUUCUCAAGCACGUCUCAUAUCUAAUGAUAUCUCACAUCAAUUUACUUAGAUUUCGAAUGGUAUAUCAAAUUCUUUGAACGGCACUCUGACUGUCGCAGUACAUAACAUAGUUGUCUCAUUUUAUAUCCAGCUCUUGUAGGAAAUUCUUCGUCCACAAUAUUUUUUUGCAACCUUCAAUAAUUGUAAUAUCAUUUGCUUUAGUGGUAGAAAAGGCAACUUAUUACUAAAGUUUAGAUUGCGAUGAGCUCCCCCUGCAAAAGUGAGCAAACAUCCUAGUACGAAUUUUUCGGAAUCAACAUCUCCUGCCAUAUCUAUACACUUGUAACACAGGUUUGUCACCACCAAAAUAUAAACAUGCUCUGGAAAUGCCUUUAAGAUAUCUGAGAAAUUUUCACUGUUGUCCAGUGCUCUUUACCGGGAUUGAAGAGAAACCACUGACUACACUAGCUGUAUAAGCAAUAUCUGGUCUUGUACAAAUUAUGGCGUACAAUAAACUGCCAACUGCUGAAGCAUAAGGAACUCCUCUCAUGGAGAAAUGGGUUUUGCUCUUGAGAAUUUUGGGAACAUAAAGAAUAAAGAUGUAAUUUCUUGGACUGCCAUUGUUUCGAGGUAUAUAAACAGAAGACAAGUCGAUAUAGCUUGACAAUGUUUUGAUCAGAUGCCAGAACGAGAUUAUGUCUUAUGGACUGCCAUGAUUGAUGGGUACCUUCGAGUGAAUAGGUUCAAAGAGGCUUUGACGCUUUUUCAGGAGAUGCAAACUUCAAAUAUAAUGGGAGACAAGUUUACCAUUGUUAGCAUUCUUACAGCUCGUGCCAAUCUGGGGGCACUAGAUCUGGGAGAAUGGAUAAAGACUUAUAUUGACAAAAACAAAGUCAAGAAUGAUAUAUUUGCGGGGAAUGCUUUGAUAGACAUGUACUGUAAAAGAGGAGAUGUUGAGAAAGCUCAAAAGGUAUUCAGGAAGAUGCUUUGAAAGGACAAAUUCUCAUGGACGACCAUGACUGUUGGCCUUGCCAUCAGUGGCAAUGGUGAUAAAGCUCUUGAUAUGUUUUCCCAAAUGCUUAGGGCUUCGAUCAAACCGGAUGAGGUAGCUUAUGUUGGUGUUCUGUCUGCCUGUUCUCACAAUGGUAACGAAACUUUUGUGAUAAAUAGUUGCAACUUAAGGUGAGAAUUGGAGGAAAGGAAAUAGACUGAAGUUGUUCAAUCAUCAGUGGUUGCUAUUUGGUUUUAAGUUGUUCAAUUAUCGGUCGUCUCUAUUUGGUUUUCUCCAAUAUCUCAUCUUCAGUUUUGACUCAGAUUCUAUCUUACCACUAUUGUUCUGUUCAUUCUAUUUGUUUCCUACAAAAUAUUUCUCCUGCCUAAAAUUUUUUGAAUCAGUAAGUUUUUAUCUUAUGCAAGAAUUGUGCUGAGAGUAAUUCCAUUUCUCAGUCUCGUUAUGUUUCAAUGAAGACGUAAAACUUGUGUUCUAGUGCACCAAUGUUUAUGCUUCUUACAAUUUGACUUUAAUUUACUUUGUAAAAUUUUUGUCAAAAAGUACUAAAAAGUAGUGCACCAAACACCAACUUUAUUAUAGAGAGGACUUUAGUUAAAUUUUAAGAAAACACUCAAAAGAAAGAGUUAUAAUUUAUUAUAGAAAUAUUUCACAUAAAUAAAAGCCAUCCCAUGCUGCAAAGAUCUUGCUAUAAUCACCAAAAACUAUCGGGAGCUUUUAGGGUUUCCAUAAAAAUGUCAUUUCGUUCCAAAAGUCAAUGGUGGGUAGAAAGUGGUGCAAAUGAGACUCAUUCUUAAUGGUAUAAGUUUUUGCUUAAUUAUGUCUUCCCCAAGAUGAUGAUUUAAUUUCCAUUCUCAAUUAAUUUUCAAGUUUCAACACUUUUCUAUGUAGCAUGACAUUGGAAAGAUCUUGUACAGUUGUACUACUAAAAGCUAGCAUCACACGUUAGUUAUUGUUAAGUUCUGUUUCAACGUGAAAUAAAGGAAGUAGUCCUUCAUUAAAACCAUUAUAGCCAAAUUUCACCUAAUUGGACACUUACAGACUUUCAUUUCAAGUUGGAUUUUGGUCCAACGUUUCAAAGUUUGGCCCAAUUAUUUUUGUCCGGUCAAGUCCUACGCAGCUAAGCCUCUCAAUGAAUGAGGGUGAGAUUGCUAAAAAUUACGACAGGUGAUAUUUUAUUAUUAUUAUUAUUAUUAUUUUUGGGGGAUAAAUCCUCACCAAAGUGAGGAGAUUUUAUCCAAAUCAAAAUAAAAAUAUAACAAGAACUGAAAGUCGGGCAGCCUAAAAGCUAGAUGAACUAAAAGUCAGGCGCCUAAAAACAACCUUAUGCAAAAGAGAAGCAAUAUGAGACCGAUCAAGUAAAAGAAUCCACCGCAACACCUAAAUUGGCCAAAUUAUCUGUUGGUAUUACAAGUUUCUUGUUAUAAAAGUGUAGAAUGAAGUAGGUGACGUAGUUUUAAGUUACAGCUGCAUGCCCAAUCGCAAUAUCAAAUAAUGCUUAAAUAUCAAAUAAUGCUUAAAGUAGUUGCCUAGGCCCGCCACAACUUAUAUUAACUCUUAAAUUUAUAAAUAAUUAAAUUUUUAAAAGUUUGGAUUUAUAUUAAAAAAUCUUCAUAUAAAUAAAUAAUAUAUGCACUUUUACAACAGUCUUUAAAUUUAAAUUUUUCAAAAAAAAUCUUCUGUAUAUCUUUUCUAUUAAAAAAAUUUCCAUAUAAAUAAAUAAUAUACCUAAUUUAAUUGGACCGAGCACAACGCACAUGCAUAGAACACAUUCCGAAAAGCCAUGCUAUUCAGAAAUUGACGAAUGAAAAGUGAGGAGGCAGCAGUCAAUGCUAUUUCGGCUUGGCCCAAAAUUGAUUUAUCAGUUUGACGUGUGCCAGGAAUGAAGAACUGGAAUAUCACCGUCAAGCAGCACCCUGUGGAGCAAUACCAUAGAAUGCACAAUCUGGCUUUGCCAGGUGACACUGGAGGCUUUUUGAAAAGUGCUUCAAAAAGCCUUUUCUGAUCGAGUCUGAGCACUCAAAUUUUGGUCCUCAGAUGGAGCUACAGCUUUCUCUCCAAUAACCAACAAUUUUCUAAACUCAGCUCCUAGUGUGAUGAGAGUUGUUGAUAUUUGUAAAUGGAGAUCCCCGUAUUUGCAAAUGGAGACAUUUACCAAAUCACCAACAUGCUUCAUCCAGUCUACGAAAUUCUGCAGCUGAUUCAAAUCCGGAACCUGAACCAGAGUCGGAGGUAAAUCUUGAGCCAUAUCUAAAGCAGUCUGAAGUUCAAGUACUUGAGCCCUUGACAAUGGUUUUGAAAUUGGAACAUCUUGGAUUACUGCAGACUUGUACCCCUUGGUUUCAAAGGUAAGGAAAGGCAUUGCUUGAGUACAAUUUGGAGGCAGCUUCUUCACCAAUUUUAUUUGGAGGCAAUUGGCAGCGGAUCCAGCUGCACCAAUUUCAGAGCAAAUACUGACACUACUUCAAACAGCACGCUGAAGAAGAGAUAUGUCUAUGGCAAAGACAAUGCAGUCCUCAUUUUGACUUGAGAUGCGGUAAUCAUCAAAGAGAGUUUCCUUGUGAAACUGGGCAACACAUUGAAUCCCUUCACCACUGAGAAGGUUGUGGAGGAAGCAAGCUUUCUCUCUAGUAAGGAAGAGGUGGCAUACCUUCCCCAUUUUGUCUAGGACAGGUAGGAAUCUUUUUUCUAAGAGAUUUACUCCAUUCUCUGUGAGAAAUGCUUUGAACUUCAUCCCUCUGUCUCUAUCCUCACUUAUCAGUAAAAUAGUUGAAAGCACUACAAGGAGAGAAAAGAAGAGUAUUAAGAUAUAUAUAGACAAGAAAAACAUUAGAUGUCGAUCUUACAAGCUAAUACUUCAAACAGUAUCCUAGAAAGCUAAAAACUGCAAAAUGGCUUGAAAUUUGAAAAGAACACAUGCUUUUCCUCCUUAACUUGAGAAAAUGUUUAAUAUAGUGCACCUUACAGAAACAUUUAAGCAAUUAGAACUUUGCACAAAAACAUUCAAGAAGACUAAACAAAUCAGAUGCAGUGUAUUUCUCCAAGCACAAAUGGCAUUGCAUUUUCUCCUCAACUGUAAUAUUUAUUGAUGAAAAUCAGUACAGGUCCCUCAUUUGUUAUGGAAAGCUUUCUUGUAGUCUGACCGGUUAAUUCACGGGUCUAUAAUCAUCUUGCAAAGUUACAGGCAUUUCUUUCGAUUUAAAGUCUUUGCAUCACCACCUCAUCACACACCAAGCCAAUAUUCCGUCUACCUCUACAACAAAAAGUUUUAAGUAAACGAUCCUAAUGCAUGCAGCCAAAUAAAAUGCAGUAAGAAUAUUCAACUUAAAACUCUGAAAGCCAUCUUGGUGAAUUGCCUCCUUAGGGGAAGUUCCAUGCUUUACUAUACUUGACAGGACUGAGCAAAAGCUUCCAUACGACAGAUUUUGACAAUAAUGAUGCCAACAGAUCCUCAUUAAAUCCAUUAAAACUCCAAAGGUUCAUUGUUCAUGGAUGUUUACAGAGUUUUGGUCAUCAAAUAGCUCAGACCACAAUCCCAAACAAAAAAGGAGUGAAAAUUAGAUCACCAGCAGCUAAUUGUAAAUUCUAACUUAACUCUUCAUCUCCUUUGUAAACAGGAGACAAAAUGGAGACACGCAAAAUGAAUAAGGAGAACAUUUGAACUCAAAUGAAAUGAGGGCACGAAAUCAAACAAAUGGCAUGCGCAAACAAACCAAGCCUCAAUCAAAAACUAAAUAACCAUUAAGAAAAAAAAACUGGUCAGAGAAUGAACUCCAAAUUCGGGAGUGAAGCAAGAAGCUUUCAUUAUUUCAGAAGCUCCUGUACAAAUUAAUAAGUUAUGCUCUUUGGAAACAAACCUAAAUUCCAAGAGAAACAGAACUCAAAAAAUUUGCAAUUAUACGCAAAGGAAGCGAAGCACAGCAUUCUAUCACACGUACAAAUUGUAUAACAAGAGAUCGACACAUCGAAUCAGAAGAAUUCAAUUCAAAUUUGUCUCAAAAAUCAAAAUUAGAAGAUUUCACAUUUCGAGAGGAACAAGCGACAGGUCAGAUGCACAAUUUUCAACCACAACAUGCCACAAUUAACGGUUUAUUUCCAUGGAUUUAGAGAGCUGACUGACCUUUUGGCUUUUGGAAUUGAGAAGAACGCGCGCCAAAAUGGAAGAGGGAAAGCGAAAGUGCGGGUUUCAAUAGGGUAUUGGAUUAGCAAAUUUUAUUAGUUUGCGAGGGUAAAAUAGGAAAGAGAUAUCACUAUUAACUUUUUUUUUUAUAAGAAAAAAGAAUAAUAAAGAAUAUUUUAUUGUCAUUUGCAGCAUUUAAUUUUUUUUAAAUGCUAUUAGAAAAAAACGACAAUAAAGAAAUGCUCUUUUUUUAUUUUUUUCUCGAAGGUAAAAUCAAUUAUUUAGCGUCUUAUAUGUAAUCUAACUCCAUUUCUUACUUUAAGUCAUAUCCAACUGACCAAUAAAGUAAUUGUUUUUUUUUUCAUUCAUUUUUACAGAAAAUUAAUAUUGAAAGCUAUUGUAAAAAUUUUUAUUAUCAACCUCAUAGUUUAAUUUUUUUGGGGAAGAAUUGAAUUUUUUUUUUUAAUUUCCAAGAAUUUCAUUCUCUAGUUUUUCCAUUAAUAUUACUUAUCUUGAUACCCAUCUUAAUUAAAAUCUGUAGUUUUAUUCAGGAGUCAUGCUAUUCAUUCACUCACAGACCAAAGGCUUUCCGCAGCAAUAUUAUUAUUUAAAUUACAACAAAGGGGAAAUCAAAUACGUCAUACAGAAGCUUAAAGCUGAAUCUACAAAAUCUAGAGCUCUCAACUACAAAAAUUACACUUGAUGAUCCUCUACAAGAUGAAACUUGUUCAAUAUCUCAUCCAAAGCUUGUAAAGUAACCUUGUAACGAUCUUGAGAUUGCCUGCCUUCCUCGACGACCUGCACGAUGCGUUUGUACAAAUCAUCAUACCUGUGCACCGGAUUUUUAAUAUCAACGCCACUGCAGCUGUGAUCAAGAACAUAAGAGCGUUUAACAUCUUUUCUCCAUCGAGAAAGAAUGUAGUGAGGUGGGAUCUCCUGCAUGCCACUCUGGUUUAGAACACAAAGAAUGUGUCUGCAUAAAUAUCCUCUGAAAUUGAACAACCCACAAACACAAAGCACCUCCUGCAUAAAUAUCUUUCUCGUUGCUACCAAUCUCAAAUUCUUCCUUCACUAUCUAUGUUAUAGGUCCAUCAGCACUGACAUGUUUUGUGCUAUAGCAAGAGUACAUAGCCUCCACCUCCGUCUGAAACUUCCUUAACAUUUCAUUUGUGUACAGUUUUGAGAGUUGAAAUUCAUAGUAACAUCUUGGUUUCUGGAUACAACUUGAAUUUCUUGAAUCCAUAUCUGCCAAGGCUUCCAGUUGAUAAUUCGCCUGCAGUGCUUGAUCAUACUUGUCUAAGAAUUCUUUCAAAGGAGUACUCUUAUCAAGAUAUCCUUCAAAGUAUGAAGUAGAAACCUCAUUCUGCAGGAAUGAAAACACUCCUGAUAAAAAUGCUUCCUUCAAAUAAACAGGAGCCCACCUUUUACGAUCUUCAUAUAAAGUUUGAAUCCAUCCAUGAUCCUUUAUUCCAUGACGUUGAAUCGUGUCCUCCCAAGCUGUCUCAAAUUCCUCAGGCCUAAGAGAGUGAUAAAUUGCUCUAUGCAAUGCAGCUCUAACAGCUUCAUAUUCAAACAAUCCUUGGAGUUUCUCUGAAAUUUUUUGCAUGACGCAUGACAAUGAAAAGCAAUGAUAAGCUCUUGGGAAAGCAUUGCUGACGGCAGUUUUCAAGAUUCUACAUUGGUCAGUGAUGAUUGUUUGUGGACAGCGUCCUAACAUACAUGUAAGCCACGCCCUAAACAACCAUGUAUAUGAUUCUAUAGUCUCACUGGCGAGUAAACCACAGCCCAACAGCACUGAUUGUCCAUGAUGAUUCACCCCAAUGAACGAAACCAGUGGUACAUCAUAUCUUUCUGUCAAGCAUGUAGUAUCAAUUAAGACUACAUCACCAAAGUACCUAUAUGCAACUCUUGACCUGGUAUCAGUCCAGAAGAGGUUUCUCAGGCAUCCCUUUUCAUUUAGAUCCACCACAUUAAAAAAGUUUGGAUCUGUCAACUGCAAACGACAAAAGAAACUCUGGACAGCUUGUGCAUCUCCUGGUUUAAGCUUCAAUUGAUUUGAGCUAUUAACAUCAUUUCCAAAUACUCCAUUAACAUCUAUAUUACCAUUUCCCUCGGUAUCAAGGAUAAGAGUUCGAAACAGUCUAAUUUUUUGAACUUCUUCAGCACCAUCUAAGAGCAAUGUUCUUUUGGUUCCAAUACCCAUGUGCUUAUGAGACUUGUAAAACUUUCCGCUUCUUGGGCUUAACAAACGGUUAUGCUCAAGCUUGACUUCAAUGAUUCUCCACCUUUUGGUUUCCAUCAACCUAAACUUUAUCAUUGCUGGACAGCCAGUUCUUGUUUCUGGUCUUGGGCGGUUUGCCUCGCUUUUCUUCUUUAAGCCUGCACUACUACAGCUCAGCUUUCCUCUAUACUUUUCUCUACUCUUUCGGUACCAUGUAUUGCUAACUCUAACACCAAAACCCUGUUCCUUGGCAUAGCAAUUAUAAAAGUAAUAUACGUCAUCAUACGUCUCAAACUCCAUCCCAACAGCAGGAGGCAAUGGAUUUUGGAUUAUCCCAGUUUGUCCAACAUAUUCAGUCAUCGCACAAUCUCCUAUUCAAAAUCAUCAGCGUCAUCAUCACCUACGGGUUCAGUAUUCAGAGAAACUUCAUCCAUCUACAAUAGAUGUUUAAUGAAGUGAGCUUUAAGGAGAAAAGGCAAAAUCAGUUCAAGGAAUGAUAAUAAAACCGUACAGUUACUUUCACAAAGCUUCGUAUUUCAUCACUACUUUAACAACAUGCAACUGCCUGAGAACAUACAGACAUGUCAUAGAUGCUUGAAUUAAGUAUUGAUACAAAUUAGCACACAUCAUGUGGGACACAAUUUCAGUCACUAAACCCAAUACCUUUUUUUUACAUCAUACCAAGAAACAGAUUAAACCCAAUACCUUCUUUUACGCCAUACCAAAGAACAGAUUAAAUCAUCAAUGAAAAAUUAAUCACAUAAUAAUUUAACUAGACAAUUGAAGAGCUCAAAACAGCACAAUACUUGAAUCUGAUUAUGAUAAUUGUUGAGUCCUUGUAUCGACAGCUUUCCUUCAAUGAGAAGAUUAUGAACAUAAACUACACACAAAAAAAAAAAUUAUUUAAACUGACAGCCCAUGAUAUAAAUCAAACAAAAUUAACUCCUUUUACAAAUCACAUCUUGUAUUCAUUUACAUCGAAACAUAAAAAGGAAGCAGGAGCCAAAAAAAACAACAGCACAGAAACUUCUUUCCAUAAGGUUUACGAAAUAAGGAAUUUAUUAAGACACAAAAUUUGAGGUCACCUAUAAUAAUUUGGUUCUCAUUCUCUUUUUCUUCAUUUUUCACUUAUUGAUGGAGUUAGCAUACAAUCCUAAAUGAUAAAACCCCAUCUCCAUUUUUGAACUAGAGCUAAAGCAAAGCAUUUUAGGAUUCAUCAUUUUUUUUUCUAAAAGACUCAAUAGUACAAUGUUUUUCAAUAUUAAAUACACAACUCAAUCUUCUCCUAAUUUACUCUAAUAAUCUCUUAACUUAGGAAGAUUAAGCUCCACUUGUAAGCUAAAACAAUUUUCUUAAAUCAAGCCCCAAUGCUCUAUACUAUUCAACAAGGCCUCAUAAAUGAUAAAACUACCUCUACAAAGAUACCCAUUUUAGUUUCGCAAACUAAAAUCAAACUCCUGAAACGUAACGAGCAUUAAAACAAACAAGUCCGAACAAGAACUGAAAAAUCAUACAUAAACUCGUUUACACGCUUCGAAAAACACUUUGAAAUUCAAACGAAACAUACCUUAGGUUGAUAAAUUAGUAGCGCAAAAGAAAUUUUAGUGAGAUAUGGGAUCAGGGUUUUUGCCACGGUGAUGUUAAUUGCGACAUUGGGGUGACUCAGCAGCCUUCGAGGCUGAAACUUUGAUUGACCAAAAGCUUCCCGUUCGUUGAUUAUCUAAUUGCAGAAACGAAACUCGCAGUGUACAGAAGAAGUACGCUGAUUUGAUAAUUCUGUGAAAAUCAUUGUUUUUUUGAGAUUUUUAAUGUGUUCGGUAAAUAUCAAAAUCUCAAAAACUUGUCUUUCAUUUUGGGGGGAAAAACCCAUUGAGAUCCUUAUGUUUUUUCUUAUAUAAUCUGGCUUAAUAAUUUGCAAAGUCUAUUACUUUGCACCCAUGCAUGCUGCGUUUCAAUUUUACAAAAUUGUACGUGAGUGCAUCCAGCUAAAAUUUGUAAAAAGAAAAUAACAAUAACAUGUUAAAAAUGUGAUGAUUAUGAAGAAAUUUUAAUUUAGUUAAAUAGGUGACGAUGGAUAGGUAUAAAAUCUGAGAUCUUUUAUGAGAUUAAUAAGUAUGUUGAGUUUGGAUUAGUUCAAUUUUGACAUAAUACAGAAUAAACACAAUCUGCUAAUCUAAGUUAUCAUCUUUUCUCGUCAUCAGGUACCUGUUUGAAAAAUAAUUAUAUACAAUUUUAUUUGCGUUGUCUCUCCAAAAAUUUUGGACUCGAAUGUUAUUUUUAAUUGCUAAAAGUACGAAAAUGCCCCCUUUCUCUUCAGCUAAAGGAGUGCAAAGUCAUCUGUAUAAUUGAAUCUGCAUCAUCAGUUUCUAUUGCUGGCUGGUGUUACUGCAUGCUUACAGUUGCUUGACAAAGUGAGCCAGUUUUUUGUUUAUUAAUUUUUUUUCUUGUCGAGACAGUCACAAAGUAUUACUUGUUCCAUAUGAGAAUGAUGUGAAUCAAUUUUUCAAUUAUGCAUUCUGUGGUAAUUAUUGUGAAUUUAGUUUCAUUUGUCUUGUCUCCUGCAAAUUUUGAAGAAAAUGCAGACAUACAAACUUACAAUAUGGAAGAGUUCACUGGAAAAAACUUUGUGAAAGCUUCCAAGUGAAACAGGGAAUGGGCUUACUAGUAAAGGACAAAUUGGUGGCCAGCUAAUGCAUUCAUUCUAUGUCCAUUCAUCUUUUCGAAUUAUUGAAGACAAGUGGCUCACCACUUUUAGUAUUGGUAAAAUUCAGAUAAUCUCUAUUCCGAAAUAAUAAUAUUCAAAAUAUCUCUUAAAUCAUUAUAAACCUGAAAUCUAUUUUAAUUUUAUUUAAAAGAUAAAAGAAAAAUAGGUUAUGUUGGUGAUUUUUUAUUAUCUUUUUAAUAAAAAUGAAAUAAAUUGAUGUUUAUAAUUAUUUAAAGUAUUUUAAAGAUUGCUAUUUUAUGAGAGAAUAAUAUUUCACUUUUUUAGUGUGAAAGAUUGAAAAAGGACAAACCAAGUUUCCCUAAUUUUUAUUUUAUUUGAAAUUGGUCAUCUCACAUACUUCACCCUUCAACAUUAUAAUUUUUUUGGUUAUAAUUUUAUUAUUUUUUCUCUUUUACACAUGCAUGUGAAUUACUUUUCUUUAAGCUCCUGAAUAUUUAAGACAAAUCAUGGAAGAGAUGAGAGUAUAACAAGAUGAUCAAAAUAUGUAACAAAAAAAUUUUAGAAGUGAAAAAUAUGUUAGAGUCGAAGUAAAACUCUGAGGUGAUGUUUGAUUUGAAGAAAAUGGAGGAGAGGAAAAGAGUGGAAUGGAGAGGAAAAUAGAGAAAAGGAGAGGAGAGGAGAGUGAAAUUUUUUUCUAAUGUUUGGUUUGUCACAUAAUUAUACAAAGAAAAGAAAUCUCUAAUUUUUUAUUUAGACAAUUUUAACCUUAAUAAGUAUUAAGCUUUCAAUAUUUAUCAUGUGUAUAAUUUAAAAAAAGUAAAUGGUAGAAAGCGGUUUCUGAUUCCGGCCACAUCGCCGGCAAUGGAAGGUACUUAUCAGAACAUCAAGAGCCGACCAUCAUUCCCUAGCCAUCACUGCUGUCAGAACACUGCCAGAAAGCUGCCGAUUGAACCGCAAAAAGUCGUGGAAAUCGCUGCCUCAAAUCGGUGAGUUUCGCCUUUUUCUGGUCACGCCGUCACCUUGGCUUUGUCCAUCAAGGCUGCCACUUCCAUUUUCAACCAUCCAUAGCCACUAUUAACGGCCAAAUCGCCGCCGAUCAGCGGGAUAUGUGGAAGUUAAAAAGUUUCUAAAUUUUUUUGACUGGAUUUGAACAACAUACGACCAUUUUUUGAUCUCGAUAACGACGUAGUAAUGUUGAUCAUUGAUCGGCAAGUCGAAUGGUAGUGGCGGUGAGUAACAUGCGCCAAUGACAUCGGCGGCGGCACUAUCCGGCGACUGUUAAAAUUAAUAUUUUAUAUUUUUAGAUUAAAUAAAUUUAUUUUAUUAAACUUUUUAAAUCAUUAUUUAAAUUUAAUUAAUUUAAAAUUAUCUAUAAUGUUGAAUUGAUAAAAUAAAUUUAUAAAUAAUAAUUAUGUGAUUACAUUAAAUAAGUUAAAAAGUUGAAAGGUUAUUUUUGGAAGAUUUAGUUUCCAACACAAAGGGAAUUUGAAUUCUUCACUUCUUAGUGUGGAAUUCAAAUUCUAUAUUGUAAUGGAUAUUAAAUUCCAAUAGAAAUUAAAUUCUUAUAAAUUAUGUCAAACCAAACAACGGAAAUAAAAAAGGAAUUUAAAUUACUUUCCUUUCCUCCAUUGUCUCCUUCCAACCAAAUACAUCCUGAAAAUAGAGAUAUUGAUUAAUUUAGAAGAGAUGCAAGCAAAAGAUAUUCCAAAAAAAAAAAAAGCAAUAUGUCCCUUUGGAGGGCAAACUUGUCAGUUUUAAAAAAGUACAUGCUUUGGAUUGAUAGUUGUAGGAUAUUUGUUUUGUCACUAUGUAUUAGUUGGAGAAGUCAAGCCUUGUGAAGAAUGUUAUGAAAGAGCAAAAGAUAUUCCUGAUAGCUGAUAGAGCUAUAUUUGAUUAUGUAUCCAACGAAUGGAUGUGUUGUUGGAAGAUAUCUGAGUGCAUUAGUUCAUAUGUGUAUGUCAAUGUGCUUUUAAUGAUUUUUCCACUUGUUUGUUGUAAAAGAUUAUUGUAAAUUGAAAUGAACUUGAUGUUGUAAUAUUUUUUCCUUAGUGGAAUUUCACCUAGUAUGUAUUCAGUUGUGUUCUCUAUAAUUUUGCAUUCGAAUAGUUUCACCUAAAUAUAUUAGCAUGAGUAGUGGCCCUUGAAACUUUGGUCAAAAUUAUUGUUAUUAUUUCCGACUAGAUGUAAAUUUUUUAUUAAAUCUCGUUAACACAAUUCUUAAUUAAAAGUAUAGGUUAGUGUUGGUGCAAGAUUUGCCACACCAAAUUCUGCCUAGCUGUCAAAAGUGCAAAAUAAAUGAAGAGAAAGCACAAAUACACGACUUGAAUAAGGAUACAACGAAACUUAAAUUCAAGAGAAAAUGAUAGCUAUAUCUCAAGAUUUGAAAAAAUGAUCAUGUAGAUUUUUAAGAUUUCAAUAAGCGACUGAGAUUCAAAUAAUAUCCUUUAAUUCUAUUAACAAAAAACAAAGACUCAAAUAUUUUAUGAUAAAUAAAAAUAUAAUAUUAAAAUAUAUGUGAUAAUAUACACAUUUUAAAUACUUUCAAUCCAAAAAAAUAGUUAUGUUUUACAAUCUAUUAGACAUAUUUUAUUAAAUUAAUAUAAAUUUUCUAUAAAAUAAGAAUAUAAUAUUAAAAUAAAUUCACUAAACUUUAAAGAAUUUUGAAUGUAAAAUAAUUUUAAUAUAUUAAUACGUGAGUUUUUUUAUUAAUAUAAAAAUUAUUUAACUUUAAGAUUUUUUAAAAUCUUUACAAUAAGUAUAACUAUAUUAUUUACAUUUAAAAAUAUUUAAAUAUUAUUAACCUACAAUUAUAUUUGCAUUUGUUAGAAAUUUUUUAAGUAAAAUAUUUUGCACUUCUAUAUUAUUAGAAUUAUUGCACACAAAGAAAGAAACAUAUACCUUUAGAAAUUGUUUUCUUUUAAAAUAGAGAUGAUGAUUAGUAUAAGGAUGAAAAAAAGGAUAUUAACGAAAUCUCUAUACAAAUUGAUUUUAGUAGGAAAAGAGUGAGAUGAAUGAUUCUUUUACAAUUAGAAACAUAGAUGAUGAUUAUUAUAACGAAGAAAAAAAGAUAAAGAAUAUUAAUUAUUAAUGGAAUCUCUAUGCAAAUUGAUUUUAGUAGGAAAAAAAUGAGUUAAAUGAUUUAGAGUGCGUUUGGAAUUGAGAUUGGGCAGCCAUAGAUUUUAAGUUACAACACUGAAGUGUUUGGUAAAUACUAGCUGCUGCAGAUUGAAAGUUAUGUUGAUAUGAUUUUUCACAUGUAUCAUAGAAAAUAUAUUACAUCUUUAAUAAUUUUUUUAAAAUUUAUAUUUGCUAUAUAUUAUUAUUAUUUUUUUUAUAGUUAUAACUUUUUUUCCACAGCAGCUGUAGCUUAAAAGCCACAGCACCUCAAUUUCAAACAAGUCCUUAGACAUUCAUAGUGUGUUUAUUUUUUGGAUUGGUGAAUAAAAAUUAUUGACAACGCUAACUUCAUCUUCACCGUUCGCAAUCCAACAGCAGCAAUUGUCACCAAUAAUGAUAUCUCCAAUGAUGAUGACAAUUAUUAUUAUUAUUAUUAUUAUUAUUAUUAUUAUUAUUAUUAUUAUUAUUAUUAUUAUUAUUAAUAAUUAAUUAAUUAAUUAAUAUAUUAAUGUUAAGAUUAUUAUUGUUAAGAUUAACAAUAAUUAUUAGUAAUACAAUUUUUUGAAUAAAAAUAAUCACAAUAAUUAAAAUACAAAUUAAUAAUUAUGACAAUAGUUAAUUAAUGUCUUUUUAGUGAAUCAAAAUUAUUGACAACGCUAACUUCAUCUUCACCGUUCGCAAUCCAACAGCAGCAAUUGUCACCAAUAAUGAUAUCUCCAAUGAUGAUGACAAUUAUUAUUAUUAUUAUUAAUUAAUUAAUUAAUUAAUGUUAAGAUUAUUAUUGUUAAGAUUAACAAUAAUUAUUAGUAAUACAAUUUUUUGAAUAAAAAUAAUCACAAUAAUUAAAAUAAAAAUUAAUAAUUAUGACAAUAGUUAAUUAAUGUCUUUUUAGUCAUUUAUAGUAAACAAAUUAUUAUGAUUCCUAUUCUCCUUUCCCAUUUUAGCUCACUUUGAUUUCAGUCUAUUCCGAUUUCUAUCUAAUAAAUGCACCAUUAGUGCUAAAGUAAUAUUUCAUACAUAGAAAAGUAAAAACUACACCUAAGGUUAAGGGAAAGGACUUCAAAACUCUCUUUUGAUUAUAAUACUAGGAAAUAAAACCGCGCUUCGCGCGGCUUUAGAAAAUAAAUUUAGUAUUAUCAAUUUUCUUUCUUUACACUCGACAAAACUGAUAAAAAAUAUAAAUUAAUUUUUUUUAAAUGAGCCAGCGUUAUAAAACUAAUAUUAUUUAUGAAAGUUAACUAUUUUUUUGUUAACUUUAAAAAUAUAUAUUAACGUGUAUAGUUUAAGUGUACAGACUUUAUACCUUUUGUAGUUGAUAAGUUCCAAAUUAAAUUUUGUAAUUGAGGAUCCUUAGCAUUGAAGUAUAAAAGAAAUAAGUAAAAUACAUGUAAAGACUUUUGUAAUUUAUUUCGCAUCGUUUGUAGCUGCGUAGGUGAGCAGUUGUUUAUAUCAAGCUUGCAGCUAUGGCAAGUUCCAAUGGGGAUCAGCAACACCUAGUGCCAAAAUGUUCUUUAUCUGUAUAUAAACCAUGUCUCCAUGGAUUAGAGAGAAUGAAAGGAGAAACAGUUGAUGUAAAAAAGAAUGCUUCUUCACGUACUAUGUUCUUUGGCGAUUAAAUCCUCCAUAACAGCUUGGAAAACUCAGCCAAAUUACCAUUUUGUUGUCUCGAUAGUUCCUUUGAUUUAUCCAUUUGUCUACUGAAUAAUUAAAACACAUAAUAAAAAUCAUUAUUAUAGGGUGAAGUAAGAGCUUGCAAUGUAUAAAUUAAAUUUUAAAAUAUAAUCUAAAAAUGUGAUACCUUGAUUUUGUGAGCUAAUGUGUGAAUAUUUUGAAAUACUUCUUUGUAGACAAUGUUUUUUAUGAAGGUUCGGUCUUCUACCUCUUGAUCGGCAUUUAGUAUGGUCAAUCCUUCUCUUGAGGUAACUCGAGACACGGCGACAUAUAAUUGACCAUGUGUGAAUACUUGCUUAGGGAGAUACAAGCCAACAUGUUUAAGAGAUUGUCCUUGGCUUUUGUUGAUCGUCAUGGCAAAACAUGGUGCUAAAGGAAGUUGUCGUCUGUUAAGCUUGAAUGGCCAUCUUGAUUCAUUAGGAGACAUAAUAAUUCUUGGAAUUGUGACAUUUUGUCCAAUAUUUGUUCCAGAAAUGAUGUCACCUCUAAUGGACCAUUUACCAAGAUGAGUGACAAUUAAUCUUGUGCCGUUGCAUAGGCCUUCUAUUUGAUUUAGAUUUCUGAGAAGCAUUACGGGAGCACCUUCCUUAAGUCGUAUGUCAUGAUUAGGGAUGCCAUUGAAUUUCAAACUAUUCAAAAAUUCAGUUGGAUAUAGAACAUCUUCAUCAUUUGUGUUUGCGCUUGCUUUGCAUAUACUGUCUGAGCUAAAAUAGGUUCUCCCUUGACCAGGUAUUAUAUUCAUAAUCAUCUCGUUCAAUUCAUGCACCAUUUCAUUUUUUGGGGUUAAUAUUGCUCUUUCUUUCAAAUAUGUUGGAUCACUGUAGUUAUGCUGAAUUGAUGGGUAGAUAGUGUCGACUAUUGAUUUUAUCAGAUUUUCUGAUGGUUUCUUACAGAUAUCAGAAGGUAGUUUAACUAAAUCUCUAUCAAUGUCAUCAUAUAAUGAACCAUCUCCAAUCUGCAAUAACCAUUUGUCAAAAGAAGCUAUUUUAGCAGCCUAAGAGCCACUCACACUUCCAUUAUAGAGCCUCAUAUUUUUUUUGAGGUCAUAAAUUUUGAAAAAUGGCCACAAGUAGGAUGAGUUAAGUGAAGCAUCAACAAUGUCUGCUCUUGUCCUCUUUGGCACAACUGGCAAUAUUUGUCGGAAAUCGCCACCACAUACUAUUGUAAGUCCUCCAAAAGGUUUGAUAGAACUAUUUUCAUACAUUGUUCUUAGAAUAUCUCUCAAGGUCCUAUCCAAAGCUUCAAAGCAGAACUUAUGUGUCAUAGGCGCUUCAUCCCAAAUGAUCAAAGAAGUUUUCAUAAGAAGUCCAGCUAAUAAGGUGCCUUGUCGGAUUUCACAAGUGGACUCUGCUGUCACAUCCAAAGGAAUAUGAAAUCGCGAAUGAGCUGUCCUACCAUUAGGCAAUAACAAAGCUGCUAUACCUGAAGUUGCAACAGGCAAGACUAUUUUAGAAUGUGAUCUGAGCUUUGCAAUAAUUGUAUUCCACAAAAAUGUUUUACCAGUACCACUGUGUCCAUUGAUAAAAAAUAAACGCCCUUCUUCAUUGUCAACAGAAUGCAUUAUUGCUUCAUAGGCUGAUUUUUGGCAAGCAUUUAGAGCAGCAAACGAUUUCUCAUGCAACUUCUUUAAUUGAUCACGAUCAUAAUCAAGCUCUUCAUUGACCAAUCGGUUACCUGAAUCUCUUAUCAAAGAAGAAUUAGGAAGUGGCAUUCCAUCUAUGUCUCUCAAACUUUUUCCCAUUUUCAACAUGAUAGUUUAAAUCUCCAACAAUGUGUAUGCUUCAACUUGUUGCUCGGUUAACUGAAGAUCUUUCAAUCUGAAUUUUUUCCUUUGCAAUGAAGUUAUGUCUUCUGAUAAAGUAGUAUAAUUAGAUUUCCAAAGUUGGGGUGCAUCAGAAACCUGACAAUGAAUGAGUAUCGUGACAAAAAGAUGUCUUAAUUCAUUUCCAGUCGCCCAUAUUGCAGCUUCAGUCAAGCAGUCGAUCCAUUCUUUAUCAUCGUCUAAUAAUCCCAAAGCAUAGCACGCAGCUUUAAAAGUUGGAUAUGUCACUCCAUUUACUGUUCUAAUACUUUCAAAUGAAGUGCUUCCUUUUACAAAAUUGAGCAACAUUCUCAUAUAAAAUCGUUCUCCACUUGAAGGAUGUGCAAAGUAAAUUCUUCCGAUUGCUAAGCCAUUUUUUCUCCUAGUCCAAGUUUUGUCUUUUGAAUUCCAUACCCAACAUGUAGGGAAAUCAGAAUAAGUUAACUCUCGUGCAUCAUCAUAAUUCUUGUUUGCCUCCAACCAUUCUGUGAACUUUGUUUUUUCUAUUCCAGGUAUGGUAAGCACAUUUUCUAAGCACUUAGAUUCUUCGAAUAUUACUGUAUGCUCUCCCGGUAAAUGGAACGGCAAUCUUUCAACUGCUGGCUUUCUGUAAUGUAUGUCAAAUUGGAAGAUUCGCCAGCAAGCUUCGGUUGCUGAUAUAUAUCUGCAGUCCAAAUAUGUUUUGAUCUCGUCCAUUUCUUGGGUAGUGUCAAUAGAUUCCAUUGUUGCAGUUGUUCUAUCAGACCCUUUAUGGACAUACUUGAAAAGAUAUUUAACUGAUCUCGAGUAAUUACAAAUCUCAACAUUAAUAUGUGCAUCAAAUUUGACAAUUAAAUUCCUGUGAUAAGGGACCACAUAUCGAUUAUCCAAGAAGACACCUUUCUUUUCGACAUGAAUACCUGUAUUUCUCCUUUUAUAGAUUGGAAAACCAUUUGUAUCCACUGUUGUCUGAUCAUUAAAUUUUUUUGGAAAAUGUUUUGUGCACUUGUCUUGCAUCAUGCAUGGAGAGUGAGAAUUGUGUUUUCCACACGGUCCAUGAAUCAUAAAUUUGUUAACUGCAUUAUAACCAUCAGGAUCAACAUUUAAGUCAGGGAUUUCUGCACUUAUUAUUUUAUCAAUAUGGUCUGCAGAAGGAUUUUUCAUUGUUGGAUGCAAAAAAAGCAGUAUGUGUGCAUAGGGCAAGCCUCUUUUUUUAAACUCAAUUGUAUAUAGACCUGCCACAAAAUAGAGUAAAAUUUAAAAGUUAGAAAUAUUGAUUUUAAUUGUGAAAUUAUUGUUUUUCCCUACACUUUUCAAUAACAAAUGAGUUGAAUUUGUUAUGGAUACGAAUUUGAAGUGAACUUACAUGCAAUUAUUUUUCCAAACGGUUGAUCUUUUUUCAAAUCUUGCAUUAGUUGGAAUAAUUUUAUCUCGAAAACUCUGCAUAUGAUAUCGACUCGAUUGUCAUCAUUAUUUUGUCCAACUAAUCGGAGCAUGUUAUUUAUUUCUUGCCACUUUGGGUUGCAAGUGAAAGUAAGAAAUAAAUCAGGAUAUCCUGCCCAUUUACAAAUUGCCAUAGCAUCUUGAUAAUUUUGUAUUCUAUAUCGUGGUCCCCCCGUGUGUGAUGAAGGUAGAAUAAUCGAUUUUCCAACUUUCGAACAAUCAGAAUCACCUCGAUGAACAGCAUCCAUCAAACCAGAGAAAAGGUCUGAUCGAAGUUUUUGUUGAUUAUUCCGGAUCCAACGAAAUCUUUCUUCUUCAACUGCCAUGUAACAAUCAACUAUAUAUUGUUGGAAUAGUCUACCAGUUUGAAGUAGAGUGUGUCCCUCAUUCAAUCUUUGUUGCAACCUAAAGCAAUAAUAUUGCCUCAUUGUCAGCUUUUGCCUCUUAAAAGGGCUAUCAGUUAUGUCUCUUAAAGAUAUGUCAGGUCUAUAUCCAUCUUCGCCAUAAGGAUAUAUUAACGGGUAUGUCAUGGGCAUGAAGCUUGGAUGCAAAUCUGUGAUUCUCCGAAGUCCCUUUGUGCGAUGCUCUAUAAUAACAUCGCGUUGAAAGUUUGCUUCACUGAAAUCACCAACUAUUAAGCCUGCAACUUCUGAAACUGUUGGUAUAUUGUAUCGACGACCAUCUCUUGUUCUACUAUUAAGGAGUCGUAAACGGAAUGUAGAUUCUGGUUGUGUUUUGUAUCUAUCCCUCGCCAUUCUAAAAGAUUUGACCAAAUUAUUAUGUUGGUCCAACAUUUUAGAUAGUUCAUGAAGAAUUUCGUGAUCAAUUUCUGUCUUCAUUCCAUGUUUUAAUAGAGUGUUGAUUCUAUUGUCUAUCUCAUUUUCAGUAUCAUAGAUAUAGAGCUGAGCAAACUGUGGUUUUUUCCCAACUUCUGGCAACAAAGAACCAAUGUGAUGAUAAUUCUGACCGCUCAUCCUGAAAACAUAAGGACCUUUUGAUCGAUUGAUUGAUGCAUCAACUCGACCUCCCAUAGAUGUGAAAGCAAACAUGGAGUUAUAAGCCCUGAUAUUUUUUCGAAAUUUGGAACCCUUUUGUCCAGACUCUGCCCCGAGAAGAUAUUUGAGUAAAGGAGGUGUUUCUUUCAUGAAUGGAAUCUGCACACGACCUUCCAUACAACAAAAUGUGAAUUUGGGAUGUGAGACCUUUUUGGUUUUCUUGUUCCGUUCCUCGUACCAUAAAAUGGCACCACAAUAUUGACAUGUGUAUGUAGGGGGUCCAAAAUUCCAAGGCGUUGUGUAAUGAACUGUCAAAUUCAACCAAUAAUAAUAUUGUAACAAAGUAUCUUAUUUCGUCUAAGUGAAUAUGGUAAGAAAAAAUAUUACUAAAUAUAUUAAUAUUUUCAUUGUACAUGUAGUUUCAUGCAAAUAUGUACCAUUAUUUGAUGUUACACCAUCCAAUGGAAAGCUUGUGGACUGAUCUAUAUUCUCAUCAAAAGAGAGACACGCUCUUUUUAGUUGUCCAUGUUCAACUGUAUAUUUUUAAAGUUCCAAAAGCAAUGAAUAAGUUAUUAGUUUCAAGUAUUACAAGCAUGAUGAAUAACUAAUAAAGCUCGAUAAAUUUAAAUAUAUAUACGUACAUGUGUGAAGAAGGCGCUUUCCUCUGUUUGUUUGACUCUUUGGAUUUAUAUGUAAUGAUGUUUUAUUAUUAUCAUAUCCAGCUUUACCAGGAGAUUGAAGGAAAUUCCCAAUUGAAAUAUGUUAGAAAUAUAUAUAUUUGUUAAUAUAUAUUAACAUAAAUAAUUUAAAUUAUAUAGGGAUAAUUUUUGUAAUUUGUAUAGUAGGAAUAAAAAUCAUAUUUUCAAGAAUCACAUACCGUUUGAGUGAAGCAAUUUAUUGUCACUUCUAAUGACUUCCAACUUCAUAAAUUUUGUGUAAAAAUUCACAAUUUGUAGCAUCAAAAUGAUUCUCUUUUUUAAAUCAUGUUUGUAUCUAUUAUGAAUAAUCAUAAUUUUCCGCUUAAAUCUUGCAUGCUUGAAUAUGGCCUUCUGCACGACAACAUAUCCAUUGUUUAUUGUGUCACACUGGAAAUUUGAUGCAUAUUUCCUAAGUUUUAAUUUCAUAAUCCUUUCGUGCCGAGCUAAAGAUGAAAGUUGAUGCCGCAAGAGACAAACUUCUGGCGGAAUAUUCCUUGAGUCACCGAAAUCAUUAAUAGUUGCAGAAAUCAAUUCCAUUUACUCUGGUGAACAAUAAAGUGAAUUCAAUAUCACAAAAUAUUCUAAAAUUAACAAAACGUUUUAUUACAAAUCAUAACAAGAGAAACCGAAAAUAUAAAAUGUUUUUUUUCAAAAGAGAGAAUUUUUUUUUCAAUUAUUGAAAUAAGAAUUGCAAUGAAUUUUUCGAACGAAUAUAUACCAUAUGUUAGAAAGAACAAAAAAAAAAUCACUAAAAACAAAACAAAAUAAAAUGGGAUUUAAUUUAACCAAUUCAAUUUAAUUUUAAACUCAUGCCAGUGUCACACUGGCAUUAAUUUUUGUUGUGCUUAUAGCCACGAACAGAGGCUUUUAGAUUACUUCUUUAUUAGGUUAUUAUUCUUCGAAUUUGGUGGGUAAAUUGUGAGCUUUUUCUGUUGUGAUAUUAUCAAAUCAAUCCAUGCAAAAUAAUCAUUAAUGUAAUGUUUUUGUUAUUUUCAAACUGAUAAAUAAUUAUGAAUUGUUUCCAUAAUUGUGUAUUUAGAAACAACGUUAACACAUUUUUUCGGAACAAACUUCUAAGUUUGAUUGAUUUUACGUCUAAUUACGAUACCCUAAAUUAAUAUAGAAAGUCAACAAAAAUCCACUUUAACAGUUCUAAUGUAAAUUUAAAGGCAAUUAAUUUUGAGUAAAUAUGAACUAAAACAAAACUUGAACAAAAUCUGAAUUUAUAUAUAAUAUUAAGGUAGCCACAUUGCAUUUGAAAAUGUCAAUUAGUGGGAUCUAAAUAAAUAAUCACCUUGGAAUUUUUUAAUGGUUGUAGGAGUUAAUAUUACAUACACGGACUAUCAUCUUUGUUGUACAAAUUUCGAUCAAACAUCUCCCCCAACUUUUUUCAUAAAGUAAUCUUUGAUAUCACCGAGCUAUCCAUAAAAAUUGCCACAAGUGAAUAAUGUAAAGAGAAAAACUCAUUAUAAGGAUAUCAUAUUAUCAUUAAAUUCGAAAGUUUCGAAUUACGUUAUUAUACAAUUGGUUACUUUUUAAUUCUAAAUCACCAAUAUUAUUAUUCCCUAUCUCAAUAUGAAUAUUACCACUUGACUUUUUUAUUUGUGUUUAUGAAGAGGUGGGGUGUGAGGAAAAGGAAAAAAUGUUUUUCUUAAGAAUUAGAACAAAUAAUUAGGCAAUAAUUCAAGGAAUUGAGGUUGUUCAUUCUACAUUCCAUUUGGAUUUACAGUGAUUUUCAUAAAUUUUUUCUUUUAUUAAUUAUGCUAACUGCCAUGUACUGUUGUUUAUUCUACUGCGUUUGGGAGAAGAUGCUUGGGCUGCCUAGAACAUAUUUUCUAAUUAAUUUUUCUUGUGAAUACAUUGAAUAAUCUCUAAGGGCUAUAUCCUUUUUCAUUUUACUUUAACGGUUUUUCUUCAACAAAUAUUGGAUGUAUUUAGUGAAAAAGAAAAUUAAAAAUUAGGAAAGAAUUAAUAAAAUUAGUGAAGUCAAAUUGUCAAUCAAUUCUUAUGAUAAAACAAUAAUUAAAAAAUAUAGUCAUAGUUUUCUUGAUUAUAUUCGACUUAUUAAUCUGUUAAAACUUUUUAUAUCUUUUUUUCCAACUUCCCCAUUUGGUGAACUAUAAAAAUGAUAUGUUUUUUUUCCACUCUUUGUCUCUAUCUUUUUUCACUCACAAAGAGUUAAUAGUUAUUAAUCAAUUAAUUUUUUUUGUUUGCAUAAGAAUUAAUAAUGUUGCACACAUGUAUUGUGAAAUAAUUGUUUGUUCAUAAUUAUUUUUUGCAUUUUUUUAGAAGUCAAUAGUCAAAUUAAUGAUAUUGAAUUAAGACAUUUCGAAGUUUGCUAUUUUGUACUUCUAAUAGAAAUGCUUGCAAAUGGGAGGCAUUAAUUUUUCUGUUUACUUUAUCGAAUUUCAUAAAAUUCAAUUCAAACAAAAAAUUGAAGGUUAGAAAAGCAGUUGGAUAGUUUCAUAAAAUUAUUAUUUUAUCAUUUAAAAGAUAUGUACCACAUCAAUUAGGACUAAAUAUUAGAAUCAUUAGCAUUGUUCCAAUCACACAUGCAAAAUCUAUCACUCAAUAGUCAAGUACAUUGUACAAUGCAGUCGAGAACAACUUCAACAUUUAGUUAAACCUUUUCUAUCUGUUUAUUUCCACAAAACACCAAAUAUCCAGAUUGAUACUGGAUCCUCCGAGUCAAAUAUAGCUAGUUCACGUUCAGAAAAGACCCGCCUCUUUUAAUUGUACCUCCUGCAUGCGAAUUAUAUAACAAUUAAAUAAAACUACACCAGAGAUUAAUUAGUCAAUAAAUAUAAACACGAGCUAAAACAUGUGUUUACUAAUAAUUCUUAAACAGGUCUAAGCUUUCAAAGUUUGCAUUGAAAAAUUAAAGUGAAAAUCUUCAAUACCUCCAUGUGUAAAUCGCAUAAAUUAGACAACCAAAGAUUAUUCAAAGAUUUUUCUUUCUUACCUUAUGCUUUUUCGCAAACAAGUAGAUAACAACAAUUGUAAAGACAAGUGAGCAGUAAUCUGUUAAAACAAAGUAAUCCAGUGUUAAUGAAAAUAAGAACAACAUAUUAUAUUUAAAACUAAGUUUUCAUAAUAAUGAAAUCGAGUAAACUUAUUCGAUAAGGAUAAACAAAUAGAACGCAUUGACAAAUUGACAUCAAAUUAAAUUGAUCCAAAGAAAUUGAGAUGCUCAAAUUUGAUUACGUACACAUUAAUUUUCAAAUAAUUAAUCCACACAUUGUUUUAUUCUUCAAACAUCUUUAAACACAGGAGCCAACACUUUCACUCUUAUAUAUUACUGCCAUAGUAACUUGAACUUGGUGAUCAGCUUUUUAAUUGAUUUGCAGUAGCUCACAAUUAAUUAAGCUUGAUCAUCAGUAGCUAUUAUUGAUCAUAAAAAUAUUUGUUUAAUUUACAAUCUAAAGUUACGCUCCAUACUCUAUAUAUGUGAAUUAUAUAUUUGCAUCAUCAACAUUAACAUUAUAAAAUAAUCUGUGCAAUAGGAUGCUCUUGGAGUAUUUUAUUUUCAUCACAAAAUAUAUUAAAAUUAUAUUAGUCAGAGAAUAUAUCUAACACUUUCUAAACACUAAUAUAUAAUAGUUUCUACAAAAUUAUGAAAUAUUUGUACUAAAAUACCAAAAUAUAAAUAUAUAUAACCUAAUUGGAAUCAAUAAUCAAACUUCAAACAUGUCAUACUCUAAAGAAAUUAAAGCAUGAUAGUCUGUGUGUUUGACAUAUUCAACUAAAUGUUUGAUGAGAAUCUGUGAUUGUUAACAGCCAAUAAUGGUUUCUUUAGCAACUCAACUCAACUCAGCAAAACCGCAACCAAUUACAUUUACCAACUCAACUCUUCGCUUCCCCAAUUUCCAACAUUCUCUUCACAUUUACAAAUGGUAGGUGGUCCUAUAAAUCCCAUUCAAGAAUGAACAAUUUUUUUCAGUUCCUAGUAGGUGAAGUUUCUUCCACAUUUACAGAAAUUUCGACAGCAUCUCCCCAUAGUUCUCCAAGUACACGACCUAGAUUUAUGCAUUCAUCUAGUAUGUACCCAGAGAACAUGAGGAGCAGCUAUCGAAAUUUCCUUUUACGUGAAACAAAACUUCACCUACUUGGAACUAAAAAAAAUUAUGCAUUCCCAAACUGUCCAAGUUGGGACAAUUCAAGAAUUAUUAAUAGACAUAUCAUCCUCUUGUCAUCCUAAGAUGACACUGAUAAAACAUGUGUCUACUAAUAAUUCUUAAACGGGUCUUAGCUUUCAAAGCAUGCAUUGAAAAAAAAAACGUAAAUCAAUAUAUAUAUAUAUAUAUAUAUAUAGUUGAGUUUAUUAACAUUACCUAGGUUUGGCGGAGAAAAUAUGAAGAAGAAGAAGUAGUUUGGGCAAAAAUCAAAGGGUUUUGAUUUUCAUUAUUGAUCAAUUGAAAUAGUAGAGUAGUGGACCUUCUCAGCUAGUUCCAUGGAUGUUAAUAAAUCUAAAAUUUGUUAGCACUUAACAUUUGCUAAAGAAACCGUCUUAAGUUUCAAUUCUUUAAAUUAAUGUUAAUUAGAUUUGACAUUGAAGAUUAAUUAUUCACUAAGGCUUAUCAUAUUUUAAAAAAACGAAUAUAAAAGGUUGCAUAUUAAAUAUGGGAUUAUGCAAUUAAAAUUAAACCCUAGUAAUGGCAUUGGUGAGGGAAGAUGAAAGAAUUCCUUCCUAUAUUAAUUAGUUGAUAUAUUUUAAGCCACUAAAGUUUAAUUGUUGGCUUAAUAAAAUAAAUGAAUGUUUCAAGACUUAUAAUUAAUUAUUAUUAAUGGUUAUAUAUUGUUGAAUUUAAAUAGAAAUAGGAAAAGACAUGUAAUCUUUUGUAAUCUAAUAAUCAUUUUCUAUUUAUUUUCUAUUUUUAAUAUUUUGUAAUGUAAUUAUUUUUUAAUUUAAGCUAAUAUAUUAGAUAUUAGAGAAUAUAAAGAGAUGAGAAAUAAUGAUGUCACAAAUCUUAAAUACUUAAUAUUUAUAGAAUUUGAAGAAGCCAAAAAGCACUAAACAAAAGGUUGAAUAAUUAAAUAUGAAAUUAUGACAUUAAAAUUAGGCCCUAGUGGCAUUGUUGAGGGAAGAUGAAGGAACCUUCCUUUCUAUAUUAAUUAAUUGAUGCUUUUUAAAGCCAUUAAAGUUUAAUUAUUGGCAUAAUAAAAUAAAUGAAUGUUUCAAGACUUGUUGAAUUUAAAUAGGAAGAGGAAAAGACAUGUAAUCUUUUGUAACCUAAUAAUUAUAUUCUAUUUUUACUAUUUUAUAAUGUAAUUAUGUUUUAAUCUCAACUAAUAUACUAGAUAAUAAAGAAUAUAAGAAGAUGUAAAAUAGUGAUGCCACAUCACCUCUUGUAGUCAAGGCUUAUAAUUAAUUAAGAGACAUGGAUAGGGAUGGCAAUUUCCGGGUCCGGGUCCGGGUCCGGGUUUGGCUGUUCCGGAUCCGGACCCGGACAUCAAAUUCUCAUAACCGGACCCGCAUUAAACCCGGAUUUUUUAAAUCCGGAUCCGGUCCGGGUUCAACCCGGAAAAAUCCGGGUUUCCGGAUUCCGGGUUUGGAACCCGGAUUGCUUUAUUAUUAUUUUUUUUAGAGACCAUAUGGCUUACUUUAACAAGGCACAGGGGAUGGUGGUUUAAUGUUUUAAUGUUUUCCCCAACAACACAUUACAGAAUACUUCCUAGAAUUGGUUCAAUAAAAUUUGAUGGAUAUUGUUGUUGAGUUCGAAUUUUCCGUCUCUUUUGGUGGAGGUUUCACAUAUUUUCCUAUUACUUUUUGGCAUCUCUUUCUCUUUUGUCUGGUUUGUUUGUCUUUACUUUGCUGCUUCCUUUUCUCCUUUAGCUUAUUCCGAAGAUGCCUUUCUUUCUCAAAUACACCUUGCCAAACGACCUCACCUGUUGACGGCCAUAACCACCGUCUUCUAGGGUGAUCAGAAUCUGCCUCCUCGGCCAUGUCCUCAUCCAUGCUUUUUAAAGUGCUGUAUGAGAACCAUCUGACCCACAUUUGACCUCUCCGACUCUUAAAGUGCCACGCCGCGAAGGAUCUGAUCUGAUCUGAAGAAGAGAUUACAGGAGAGUUGCAGAGAGAGUGAGAGAUUAAGUGACGACGGAGGACUGAGGUGAGGAAUGAGUCACGGCUCACGGGUGAUUUUCCUUGAGAGAGGAACGGAUUACGGUUUACGAAUGAGACUUGAGAGAUUGAAAGGAGAAAUUAUAGAUUUACAGUAAUUUUUAGGUUGAAGGAGAAAUUUCGAGAGAGGAUCAGACGAACGAGACGAGAGAGAUCUAGAUUCUAGGGUUCACUUUUGUUUUUGUUUUUUUUUUAAUUUUUCUAUUUAUAUUUACGGAUUUACGGAUCAAAAUUAAUAUUAAAAUAAAUAAUAUCCGGGUCCGGGUUCCGGGUUUGCGGGUUCAUCUGAAACCGGAUCCGGACCGGAAAAAUGCGGGUUGUCAAAAACUGAUCCGGAUUCCGGAUAAAAACUAUGCCGGUGCGGGUUGAACCCGGACCGGAUUUUCCGGGUUCAAUCCGGGUCCGAUCCGGGUCCGGGUUUGGUUGCCAUCCCUAGACAUGGAUGAAACUAAUGUUAUUUAAGUAACACAUAGUUGAUUUAUAAGCUUAAUGUGUCAAAAUUGUUUAAACCUUUCCAAGAUUAACUAUUGUUUUCUUAUUAUUUCUUUUAUCUAGGUUUAAAUUUUAGGAGAAAUUUGUCAAUUUUCAAUUAUUGGGUGAUAUUGGUAUGCAAAUGAUGUGUUUUAUAGCAAUUUGAAUCUUUCUCAUCUUCAAGACUAUCAUUAGUCGAUAAUGUUGCUAUUACCUCAGGCUCUCGUGAGUCUAAACAUUUUCUAAUUAAUUGAAAAUGAUAUAAUGAUUAAUUAAUUGUUGAUAAUAAAACCAAUUUAAUACGACGUCUCCCCAUUUCUUUCUUUAUUUCUUUUAAACCUCAAUCAUUGUCAAAACCGUUAAUGGGUUGCAAUUAAACACUUAACAAAUCUUAAACUUGUUGUUAGCAAUUAACAUUUGCUAAAGGAAUCGUCUUAAGUUUCAAUUCUUUAAAUUAAUGUUAAUUAGAUUUAAGACGAAAAUUAAUUAUUCACUAAGACUUAUCUAUAAAUAAAAAGUAGAUACAAAUGUUGUAUAAUUAAAUAUGAGAUUAUGACACUAAAAUUAGGCCUUGGUAGUGGCAUUGUUGAGGGAAGAUAAAAGAACCUUCAUUCCUAUUUUAAUUAAAUUAUAUGUUAUGACGUGAAAAAAUAAACAAUCCAUUUUUGUAUUUUGUAGUUUGUGAAGAUUUGAAACAAUGUGCUUUCUUUUCAGAGUGAUAACAAUUGGAUCCAUUGCUUUUUCCUUUUAAUGUUUUAUAAACAUAUAUUGUCUAUUUGCAUCAAAUAAGUCCCAAUCUCUUUUACAAUCACUAAUAAAACACCUUUCAAUUAUUAAACUAUAAAUAUGUGUCAUUCAAAAUUAUGAUGGAAGAUAGAGAAUUUAGGGUGGGUUUCUUCACUGAAGAGUUAAAAAAAAUUGAAAUUUAAAAUUUUUCAAUAAAUACAAAUAUAAGAUGAAUAGUUUCAUUUGUUCAAUAGACUAAUCAUAUUAAAAUAAUGUUAGUAAGGAAAAUAAUUUAAAAAAUAUUCUUAAUUAAAAUAAUUUAAAAAAUGUAAAUUACCUCUCUCACCUCAUUUUUUAAGCAAAAAUAAAAAUAACUUGAAGUUUUAAAAAAUAAUUGAAGUAAUUUAAAAAUAAUCAAUUUGGAAUAAUUCAAAAUUUACCCAAGAGAUUAUUCACAAUAUCAAUCAAUGAAUUAGAAACAUUAAAUGGUAUAACAUAUAACUAUUAUUUUUAACUUAUUGAUCUCAAUCUUGAGCGUUCGGAUUAGAUCUUUGGGGUUUCAUUUUUUAGAUUUCAGUGAUUGAAAGUAUGAAACUCAAAGUAACAAAAAUUAAAUUUAUAUUUUAUCGCAAGUGAAGUGUAGGGAUUAAUCCAAUUAUUUGCGUCUAGCGUUUCUUUUUGUUGCUAUCACUCUUGUUGAUGAUGAUAAGCCUUUUUUUUUUUGCAUUGUCACUACCAAUUUAUUAUCUACAUUCAUCUAUAGAACGAAGCAAGAUGCCAAGAAAGAAAUAUAACACAAGAAAAAUAAGUUAUCCCAAUCGUUCAAAACAAAUACAUACAUAGCCAGAAAAAUAAGACAUAUCAUAUCACACUUAAAUAUUACCACUCUAAAAAGAAAAAAAGGUCAAAAGACUAACACACAUGUAAAAAGAUGACCAACAACAACACUAAACAUGUUUUGUGUAUUGAUUACUUCCACCAUCACUAACUUCAUCAUCAUCAAUAAUUUGGUUUUUUCUCUUUCUAUUCUUACUGGCAUUAGUAACAUGAAAAUCUCCCACAGAAUCUUCCAAAUUAUUUGAUAAGAUAUCAUGAGGAUCCUGUAAUUUUUUAAUCAAGGAAAUUAAAAUUAUGAGUAAACUGAACAUGCUAAUUUUAAUCAUAAAGGAAAACAACUGGGAAAUAAGAGUAAAUAAAAUUACCAUUUCUUGGGAAUGUUCUUCCUUUCUUUCAUAUAUUUCCACAUUUUCAUGAUCUGUAUUGUUUUUUUUCCUACAAAAAACAACAAUUAAAUAAUUUUUUUAACAUUACAUAUAUUGCCUACAAAUUGAACCUAGCACAGGUAGAUAAUACCUUCUUCAAUUCUUGUUCGAGCUCCAAUUUCUCAUCAGGGGUGAAAAGCUUUGACACAGUAAAAUUCUCAAGUCCCUCUUUCAAAUUGUAAUCAUUCAAUUUCAGUUUGUAAUCAUUCAAUUUCAGUUUGUAAUCAUUCAAUUUCAGUUUGUAAACAAAAUCUUUUCCACAAAGGCUUUGAAUUUCUGCAGGGACAUCCUUACUAUAUAAAGGUAGUCUAUUAAACAACUUGUGGGCUGAUGUAUCAAGUAACUUCUCAGCUACAUGAUUGAAUAAGACAAAAGUUGUCUCUGCCGUUUUAUCCAUGACUUUUAUAUGUAUUUUGUACCUACAUUAGAAUAAUGAAUUAGAAUGAAAAACUAACAACAUAAUGAGCAAUUUUUUUUAAAAAUAAUAUUAUUUUUCUUACAUCACAAGAGGAUAGUCACAUUCCUUUUUGCAAGUGCCACACAUAUAAAUACCAUUUGUAGGUAUGACCUUUUUUAUGCAUGUUUUGCACGAAACAUAGUACCAUCCAAAGGAGUUGUCUAUUUCACUAAUCUUGCCCCGCACAGUAACAAUAUAUUCCUACAAUUAAACAAUAAACAUUUAAAAAAAUAAUAAGGACAUUCCAAUAUUUAGGAACAAAUAACACAAAUGGAUGAGCAGGAAAAAAAUAGAAAAAUCACCUUCACUUGAGAACUCCAAUCAGCCUCCAAUAGUUCUUUAAUGCUCAUCCUGUUAAGGAACAUCUCUUCCUCAAAAGUAAUCUUAUUCACAUUCGAACUUUCAAUAACUUGCACAACGUUGGAGACGGUGGAAAAUCUUUCAAUUAAUGAUGCUACAUAAUCUAUUUGAAGAUUUAUAUAGAUUUUUCUUGCACUUGUGGUAGAGAAAUUAACCUCACCUGUUUAGAGCAAAUGUAACGUAAAACGAAACUUGAACAAAAUCUAAAUUUGUGUAUAAUAUUAAAAUAGCCACAUUGCAUUUGAAAAUGUUAAUUAGUGGGAUCUAAAUAAAAUAAUCACCUUGGAAUUUUUUAAUGGUUGUAGAAGUUACUAUCACAAUACAAGGACCCUCGUCUUUCUUGUACAAAUUUGAAUCAAACAUCUCCCCUAACUUUCCCCAUAAAGUAAUCUUCAUUGUUACUGAACUAUCCAUAAAAAUUAACAAAAAUUAAUAAUGUAAAGAGAACCAAUAACUAAAAAAUAACAUAAAUAACUAAAAAAAUAUAAAGUCAUAGUUUUCUUGAUUAUAUUCAACUUACUAAUCCAUUAGAAUUUUUAUAUCUCUUUUUUUCCAACCAGCUCCAACGAUCUCAAUAUCACCCACACCACAUAAACUUCCAAUAACAUCUGUAAUAUUAUGGAAAAAUAACAUAAACAUGUUAAAACAUAAGGAUUAAUAAUUUCUAAUAUACACUUAAAGAUUAACAAACAUUAAUAAUUAAAAAAAUACCUGAGAGGAUUGUGUUAUCAUUCACACGUAAAUCAAUCAAAUUCGAAGAUACGAAUUGAAAUCCAUUAAUCGGAAUCUUGACAGUUCCUUCUUCUAACCUCUUAAGAGAAGUUAUACCAAGAAAAUAAUCUUAUACUGAUUUGAAAGUGGUCUGUACUCGCCUGUAGUUGAAACAACUUUCAAAUUCUUGACAUUGUACAAAGAACCCUCACUCAACAUGUGCUUAAACCUUGUCACUAAGGUUUUCCUGAUUGUUGCAUGCAUUAGAUUUUCCUACGAAAAAAAAAAAACACAUACUACAUUCAGUGUGAAACAAUUGGGAAAAAAAAUUAGAGAAAACAAUGGGAGAAUAAAUUUUUUAUACAACCUUUUCAUCAAUAAAAAUCAUAUCAACACUAAUCAAUUCUCCAUUUUUUUUAGUAUUAGUAGACUCCCACAUCCUACAAAGCCUAACCCUUAUCAUCCAACUAUCUUUAUCAUUGUUCAACUCAUGAAGAAAAGAGUACUCCAUGAAGCACACAAUAUCAAAAAUUCAAAUAAAUCAAACAAUAAAAAUAUAAGUAUUUUUCUAAAGAGGGCGUUGAUUAAAUAAAUAAAAAAACCCUAAACAUAACAAAUCUUAAAUAUUUAGUGUUUAGAGAGCUUGAAGAAGCCAAAAGGCACUAAACAAAAGGUUGCAUAAUUAAAUAUGAGAUAAUGUCAUUAAAAUUAGGAUCUAGUGGCAUUGUUGAGGGAAGAUGAAAGAACCUCUCUUCCUAUGUUAAUUUAUUGAUUAUUUUAAGCCACUAAAGUUUAAUUGCUAGCAUAAUAAAAUUUGAAGGAGCCAAAAGACACUCAACAAAAGGUUCCAUAAUUAAAUAUAUGAUUAUGACAUUGAAAUUAGGCUCUAGUGGCAUUAUUGAGGGAAGAUGAAAGAACCUCUCUUCCUAUAUUAAUAAAUUCAUGUAUUUUAAGCCACUAAAGUUUAAUUGCUAGCAUAAUAAAAUAAAUGAAUGCUUCAAAAUACUUAUAAUUAAUUAUUAUUAAUGGUUACAUAUUGUUGGAUUUAAAUAGAAAGAGGAAGAAACAUGUACAAAGAAUAUCCACUAAUAUUUUAGAUAUUUUAGAUAAUAGAAAAUAUAAAACGAUGAGGUUGAGAGAAUGUGAAAGAACCUCUCUUCCUAUGUUAAUUAGUUGAUGUAUUUUAAGGCACUAAAGUUUAAUUGCUAGCAUAAUAAAAUUUAAAGAAGCCAAAAGGCACUCAACAAAAGGUUGCAUAAUUAAAUAUGAGAUUAUGGCAUUAAAAUUAGGCCCUAGUGGCAUUGUUGAGGGAAGAUGAAAGAACCUCUCUUCCUAUAUUAAUAAAUUCAUGUAUUUUAAGCCACUAAAGUUUAAUUGCUAGCAUAAUAAAAUAAAUGAAUGCUUCAAAAUACUUAUAAUUAAUUAUUAUUAAUGGUUACAUAUUGUUGGAUUUAAAUAAAAAGAGGAAGAAACAUGUACAAAGAAUAUCCACUAAUAUUUUAGAUAUUUUAGAUAAUAGAAAAUAUAAAACGAUGAGGUUGAGAGAAUGUGAAAGAACCUCUCUUCCUAUGUUAAUUAGUUGAUGUAUUUUAAGGCACUAAAGUUUAAUUGCUAGCAUAAUAAAAUUUAAAGAAGCCAAAAGGCACUCAACAAAAGGUUGCAUAAUUAAAUAUGAGAUUAUGGCAUUAAAAUUAGGCCCUAGUGGCAUUGUUGAGGGAAGAUGAAAGAACCUCUCUUCCUAUGUUAAUAAAUUCAUGUAUUUUAAGCCACUAAAGUUUAAUUGCUAGCAUAAUAAAACAAAUGAAUGUUUCAAAAGACUUAUAAUUAAUUAUUAUUAAUGGUUACAUAUUGUUGGAUUUAAAUAGAAAGAGGAAGAAAUAUGUACAAAGAAUAUUCAUCAAUAUUUUAGAUAUUUUAGAUAAUAGAGAAUAUAAAAAGAUGAGGUUGAGGGAAGAUGAAAUAACCUCUCUUCCUAUGUUAAUUAGGUGAUGUAUUUUAAGGCACUAAAGUUUAAUUGAUAGCAUAAUAAAUUUUGAAGAAGCCAAAAGACACUCAACAAAAUGUUGCAUAAUUAAAUAUGAGAUUAUGGCAUUAAAAUUAGGCUUUAGUGGCAUUGUUGAGGAAAAAUGAAAGAACCUCUCUUCCUAUGUUAAUUAAUUCAUGUAUUUUAUGCCACUAAAGUUUAAUUGCUAGCAUAAUAAAAGAAAUAAAUGUUUCAAAAGACUUAUAAUUAAUUAUUAUUAUUAAUUACAUAUUGUUAAAUUUAAAUAGAAAGAGAAAAAAAGUACAAAGAAUAUCCACAAUAUUUUAGAUAUUUUAGAUAAUAGAAAAUAUAAAAAGAUGAGGAAUGAUAUAUAUUAAUAAAGUUACUAUCUAUUAAAUGAGUUAAAUACAAUCAAAUUAAUUAUGAGAAGAUGAAAAGCCAAAUUUAAAAAAAAAAUAUCUAUUUAUUAGAUAAUAGAGAAUAUACAAAGAAGCAAAAUGGUGAUGCCACAUCAUCUCCUCAAGUCCUAGCUUUAUAUAGAUACUAGGAAAUAGAACCGCACUUUGUGCGGCUUUAAAAAAAGAAUUUAGUAUUAUUUUUUUUAUUACUUUACACUUGAUAAAACUGAUAAAAAAAUAUGAAUUGAUUUUCUUUUAAAGAUGACGCAGCCUUAUAAAACUAAUGUUAUUUAUGAAAGUUAAUUAUUUUUUUGUUAACUUUAAAAAUAUAUAUUAAUGUGUAUAGUUAAAUGUAAACAACCUUUUCAUCAAUAAAAAUUAUGUUCACACUAAUCAACUCUCAAUUCUUCUUGGUAUUAACAGACUCCUACAUUUUACAAAGUCUAACCCUUAUUAUCCAACUAUCUUUAUCAUUGUUUAACUCAUGAAGAAAAGAAUACUCUAUGAAGCACACAAUACAAAAAAAUUAAAUAAGUCAAAAAAUAAAAACACAAGAACAUUUCUAAAGAGGAUGUUGGUUAAAUUAAAAAAAAAUCCAAACAUAACAAAUCUUAAAUACUUAAUAUUUAUAUAGUUUGAAGAAGCCAAAAGACACUAAAUAAAGGUUGCAUAAUUAAAUAUGAAAUUAUGACAUUGAAAUUAGGUCCUAGUGGUAUUGGUGAGGGAAGAUGAAAGAACCUUCCUUCCUAUAUUAAUUAGUUGAUGUAUUUUAAACCACUAAAGUUUAGUUGUUGGCUUAAUAAAAUAAAUGAAUGUUUCAAAACUAUAAUUAAUUUAUUAUUAAUGGUUACAUAUUGUUGAAUUUAAAUAGAAAGAAGAAGAGACAUGUAAUCUUUUAUAAUCUACUAAUUAAUUUCUAUUUUUAAUAUUUUGUAAUAUAAUUAUUUUUUAAUCUCAACCAAUAUAUUAGAUUAUAGAGAAUAUAAAAAGAUGAGAAAUAAUAAUGGCACAAAUCUUAACUACUUAAUAUUUAUAGAGUUUGAAGAAACCAAAAGGCACUAAACAAAAUGUUACAUAUUAAAUAUGAGAUUAUAGCAUUAAAAUUAGACCCUAAUGGUAUUAUUGAGGGAAGAUGAAAGAACAUUCCUUCCUAUAUUAAUUAAUUGAUAUAUUUAAGCCACUAAAGUUUAAUUAUUGGCAUAAUAAAAUAAAUUAAUGUUUGAAAAUUUAUAAUUAAUUAUUAUUAAUGGUUACAUAUUAUUGAAUUUAAAUAGAAAGAGGAAGAGACAUAAUCUUUUAUAAUCUAAUAAUUAUUUUUUUAUUUUUAAUAUUUUGUAAUGUAAUUAUUUUUUUUAUAUCAACUAAUUUAUUAGAUAAUAGAGAAUACAAGAAGAUGAGAAAUAGUGAUGCCACAUCACCUCCUCUAGUCCCAACUUUAUAUAUAUAUAUAUCAACUAUAUAUAUAUAUAUAGAUAUAGAUUUUUAAUAUUUUGUAAUGUAAUUAGUUUUUAAUCUCAACCAAUAUAUUAGAUAAUAGAGAAUAUAAAAAGAUAAGAAAUAAUGAUGCCACAAAUCUUAAAUAUUUAAUGUUUAUGGAGUUUGAAGAAGCCAAAAUACACUAAACAAAAGAUUGAAUAAUUAAAUAUGGGAUUAUGACAUUAAAAUUAGGCUCUAAUAGCAUUGUUGAGGGAAGAUGAAGGAACAUUCCUUCAUAUAUUAAUAUUAAUUAAUUGAUGUAUUUUAAGCCACUAAAGUUUAAUUGUUGGCAUAAUAAAAUAAAUUAAUGUUUGAAGACUUAUAAUUAAUUAUUAUUAAUGGUUACAUAUUGUUGAAUUUAAAUAGAAAGAGGAAAAGACAUGUAAUCAUUUAUAAUCUAAUAAUUAUUUUCUAUUUUAAUAUUUUGUAAUGUAAUUAUUUUUUUAAUUUCAACCAAUUUAUUAGAUAAUAGAGAAUAUGAGAUGAAGAGAAAUGGUGAUGCCACAUCACCUCCUCAAGUCCUACCUUUAUAUAUAUACUAGAAAAUAGAACCGCGUUUCACGCGGCUUUGAAAAAGAAUUUAGCAUUAUCCUUUUUUCUUACUUUACACUUGAUAAAACUGAUAAAAAAUAUGAAUUGAUUUUUUUUUUUAAGAUGAGGCAGUCUUAUAAAAAAAUAAAAAAAGUUAUUAACCAGUAAUACAAAUAAAGAAGCAACGCAAGAUAAAGAAUAAAAUGAGAGAAUAUUGUAUAAUGAUUUUAUUCAUUACAAUUGUGUGUGUACAAAACAAAAAGAUGAGCUCUCCUUUGAUAGUUACAUAAUCACUCCAUGAAAUUAAUGAAAAAUUAUGGAUCAUAAUUCCUUGUGAGAUAGUGGGAGUUAUAGGGAAGCUAAAGGUUGCUAAUGAGAGAUAGUGGGGAGACUAAGAGAUAUAUGUUAUGAACAUCUACAUUUAUUUUAAUAAAUUCAUAACACUCCUCCUUGAAUGUUUAUUACAAAGAAUAUGUCUCAUUAAAAUCUUUACAUAAUUGUUAUUGUGUAAUAACAAUCAAAUUAAUUAUGAGAAGAUGAAAAAUCAAAUAUAAAAGAAAAUUUCUCUAUUUAUUAGAUAAUAGAGAAUAUACAAAGAUGAGAAAUGAUGAUACCACAUCACCUUCUCAAGUCCCAGCUUUAUAUAUAUAUAUAGAUAUAUAGAUAGAUAGAUAGAUAGAUUAAUUCAUGUAUUUUAUGCCACUAAAGUUUAAUUGCUAGCAUAAUAAAAUAAAUAAAUGUUUCAAAAGACUUAUAAUUAAUUAUUAUUAAUGAUUACAUAUUGUUGAAUUUAAAUAGAAAGAGAAAAAAAAGUACAAAGAAUAUCCACCAAUAGUUUAGAUAUUUUAUAUAAUAAAAAAUAUAAAAAGAUGAGGAAUGAUAUAUAUUAAUAAAGUUACUAUUUAUUAAAUGAGUUAAAUACAAUCAAAUUAAUUAUGAGAAGAUGAAAAGGCAAAUCUAAAAAACAAAAAUCUCUAUUUAUUAGAUAAUAGAGAAUAUAUAAAGAAGCAAAAUGGUGAUGCCACAUCACCUCCUCAAGUCCUAGCUUUAUAUAUAUAUAUAGAUAUAGAUAUAGAUAUAGAUAUUUUGUCCUAAUUAACUUAAAGAUUUUGAAUCUAAUAUUUUAUAAUAAAUAAAAAUAUAUUCCUAAAAUAAAUAUAAUAUCAAUAUUUAAAAUAUGUUUUAAUAUUUUACAAUCUAUCAUACACAUUUUAUUAUAGUAAAGUAGAUUUUAUAAUAAAUAUAUAAAAAAUUUAGAAUAUGUAGAAUAUUAUAUAAAAUAAUUUUAAUAUAAUGUGUGAGAUAUAUUUUAUUAAUUUAAAAUGUCAUUUUACCUAAAAAAUAUGAUAAAUUAAUAAUUACAUAUUUGAAGUUACUUCAAAUAUUAAAAAAAAUUAAUAUUAUUAAUCUUUUAGAUAGAUUAAAUUAUUUUUUAUAAGAGAGAUUAAAUUAUUUUAAAAUGCCUUAAUUGUUUUUACUUUUAACGUUACCGGCCUUUCUUUUAUUUUAUUGCAAAUUAAUACUAAUAAGAAAAAGCUAGAUCAUAUUCCACAAAAGCAAAUGUGACAAACACAACCAGCUGGAAUCUUUUAAUUACUAUUCAAUAAUUCGAGACGAUUAGGGUCUUUUAUUAAACUACAAUCCUCAAUAAUUGUUUUAAAUUGGUGGCACCUACAAUCCUCAAUAAUUGUACCGAUAUUCACAAGUUCGUGGCCCCUACAAUUCUGUUCGCAAGUGCUCAUUCACAGUCUUCCAGGCCCCUACAAUUCUGUUCCGAUAAUUUAACUGUGCAAGUGCUUAAUAAUUGUUUUGUUUUUUUCUGCAUUCCCUUUCAUGCUCUUAAUAAUUGAAGAGCAUACUUUUCAAAUGUGGAGCCGCAGCUAAUGUCGUUAAUUUAAUUUGGGAUUAAAUUAGGGGACCAUUAUAUUGCAGUGUGCACUAAUUUUUGUGUUUAUCUAAACUCCUUAAAUUUAAGACAUAUUACGGCAUAAAUAAGAAUAUAACAAUAACAAAAGAGUUAGAAAGUGUAGAGAAGAUCUUGCAGAAAUAUAAAUAAUAUCAAUUUUAAAAUAAUUUUUAAUAUUUUAUGAUCCAUUAAAUAUAUUUUAUUAUAUUAAAAUAAAUUUUAUAAUAAAUAAAAACAUCCUAUUAAAAUGAAUAUAUAGAAAAUUUAGAGUAUUUUAAGUAUUAUAUAAAAUAAAUUUAAUAAAAUAUGUGAGAUAUUCAUAGUUUAUUAAUUUAAAAUACCAUUUUAAAAUUAAAGAUUUAUUUAUGAUAAAUUAAUAAUUAUAUUUUUGAAAUUACUUCAAAUAUUAAAAAAUUAAUAUUACUAAUCUAUUAGAUAGAUUAAAUUAUAUAUAUUAUUUUCUAUUUAUUAAAAAAUUAAAAUUAUUUUUAAUUACUAUUCAAAAAAUAUAAUGAUAAAAAAAAUCUUAACAUCUUUAUUAAAAAUUUAAAAAUUUACGUGAUCAAUUCUCUAAAUAUUUAGGGUAUAUGUGAACCACGGUGGAGAAGCUUUAUUUAAUAUUAUUGAUUUAAAUAAUAUGUCAAUUAAAAAUGUGCGGAGAAGAAAUUUCGGUGGAUAUUUUAGUCUUUUCAGCAAUUAUCAUGAUCAGAUCUAGGGAUGGCAAUGGAGAGGGGAGGGGAGGGGACCGAUCUCCCCGUACCCAUCCCCGAUAUUUUGCGUAUGUCCCCGUCCCCUCCCCGUCCCCAUCAGAAUUACUUGAGAGAAUCACCAUCCCCUCCCCGAAUAAUAACAGGGGAUCCCCGAUGGUCCCCGAUCCCCGAAUAACUAAUACAUUUUUUUUCAAUUUUGAGUUAAUCAUAUUAAAAUAAAAAAUUCAAAUAAAAAUAAAGUUCGAAAUAUAUCUUACAUUAAUAUCUAUUACAAAAGUCACAUACAUUAAAUUAGUAAGUAACGCAACAUGCAAGGAAUACAAACUUCUUUUACAAACUAUCAUGAACAAAUUAAUAGUUUAAUACAAAAUUGUUACAAAUAAAAUCGAAUUUAGAUUCAAAAUUAACUUUUUCAAUGGUGGCGUGGGCACUUUAUAAAUGUGGAUUAUUCCCUUUACAACACAAUAGUUAAAUCGGAGCAAAUCAAAAGUAAAUAUUAGAUUGGAUUAGAUUAGAUUAGAUUAGAUUAGAUUAGAUAUUAAAAUUGUGAUUCGCUGUGGACAAUUAUAACAUCUAAAAAUAAAUAAAAAAUAGAUUUAAGUUUAAAAUAUUUAAAGAAUAUUAAAAUUAAAAAAAAAUGUUUGGCUAAUAGAAUCUACUUGGUCUUUUUAAUGUCGUAAAUAAAAAUUUAAGACUUUAAUUAGUUAAUUAGGCCUAAAAAUUUAAUAAUAUAAAUAUUUUGAUAUUUUUUAUUUUUACCAAUAUUUAUAAGUGGAUUCUUUUACUAAACUAUAAAUUAAAAGUGGAUUCUUUUGAAUACAAGUGGGACAGACGAUUAGGCUCUUUUUAUUAAACGCAAGUAAAAAGUAGUCGAAUAGUCUUUUUCAAAUUAUUGUUUUAUUAUUUUUCCUUCAAAAGUUAGCGUGGCUCAUGUUUGCAGGUGCGAAUGUGCGAUGCUCUUUUUUUAAAGGCAAUUACAGUGGGUCCCGAAUCAUUACUAAAAUUUCUCUUCCUCAGCCCACCGCAGCUUCAGUUAAUCAAACUCAAUCAAUUUUCUUUCUUAACAAAAUUCUAAAGAUGUGUAGCAUUUUUCAGAUCACAUGCGAUGGUGCUUUUUUCAAUCGUUGCUUGGAUUGCUUUCUUGGAAAAGCAGCAUACAUACGUAACCUCCAAGAUAAUCUUGAUGCCUUGGAGACUGAAUUGGGAAAUCUGAUCGCUAGAAAGAACGAUGUGAUGAGGAGGGUUGUCGAUGCUGAACGGCAACAAAUGAGAAGGCUGGACGGAGUGCAAGUGUGGGUUUCGAGGGUGGAUUCUGUUAAAACUGAAGCCGAUGAACUUAUCACAGACGGCUCUCGAGAAAUUGAAAAAUUAUGUGUUGGAGGCUACUGUUCCAAGAACUGCAGGUCAAGCUACAAAUUCGGGAAAAAAGUGGCUAAAAAGCUACGGGAUGCGCGGACUUUAAUCAGUGAAGGAGUUUUUGAGGUGGUGGCUGACAGAGCUCCAGAGUCUGUAGCAGAUGAAAGACCUACUGAGCGAACAGUAGUAGGCUUGCAAUCACAACUUGAACAAGUCUGGAGAUGUCUUGUAGAAGAAUCAGCGGGAAUCAUUGGCCUAUAUGGUAUGGGCGGUGUUGGUAAAACUACACUACUGACCCAUAUCAACAACAAAUUUCUCGAGAGUCCAACCAACUUUGAUUGUGUGAUUUGGGUUGUAGUUUCAAAAGACCUGCGACUCGAAAAAAUUCAAGAAGAUAUUGGGAAAAAGAUAGGUUUGGUUGGUGAUUCAUGGAAGAGUAAAAGUGUAGAGGAGAAAGCUGUCGACAUCUUCCGGAGUUUAAGAGAGAAGAGAUUUGUAUUGUUGUUAGAUGAUAUAUGGGAGCGGGUUGAUUUAACAAACGUGGGCGUUCCACUUCCCGGACCAAAAAAUACUACCUCAAAAGUCGUAUUCACAACCCGUUUCAUCGAUGUUUGUGGUAGCAUGGAAGUUGACAGGAAGUUUCAAGUAGCAUGCUUAUCAGAAAAGGAUGCUUGGGAACUGUUUCGAGAAAAAGUUGGGGAAGAAACUCUUGAGAGUCAUCAUGAUAUCGAUGAGCUAGCCCAAAUUGUGGUCAAAGAGUGUGGUGGUUUGCCACUCGCACUUAUUACUAUUGGUCGAGCUAUGGCCUACAGAAAGAAAGCGGAGCAGUGGAGACGUGCAAUUGAAGAGUUAAGGAGAUCAGCUUCAGAGUUUGCAGGUUUGGGAAAAGAGGUGUAUCCUCUUUUAAAAUUCAGCUACGAUAGUUUGCAGAAUGAUAGUUUGCAGAAUGAUACGGUUAGAUCUUGUUUCUUGUACUGUUGUUUAUAUCCUGAAGAUUAUGUCAUUCCUAAAUGGGACUUGAUUGAUUGUUGGAUUGGUGAGGGAUUUUUUGGGGAAUCUGACAGGUCUGGUGCAGAAAACCAAGGAUAUGACAUUUUGGACACUCUUGUUCGUGCAUGUUUAUUAGAAGAGGUGGAAGAUGAUAAAGUAAAAAUGCAUGACGUUAUUCGUGAUAUGGCUAUAUGGAUAACUUGUGAAAUUGAGAAGGAGAAUAGAAAAUUUUUGGUUUGUGCAGGUGCUGGAUUAAAAGAGGCACCGGGUGUUAAAGGAUGGGAAAAUGUGAGAAGAUUGUCAUUGAUGCAAAACCAAAUUGAAACUCUGUCAGAGGUUCCCACAUGCCCUCAUCUCCUCACUUUAUUUCUUGACUUUAAUUAUAAUUUGAGGAUGAUCGCGGAUGGCUUCUUCCAACUUAUGCCUUCUCUCAAAGUUUUGAAGAUGUCACUCUGCCGGAAUUUAACUUUGAAAUUACCUUUGGGGAUGUCAAAGUUAGGUUCACUGGAACUUCUCGAUAUUUCAUAUACCUACAUACAAGAGUUACCACAAGAGUUAAAGUUGUUGGUAAAUCUGAAAUGUUUGAAUUUGAGGUGUACACACAGGUUAAAUAAAAUUCCACGGCAACUAAUAUCAAAUUAUUCAAGGUUACGUGUGUUGAGAAUGUUCGCUAGUGGCUGGUUCAAUUUUCAUGAAGCAUCAGAAGAAAGCGUUUUAUUUGGUGGGGGUAAAGUUUUGAUACAGGAAUUGCUCGGUUUGAAAUAUUUAGAGGUAUUGGAGUUGACCUUGGGAAGUUAUCAUGCUCUCCAAAUUCUUUUGAGCUCAAAUAAGUUAAAAAGUUGUAUUCGAUCUCUUUACCUCCAUUUGACCGGAGAUACAGCGUCAAUUAUUGAUGCUACGGCUUUCGCAGAUCUAAACCACCUCAAUGAAUUAUGGAUUGAUAAUGGUAUUGAGUUGGAAGAAUUGAAGAUUGAUUAUACGGAGAUAGUACGAAAAAGGCGGGAACCUUUUGUUUUCCGCAGCCUUCACCGUGUUACCAUAUAUAGUUGCAGUAAAUUGAAAGAUGUGACAUUCCUCGUUUUCGCUCCAAACCUCAAGUCUCUUACGCUAUUCAAUUGCGGUGCUAUGGAAGAAAUAAUCAGCGUCGGAAAAAUUGCUGAGACUCCUGAGAUGAUGGGACAUAUAAGCCCUUUUGAAAAUCUCCAAAGGCUUAAUUUAAAAGAUUUGCCAAAUUUGAAGAGCAUCUACUGGAAGCCAUUGCCUUUUACUCGUCUGAAAGAAAUGGCGGUACUUGGGUGCGAUCAGCUUGAAAAGCUUCCGGUCGAUUCCAACAGUGCAAAAGAGCGUAAAUUUGUAAUUCGUGGAGAAGAAGACUGGUGGAACCGACUUCAAUGGGAGGAUGAAGCCACUCAAAUUGCUUUUCGUUCCUGUUUCCAACCUUAUUCCUGAGCGGUGGUCGCAAAAUUUGAUUUCUGGUGAGUGCGUUUUUCUUUGAACUCUUGUACAUAUUCUUGUCGUUUGCUUCACGCAAAACACUAGGUCUUUUCUUCAGUCCGUUACCUACACGCAAAACACUGGUUCUUUUCUCUGUUUUUAUUUCAGUUAGUUUCUCUCUCUCUCUCUCUCUCUGUGUCUUCUGUAAAUCACAAUUAAAUGUUGAAUUAAUGGAAUUAAUGCUUCAUAAAUUUGCCGGCACUGCCGUUACUUUAUUUUAGGGGGGUCGAAUUGGUGCUCUGGUUUUUUACUUUUUGCUGUCAAAUUUUGGCCUUUUUUUUUUUUUUAACAAGUUGAUACUUUAUUUAUAUCUUCUUAGCGAUUUAAUUUCCUGUCAAAAGAGGAACGAGAAGAACAUAUGACUUAAACCAAUGCUCGCAUAAACUUGCUGUAAAAAGAUGUAAUCUCACUGAAAUGCACACGUCUAGAAUGAAUAGAAUUAAAACAGGGAAAAUAUUAAGUAUAUUAGCCCUCUUUACCGAAAAUCAAAUGACAAUAAAUUUUUGGAAGUUUUGAUUUUCUACGGUCAAUUCGACCUUUUGCAAUUUCUUCUGUUCUAACAAAAACCAAAUUCUUUGUUCAAGUAUUUUCGUUUGGGUAUCAAGGAUCUCUAAUCAAUAGCUGGAAGCAAUUCAGAGGGCGCCGAGACCCGAUCCGACCUAGGCCCAAGUUUGGUCUUAAAGCCUGGGCUUGAGCCUGACAAUUAAAUUAAAACAUUAAUUGAUUUAUUGAUUGAAUUGUCGUGCAAUUGAUUUAUGGGGGAUGAAAAUUCAACAUACUUGAAAAUACACUAAUCUUAGCAUCAUCGGUUAAUAACUUUUAGAUUUAUGGGUAAUCAAUAGUUAAGAUCAGUUGUCAUUUAUUUUUUGAAAUGUCCAUAUUCAGUGUACAUUUGAAAAAGACCCAAUAAUUUCUCAUAAAUUUCAAUUAAAAAUAUUCAAUUUGUUAUUUCAGUUCUUUUAUUUUUUAUUUUUUCCAACAUGAAAGCGACUUAAUGUUACUAAAUUGAAGCCGCUGCCCCGCCUGUGGUUCCAAACUUUUAUCUUCCUCCUCCUUUAAAUUAAUGCGAGCAGCCUCCGUCCUUGACUAGUUGACUUCUUUUCUUCUUUUUUAAUUAAUUAAUUAAUUAAUUCAGCCGCCCACCUUUCUUUUCCCAAUGUCUUCUACUUUCGAUUUCCUUUUAUUUUCUCUUUAUUUUUAAAAUAUGCUUAUAGUAAUAAUAAAAAAUAAAAAUAAAAAUAAAAAUAAAAAUGAACAUAUUAAAAUAUAAUUUAUCAGAAAACCAAGAUAAAGAAAUAUUAUAAGCACAUCAAUCAAAAAGUGAAAAAAAAAACAAUUUUAAUUUACAUUAAAUAUAAACUUUCAGUGUUAAUCAACUUUUCUAAAUAACUGAAAUUAUUUAAAAUAAAAAUAAAUUAUUCUUCCCAAAAAAACAAAAAUUACACCCACUCUUGGCUGUAUGUCAAGAUUCGCUUUAAGGACUGAAGUUGGUAACUUUUGCAAGCAGUCUUAAAUUGAAUGGCAGCAACCCACGCUUUCAGAUUUAUGGUUAAUCAAUAGCUGAGAGUUGUUAUCGCUAAUGCCGUGUAUUUUUUUUAAUGUUUUUUCUCUCUCCUACAGCAUCUUCUAGGAAAGUGCAUCCGUUGCUAAAAUUUAGUAUUGUAAAUAAUAAACCAAGAAUAAAUAUUAAAUUUAAGAAACUGUAUUGCAUUUAAUAUUUAAGGGAGAAAAAUAAUUGUAGUGUCUUUAUUAAUCAGUAAAAAGAAAAGAUUAGAAUCAUAAUAAAUUGUAUUGUUAUUGAUGUAUUUAUUUUAUUUUAUACUCAAAAUAAAUUAUUUUAAAUUAUUAAAAUAUUAUUAUUGUUAUUCUAAUAAUAAUUAUUAUUUAAUAUUUAUUAAAAUAUUUGUCAUAUUACUAAAAAAGCAAUAAUAAUAAUGAUAAUAUUGGAAUUGUUGUUUUUUAUCUUAUUAUUAAUCAAAACACUUCUGGUUAGCCCAUUCAUACGUGAAGACCAAAACCAAAUCUCUUCUUCUCCUUCUUUUCUUAAAAUACGGGAUGUGUGUGCUCGGACUGCUCUCUCAUUCUUAAAACAAGACUUUUUGAAUUAUCCAAUUAAGUUAAAUUCUGUGGCAUCUGGUAUUUUCAUUUCUUGUUUAUUUCGCAAGUUAUUAUUGCCUAAUGCUAUGUCAACUCUAACAUUAGCAUAUAUAUUUUUUUUUUGGUCGUCUUUUAACACCAAACAUUAGUGUAGGUUAAGUAACAUAAUCAGUACUGGGACAAUUUGAAAUCCCUUUGUGUUUUAUUCACAGUAUCUAUGAGGGUUUAUCCUUUUGCUAGAACAAACUCUAGCAAAUUGUCAAAUGUACUUAUCCUUUCGCUUGAUGACUCAUUUUAAAAUUGUCUUUCAAUGUACACACACAGAGAUAACCACCGACAUCAAGCACCAAGUUUGGAAUUUAAUUGAUAAGCAUACAUUUGAUAAAUUAAUGAAAAGUUUGGGAGAAUAGUUUUGAUCACCCUCGAUUAGGAUGGUAUCACGAAAAAGAUCAAAAAGAAAACAUCGUCUCUUCUUCAACAAAAAUAAAUAUUUUCCGUUAGAAUUUAAAUAAAAUAAUUAUUUUUUUAUUUUUUGAAUUAAAAUUUAAUUAAAUACACAAAUAAAUUAUAUAUUUUUAAAAAAAAAUUUACACCCAGUCACAAGGCUGGCUAUUAAACUUAAAGGGAAGCUUCGGAGACUAAAGUUGGUAACAUCUCCAAGUGGUCUUAAGUUGACCGGAACUACCCCGACUUUAUGUUUGGUAGCCUAGACCUGAUCGGACCUAGGCCCAAGUUUGGUCUUAAAGUCCACAAUUAAAUUGAUUUGUUAAUUUAAUUGUUGUGUAAUUGAUUUAUGGGGAAUGAAUCAGCAUCCCUAAAAUUACACUAAUCUUGACAUAAUGACAUCAUCGGUUAAAAACGUUCAGAUUUAUGGCUAAUCAAUGGUUUGAGAUUUGUUAUCAUUAAUGCUAAAUAUUUUUUAACAUUUUUUCUAUCUCUCUCUCCUGAAGGAAUUUUCUAAGAAAAUGCAUCCACAACACAAAUUUUAAGGAUCACACUAUGUUACGUUAAACGUAACGUACACACACUCACAGCAACAGUAACAGGUCACGUCUUGUUACUGUUGCUGUGAGUGUGUGUAUAUUACGUUUAACAUAACAUAGCAUAGGCCAAAUUUUAAAUUGUAAACAAUAAACAAAAUAUAAACGUUAAAUUUAAGGAACUGCGUUGCAUUUCAGCUGAAGCUAACUUUAAUAUUUUACGAAAAAAAAUAAUUAAAUCUUUAAUGUGAUUUAUUUAUUAAUAUAUAUGACUAAUUUUUUAAAAUAAGAUGCAGGAUGAAACUUAAAAAUAUAAAUUAUAGAAUUAAUUUCUCUCUUCAAUAAAUCUAAAGUUUAUUUUUUUUAUUACAUGCUUCUAUUUUAUUUUUAUUCCAUGUUAAUGAUUGGAGAUUUAAAUCCAUUUCGGAUUUAUAAAUAUGUUUAGAUAUCUAAAUCCACGUGUGAUUCCAAACUAUAACCUUUUUUUUUUUCUAAUUAAUGCAAACAGCCGCCUCUUUGGACUGCUUUUCUUCUUUGAUUAUUAAUUAAUUAAUUCAGCUGCCCACCUUUCUUUUCCUAAUGUUUUCUACUCUCAAAUUUUUUUAAGGACAAGGCUACGUUGCAGACGCUGUACCUAACAGCUGCACCUUAGCCAGCUUCACAAAGGGUGCAUUUGGUAAGCAAUUUUUCUUUCCUGUGCAUAUGUGUCCUUCCACCAUUGGGUGUACGUAACAGAUAAUGUACCGUAACAAGCUCCUAUUUUUAAAUAUGUUUAUAAUGAUAAAAUAUAAAAAUUAAGAUUAAAAUGUAAUGUAAUAUAAAAUUAAAGGUGGAAGAGUAUUAAAAUAAUGUAUAAGAUAUGAAUAAACAAGUCAAUAAGAAAACAAACAAACGGCAAGAGAAAAGGAAUGGUCAUGCAGAUUUUAAGGUGGCAGUGACAAUGAGAUCUCAUUUUAACCGAUAAAGUCUUUUGAAUUUGUCAACUCAAAAAAAUAGAUUCAAAUGUUUUGUAAUAAAUGAAAAUAUAAUAUUAAAAUAAAUGUGAUAAUAUAUAUUUUAAAUAAUUUCAAUACAAAAAACAUUUGAAUGUUUUAUAAUUUAUUAGACAUAUUUUAUUAUAUUAAUAUAAAUUUUCUAAGAAAUAUGGACAUAAUAUUAAAAUAAAUUUAUGAAAAAUUUAAAUUAUUUUGAAUGUAAAAACAUUUGAAUGUUUUAUAAUUUAUUAGACAUAUUUUAUUAUAUUAAUAUAAAUUUUUCUAAAAAAUAUGGACAUAAUAUUAAAAUAAAUUUAUGAAAAAUUUAAGUUAUUUUGAAUGUAAAAACAUUUUAAUGUUUUAUAAUUUAUUAGAAAUAUUUUAUUAUAUUAAUAUAAAUUUUCUAAGAAAUAUGGACAUAAUAUUAAAAUAAAUUUAUGAAAAAUUAAAUUAUUUUGAAUGUAAAAUAAUUUUAAUAUUAUUAAUCCAUUAAGUAUUAAUUAUAAAAAUUAUUUAACCCAAAGAUUAUUUAUAUCCUUACAAUAAAUAUAAAUAUAUUAUUUGCAUUUAAAAAUUUAAAAAUAUUUAAAUAAUAUUAAUCUACAAUUAUAUUUUCAUUUAUUAUAAAUAUUUAAAGUCAAAUCUUUUGCACUUGUAUUUUAUUACAAUUAUGGCGCACAAAGAAAGAGCCAUAUAUGCUUUAUAGCGUUAGAAAUUGGUUUCUUUUAAAGCUGGAAACAGAGAGGAUGAUUAUUAUAAGGAGAAAAGAAAAAGGGAUAAAGAAUAUUAAUGAUUAACAAAAUCUCUCUGCAAAUUGAUUGCAGUAGAAAAAAAGUGAGCUGAGCAAUCUAAUUUAGUGGUAGAGUGAUAUUUCAUUUGUAGCAAAUUACAUCUCAAGGUUAAAGGAAAGACUUAAGAUCUCAGCUUUUGAUCAUAAUACUUUUUUUAAAGAAAAAAAUUAAUUUUAAUAUUUUAUAAUAAAUAAAAAUAUAAUCUUAAAAUAAAUACAAACACACUAUUAAUAGUACAUAUUUUAAAAUAAUCUCAUUAUUUAAAAUUGUUUUAAUAUUUUGUAAUUUGCCAGACAAAUUUUAUUAUUUUCAAGUAAAUUUUAUAAUAAAUACAAACACACUAUUAAGAUAAAUAUAUGAAAAAUUUAAAGUAAUUUGAAUCUUAUACAAAAUAAUUUUAAUAUUGUUAAUAGUGAGAUAAUUCUAUUAAUUUAAAAUGCUACUUAACCUUAAGAUUUAUUUAAGAUAAAUUAAUAAUUACAUUUUUAAAUUAUUUCAAAUAUUAAAAAUAUUUUAAUAUUAUUUAUCUAUUAGAUAGACUAAAUUAUUUAAAUUAUUUUGUAUAAAUUAAUUCUAUUUAAAGGAUAUUAUGAUAAAAAGAUCUUAGUGUUUUUAUUAAAAAUUUAAAAUUUAUAUGACUAUUUCUUUAAAUAUUUAGGGUAUAUAUGAACCACCGAGGAGAAAAGCUUUAUUUAAUAUUUUUGAAUAGUUUUUGAUCAGUACAAUUGCGUCCUUAUUCAGAAUUAUUGUUCUCUUCCGCAACAGUUUUUGUUUAUCAAAGUCAUCAAUUAAAAUUUUAGAAUUCUUAUCAUCAGAAGUAGUCGUUUUAGAAGUUGGGUCUUGGAUCAAAUUUCUACGAGUGCAUGAAUUAACAAUAAAAAAAAUUUCAUUACACACGGUUUAAGCUACAAAACUACUAUUUGCACAGUUGACUAUAAAACUUACCUCCAAUUACACUAAACCUCUCUAUUUGGUAACGUUGAGACUAAAUUAAUUUUAUUAGCAUGAAAAGAUAAUAGAAAUAUUAUCAUAAAUAUAAUUGUUGUUAAUCAAUUAGUACAUGUGAUAUAAAGGUUAAAUGUGCACUAUAUUUAAUAAAUAAUUAAUGGAACAUGUUAAACAAAAUGUUAAUGUAUAUUUAUAUAGUGUUAGGAAUAUGCAAAGUCAAGUCCUCAAUUUGCAUUAUCCUGUAUAGAAUAUUACUCUAAAAAUGUUUUACUAUAAUUGGCUUAGAACAUUUGUAAAGAAAAUAAUAAUCGUAAUAAUAAAUAACAUACACCGUCACAUAGCAUCUAGACAAUGAUAGAAAAUUAUUAAAGGGAGUGCAAACAAUUAAUUAGAAAUUUUUAUGAUAACUUUUAAUAUUCAUGAUAAUAACAAAUAAAUACAUGUACCACUUUUUAAAAAUAUUAAAUUUGACGUGCUCCAUUAAUAAAUUAUUAUUGUAAUUCAGACUCUAUCUAUAUAUCCUUGCAUUAAGAAUAAUUAAGUCAUAAUAAAAAUUUUCGUAACUACAUCUCAUUUCUUCCUCAUAAUAAUAAUUAGAUUGGUUCGAAUAUUAUAACUAUAUAGAUUUAGGGCGUGUUUGGUGCAUGGGAUUAUGUGGUAUUACACUACUAUUCACAUUAGCUUAUUUCCAAGAAGAUGUUUGGCAAACUUUGACACCUCAUUAUGCUGCAUUAUAAUGCAGCAUAAUGAGGCAUGGGGCCGCAUUACGCAAACCCGAGGGAACCUCGGGUUUGCGUAAUGCAGAAGCUUUUUGCCUCAAUUGAGGCAACAGUUAAUGCCUCAAUUGAGGCAAAUUUAUUUUAUUAAAAUAUUAUAAAAAUAAAUUAUUUUAUUAUUAAAUACUAAUAUAAUGAAUAAAAUAUAAAAAUAAAUUAUAUGAUAAUAUUAUUUUAUUUAUUAAUGAUUCAUAUAAAAAUAAUAUAUUAAUAUUAUAAUAUUAUUUACAUUAAUAUUAAUUUUAAAAUUAAUAUUAUUUAAAUUUAUAAUUAUUUAUGUUAAAUUAUAAAUUUAUUAAUAUAUUAAAAUGUAAAAAUAAUAAUAUAUUGUAAAUUAAAAUAUAAUUGAAUAUUAUUGAAUAAUAAUUUAUUAAUUUAUAUUAACAAUUAUAAUAUUAAUUAUAAUCUAAAUUUAUUAUUUACAUAUAAUAUUAAAUUUUAUAAAUUUAUUUUAUCAUAAUUAUAAUACAAAUUUUAGAAAUUUAAUCAUUAAUUUUUAAUAUUUACUAAAAAAAUUGUUAAAUUUCUACAAUUAAGAUUUCUAUAUUUAUUAUUUUUCUAAGUAUUAAUAAAUAUUAAUUUUUAAUUAUUUAAUUUAAUUAAUUAUAAAAAUUAAUACAAUACAAUGUAACACCAAAUAUAGUUUAAUUAAAAAUUAAUACAGUACAGUGUAGCACCAAACAUUGUACAGCAUUAUUAUAAUACAAUACUAACGCAAUACAGCAUAAUACAAUACACCAGCAUUAAAAUAAUGCAAUACAACAUAAUACAAUACAAUGUACCAAACGCACCCUUAGUGUAUAGCCACAUCCAAUUUAAAUAUUGACCCAAUUGGGAUGGUCCCCAAAAAAAAAAUUCGUUAAAGGAUAAUUCUAAUUAUUUUUACUUCUCAAACGUUAGUGGGACGUUUCUAUUAGCGCACUCGUAAGCCAAGUUGUCAAAUAUUUAUAUUAAACUACAAUUGCUGACAAGAAAAAUCAAGAUCGUGUUGCGCAAGUGGGUCCCGAAUAGGACGUGCCUAAAUCUCUCGUAAGCCAAGUUGUCAAAUGUUUAUAUUAAACUAACAAUUGCUGACUAGAAAAAUCAAGAUCGUAUUACAAGUGGGUCCCGAAUUGGACGUGCCUAAAUCUUUUUAUAAUUUUCCCAGUGUAGCGGACAGAGGUCAUUACUAAAUUUCUCUUCCACACGCCACAGCAGCUUCGGUUAAUCAAACUCAAUCAAUUUUCUUGGCUUCUCCGCUUAUCAAUAUUACAAGGUAUGGGUAGCAUUUUUCAAAUCACAUGCGAUGGUACUAUUUUCAAUCGUUGCUUAGAUUGCUUUCUUGGAAAAGCAGCAUACAUAAGUAACCUCCAAGAUAAUCUCGUUGCCUUGGAGACUGAACUAAGGAAACUAAUCGCAGCAAAGAACGAUGUGAUGACGGCGGUUGUCAAUGCUGAACGGCAACAAAUGAGAAGGCUGGACCAAGUGCAAGUGUGGGUUUCGAGGGCGGAAGCUGUUAAAACUGAAGCUGAUGAACUUAUCAGAGGCGGCUCUCAAGAAAUUGAAAAAUUAUGUCUUAGAGGGUUCUGUUCCAGGAACUGCACGUCAAGCUACAAGUUCGGAAAACAAGUGGCUAAAAAGCUACGAGCUGUGGAGACUUUAAUCGCCGAAGGAGUUUUUGAGGCGGUGGCUGCCGAGGUGGUGCCUGAGAGAGCUCCAGAGCCUGUAGCAGAUGAAAGACCUACCGAGCGAACAGUAGUAGGCUUGCAAUCACAACUUGAACAAGUCUGGAGAUGUCUUGCAGAAGAAUCAGCGGGAAUCAUUGGCCUAUAUGGUAUGGGCGGUGUUGGUAAAACUACACUAUUGACCCAUAUCAACAAUAAAUUUCUCGAGAGUCCAACCAACUUUGAUUGUGUGAUUUGGGUAGUAGUUUCAAAAGACCUGCGACUUGAAAAAGUUCAAGAAAAUAUUGGGAAAAAGAUAGGUUUGGUUGAUGAUUCAUGGAAGAGUAAAAGUGUAGAGGAGAAAGCUCUCGACAUCUUCCGGAGUUUAAGAGAGAAGAGAAUUGUAUUGCUGUUAGAUGAUAUAUGGGAGCGGGUUGAUUUAACAAAAGUGGGCGUUCCACUUCCAGGACCACAAAAUACUACCUCAAAAGUCGUAUUCACAACCCGUUUCAUCGAUGUUUGUGGUAGCAUGGAAGCUGACAGGAAGUUCCAAGUAGCAUGCUUAUCAGAAAAGGAUGCUUGGGAACUGUUUCGAGAAAAAGUUGGGGAAGAAACUCUUCAGAGUCAUCAUGAUAUCGUUGAGCUAGCCCAAAUUGUGGUCAAAGAGUGUGGUGGUUUGCCACUCGCACUUAUUACUAUUGGUCGAGCUAUGGCCUACAGAAAGAAAGCGGAGCAGUGGAGACGUGCAAUUGAAGAGUUAAGGAGAUCAGCCUCAGAGUUUGCAGGUUUGGGAAAAGAGGUGUAUACUCUUUUGAAAUUCAGCUAUGAUAGUUUGCAGAAUGAUACGGUUAGAUCUUGUUUCUUGUAUUGUUGUUUAUAUCCUGAAGAUUAUGGCAUUCUUAAAUGGGACUUGAUUGAUUGUUGGAUUGGCGAGGGAUUUUUUGGGGAAUCUGACAGGUCUGGUGCAGAAAACCAAGGAUAUGACAUUUUGGACACUCUUGUUCGUGCAUGUUUAUUAGAAGAGGUGGAAGAUGAUAAAGUAAAAAUGCAUGACGUUGUUCGUGAUAUGGCUGUAUGGAUAACCAGUGAAAUUGAGAAAGGGAAGAGAAACUUUUUGGUUCGUGCAGGUGCUGGAUUAAAAGAGGCACCGGAUGUUAAAGGAUGGGAAAAUGUGAGAAGAUUGUCAUUGAUGCAAAACCAAAUUGAAACUCUGUCCGAGGUUCCUACAUGCCCUCAUCUCCUCACUUUAUUUCUUGACUUUAAUGAGAAGUUGAAGAUGAUCACGGAUGGCUUCUUCCAAUUUAUGCCUUCUCUCAAAGUUUUGAAGAUUUCACACUGUGGUAGGAAUUGGAAAGAUUUGAAAUUACCUGUUGGGAUGUCAAAGUUGGGUUCACUAGAACUUCUUGAUAUUUCACAUACGCUGAUAACAGAGUUACCAGAAGAGUUAAAGUUGUUGGUAAAUCUGAAAUGUUUGAAUUUGAGGUCGACAGAAUUGUUAAUUAGAAUUCCACGGCAACUGGUAUCAAAUUCUUCAAGGUUACGUGUGUUGAGAAUGUUCGCUACUGGCUGGUUAAAUUUUCAUGAAGCACCAGAAGACAGCGUUUUAUUUGGUGGGGGUGAAGUUUUGAUACAGGAAUUGCUCGGUUUGAAAUAUUUAGAGGUAUUGGAGUUGACCUUGCGAAGUUAUCAUGCUCUCCAAAUUCUUUUGAGCUCAAAUAAGUUAAAAAGUUGUAUUCCAUCUCUUUUCCUCCAGUUGGCCGGAGAUACAACGUCGAUUAUUGAUGCUGCGGCUUUCGCAGAUCUAAACCACCUCAACGAUUUAUUUAUUUAUAAAGGCAUUCAGUUGGAAGAAUUGAAGAUUGAUUAUACAGAGAUAGUACAAAAAAGGCGGGAACCUUUUGUUUUCCGCAGCCUUCACCGUGUUUCUAUUGGGGGGUGCGAUAAAUUGAAAGAUGUGACAUUCCUCGUUUUUGCUCCAAACCUCAAGUCUCUUUGGCUAUUCGAUUGCGGUGCUAUGGAAGAAAUAAUCAGCGUCGGAAAAUUUGCUGAGACUCCUGAGAUGAUGGGACAUAUAAGCCCUUUUGAAAAUCUCCAAAGGCUUGAAUUAUGGGAUUUGCCAGCUUUGAAGAGCUUCUACUGGAAGCCAUUGCCUUUCACUCAUCUGAAAGAAAUGGUGGUACAUGGGUGUCAUCAGCUUAGAAAGCUUCCACUCGAUUCCAACAGAGCAAAAGAGCGUAAAUUUGUUAUUCGUGGAAAAGCAGACUGGUGGAACCGACUUCAAUGGGAGGAUGAAGCCACUCAAAUUGCUUUUCGUUCCUGUUUCCAACCUCGUUCCUGAGCGGUGGUCGCAAAAUUUGAUUUCUGGUGAGUGCAUUCGUCUUUUAAAAGAAGAAUUUAAAAGAAAUUUAUUCUUGUCGUUUUCUUCUCUGUUUUUAUUUCAGUUUCUUUCUCUCUCUCUCUCAAGGAUCUCUAAUCAAUAGCUGGAAGCAAUUGAGAGGCGCCGAGACCCGAUCGGAUCUAGGCCCAAGUUUGGUCUUAAAGCCUGGGCUUGAGCCUGACAAUUAAAUUAAAACAUUAAUUGAUUUAUUGAUUGAAUUGUUGUGUAAUUGAUUUAUGGGGGAUGAAACAUCAACAUACUUGAAAAUACACUAAUCUUAGCAUCAUCGGUUAAUAACUGUUAGAUUUAUGGGUAAUCGUAAUCAAUAGUUAAGAUUAGUUGUCAUUAAUACUAAAUAUUUUUUACUAUUUUUGUCUCUACUAGAGGAUCUUCUAGAAAAAUGCAUCCACAACAAAAUUUAAUAUUUUACAUAAUAAACAAAAUAUAAAUGUUAAAUUUAAGAAACUGCAUUGCAUUUCAGCUGAAGCUGACUUUAAUAUUUAGGGUAGAAAAACAAUUAAAUCCUUAAUGUGUUUAAUUUCUAUCACUUGUGUCAUUAAAAUUUUCUAGCCACCUUAACCAAUUACAUCUCAACCCACUUUUUUUGGAUGAUUUUAUUUUUACACAAUUAUUUUCAACAUAUCAUGAUGUAUUCGUCAAAAGCUGGAAAUGACUGUUGCCCGUCAAAAUUCACAUUUUUUCCUUAACGAUAAAGUUUUAAUAUAAUUUUGAAGUUAUAACGUCAUAAAUAUAUUGCAUAAUAAUAAGAAAAAGGACCUAAAUGGUAAAAGUGAUAAAUAAUAAGAUCGAAGUAUCAUUUUCCAAUGUUAAAUGAGGCAAUGCCAUUCUCCGGUUCUCUUCUUUAAAUGCGUGAUGUGUGUGCUCUGUUUUCUCUAUUAUUCUUUUUCUCUUUUAGAUUUUGAGAACGUAAAGGGUGCAGGAGUCUUUAUCUUGUUAAAACAAGUCUUUUCGAAGUAUUCAACUAAAUUAAAUCAUGGCCUAAUGCUGUGUCAAUUCCAUCAUCAGCAUUUUUUUUUUCCUUUUUAACACCAACAUCAGUGUAUGUUUGGAUAAUUUGAAAUCUGUUUGUGUUUUAUCUCAAAGUAGAGCUUCAAUCAAUUUGUACCUCACAAAUUCACAAUAUCUAUUAAGGAUAAUAAGACCGAACUCUGGCAUAUUGUCAAAUGUGCUUAUCCAAUUCCAAAUUAAAAUGUUGACAGUGUUUCAUCAACCAAGAACUUGUCUUCGAUAGUUAAUCGGAUUAAAGGGAAUAAUUAAUGAGAGCAAUUAAUUAAUAUUAGCCGGCAUCGUCUGUUUCAUAGGUACUCGUGGUUCACUAACAUAAGCGUUGAAUUUGUAUAGUAGCUUGUUCCUUUCCUUCGGUUUUACUUAAUGAAAACCUUGGCUAGAUCGUACACCAAUGUAAAAUCGAAAACCCUUAUGCCACGAAGAGUUCUUAGUGCAAUUGAGAUCAAUGAUAAUCAGCUGAUAGGGAAAACAUUGUCUGAUUGUCAUAAACAAACUUCUUGAAAAUGCCAUCAGUAACAUGGAAGAUUUGGAGGUUAUUCAAAUGCUGACUUCAGGAAUGCAGAUUAAUAUAUUAUGGAGACAGAUUGAGUGCAAUGGCUAAUUGUAACAGGGAAUUUUUAUUGUACAAACAGACCAGCCAGCAAAGAAUAUUCCAAAUCUAGGACUAAACAAGUCAAUAAUAAAAUAAACAAACGGCAAGAGAGAGUGAUUAUAUCUACAACACCAUCGGCUACUACAAAUUCAACUUUUCAACAGUUGUUACUCACCAUGAACAGAAAAAAGAAAAUUACAACAAAAAAUUGGUUGCUAAAAGACGUCUAUUCAUGGUAAUGCCUCUCAAAUGGGUUCAAAACAUGGAAGAAAAGCAUUUAGUGUGGCUUCAUCGUCCCAUUUCAGCUCACUCCACCAGUGUUGCAGGGGCUUAGUCAAAGUGGCUUUCAAGAAGUUUUAUUACCACCUCAGUUCAAAUCCUAAGAGAGGUAGGAGGAUAAAAGAAUUAAUUUGGACUUUACCUAGCCCUCUACCUUUGUUAAAUUUAUGUUAAAAAAAAAAAUAGAUUUGAGAUUGGUAAUAUCCUUAUUUUUUGUUUUCAAAGGAAACUGAUUUAGGACCAAUGAGACUUUGAUCCAAUGGGAGAAGCCUUUCACUUAUAAUGUUAAGUAUAAGGGUUCGAUCCUCCAUAAGAGCUUUAUGAAGGUUAAUUUCAGUACUUCCUUAGUUAUCAGUUAAUUGAGUGGAGACAGUCUCUCCCUUACGAAAUGUGAGUGGAGUAGGCACCCCUCGAAUAUUAGAGAAGGUUUAAAGUAUCUGAGCAAGUGCUUUAGUGGGUUAAUAUAUGGCGGUAGUUCCAGUUGUUUAGUAUGAUUGUAGUACGAUUGUAUAUAUUAAUUGUAAUAUCUAAUGUAAUAUCAAUAACAAUCUGUGCAUAACAGAAUUCAAAAAAAGAAAAGAAAAAAGAAAACUGAUUUAGGUGGUUUCUUGGUUAAGACUUUUUCUUUAGCAUACUUAGUUCCACGUGCUAUUUAGAUAUUUUUCGACAUACUUAUUACUUAGUUCCACAUGCUAUUUAGAUAUAUUUCGACCAAAUGAACAAGCGCAAGCCAUUGACACUUAGCUUAAUUUCAGGGUCAAGCUAUAUUUGAAACUCAAAUAUUAACCUAUUAAUAUUUUCAAUUCAUUCAAUUAUAAAUUAGAGAUGAUAGAAAUUCUCAUAGGAACAGGGGCCCUAGGGGAUUUUAGAGGAUUUUUCCCAUUCGGGAAGGGUAGGAGACAAUUUUAUAUCAAGUUUCUUAUUCCCAGAGACUAUAAUAUUUUUUUACCUAAUUUCUUAUUCAGGGAAGAUAUGGAGAUGAUGUGGACUUUCCAUCCCCUCCCAAUUCUCCAUUUUUAUUUUUAAUUUUUAUAUUAUUUUUCUAGAAUUAUUAGUGAAAAUAAUAAAAUUUAAAUUGUAAAAAUUUUAUUAAUGAAUAAAUAAAAAUAAAAAUUUUAGACACCUUUUUCCCAAACUUGUAGCUUGACUUGCAGUUCUUGGAGCAGUAGCCUCCAAGACAGUUUUUCAAUUUCUCGAGAGCCGUCCCUUGUCAAUUCACCAACUUCAGCUUCCACAGCCGCCACCCUUGAGGUGAUGUUUGGUUGGGAGGAGAGAAUGGGGGAGAGGAAAGUAAUUUAAAUUCUACUUUUAUUUUUAUUGUUUGGUUGCACGAAAUAUAUAAGAAUUUAAUUUCCAUUAGAAUUUAAUAUCCUUUAUAAUCUAGAAUUUGAAUUCCACACCAAAGAGUGAAGAAUUCAAAUUCCUCUUAGGUUGAAAACCCAAGUUUCCAAAUUUGUCCUUCAACAUUUUAACUUGUUUAAUGCUAUUAAUAAUUAUUAUUUAUAAUUUUAUUUUAUCAAUUUAAUAUUAUAAAUAAUUUAAUAUUAAUUAAAUUUAAUGAAUGAUUUAAGACAUUUAAUAAAAUAAAUAAACUUAUUUAUUUAUUUAAUAUGCAAAUAUAUAAAUAUAAAUUAACUAUCGCCGGAACUUCGCUGGACCGUCGCCGGAAGCUGUCGAAAUUUCACCGAAAAGUCACCAACCACUGUUGAUCGGCGUUGGCUUAUGUUGACCGCUACUGUUGACCGGCUUUUAUUUAUAUUAAAUUAUAUUAAAUAGUUUAGUAUAUUAAAUUAUUUUAUAUUUUAUAUUAAAUAUAAAUCAUGAAUUGUUUCAUAACUUUUUGAAAUUAAAAAAAAUUGGUAUUAAUAUUAAAUUAUAUUUUAUUACUAAUAUAGAUAAUUUAGUAUUUAAGGUAAAGGAUAAAUUUGUCCAAAGAAAAAAAUUAUAAUUUCUUUCCUUAUCAAAUUUGAUGUCAAACCAAACAUUGAAAUUUAAUUUUAUUAAUCUCUUCCACUCAUUUCUCCUCCAUUCCACUUUUUUCUUCUCCUCUCCUUUUUUAAAACCAAACACCACCUGAAAGCCAACCUUGCACUUUGUUCAGCCGUCUCAGUUGUUGCUGCUCAGGAUUGGCGACCCUCAUCAUCACAUCGUUCUUUGGUUCAAUUAAUUUCUGCAAUUCGGUCUGGAUGGCAACCAGGUUAUCUUCAAGCUGGCUUAAAUAUCAUGCUUUUCUGCGGGUACAAUUUAUGAAGCCAGUGAAAAUUACGCAUACAAUAGGAGUGCAACACAGUGUGUAUUCGGUUGUGGUGUCUAUGAUUUUGCAGUCGCAGAAGCUUAUUCACCUUAUGAAGACUGAUCAGGUGGGCACCGUCGCUCUCCUUACAUUCUUAUGGAGAGCGAUAGUCCAUGUAGUCAGAUCUCACUGAGAGAACUAGCCGAGUGGGCAAUCGCUCCGCCUGAUCAAAAUUUGUCAUCUUAUAAUAAUAUCUUGAGUAGGUCUUGAAUUUUUUUUCCAAUUUUAAUCUUUAAAAGGUAGAAGAGGUGAAAAAAACCUAAAUAGUAUUUGUGUCCUCCUAAAUAACAUUUCUUGAACAUCAAUGGAUCUUAAAACUUAAUUAAGAAAAUAUUAUAGAUUUAUAAAUUAGUGGCCCUUAAAAUUUAUUUGCAAGUAACAAUUAGAGAAAAGUCGUCAGGCCCAAAAGACUUAGAGCAUCACCAAAAGACUCUUCAAAUAAGAUUUUAUUAAUUAUUUGAAGAGCCAUCUCAAUAUUUAAGACUCCAAAAGACACUCCAAUUAAGAUUCUUCAAAUAAGAAAUAAUUCUCUCUCUUCAAAUUUGGAGAGUUGAUUUCUCCCUCUUCAAUUUAUACUUUAUUACUUUCCAUUGGAGAAAAAGAGAGAAGUGCUUUAAUUGCUAUUGACUUUUUCUUUAAAAAAAUAAUUAUUUGAUUAAAAUAAUAUUAAGUUAUUUCUAUUUGAAGAGUCUUUUGGAGAAUAUUAUUUUUUUUUACUCUUCUAUUUGCCACAUAGAUAAGCAAAUAGAUAUUUGAAGAGUAAAAUUUAUAGAGUCUUUUGGAGAUGCUCUUACUAAAAGUCGGCAACUCGUCAUGACCAAAAUUCUUCCGAGUGUGAAAUACGGCAUGCGCAGAUGCAUUAAAAACAAAAGCCAGCUAAGAUAUUCUUUGUAUACUUGCAUUCCCUAUCAUCUUAUUAAUAAUUUCAGACACGUCGUUCGUUCCCUGUGACUUUUCAUAUGCAACAGCACAGUCAGUGUUACAAUUUACAUUUCGAAUUGGGUGUCAUCUAUAUACUCUACCUAGAUCUAACAUGAUAUUGCAGUAUUGCACUGAUUUUUUUGUCGCAGCGUUUCUCUAUGAAUUCCUUAAACUUUAAACACAUCAUGGAAUAAUUAUUUUCUUAAAGACCAAAUUAACAUAAUUCUUAAAUCAUUUAUAAAACAACAUUUAUCAUAUAACAGAUCGUACACGAAUCAAUUUUCCUUGAACAGUAGCAAACAAACAAGAAUCUCAACCACAUCACGAGAUCGCCCACGUCAAACCAAGUAUUCUUAAUGAGUGGACCAGCUAAUAUAUUCAAAAUUGGAAUUAAUUGAGGAUAAUGAUUAGUGCUAAUACAUUUGCAAAGAAAAAUCAUGCCUAUUGAAAAACUCAUCUUAUUAGCAGCAGCGUUAUAAGUAGCAUCCAAUCAUAGUUUCACGCAAGAUUUUGAGAUUAUUCAAAUGCUGAUCCCGGGAAUGGAGAUUAAUAGAUAAUGGAGACAGGUUGACUGCAAUGGCUAAUUGUAAGAGGGAUUUUUAGCCGUAAAAACAGAUCAACUAGCAAAGCAAAUUCCAAAUCUUGGAAUGCAGUAGCAAAAAAACGAAACAAACAAAUGGCAAGAGGAAGUGACUAUACAACAAUAACAUCGACUUGCAAUUCAACAUUUAUACAGUUUUACACACCAAGAAAAGAAAAAAUUACAAUAGAAAUUUGGCCACUAAAAGAUGCUCGUUCAUGCUUAUGCCUGUCAUAUGGAUUUGAAACAUGGAGUAAAAGCAUUUAGAGUGGCCUCAUCCUUCCACUGCAGCUCAUUCCACCAGUAUUGCUCUCCCCUAAUAACAAGUUUUCGUUCCUUGGCGCUGUUGUAAUCGAGUGGAAGCUUCUUGAGAUUCGGGCAGCCAGAUACAAACAAUUCCAAGAGAUUUGGAAAGGGCAAUGCAUUCAAACAGAUCUUCUUCAGAUUUCUUACAACUUGCAACCGAAGAUAUUGGAGUUUCGAAAAAGUUUUUUGCACUGGAACUUCUGGAACUUCUUCCAAUUUCCAAACACUGAUUAUUUCUUCCAUCUCAUAACAACGUUCUACAUGGACCAUCUUGAGAUUUGGGGCAAAAACAAGCCAUGUCAUCUCCCUCAAUUUACUGCAAUAGUCUAUGGUAACACUUUGAAGGCUGUUGAAACCAUAAAGUUCUCUUGUUGUUUGAAUUUCUGCAUAGUCAACCUUUAGCUCUUCCAAACUUGUACAAUACACAAAAUCUAGUUUGUCAAGAUACUUGAGAUCUGCUAUGGACAAAAUAUUCCAUGACCUUGAAUCCUCACAGCGGCGAAGCUCUAAAGCAUAUUUACAACUCUUGUACUGUUGGCAGCUCAAAAGUCUUCGUAGAGCAUAAAAACUUCUUAACGUGACGCUUAAUACAUUUAAAUGUUCCAAAGUAAUCAACUCCUCUACCAAAAUUUCACUACCACCAAAUAGAACGCUAUCUUCUGGUACUGUAUUAGCAGAGCCACAAUCUAGCAUCCUCAACACCUUUAACCCAGAAAAAUUACAAAGCAGUUGCCGUGGAAUCGUAUGGAGAUAACGCAUGUACUCCAAGUUCAAACACUUUAGAUUUUUCAAGGCUUUUAAUUCAUGUGGCAACUCUUUGAUGAAAGUUUCUGAAAGAUUAAGAUAUUGUAGUGAAACCAAUUUUGAAAUUCCUGAAGGCAAUUGACUCAAGGAGCGAUUCUUUGAUAGGUUUAAAACUUUAAGAGAAGGCAUAAAAUCGAAGAAAUCACUAGGGAUAGUAUCUAACAUAUUAAUGCCGAGGAACAAAGUUAUAAGAUGAGGGCAUAUUGGAGUUAUUGGUAAAAUCACAAUUUUAUUUCUCAUCAACGAUAUCCUUCUCUUAUCUUCCCAUUGUUUAACUUCGGGUGGUUCAGUUAAUUCAAUACCGGCAGAAACCAAAAAGUUUUCAUUCUCCACUUCACAGGCUAUCCACAAGGUCAUAUCACGAAUCACAUCAUGCAGUUUUACAUAAUCUGAUCCUGCUUCUUCCAAUAGGCAUGCAUGAACAAGAACACCAAUAAUGUAGUAUCCUUGGUUAUGUACUCCAUUAAUUCCUUCAUAUUCCUUCAGAAAACCCUCACCAAUCCAACACCCUAUCAAUUCAAUUUUGCUAAUUUGAUAAUCCUCAGGAAAUAAACUACAGUAUAACAGACAAGAUCUAAGGACGUCACUAGACAAACUAUCAUAACUGAAUUUUAAAAGACGAAACACCUCUUUCUCCAUACCUGGAAAUUCAUAAGCUGAUCUCCUUAACAUCUGAAUUGCAUAGCUCCAUUCUUCGGGUGUCUUCUUGCUGCUCAUGGCACGACCGGUGGUAAUAAGUGCAAGUGGCAAACCACUACACUCCUUUGCCACAGUUUGGGCUAACUCCGGAAUAUCGGGAUGACUUUCAAGAGUCUCUUCUCCGACCUUCUUUAGGAACAAUUCCCAAGCAUCUUGAUCUGCCAAACACUCCACCUUGAACUUUUUUUGAGCUUCCAUGAGGCCACAGACGUCCACAAGACGAGUUGUAAAGACUAUCUUUGAUGCAUUUCUUGAACUCGCAGGAAAAGGGACACCCACUUUGGCUAAAUCAAUUCUUUCCCAUAUAUCAUCUAACAAUAGCAGAAAUUUCAUUUUGCUCAAUAAAUUGAAUAUGCCUGAUGCUUUCUCUUCAAAGCUUCUAUUCUGAAGCCAUCCUAUUCUUUCUCCGAUUUUCUGUUGUAUUCUCUCAAGUUGCAUGUCUUUUGACACCACCACCCAAAUCACAAUAUCAAAAUAAUUUGGUGUAUUAAGGAACCUGUUGUUGAUUUGGGUUAAUAGUGUAGUCUUGCCGACUCCCCCCAUGCCAUAAAGUCCGAUGAUUCCAAAUUGUCCUUCUACAAGACAUCUCCAAACUUUAUCAAAUGUUGAUUCUAGGCCGAUUAUUGUUGGCUGAAGAGGCCUUUCAUCCACUGCUGGUUGUGGUACCUUUUCAGCUACCACUGCAAAAGCUCCAUCAUCUAUUAAAGUAGCCACAAGCUGCAGCUUUUUAGACACCUUUUUCCCAAACUUGUAGCUUGACUUGCAGUUCUUGGAGCAGUAGCCUCCAAGACAUAGUUUUUCAAUUUCUUGAGAGCUGUCCCUUGUCAAUUCACCUACUUCAGCUUCCACAGCCUCCACCCUUGAAAGCCAACCUUGCACUCUGUUCAGCCGUCUUAGUUGUUGUUGCUCAGCAUUAGCGACCCUCAUCAUCGCAUCGUUCUUUGUUUCGAUUAGUUUCUGCAAUUCGGUCUGGACGGCAACCAGGUUAUUUUCAAGCUGGCUUAGAUAUGCUGCUUUUCUGCGGGUACAAUUUAUGAAGCCAGCGGAAAGGGCAUCACAUAUAAGUUGGAUUCCCAAAAUAUUACCCAUAGUUUGUAUGAGAUUCAGAGUACAAUAGAAGGAAUGCAACACAGUAUGUAUUCGGUUGUGGUGUUUAUGAUUUUACAGUCGCAGAAGCUUAUUCACCUUGUGAGGGCUGGUCAGGUGGGCACCAUCACUCUCCUUACGCUUUAUAGAGAGCGAUAGUCCAUGUGGUCAGAUCUCAUUCAGAUAACUAGCCAAGUGGGCAAUCGCUCCACCUUAUCAAAAUUCUUCAUCUUAUAAUAAUAUCAUGAGUAGGCCUUGAAUUUUUCUUUUAAUUUUAACAUUUAAAAGGUGGUGGUGAAAAAGUCUAAAUAGUAUUUUUGUCCUCGUACUUUAAUAACAUUUCUUGAAAGUCACUCGAUCUCAAAAUUUAAUUAAGAAGAUAUUAUAGAUUUAUAAGCCCUUAAAAUUUAUUUGCAAGUAAGCCCAUAAGACUUACUAAAAGUCGUCAACUCGUCAUGACCAAAAUUGAAAAUUCUUCCGCGUGUGAAAUACGGCAUGCACAGACGUAUUAAAAGCAAAGGCCAGCUAUGAUAUUCUUCGUAUACUUGCAUUCCCUAUCAUCUUAUUAAUAAUUUCAGACACGUAGUUCGUUGCUUGUGAUUUUUCAUAUGCAAAAGCACAGUCAGUGUUACAAUUUACAAUUACAAUUGGGUGCCAUCUAUAUACUCCUUCCUUGUUUUCAAAAUAUGUUGUAGGAUGGGUAAUUGUAACAAAAGUGAUUUUUAAAAAGAUUUAUUAUAAUAUUAAAAUUAACUUUUAAUUUUUUUAAAUUAUUUUUGAGCUUUCUGAAAAAAAAAUCCUAAACCGGUCUCAGAAGUAUAAUUAGAACCACGAAUUUAUAAAAUGAUCAAAGGAAUCCAUCGCCUAAUAUUAUAGUACGCAAUGGAUUGCUAUAAACUAAAUUGCUAUGAUCUCACUUCAUAAUAAUUUAUUUUCAAUCUCCAUCAUGGUAGAAAAAUUUCAUCAAUCAACAUACCCUACCACCACCCAAUAGUCGACCAUUUAUCAUCUUCUAUCCGUAAAAAAACGAAAAAAAAAAAAGAGAAAAGGAAAAAUUUAGUCCACAAAAGAAAAUAUCGCAAGACCAAACAGAGAGAGAAAAUAGAAAAAGCAAAGAGCUGUACUGAAUACCGGCGGUGAUGGCUCGGUACUUGACCAUUUAGGUUUGAUUCUGCAUUAACAUAAUAUUUUUUCUGCACUGCAUUCACAUCACAACCAUUGAAUAGUCGUGAUCUAUUUUUCUAAAGCGAAUAAUAUUAUCUUCUCGUGUCGGUGGCUUGAUCAUAUAACAAAAUAGACUAAUAAUGUUUCAAUAGACAUUUUGGUAAAUGGAAGAAGUUAUGAUCUGUCCAUUUUUAUGUUACUUUAUUUUAAUUUGUUAAUUACUAUUAAUAUCUUUGAGUGGGGCAGAAUCUUGACCUAAGAUAUAGGGAUGGCAAUGGGGCAUAUAUGGGUUGGAUUUACUCUGCUCCAUAUCCAAAUCCAUAAUAAAAAUUAAGAUCCGUAUCUGCUCCAGAUCCGUCAUGAAUCCAUAUUUUUCGGUCCAUAUUCAGAUCCAAAAAAGAAAUAAAUAUCUAUAUCUACUCCAAAUCUGAAAAAAAUUAAAAUCCAAAUCUGCUCUAAAUCUGUCAUGAAUUCUAAAAUUCAGUAAUAAAAAAUUAAUAAUUUUUUAGAUUGAAAAUUGAAGGCUAAAAUGUAUUGAUAACAAAUAAAUUAUAUAAUUUUUCUCAAAAAUAUAAUAAAUAUUGUAUCUUAUACUUUUUCACCAAAACAACAAAUAAGAAAGAUAAUAAAAUAUCAUUUAGAAGUAAUUGCAGGAGUAAGAUCAAUCUAAUAUUAUAUUGUCUCCUUCAUCAUUCUAAUAUCCACGAUACACCUACCCUCAUUCCUACAACAUUAGAUAAUGACAUAUAAAUUAAAUAUGAUUUAUAUUCAGUCCUUUAUUAUUUUUAUUAUGACCAUAUUUGACUAAAUAUAUGAAUAACUAUAUUUCUUAAAAAUUAUUUGGCCAAUAUAAUAAAAUAAAUUGCCAAGUUAUAUUACUUGGCUUACAAUUUAAAUAUUGCAUGUACAUGCUUUGGGGUUGGCUGGCCUUUAAAUUUACAAAACUAACUUUUAAGUUUUAAGAGUUUAAAUGCAUGGUAAAUACUACUAAUAUGCUAUGAAUAAAAUUUAUUAUCAUUAUAAUUCCACAAUUGUUAAGAAACUUUUAAAAUAAAAUAAAAUUAAAAGAUGAGUGGAUAUGGAUAUGGAUUUAGAUAUUAAGAUAGAUCCAAAUCUGCUCCAGAUCCGUCUUAGAUCCGCACAUCGAUAUCCAAAUCCGAUCCAAAUCUAUUUUAAACCGAUCCAAAUCCGAUCCGAUUGGAUUUGGAUCACGUGGAUCUUGGAUCAGAUCCAAUCCAUUGCCAUCCCUACUAAGAUAUGACUAGGCUCCACAUGUUAUAUAUUAAUUUGAUUAAGCCCAGCUAAUUGUUAAUUAUUAAUUUGAUUGCGGCUUUUUAUUUUACCCACAUUUUUUACGCGUGAAAUCUUUCUUAGUGAAAAACUACACGUAUUUGCAAAUAUUCGGAAUGGACAUUUUCGAAAAAACAAGUAAAAGAAAAUGACUAAAAAGUAAAAGAAAAUAGACACCCAAUUGUAAUUACGAGUACAAUAGAAGGAAUGCAACACAAUACCGAUUUUGCAGUCGCUGAAGCUUAUUCACCCUAUGAGGGCUGAUCAGGUGGGGGCCGUCGCUCUCCUUACACUCUUAUAGAGAGUUAUAGUCCAUGAUCUCAUUGAGAGAACCAGCCAAGUGGGCAAUCGCUCCACCUGAUCAAAAUUCUUCAUCUUAUAAUAAUACCUUGAGUAGGCCUUCAAUUUUUUUUUUCAAUUUUAAUCUUUAAAAGGUAGAAGAGGUGAAAAAGUUAAAUAAUAUUUUUGUCCUCCUAUAUAACAUUUUUUGAAAAUCACUCGUUCUUAAAACUUAAUUAAGAAAAUAUUAUAGAUUUUUAAGUUAGUGGCCCUUAAAAUUUAUUUGCAAGUAACAAUUAGAGAAAAGUCGUCAUGCCCAAAUGACUUACUAAAAGUCUGCAACUCGUCAUGACCAAACAUCUUCCGAGUGUCAAAUACGGCAUGCGCAGAUGCACUAAAAACAAAGGCCAGCUAUGAUAAUCUUUGUAGUAUUAAUAAUUUCAGACGCGUCGUUCGUUGCCUGUGACUUUUCAUAUGCAAAAGCGGAGUCAGUGUUACUUGCAUUCACUGUCACCUUAUUAAUAAUUUCAGACACAUCGUUGGUUGCCUGUGAUUUUCAUAUUCAAAAGCACAGUCAGAAUUACAAUUUACAUUUGGAAUUGAGUGCCAUCUAUUUAUUCCAGCUAAAUCUAAAAUGAUGUUGCAGUAUUGCACUGAUUUUUUAGUCACAGCGUUUCUCUAUGAAUUCCUUAAACUUUAGACCCAUCAUAGAAUAAUUAUUUUCUUAAAGACCAAAUUAACAUAAUUCUUAAAUCAUUUAUAAAACAACAUUUAUCAGAUAACAGAUUGUACAUGAAUAAAUUUACCUUGAACCGUAGCAAACAAACAAGAAUCUCAACAACAUCAAUAUCAUAAUCCCUUCUGACCUUAACAGUAAUUUUAUUCGUCCUUAAUUCAUAGGUAUAAGUAUCCCAAUAUAUACUUGAUGUCAACCUUUACAAUUCUUUACAGAAUUGCAGCAGACCAAAUUUGUAUGCAAAACUGAAAUCAUACAGUAAUUGAAUACAGUGAAAAUAGACAUGAUGGGAAUUAGUAUAUAUAAAUAUCUUAAUAAUUUAAAAGUUUCUUAAACUGAUUUUACAUAUCUGAAAAAUUAUAGAAAUCGGAACUGCUGCAGAAAUCAUAAUUUUCCAGCGAAUGUGUUACAACUUCAGAAACUCAUAAGAAAUUAAAUUCUUGGGAUCACAAAAUAAUUCAUCAAUUUAAGAGAUUCAGCAGUACUUUUAUUACAUCAAUUCUUCAAACAAUCACCAAUCUAACAUUCAUCAAAAUUAAGUCAUAAAAGUCAUGUGGUUUAUAAAAAGAAUUACCUGAAAAAGAUUAGCCUUCCCCUUUCAAAAGCAACGAGAAACUCCAAAAACUCUUCUUCCAUUGCCUAUUCAAACAUGAAAAAAAAAAAUUAGUAUCUCUUCUUUAAACGCGCGAUGAGUGUGCUCUGUUUUCUCUGUUCUUUUUCUUUUUUAGAUUUCGAAAACGUAAAGAGUGUUGGAGUCUUUAUUUUCUAAAAACAAGACUUUUCCAUGUAUUCAGUUAAAUUAAAUUAUGUCCUAAUGCUAUGUCAGUUCCAUCAUUAGCAUUUUUUUUUUCCUUUUAACACCAACAUUAGCGUAUGUUAAGUAUCAUAAUCCAUAGUUGGACAAUUUGAAAUCUCUUCGUGUAGUUGACUGGCAACAACUAUAUUGGCAUUUAGACAUAAUGUACUGCAACCAUAUUGACAUGUUCAAAUGUUCUCACUAUUGUAUUGGUGUGUCGAUAUUAUCUCUAUCAGUCCUAUAGAUCCAAAAAUAAUCUAAAUUUACAAUUUAACUUAAAAUAAAAUAAUUGGUAGAAAACAAUUAUGGUUCAUUUACUUAUCAGUAAUUAAAAUAGACUGAAAUUAGAAUGAGUUGUAUUGACGUUGAUGUGUUUCUGUUGUCCUCGAAUCGGAAUGAAUUAUUUUAACUUACUAAAAUACCCUUUGUUUGUUAUUCUAAUUAUUAUUAUUUAAUAUUUAUUAUAAUAUUUGUCAUAUUAUUAAAAAGAAAUAAUAAUGAUGAUAAUAUUAUCAUUAUUGUUUGUUAUAUUAUUAUUAUUCAAAAAAAUUGUUGUUAAUAACUAUAAUAACUUUAUUUCAAUAAUAAAAAUGAUAAAAUUAAUAAUAACAAACAUGACAACAACAAUAAUUAUUUAUUAUGCCAAAAAAUAACAAUAAUGAUAAGAAUAAUAAUCAUCAUCAUUUUUUUCCCAAAGAAGCAUUAUCAUCAUCAUUUCAAAAAAAAAAAUCAUCAUCAUCAGCAUUUUUGUAGUGGCUGCCUAUCGGCUGCUGCUUUCAUGUGAGAUUGACUUGCGACGCUUCAACUACUAUUAUUUCUGGCAAUGUCAGGUGUUGUUGUUUCAAUCUGGGGAGAAGCUGUUUCGGUGAGCUAACAAUGGGAGGUGUUGCUGCUCGAUGCGAGGUCCAUGGCCAGCUGUCUUGUUUUACACCCAGCUCUUGUAGGAAAUUAUUCAUCCACAAUAUUUCUUUGUAACCUUCAAUAAUUGUAAUAUCAUUUGCUUCCGUGGUAGAAAAGACAACUCAUUACUAAAGUCUAGAUUGCGAUGAGACUGCCUUCCCUACAAAAGUGAGCAAAUAUCCUCAUAGGAAUCUUUCAGAAUCAACAUCUCUUGCCAUAUCUGUUAAGAAUAACAUAUGCUGAGUCAGCUACUGAGUCAUCAAGCCACGCUGGAAGUCAGUUUUGCAGUUAGUUAGAGAGCUUAUCAGCUUCUCUCCAAAAGUUUGUUAUGUGUAUUAGAAUAUGUGCUCACGAGUUUUGUGAGUUUGUAACCUUGAAAAGAUUCUCACACUACUAUAAAUUGUAUUGUGACUCAAUUAAUAAAAGUUGUUGAAGCUUUGCAUUUUCUCUCAGUCAAAAUUUUCUCUCUAUUUUUCUAAGUAACCAAACAAAAUCUACAGAGCAUUUUGUAUUUUAACUUGGUAUCAGAGCUUGAAUCCAAUGGCCUUAAUCGGUUCCAAUCAACAGUCGAGCAACACUUCCAUAACUUCUUUCACCUUCACAAAUCCAAUUAAGCUUGAUCGUGCAAACUAUACGAUCUGGAAACAGCAAGUACUUUCUUCAAUUCGUGGCAAUGGUCUUGAAGGCUAUAUUGAUGGAUCAAGGAUCUGUCCUAGUCAAUUUCUUUCUCCAGAGGCUAGAUCUGAAGGUUCUUCUUCUUCUAACAUCGAAGGUCAAGAGAAUCCAGAGUAUGCAGCCUGGAGACGUCAAGAUCAGCUCCUGCUCAGCUGGAUUCUGUCGUCCAUGAAUGUAGAUAUUCUCAGUCUUGUGGUAAGCUCUAAGACUUCUUUUGAGUUGUGGAAAAAUCUAGAAAAACAAUUUGGAUAUGAAUUUAUGGCUAAGAAGGUUCAUCUGAAAAUGCUUUUGAGUAACCUGCGAAAAGGAUCUCUAACCAUGUCUGAGUAUUUUACAAAGCUUAAGUCAGUUACAGAUGGUCUUGCUUUAGUUGGUAGCCCUGUGCAUGAUUUGGAUUUAAUCACUCAUCUUAUUACUGGUCUAGAUCAGUCAUAUUAUCCUGUAGUAGUCUAUAUUGAGGCAAACAUGUUGAAAAUGGAUCUUAGUGAGGCUUAUGCUAUGCUUCUCACACAUGAGGCUAGACUUGAGAAUAAUAAGCUUCAUGAUAGUAAAGAAACCAAGAACAAUUAUGCAACAAAUGUAGCUCAGGUUGGAAAUUUUUCAAAGAAAGGUAAUAACAAUAAUCAAAACAACUGGAAGGAUGGAGGAAACAAUUGGAAUAAUAACUCUGGUGGAAGAGGUGGUUACCAAGGGUUCAAUCCAGGAAGAGGAAACUGGAAUAAUAAUAAUUUCAGAGGUGUUGCUGGUGGAUUUAACAGUGGAUUUCCUGGUCUCGUGGCUUCAAUAACAAUUAUGGCAGAGGUGGUUUCAACUCAGGCCAAAAUUUGGUGGUUGUUGAAGCCAACAAAAAUAAAUUCCUACUCUAAAUAAAUUGUGUAUAGUGAUUGAGCAGGGUCGUGUCCACAGAGAUCGGUAAUUAUUUAAAUCCUUUUGAAACGUAAAACGCAAAAUGGGGGAAUUGUUGACAAUAAUAAAAAUCAAAUUAAAGUAACAAGAAUGCAAAUUAAAGUUGUAAUUCAAAUUGGAGAAAGCUCUGGUUGAAGGAAUUAACUCAGCUUGAUUCGACUACUGAUCAUUGAUUCAAAUAUAGAUUAUUAUUACUCAUGAAUAGACCGGUUAUAGCUACUGAGACCCUCUAAUAGCCAAUCUCUCCUUAACUAGUCGAUAACCAAGGUACGACCGUUGGUUAUUUCCCUAAUCAAUAGACAACCCUAGAUACGAUCAUAGAAUUUAAUCAAUUGACAGCCUGAAAAACCAGAGAGACCCAAAUCCUAAUCAACACAUAUGAUGAUUCAUUUAAAUUAGAUUGUUUAUUCUCACAACACAACUCUCUGCUAUGUUAUUUGUCACAAGCAUUAAAUUCUUCAUACGAUGAAUCCUUUAAUUGACAAUAGAUUAAGUUGAUAAUUAAAUAGUGGCCAAUUACCUAAUUAACAAACAUAAUCAUGAAACUAAUUCAGAGAAUAAACAAAUACCCAAAAAGCAAUAAAACAAUUAAAGCACAAGAAAGAUCUCAUAGUAGUGAUGAAUCAAAGCUUCAUUAACCUUCAACCAGAAAAAUAAGUUUAGUUCUUCAUAGAGAGAAGAGAAAAAUUAAAUCUAGGGUUUCUUUCUUUUUUUUUUUUCCAAUCCAAAAAAUCCCCCUUUUUCACAAUAGAUUCCUCCCUUAAAUACUCUCUCUCUCUUCUCCUCUAGAAUUUUAUUUAAAAUAAAAUACUAAUAUCUGAAAUAUUAAAUUCGUAAUUACAAAAAUAACCAAAAAUACAAAACACGUUAAACUAAAAACUGCAGGUCCGCAGUUGACAGCACGCGCCCACGCCUUAUCAAUAAAGUUCUUCUGACGCUCAUAAUUUCUCCAAGAGAACAAUCAUCCUUAAACAUCAUCUUAUAGCUCAAUUUUAUCACCAACCAAUAGAAUUGCACCUACAAAAGUAAAUCACUAUUAUUAAGUGCAAAACAUCGAUAUUAAAAGAAGUAAACAAUGCAAAACUAGUGCAUAAAUUGCACUCUAACAGAGGUGCUGGAAAGAAUUUUGCUCAGGGAACUGGUGCUGCUUGUCAGAUAUGCUUCAGGUUUAAUCACACAGCAGCUGAUUGCAGAAACAGGUUCAACAGAAAUUUUAUCCCAAAUUUUCCAGCUCCAGCUCCAAAUUACUUCUCUAAUCAGCACCAAGGACCAAGAGCAGCCUUCAUAACAACAUCUGAAGGAGCUGCUGAUCAGGGAUGGUUUCUGGAUAGUGGUGCAACUCACCACUUAACCAACACAGUUCAGAAUCUGAGUGAUGGUAAGAUCUAUUUUGACUCAAACUUACUUACUGUUGGUAAUGGCCAAGGUUUUAGAAUUACUCACAUAGGUUAUACACAACUUCACACUUCUUUUGGCACCUGCUUACAACUACAGAAUAUUUUGUGUGUUCCUCAAAUUACCAAGAACCUCAUUAGUAUUUCCAAACUCCUCACUGAUAAUGAUAUAAUCAUUGAAUUUUUCUCUGAUGUUUGCUUUCUAAAGGACAAGGUGAAGGGCACUCUGUUGGCUUAGGGGAUUGCUAGAGAUGGCCUAUACAAGCUACUGUCAAAAAAGGAAUCUCUCUCUUCUUCCACUUCUGUUCUGCCAGUGUCUCAUCCUAGUUCUAUGAUGUCAACUCUUUCCUGCAAUAAUGUAAUUACUUCUGUUCAAAGUUCAAAUAAUGACUUCUGUUUUAAGUUUACAUUUCCUGUAAGCUUUCAAACUUCAAUUUCUGUGUCAGCAAAUAUAUUGCACAAUAGACUUGGUCAUCCAAGUAAGCAUGUCAUACAAACUAUUCUCAGAAACAAUUGUUUAAUGUCAGCCAAUGUUAAUAAAUCAAAUUUUCUUUUCUGUGAUGCCUGUCAACUUGGAAAGUUACAUCAAUUACACUUUCCCGCUACUAAAAUCAAAACAAAAUAUCCCUUAGAAUUAAUACACACAUACUUAUGGGGACCAGCUCCAGUUUUAUCACUAGAUGGUUAUAGAUACUAUAUUUCCUUUGUUGAUGACUUCACCCGAUAUUGUUGGAUCUUUCCCUUAGUUUUAAAAUCUGAUGCCCUUACUACUUUCAAAAACUUCAAGAGCUUAGUUGAGAAACAAUUCAAUCUGCCCAUCAGAAUUUUACAGUCUGAUAUGGGAGGUGAAUUCAAAGCUUUUCAGUCAUUUCUUCAACAAUAAGGUAUCCAAGCUAGAUUUAGUUGUCCCUAUACUCACCAUCAAAAUGGUGUUGUUGAGAGAAAACAUAGACACUUAGUAGAAACUGGAUUAACACUCCUUGCUCAAGCAAAAAUGCCUAUUUCUUUCUGGUGGGAGGCUUUCCAUACAACCUCUUAUCUCAUUAAUAGAAUGCCUACCACUACACUGAACAACUUAUCUCCCUAUCAAAAGCUUCAUAAUCAGCCACCAAACUAUCAACUUCUCAGAGUUUUUGGUUGUGCUUGCUAUCCUUUUCCCAGGCCUUAUAAUGACCACAAGCUUGAUUUUCAUUCCCAAAAAUGCUUGUUUUUAGGUUACAGCCCUCUUCACAAAGGAUAUAAGUGUCUAACAAAGUCAAGCAAAGUAUAUGUUGCUGUUCAUAUUAUUUUUAAUGAGUCUGAUUUUCCCUAUUCAGAGUUGUUCGCUUCAUCUGAAUCUUCUUCCAAUUCUCUGUCAUCAUACUCUCCAUCUAUUUGUAUCCUCAAUGACAGUGGCUUGCAUCAGUCAUCAGCUAUAUCUCCUGCUUUAGCAGAGUUACCAACUCACAUUCACCUCAACAUCCUCACCAAGCCCCACACUCUCCUUGUCCCUCUCCAGUCUCAAAUUCCUACGGCUCAUCAUCACCACAUUCUUCAUCACAUAAUGCUUUAGCCAAUCCCUCUGAUGAAUUACAACCAUCAUCUCAACCUGUCAUUUCAACUCAUCAGAUGGUUACUCGAGCCAAAUCUAGUAUUUUUAAACCAAAGACCUACCUUACAGCUACCGAAGACCUUGAACCAGUGAGUGUUAAAGCAGCCCUGAUUGAUACAAAGUGGAAAAUGGCUAUGCAAGAAGAGUAUAAUGCUUUGCAGAAGAAUGACACCUGGACAUUAGUUCCAGCUGAAACCGCUACAAAACUCGUUGGAAAUAAGUGGGUUUUUAGAGUUAAAUAUAACCCAGAUGGUAGCAUUUCCAAGUAUAAGGCUCGGUUGGUUGCAAAAGGUUUUCAUCAAACUUAUGGAGUAGAUUUCUUUGAAACCUUUAGUCUAGUUGUUAAACCCUACACUGUUCGUAUUGUUCUCAGCUUAGCAGUCAUGCAUUGUUGGCCAGUUCGGCAAUUGGAUGUUAACAAUGCCUUUCUUAAUGGCAUGCUUACUGAAAAUGUGUUUAUGCCUCAGCCAGAAGGCUUUAUCAGCUCUCAGUUUCUCAAUCAUGUCUGCAAAUUACAAAAAGCCAUUUAUGGUCUUAAGCAGGCUCCAAGGGCUUUGUAUGAUAGAUUGAAAGGGUCUUUAGUUCGGUGGGGUUUCAGAUCUUCAAAGUCAGAUACUUCACUGUUUUUCAAGCAUAUUGGCAAUAAUGUUCUCAUCAUCCUUGUUUAUGUAGAUGAUAUCCUGAUAACAGGCUCUAGUGCUGUUUAUAUUUCAGAGGUUAUCAGUCUACUUAGCUCAGAAUUUGCACUUAAAGAUUUAGGAGAUUUUAACUACUUUCUUGGGGUAGAAGUGACUCCAUCUGCUGAAGGAUUACAUCUAUCUCAAACUAAGUAUGUUGGUGACAUCUUAAGAAAAGCUCAUAUGCUUGAGAGUAAAGGCUGCAAUACACCUAUCAGUAUUGUUGAUAAGUUGCAGAAGGACAAAGGUUGCUCAUUUACAAAUCCCUCACUUUACAAAAGCAUCAUUGGUUCUCUGCAGUAUCUGACACUGACCAGACCAGAUAUCGCAUUCACUGUAAACAAAUUGAGUCAGUUUUUAGCUGCUCCAACUAUCUUGCAUUGGCAGGCUUGCAAGAGGGUAUUACGAUAUCUACAAAGCACAACACAUUUUGGACUGCAGUUCUUCAAGUCAGGUCCUCCAAGUCUCAUAGCAUAUUCUGAUGCAGAUUGGGGGUCUGAUCCAGAUGAUAGAAGAUCUGUUGGAGGGUAUUGUGUUUAUCUUGGAUCCAAUCUUGUGUCUUGGUCAUCUAAGAAACAGAACAUUGUUUCCAGGUCAUCUGCUGAAUCUGAGUAUAGAGCUUUGGCCUUAGCUACAUCUGAGGUUUUGUGGAUUACAUAUCUGUUGAAAGAGCUCAAAGUAUCACUUCCCAAACCUCUUGUUCUUUACUGUGACAACAACAGUGCAGAAGCUUUGGCUAGCAAUCCUAAGUAUCAUUCCAGAACUAAACAUAUAGAACUGGAUUUACAUUUUGUCAGAGAACACAUUGCCAACAAGGAUCUCUUCAUUGAACAUGUGUCUAGUUCUGAUAAGUUAGCUGAUGUGCUUACCAAACCUCUGAGUUUUGAUAAUUUUGCCUAUAUGCGAACUAAGCUCAAUGUCUGCCCACGACCUUGAGCUUACGGGGGCAUGUUAAGAAUAACAUAUGCUGAGUCAGCUGCUGAGUCAUCAAGCCACGCUGGAAGUCAGUUUUGCAGUUAGUUAGAGAGCUUAUCAGCUUCUCUCCAAAAGUUUGUUAUGUGUAUUAGAAUCUGUGCUCAUGAGUUUUGUGAGUUUGUAACCUUGAAAAGAUUCUCACACUACUAUAAAUUGUAUUGUGACUCAAUUAAUAAAAGUUGUUGAAGCGUUGCAUUUUCUCUCAGUCAAAAUUUUCUCUCUGUUUUUCUAAGUAACCAAACAAAAUCUACAGAGCAUUUUGUAUUUUAACUAUAUCUACACACUUAUAACACAAGUUUGUCACCACUAAAAUAUAAACAUGUUCUGUAAAUGCCUCUAAGAUAUCUGAGAAUUCAUUUCACUACUGUCCAGUGCUCUUUGUCCAGAUUGGAGAGAAACCGACUGACUACACUAACUGCGUAAACAAUACCUGGUCUUGUACAAAUCACGGCGUACACCAAACUGCCAACUGCUGAAGCAUAAGGAACUCCUCUCACGGAGAAAUGGGUUUUGCUCUUGAGAUCUUUGGGAACAUGAAGAAUAAAGAUGUAAUUUCUUGGACUGACAUUGUUUCGGGGUAUAUAAAUAGAGGACAAGUGGAUAUAGCUCGACAGUAUUUUGCUCAGAUACCAGAACGAGAUUAUGUCUUAUAGACUGCCAUGAUUGAUGGGUACCUUCGAGUGAAUAGGUUCAGAGAGGCUUUGACACUUUUCCGGGAGAUGCAAACUUCAAAUAUAAGGCCAGACGAGUUUACCAUUGUUAGGAUUCUUACAGUUUGUGCGAAUCUGGGGGCACUAGAACCGGGAGAAUGGAUAAAGACUUACAUUGACAAAAACAAGGUCAAGAAUGAUAUAUUUGUGGGGAAUGCUUUGAUAGACAUGUACUGUAAAUGCGGAGAUGUUGAGAAAGCUCAAAGGGUACUCAGGAAGAUGCUUCGAAAGGACAAAUUCACAUGGACGGCCAUGAUUGUUGGCCUUGCCAUCAGUGACCCAUUUCCUACGAUCAGACCGGAUAAGGUAACUUAUGUUGGUGUUCUGUCUGCCUGUACUCACAAUGGUAACGAAACUUUUGUGAUAAAUAGUUGCGACUUAAGGUGAGAAUUGGAGGAAACGAAAUAGACUGAAGUUGUUCAAUCAUCGGUGGUUGCUAUUUGAUUUUAAGUUGUUCAAUCAUCGGUCAUCUCUAUUUGGUUUUCUCCAAUAUCUCAUCUCCAGUUUUGACUCAGAUUCUGUCUUACCACUAGUAAUUAAAAGUGAGGAGGCAGCAGUCAAUGCUAUUUCGGCUUGGCCCAAAAUUUCACCAGUUUGUUAGUGUUCUGCAGCUCUUGCUGCUUUCCUAGAGAUUCUGCAUCUUUUGCAAUUUGAUUGAUUAAAAAAAAAAAAAUUAGUGGCCAUUUAGAAUGAAGGAGAGAUUUGUGUGAAUGGUAUAGGUGAAAAAUUGGAUGAAAAUAAACAGGCAACCGUCCGUAUAAAACAACAAUAACAAUAUACAAAAAGAUAAGUAGACACUUCUGUAAUUCACGAAAGGAAAUUUAUGGUUGUUUCUGAAAAACAUACAUAUUAAUUUCACUUAUACUCUAAGGUGGGAUAGAUGUCAACUAGCUAUGCUAAUGAUACCUUGCCAUCAUGACUGGACUUGUGAGGAAUUUGGAAACAUGUAUGAUGAUUGUUACUUACACAAUUGUAGAAAGAAAUGCUGAGGUGGCUUGAACCAGAUGGUGAAAUCGUCUAACACACUUAAUUGUUAGAUGUGUUUUGGAUAUUCACAGUUAGGUUGAAAUUUGUAGUUUUCACUUGAAAGAAUUCAGUUAAAAAUUGAUUGGUAGAAUUGUAAAAUAGUCUAAAUUUUUAGUUCAAACCCAUUGCAUAUUUAAGAACAUCUUAAAUGAAUUGCUUAUUGCUAUCAUCAUCAUUAUUGUCCAUAUAAUAAUAAUAAUAAUAAUAAUAAUAAUAAUAAUAAUAAUAAUAAUCAAUAGAAAUGUUAUCUUAUCCACUAUUUUAUAUAUGUUUCCACUAAAAUCUAUUUAAUUAUUCUUUAUUUUUUUUCAACUGUUGCAUGUUAGAUUUAUUCGAUUUCCUAAGUUAUAUCAAUAGAAAUGUUAUCUUAUCCAUAAAAAGUUAGAUCUAACAAUUAUGAAAAUUACUAUAGUGCUGCUUUGAAUAAUUUUUUAAAAAUACCACAAGUAAAUAAUAAUUAGUUUAAAUAGUGGAGACUAAAAAGCAUUCACCCUUAUUUUUUAUCUGUUAUUAGUUUUUUUUAAUCUGUUAUACAUUUGAAACAUUCCAUUAAUUGCCAAUUAUGUAAGCGAGAUAGUAAUUAAUUUUUUUUAUUUAAAAAAAGUGAAAAUUAAUCCUAUGCAAUGUGAAUAAAUUUCUUUCCUUUUUCCUUCACUCUUUUUAUUUGAUAAUUAAGUUUCAAUCUAUGUACGCAAAAUUUCUGCAACAGCUGCAAAACAUAAAAAUAUAUGAUUGUUAAGGGAAACACGCAGAAGUUCAUCACUUCAAUGUUCAGUAUUUCCAAUUUUGGCAUUAAGCUCUUACGAAUAUAUUCCACUUAGAAAGCAAAAUAUUAGAAUUGUGAUUUUAAUUCAUUCAUCAUAUCUCAUUUCAAUCCCAAAAUAUUCAAGUGGAUCCAAGUUACCAUAAGGCUUCAGAGGCUCGAGCCUUAGCCAGAGAUGGUUAAUUGAUAGACUAGGUAAGAGAAACCAAGGUUGAAGUAUGUAGAAAUGUUAUUUCAUUUAUUUUUAUUUAUGAUUUUUUGUAAAAUGUAAGAAAUAUGUAGAAAUGUUGCCAGCAAUGAUUUUGGAACUUUGCAUAAAAUUUUUAUCAUUAUUGUUUUUGGUAUUAAGAAAUCCGAGGCGGUGAUUAGACGUAUGUUGCAACAAUUAAGAAAUUUCUUAUUGGAGAUAAUUUGGUAGGUUGCAACAAUUAGAGAAUCAUUUUCCUGUCAGUUAAUCAAUCAAUAAUAAAUUUCAAAUUGCAGAAAAUAAAAUAAUACUGUCGCACUUAGAAUCAUCUUUUCUAUCUCUUUCAAUUGUGACAAUCAUUUGUAACAAAUAAAUCAAUUUGAUGCACAUCAUUUCCCCAAUUCAAAGUUCAAGUCACUGCUCAAUUGCAGAGUAGUUAGUAGACAUGCAUGCAUGUUUAAUUAAGUACUGCAUUGUAGUAUCGAAAAUCAUAACAUCUCACCAAGCCCGGAAGCAUAGCUCUUUAUCUUGUAAAUGUUGAAAUCUUAUGCAAACUAUGGGAACCAUGAGCUCACUCUCAGUGUCACUUGAUUCCAUUUUCUGUUCUUGCCUUGAUUUCGAUGUUGGGAAUGUGACGUCUGAGUCUAAGGUUGAAGAUAAUCUCGAUGCCUUGCGGACUGCAAUGGAAAUAAAAUAUUUGUGUGUUGAGAAAUGAUGAAAUGAUGCAAUGGAAAUAAAAUCUCAAUCUCUUGAGAAAUGAUGUGAUAAGAAGAGUUACUGUUGCUGAAGGACAACAUCAAAUGCAACGAAUGGAUCGAGUGCAGGGCUGGCUUUCAAGGGUAAAAUCUGUGGAAAAUAAAGCUGAUGAUUUGAUGAGACACAGCUCUCAAGAGAUUGAGAAGUUAUGCCUUGGAGGCUUCUGUUCCAGGAACUGCAAAUGAAGCUACAGCCGUGGGAUAGAAUUUGCAACAAUGCUACGAUUGUGGAGAGUUUAAUGGGUGAAGGAUCAUUUGAAUAGGUGGCUGAGAGGGUGCCAGAAGAUGCAGCAGAGGAGAUAAAUUGUGAGCCAACAAUAGUGGGCAUGUUGUCGACUUUUGAGAAAGCCUGGAGAUGCCUUGAAGAAGAAUCAGUUGGAAUUAUUGGCCUAUAUGUCAAUGGGGGAGUUGGAAAAUAUUUACUCAAAUCAACAACAAGUUCCUUGAUAGUCCAAAUAAUUUUGAUGUUGCGAUCUGGGUAAUGGUCUGCCAAGAUUUGCAACCCCAGAAGUUUCGGGAAAAGAUUGGGAAAAAGAAAGUCUUGUUCGAUGAGUACCGGAUUGAACUAUAUUAGAUUAUAUUUAAAUAAUAUUAAAUAGUAUUUAAGUUGGUAUUCUAAUAUAAAUAUCAAUUAUCCAUGAAAUUUUAUAAUCAUAAUUAAAAUAAAUUUAAAAAGCAAUUACUAGGAAAAUUAAAUAUAUUGCAAAAAGUUAUUGGGUAGUCAUAAUAUAAUAGGCAAAUAAAAUUAAAUAAAACAAAUUACAUAUUUAAUUAUAUUUAUCAAAUAUUUAAAAAUAUUAUAUAAAAUAUUAUAUAAAAUCAAUUAAUUAAUGAUAUUAUUAAUUUUCAUGAUUAUUUUUAAUAUUAUAUUACUGAUUAUUAAAUUUAAUACAAUCAAAUAAUGCAAUAAAUAAUUAAACAUUCAAUUUUAUUGAUUAAUUAUUAAAUAUACAAGUAAUGAAAAUUUUAUCUCAAGAGUUGGUAGAAGCGAAAGUACUAAUUUAAUUAGAUCAUAGAUAAUAAAUAAAAAUAAAUUUUAAGUAAAUCAUAAUAAAAAAUUAAUUAAUUAAUUCAAUCAAUCAAUAUUAGGUGUAAAUAAAAAAAUGAUAUAAAUAAAAAUCUCAUAAAUGUACAACUUUUAUCUUUAAUCUUAUCCUAAAAGAACAAAAAGCAGAAUAUAUAUUGAAGUGUUUUUCACACCUUUUCAUUAACUGGAAUGCAUGUAUUUAUAUACAUCAUUUGUAACUAAUAAAGAGAAAAUAAAGGAAACUAUACAUGAGAGUAUCAAGGAGAAUAAUGGAAGAGAUUGUUGUCCGUAACUUGUGGAGAGUAUCAUGGAGCUUGAGAUUAUCUGAUAUGCCCCCGCAAGAGGGUGUUGCCAUUGGCGACACCCAUCUUGAACCUUAAUUCAGAAAAUGGUCGCUUAGAGAGGGGCUUGGUUAGGCUAUCAGCAAGUUGAUCUGCUGUAGAUACAUAAGAUACGCGCAAUAGCCCUUUGUUGACCCAAUCACGAACAAAAUGAUAAGCAAGAUCAAUGUGUUUUACCCUUGAAUGAAAGACUGGAUUGCGACACAAAUAGGUAGUUCCAAUAUUAUCACAAUAGAUGGUAGGAGUUUGACUCAAUUGAAGGCCAAGUUCUUGAAGUAGAUUCUGAACCCAUCGAACUUCAGAGGCUGCAUUUGCGACAGCCAAGUACUCAGCUUCUGUUGUGGAACGAGCUAUUGAUUUUUGUUUGUUCGAGCGCCAUGAGAUAGGAUUGCCGCCUAGAUAAAGCAUAUAGGCUGAUGUAGAAGUAAUGAAAAUUUAAUCUCAAGAGUUGGUAGAAGCGAAAGUACUAAUUUAAUUAGAUCAUAGAUAAUAAAUAAAAAUAAAUUUUAAGUAAAUCAUAAUAAAAAAAUUAAUUAAUUGAUUCAUCAAUCAAUAUUAGGUGUAAAUAAAAAAAAUGAUACAAAUAAAAAUCUCAUAAAUGGACAACUUUUAUUUUUAAUCUUAUCCCAACUAAACACAUGUGUAAAUUAGGAUUAUUAAUUCCAUAAUUUUCGGAUUAAAUUCAAAUUUAUUCCCCCUUAAUCCAAUUCAACUAAACUUGUCAAACAUGGGAUAAAAAUUUAAUUAUAAAAUUAGUCCAAUUCCAUACUUAAUCCUAGCAUCCAAAUAUAGCUCAAGUUCUUUGCUUAAAGAAGCUACCAAAUUUGAAGAGCGUUUACGGGAAGGCCUUGCGUUUCCCAGAUGUAUGCAGAAUUUUUGUAUCUAAAUGCCCAGAACUUAAGAAGCUGACGCUGGAUUUUGAAAGGGCGGGCCAAGGUAAAAUUCUUAUCAAAUGAAAGGAAAAUCGAUGGAAACAACUUCAAUGGGAGGAUCAAGCAACUCAGGAUGCAUUGCUUCUGUUUUUCAAAUCAACUGACAAGUGAUUGAAGGGGGCAUCAUCAGCCUGGAUGGGGAGAUCCUGGAGCAGAUCAGCAGGGUUUGAAUCUGCAUCAUCAACAUCAUCAGGAUCUCUAUUUCUAUUGCUGGUCGUAAUGCCUGCCGACUGUUGCUUGAAAAAGUGAUUAAGUGAGCCAGUUUUUUGUUUAUUAAAUUUUGUUUUGUAGAGACAGUCACAAAGUAUUUUUCUUAGUUGUUCUAUAUGAGAGUGAUGUGAACCAAUUUUUCAAUUAUAUAUUCUGUGGGAAAUUGCAAGUAUUUUUAAAAUAUGAUCGUUAUUAAAGGAAACAAAGGAAUCAACACAGCAUACUGAACCUCAGCAGUAUGAAGCUAAUGAUUAAACUCCUCACACAAUUCAUAACAUGCAAAACCAUUCACAAAAUCAUCCACAGCAACCAUAAUUGGCGUCCAAUAGAAAUUUACAAGAAUUACUUUUCUGUUCAUGCAAUCGGCGUCUGAACGCGGCUGAUCGGUCACCGGUGUUGGCGUUUACUGUGAUUAGACAAAUUGUAGCACUUCAAAAAUAACUUCUAUAGGGGUAAUUUCGAUUUCACAUAAUUAAUUUUAUUUACAAUAUUUUAUUCCUGCAAGGUCAACUGAGAUUCUUUCCACCGGGCACACCCUUCAUGUUCUUUUAUUUUCUGUCUUUUAUUAGCCGUUGGAUUUUACUACUCUUAUAUCCAACGGCUUGCCACAACAAGACAAAUGAGGUGGUACCUUUCAACCGCUGAAAGGUAGUUUUGGCCCCAAGUGAAAGAGGGAAAUAGGGAAUUGAUGCUAUAUUUUAUAUUUUCUAUUUUACUACUCUUGUAUCCACCGGCCUUUCUUAUAUUUUAUUGCAAAUUGAUGCUAACAAGAAAAAGCUAGAUCAUAUUCCACAGAAAAGUGAGAAAACAACCAGAUGGAUUCUUUUAUUAAACUACAAAUUAAAAUGGUAUCACAAAUUCUCAUCAAUUUAUUUAAAUAUAUUCUUUUAACCCUCUUUUUAAUUUCACAAAUUCUCAUCAAUUUAUUUAAAUAUAUUCUUUUAACCGGAAACAAUUGAUAUCACUUAUUAAGAAUAACAAAAUUUACUAUUUAAAAAUGAAGAUCAAUAAAUUUUUAUCAAUCAUGAAAGUUAAUGAGUGUCAAGAAAUUAAUUUUUGCUAAACAUACAAGCUAAUAACUAUUAAAAAAAUCUUAUAUUAUAGAGAUCAUAUAUAUUAAGAAAGACCAAAAAAAAAAUUAAAAAAAUAGUUAAAUUCAGUGUAUAGUUUAUAGGAUGUGAGAGUGGUAAAAGAAUAUAUAAUUGUAAAAUAGAGAAAAAGAAAAAGAGAUUAGUAGAGAAUAAUUUUGAGAUUUUUUAAUUUUUAAUUUUUAAUAAUAAAUUUAUUUUAAAAAAUAGGUGUGGAGAAAAAUUUGAUGGGUUCAAGCAAUUCCACCUAAUUUUAUAUUAUCAAUACGCAAAUGAAAGUACAAAAAUACCUCUAAUAGAGUGAAAUAAAGAGUUCUCUAAUCUCUAGGGUUUCUCAUUCCAAUUUUGAAAUUUCCCUACUUUAUUUUGAAUUAACCCUCUUUGUUACCAUUGAAUUGUAACAUUCAAAAUUUGAAUAUGUUUUUACAAAUAGAAGAUUAUUGGGACAAAAACAAUAAGAAAUAGAAAACCUAGUUGAAAAAGGAUAUUACAAAAAAAGAAAUUGCCAUUACCAUUCAAACAUUUACACAGUAAAGGCAUUAACAGCAUAAGGCGGCAAUAAAACUUACUCAUAAUUAGGGGUGGCAAAAAAGUCCGAGCCGGCUUAGGCCCGGCCAAGCCCAGUCUAGAUCCGUGGACUUAAAGUCCGACCCGUAAGGAUGUGGGCUUAGAUAUAGACCUAAAAAUUACAAAACCCACAUAUAUUAGACCUAAACAAGAACUUAGCAAAAAAACCCAAACUUUCUAAAUUUAUGAAUAAAAAAUAAAUUUAAUUUAAAUAAAAAAAAUUAAAAUAUUAAAUUAAUUGAAUUUUUUAUAUUAAUAUUUAUUAUUUUAUUAAAUUAUAUUGUUAAUAUUUAAUGUAUUUGACUAUUAUUCUAUUUAUAUAUUAUAUUAUUAUUUUUAAUUUAAAUAUUUUUCUUAAUUUAAAAAAUUUUUAUAAUUAAUUUAAAAAGUUCAGGCCCAGCCCGAGUUCGGUCCAUCCAAAUUUAACGGAUUUUUGAAGAACCUGAACUUCGUUUGAAUGAUAUGGGUCCGGCCCAAGCCCGCAAAUUGCCAUCCCGUGAUAAUAACAAACAGAUAUGGCCCAGCCCGAGUUCGGUCCAUCCAAAUUUAACGGAUUUUUGAAGAACCUGAACUUCGUUUGAAUGAUAUGGGUCCGGCCCAAGCCCGCAAAUUGCCAUCCCGUGAUAAUAACAAACAGAUAUAGAUAGAUCGAUGGAUGGCAUUUUUUAAAUGUACCUUAAAAACCAAAACAAAAGCAAAAAUAUUAAAAUAUUACACCAACUGCUAACUAAUUAAUCUAAUAAAACGCCUCGCUUAAUCAUUUCCAGUCCACUAAACACGCUGAACGGAUUCCAGCCUCUGAAGUCUCAUCUCAUUGUUAAAUUCAUUGAUGAAAGCUUCAACUCGCCGAUUCAACUCAUCUUGACUCAUCGAUUCCUCCCUCCUCAGCGACGUUCUGUCACUGAACGUCUCAGAUUUCCUCAGCUCACGUUUCGCCCAAGCCGUCGGAUCAUUCUCAUCAUUAUCACUACCACAGGCGAUGGUGAUGAUGUGGAAGGUGGAAGAAGCGGCGAUGGUGAUGAUGAUGAUGAUGAUGAUGAUGAUGAUGAAGUUGACUAUGAUGUAAUUGUACGGCGGCGACAGCCAGAACCUCAAAGAAAUGAAGAGGCUAGGGAUUGUCGAUACCGUGAAACAAAUGUACGGGAUUAUUGCUACCUUAAACAGCAUGAAAGUUGAAACAAACCCGGCUGACAAAAAUAACAACUUUGCUACCCGCGUUACUGUCUCUAAUCUGCUUGAUUUUGGGUCGAAAUUUUGAAAAAGAUCCCCCAUUUUUCAAUUUUCACACACAAUAAAGAAGGAAAAAGAAAGGUAGCUAGAUUUUUUUUUUGUUUUUCAACAAGGGAAGAAAUAAGAAAAGAACAUUAAAAGGAUUUUUCAGGCUUUGAUGGUCAUUAAAAUGAGACCCAGGAAACCAUUGAAGCUAAAAAAAAAACGAGAAGCCAUGUAUUUAUAUAUGCUGCUUUGCUUUACAAAAUCUGACUGGCAUCAGGGUGAAAAAAAAGUGCCAUUUGUUGGUACAGAGAGACAGAGGAGAGUAGAGAGGCAGAUGCAGGGGCAGGGGCGAAGUCAAGGGACCAUUGAAUGGGCAAGCGAGGUUUCAAUUUAUGUAACGAGGGACGAUUAAAGUUCUUGCAACUUUCCUGCCGUCUGAUGAAAUCUUGACCGUUCGAUGGUACAAUAAUGGUUAUAAUGAUCUUGAAAGUGUUGGAGAGAUAAGUUUGUACAGAUUAUGUACGCUAAAUAAAAUCACAUUUAAAAUGGUUUUUGAUUUUAUUCUAUUACAGAUUACUUUUAUUAAAUAAAUGAAGGUACAUUGAGUGAGUGAGUGAGUGACUUCACGAUUUUGCACUAACGCCGCUGUGUUAUCCUCCGCGGCACUUGUCCUCAUCAUUUGUAAUUGAAAAGCUGAUUUAAGAUUUUAGAAUAGUGCCUUUUGGAAAAAAAAUAUAUAUAUAUAUCAACGGCCGAUUGAGAUUUCUUUUUUGAAGAUUUAAAAUUAAUUUUUUAAAAAAUUAAAAAUUAAUUUUAAUAUUUUAUAAGUUUUAAAAAAAUUAUUUUUAAUAAAAUCACUUCAUAGUAGAUUCCGGAAAGUAGAUAUCUAUGCUUUUUAAAUUUUAAUUUUAAGAAUUAAUUUUUUACUUAAUAUAAUCCUUGCAUAUAUUAUAAAAUUUUAAAAUCAUCUUCAUUAAUUACAAAAUAAGAUCAUUAAUUUUAAGGAGAUUAUAAUCAUUAUCAAUUAUAGGGAGAUUAAAUGCUUAAAGUGACAAGUGCAAAACUAUUUAAAAAUAGUCAGUAAAAGUAUAGGUGGGCAAUUAGUUCAAUUCUAUUUGAAUCAACUAAAUUAAAUUAUAUCGUGUUUCAUAAAUUUUUAAAGCAACUGAUUUUUUGUUUGGUUUAGAUAAAAAUUAAACUAAACCGAAAAAUCAAACGGUUCAAAGAAAAAAAAGUUAAAAACAAAUUUUAUAAACUGAUCGGUUUCCGUUAGAUUCAAUUCCAAAUCUAAACAAACCAAUCCAAAGUGAAAAUAAACAUUUUUGUUGAAUGCACUUUUAAUUUGUUUGGAUACGUCUCGACCCUCCAGUCUCUUGAUUAAAGUUCAUUUAUUAGGGUCCGCUUGUAAUACAGCGUCUGUAUCUCAUACAGUCAAAUUUAAUAUUUUAUUAAGAAAAAGGGCAACCGUUAGAUAGAAGUAGAUACAUCCAAUGGUUAAUAUCUGUGAUUACUCAUUUUGGUGACCGGAUAUGCCAAUUAUUAUUUCAUCAAUUAACUUACCUAAAAAAUCAUAGCCGUUGGAUUGAGAUGCCUCUCUCUCCCUCAAAAUAACAGCCUUCGUAUUCUCUCUGCUAUUGUUUUGUCCUACAUCUAGAAUUUUGGAUGAAUGAACUUGGUAUUCAAGAACAUUCACCACCCAUCACAGCAAAGAGCAAAGAUAUAGUCGAAGGAGUGCCAUUUAUUCAGGCUUACUUGAUCUGUCAGUCUCGCUUCAAUUCGUCACUCAUUUUCUUGCGCUCAGCUUCAAUCUAUCACUCUCAGCUUCAGUUCGUCACUCAUAGCUUCAAUUUUUUCACUGUCGUGAAUCAUCUCUCUUGCUGUAUCUCUCUCUUAUGUCUUCCAAUAAUUUCGGUGAGCUCUCUCUCUAAUUUAAUAUAUGAUUAAAAAUCUUAUCAUCUUAUCAUGUCAUUUAAAUAUGCUUGAAGUUUCAAUUUAGUUUAUGAAUAUUACUUGAAAUUUUAGAUUCAAUAAUUUUAGUUUUUUUUUUCUCUAUCAUCAAUCAUAUAUUUUUUCUUGCUCUUUAACUUCUUAUCUUCAACUAAAUGUGACCUUACAUUUAUUUAGUGUAUGAUCAAUUUUUAAAUGCACAAUAAGCAUUGCAAAGUUGGCGUUAUGCAAAGGCUAUCACAAUGUGAGCGUUCAAUUGGACAGAGUGUCAUGAUCAUACAUCCUUGAACCCAAUAUUUAUUCCAAUAACAAAUGUAGAUACGUAAACUACUUUUUUUUUUUAAAUAAAAAUAAAAAACUUCAAUGAAUCAAUCAAUUAUUUUCUGAAAUGUUAUGCGAAUUGUGAUUGUGAGAUUAAAAAAAAAUAUCCAUGCAAAUCAAAUUGUAACCGCCCUCUCAAGAUAAACCAAGUAACACAAAGCAUCAUUAACUCUUUCUUGUUUCAGCCACAGUACUAUUUUUUGCUUGAUGAGAAUAUAUUUAAAUAGUAUUUAAGUUGGUAUUUUAAUAUAAAUAUCAAUUAUCCAUGAAAUUUUAUAAUCAUAAUUAAAAUAAAUUUAAAAAGCAAUUACUAGGAAAAUUAAAUAUAUUGCAAAAAGUCAUUGGGUAGUCAUAAUAUAAUAAGCAAAACAAAUUAAAUAUUUAAUUAUUUUUAUCAAAUAUUUAAAAAUAUUAUAUAAAAUCAAUUAAUUAAUGGUAUUAUUAAUUUUCAUGAUUAUUUUUAAUAUUAUAUUAGUGAUUAUUAAAUUUAAUACAAUCAAAUAAUGGAAUAAAUAAUUAAAUGUUUAAUUUUAUUGAUUAAUUAUUAAAUAUACAAGUAAUGAAAAUUUAAUCUCAAGAGUUGGUAGAAGCGAAAGUACUAAUUUAAUUAGAUUAUAGAUAAUAAAUAUAAAUAAAUUUUAGGUAAAUCAUAAUAAAAAAAUUAAUUAAUUGAUUCAAUCAAUCAAUAUUAGGUGUAAAUAAAAAAAUACAAAUAAAAAUCUCAUAAAUGUACAAUUUUUAUUUUUAAUUUUAUUCAAACUAAAUACAUGUGCAAAUUAAGAUUAUUACAUCCUUGAACCCAAUAUUUAUUCCAAUAACAAAUGUAGAUACGUAAACUACUGGGAAGCAGCACACGUGUCCUGAAGAGAGAAAAAAAUCGAGCAAAUGCAGACAAUGGGAGUUGGCUAAAAGUUGGAUCUGCAAUUUACAAAAUCUGUAACUUAUUAGCCAGCUCCCAAAUUGUGUAGUCUUUUUUCAAAUUGUACAGACAUUUAUAAAUUGGUGGCCCCUUGAAAAUUUAAUGCCAAGCAGAUAAAAGUCAUCAAGCACAGUCCUCAAUAGUUGUUUCGUGUAUAUUUAUAAAUUGGUGGCCCCUACAUCUUUAAUAAUUGGGAUUGAAUUACGGUAUAAUUGUAGAAUCAUGUCUCAAUUACAUUCAAUUGUUAGAUAUAUUUACGUUGGUAAAAUUUACUGAUAUCUAAUAAUUAAACGUAACUAUAACACAAUAUUAUAAUUACACCACAAAUUUUCUCUAAUAAUUAUUCCGAUACUUAUAAAUUGGUGGCCCCUUAGUAAUUUAACAGCAGCCUGCAAGUGUCAACUAAUGAAAAGUCAUCAUUCACAAUCUUCCAAGUGAAACAGGAAAUAUACAAAAAUUAAAACAUGUCAUUCUUUUUUUUUCAUUCCCUGUCAUGUAACUUACACCCAAAUACAUAAAUAAUAUAAAAUGAAUGGAGAGAUGCCAGGAGCAGAUCAGCAGGGUUUGAAUAUGACCUUUGGCGCUUGCUUUUUUUUUUUUUUGUGAUUUUUUUUUCAUUUUUUCCUUCCUGUCAUUUUAUCAUUUCUUUGGCUUUGUCUCUAUUGCGGGUGUUACUGCAUGCUUACUGUUUCUUGACAAAGUUUGCUAGCUUUUCCUUUUGUUUAUUAAAUAUUUUUAUCGUCACAAAGUAUUACUCGUUCUAUUUGACAGUGAUGUAAAUUAAUUUUUCAAUUUUAUAUUUUAUCGUCGAUGUGAAUUCAAUUUCAUUUGUCAUCAUGCACAAUCCUCAAUAAUUGUUUCGAUAUUUAUAAAUUGGUGGCCCCUACGUCCUCAAUAAUUGUUCCGAUACUUAUAAAUUGGUGGCCCCUUAAUAAUUGGUGUUUGAGGAAUUAAAUAGAGCGAUCAUGAUCUUUUCCAAAUGAAAGUGAGCAAAUGGUUGAGCAGGUCACCUUGAUCAGGUGGUAUGAGUUUGAUCAAAUCACCUCGACCAGGUACAAUGAGGUUGAGCAGAUCAUCUUGAUCAGGUGGUGUGAGCUUGAGCAGAUGACCAUGUGGUAUGAGCUUGAGCAAAUCACAUCGACUAGGUGCUAUGAGGUGGAGCAGAUCACCUCGACUAGGUACUAUGAGGUGGAGCAGAUCACCUCGACCAGGUGCUAUGAGCUCGAGCAGAUCACUUCGACCAUGUGCUAUGAGCUUGACCAGAUCACCUCGACCAGGUGGUCUAAACUUGAGCAGAUCACCUCGGCCAAGUGAUGACUAGGAAUAAAGACUCAGUUAAAAUAAACCACCACAAAGCUCCUCCGAAAAAUCAGGGCACGAAUCUGAUUAAUCAAUGGUUAUUGUCACGAUCUAAGGUCGUGGGUGUGGGGUGUUUUAUAAAAAUCCCGAGAAAAUCACACCAAGGGAAGGCUCUUUUUCUCUGGAUCUGACGGAGAAAUCCUUUCUGGAUACUCUAUUUUACUUUUCUGCAAAUUAUUCAAAAAGCUUUUGGUUUUAAAAUAAUGUUUAUUUAGCCAUAUGAAAAAUGACAUAUUUGGUUUUUCCUGUAAACCCCAUAACUGACUUGAGCGUUGGAGGGUUUACGCCAGAAAAACUUCCGGCACCUCUGACCAUUCUCUGUAAUUUCAGGUACUUAUUGAUCGUCAGCUUGAAGAUUAUAUGCUCAUGAAUGUUCUGCUCAUAGUCAGAGAAUAUUCUGACUAUAUUAGCCAUGACAUUUUAGUAAUUUCAGGUACUAAAAAAAAAUUAAAAUUGUUGGCGUGAAAAGCACAAAUCCUAUUUUUUGACAAUUUUAUCUUUGUCAAUUUCAAAGAUUUACAAUAUCAUAGGUAAAGAUUAUAACUAUUUCAUCUUCAAGUUUUUAAUUUUAUAUUUUUUGUAGGAACUUUAAGAAAAUAUCAAUAAUUUAAAGAGAAUUUUUGAAAUUUUUAAUUUUAUCUUUCUUGUAGGAAUUUUAAGAAAAUAUCAAUAAUUUAAAGAAGGUAAAAUAACCAAUAAUUUUAUUUUUUUUUUAGUUAUUUCCGUUUAAAAACUGUUCUUUUAUUAGCCGUUGGAUUUUACUACUCUUAUAUCCAACGGCUUGCCACAACAAGACAAAUGAGGUGGCACCUUCCAACAGCUGAAAGGUCGUUUUGGCCCCAAGUGAAACAGGGGAUGCACUUACUAUUAAGGACAGUUGGUGGCCAGCUAAUGCACUCAUUUUAUGUCCUUUUAUCUUUUUGAAUUCCUGAAGACAAGUGCAUUCAUUUUGUGUCCUUUCAUCUUUUUGAAUUACUGAAGACAAGUGGCCAGCUAAUGCAUUCAUUUUUUGUCCUUUCGUCUUUUUGAAUUAUUGAAGACAAGUGGCUCAUCGCUUUUACUGUAGGUAAGAUCUUGAUAAUCUCGAUUAUCAAAAUAAUAAUAUUCAAAAUAUUUCUUAAUUUUAUUUAAAAGAUAAAAGAAAAAUAAGUUAUGCUGGUAAAUUUUUUUAUUUUUUUAAUAAAAAUAAAAUAAAUUGAUGUUUAUAAUUGUUUCAAAUACUUUAAAGAUUGUAAUUUUAUGAGAGAGUAAUAUUUCACAUUUUUAAUGUGAAAAGUUGAAAAGGGACAAAGCAAGUUUCUCUGUUUUUCUUUUUCUUUUUUUAAAUUUGGUCAUCUCAAAUACUUCACCCUUCAACACUACAAUAUUUUGGUUAUAUAUAUAUAUAUAUAUAUAUAUAUAUAUAUUUUACACAUGCAUAUGAAUUACUUUUCUUUUAAGCUCCUGAAUAUUUAAGACAAAUCAUGAAAGAGAUGAGAAUAUAAUAAGAUGAUCAAAAUAUGUAACAAAAUUUUUUUAGAAGUGAAACAUCGUUAGAGUUGAAGUAAAACUCUGAAAAUAGAGAUACUGAUUAAUUUAGAAGAGAUGCAAGCAAAAGAUAUGCCAAAAAAAAAAAAAAGCAAUAUGUCACUUUGGAGGGCAAACUUGUCAGUUUCACAAAAAUACAUGCUUUGUAUUGAUAGUUGUCACUAUGUAUUAGGGUGCGUUUGAAAUUAUAGUGCUGUACCUUUUAAACUACAGUUGUUGUAGAAAAAAAUAAAAAAUAAAAACUACACCUAAGAUUAAGGAAAAGUACUUCAAAACUCUCUUUUGAUCAUAAAACCUUUUGUCUUAAUUAACUUAAAGAUUUUGAAUCUAAUAUUUUAUAACAAAUAAAAAUAUAUUACCAAAAUAAAUAUAAUAAUAUCUAUUUUAAAAUAAUAUCAAUAUUUAAAAUAUGUUUUAAUAUUUGACGAUCUAUUAGACACAUUUUAUUAUGUUAAAGUAAAUUUUAUAAUAAAUACAAACAUACUAAUAAAAUGAAUAUAUACAACAUUUAGAGUAUUUUGAAUAUUAUAUAAAAUAAAUUUAAUACAAUGCAUGAGAUAUAUUUUAUUAAUUUAAAAUGCUAUUUAACCUAAAGAUUUAUUUAUGAAAAAUUAAUGAUUAUAUUUUUGAAAUUAUUUAAAAUAUUAAAAAAAUUAAUAUUAUUAAUCUAUCAGGUAGAUUAAAUUAUUUAUAUUAUUUUGCAUUUAUUAAAAAAUUUUAAAAUCAAUCUUUUUAAUUACUAUUCUAAGGAUAUAAUAAUAGAGGCAACUCCGUUGCGUCAUGGUUUUGGUACCCCGUCGUUUGUCUUUUAGCACAGUCAUCGUUGGAUUUUAUCUCACGGCUGCAGAAGAGACACAGAGACGCUAGGGAGCAACCUGACAAAAAGGUCAUGGGCCGGUAAGCUGCAGGGAAAAUAUUUAAAAUACAAAAUCUUCCCUUAAAUUUUUUUUAAUAUUUAACAUGUUAUAGUUUCUAAUCUCAUGAAUAGUAGAGGAUAAAGUUUUAUCUUAAAAAAAGUAAUCCCAAGGGUCUCCUUGGGAUGAAAUUUUGCCUCUAUUAGAAUUAAGUGGUGGGCUCAUUAUUGUUACUUUUAUUUUUUUUAUACCAAACAUGAUAUAGGAUUAUUUUAUACUAAAAUUAUCCAAUCCUAUGAUAUAUAACUAAAACUAAACAGGCACUUAGGGUAUAUAUGAGCCACGGUGGAGAAGCUUUAUUUAAUAUUAUUGAUUUAAAUAAUAUCUCAUUAAAAAUGUACUGAGAAGAAAUUUCGGUGGGUAUUUUAGUCAAUCACAUGAUCAGCCUUUGGACUUGAAACGUCGGUCAGAAUGAUUUAUUCUAACAAGAAAAAACUAGGUAAUAUUCCACAAAAGUAAAAGUGACAAAACAACCAGCUGGAUUCUUUUAGGAAAUUACAAAGAGUAAUGAUACAGUCAUAAAUUUUUAUAUAAAUUUAUUUUAUAUAAAUUGAUGUGGUAUUAAUUCAUUAGUUGAAUGAAAAUAUAAAUUAAUAAAAAUAAAUUAUAUGGACCAAGUAAUAUUUAAUUCAAUCAAUCUUAUUAUGUCACAUCAAUUUAUAUAAAAUAAAUUUAUAUUUGUAUUAUUACUCAACUAUAAAUUAAAAUAAAUUUUUUCGAUAAACUACAAAUUAAAGUGGAUUCUUUUGAAUGCAAGUGGGACAGACGAUAAGGCUAAAAAUUAGUCAAGAAUCGAAUAGUCUUUUUCAAAUUCUUGUUUUAUUAUUUUUCAAAACCAGUUUUUGGUAAUUACAAUCGGGUCAUUAAUCAUUAUUCAGAGUUAUUGUUUCCUUCAGAAGUUAGUGGCUCAUGUUUGCAAGUGUGAAUAUGCGAUGCUCUUUUUCGAAAGCGCAAUGACAGUGGGUCCCGAAUCGGACGUCCCUAAAUCUUUUUAAAAUUUUUGCCGUAUAACGAACAGAGGUCAUUACUAAAAUUUCUCUUCCACAGCCUACAGCAGCUUCAGUUUAUCAAACUCAAUCAAUUUUCUUUCUUAACAAAAUUCCAAAGAUGUGUAGCAUUUUUCAGAUCACAUGCGAUGGUGCUCUUUUCAAUCGUUGCUUGGAUUGCUUUCUUGGAAAAGCAGCAUACAUACGUAACCUCCAAGAUAAUCUUGUAGCCUUGGAGACUGAACUGGGAAGACUAAUCGCAGCAAAGAACGAUGUGAUGAUGAGGGUUGUCAAUGCUGAACGGCAACAAAUGAGAAGGCUGGACGGAGUGCAAGUGUGGGUUUCGAGGGUGGACGCUGUUAAAACUGGAGCCGAUGAACUUAUCACAGACGGCUCUGAAGAAAUUGGCAAAUUAUGUGUUGGAGGCUACUGUUCCAAGAACUGCAGGUCAAGCUACAAAUUCGGAAAACAAGUGGGUAAAAAGCUACAAGAUGUGAAGACUUUAAUCGCCGAGGGAGUUUUUGAGGCGGUGGCCACUGAGGUGGUGCCCGAGAGAGCUCCGGAACCUGUAGCAGAUAAAAGACCCACUGAGCCAACAAUAGUAGGCCUGCAAUCACAGCUUGAACCAGUUUGGAGAUGUCUUGUAGAAGAAUCAGUGGGAAUCAUUGGCCUAUAUGGUAUGGGCGGUUUUGGUAAAACCACACUAUUGACCCAUAUCAACAAUAAAUUUCUUGAGAGUCCCACAAACUUUGAUUGUGUGAUUUGGGUCGUAGUUUCAAAAGACCUGCGACUUGAAAAAAUUCAAGAAGAUAUUGGGAAGAAGAUAGGUCUAUCUGAUGAUUCAUGGAAGAAUAAAAGUUUUGAAGAGAAAGCUGUGGACAUCCUGCUGAGAUUAGGAGAGAAGAGAUUUGUAUUGUUGUUAGAUGAUUUAUGGGAGCGGGUUGAUUUAACAAAAGUGGGCGUUCCACUUCCCAGCGCACAAAAUACUACCUCAAAAGUCGUAUUCACAACCCGUUCCAUUGGUGUUUGUGGCAGCAUGAGAGCUAGGCCGGUUAAAGUGGCAUGCCUAUCAGAAAAGCAAGCUUGGGAACUGUUCCGCGAAAAUGUUGGGGAAGAAACUCUUGAGAGUGAUCAUGAGAUCGUUGAGCUAGCCCAAACUGUGGCCAAAGAGUGUGGUGGUUUGCCACUCGCACUUAUUACUAUUGGUCGAGCUAUGGCCUACAGAAAGAAAGCGGAGCAGUGGAGACGUGCAAUUGAAGAGUUAAGAAGAUCAGCUUCAGAGUUUGCAGGUUUGGGAAAAGAGGUGUAUCCUCUUUUAAAGUUUAGCUAUGAUAGUUUGCAGAAUGAGACAAUUAGAUCUUGUUUCUUGUAUUGUUGUUUAUAUCCUGAAGAUUAUGGCAUUCUUAAAUGGGACUUGAUUGAUUGUUGGAUUGGUGAGGGAUUUUUUGGGGAAUCUGACAGGUUUGGUGCAGAAAACCAAGGAUAUGACAUUUUGGACACUCUUGUUCGUGCAUGUUUAUUAGAAGAGGUGGAAGAUGAUGAAGUAAAAAUGCAUGACGUUGUUCGUGAUAUGGCUAUAUGGAUAACUUGUGAAAUUGAGAAGGAGAAGAGAAACUUUUUGGUUUGUGCAGGUGCGGGACUAAAGGAGGCACCGGAGGUUAAAAGAUGGGAAAAUGUGAGAAGAUUGUCACUGAUGCAAAACCAAAUUAAAACUCUGUCAGAGGUUCCCACAUGCCCUCAUCUCCAUACUUUAUUUCUUGACUUCAAUGACAAUUUGAAUAUGAUCGCGGAUGGCUUCUUCCAACUUAUGCCUUCUCUCAAAGUUUUGAAGAUGUCAAACUGCGUGAAUUUAACUUUGAAAUUACCUUUGGGGAUGUCAAAGUUAGGUUCACUAGAACUUCUUGAUGUUUCGAAUACCGGCAUAAGAGAGUUACCAGAAGAGUUAAAGUUGUUGGUAAAUCUGAAAUGUUUGACUUUGAGGUGGACAUUUGAGUUAAAUAAAAUUCCACGGCAACUAAUAUCAAAUUCUUCAAGGUUACGUGUGUUGAGAAUGUUGGGUACUGGCCUUUUGAAUUUUCAUGAAGCGUCAGAAGAAAGCGUUUUAUUUGGUGGGGGUGAAGUUUUGAUACAGGAAUUGCUCGGUUUGAAAUAUUUAGAGGUAUUGGAGUUGACCUUGCGAAGUUAUCAUGCUCUCCAAAUUCUUUUGAGCUCAAAUAAGUUAAAAAGUUGUAUUCGAUCUCUUUUCCUCCAGUUGGCCGGAGAUGCAACGUCGAUUGUUGAUGCUACGGCUUUCGCAGAUCUAAACCACCUCAAUGAAUUAUAUAUUAAUAAAGGUUUUGAGUUGGAAGAAUUGAAGAUUGAUUAUACGGAGAUAGUACGAAAAAGGCGGGAACCUUUUGUUUUCCGCAGCCUUCACCAUGUUACUAUAUGGCGGUGCGCUAAAUUGAAAGAUUCGACAUUCCUCGUUUUUGCUCCAAACCUCAAGUCUCUUGUGCUAGGUAAUUGCCAUGCUAUGGAAGAAAUAAUCAGCGUUGGAAAAUUUUCCGAGGUUCCUGAGAUCAUGGGACAUAUGAGCCCUUUUGAAAAUCUCCAAAGGCUUCAUGUAGAAGAUUUGCCAGAUUUGAAGAGCAUCCACUGGAAGCCAUUGCCUUUCACUCAUCUGAAAGAAAUGGGGGUAAGAGCAUGUGAUCAGCUUGAAAAGCUUCCACUCGAUUCCAGCAGUGCAAAAGAGCGUAAAUUUGUUAUUCGUGGAGAAGAAGACUGGUGGAACCGACUUCAAUGGGAGGAUGAAGCCACUCAAAUUGCUUUUCGUUCCUGUUUCCAACCUUAUUCCUGAGCCGUGGUCGCAAAAUUUGAUUUCUGGUGAGUGCGUUUUUGUUAACGCUUAUGUUUUAUUCCAGUGUAUUUUUCUUCUGUCUUCUGCAAAUCACAAUUAAAUGUGUGAUACAUGUUACGGGUAAUAUACAUGCAGUAUUUUUGGUACACUGCAAAUCACAAUUAAAUGUGUGAUACAUGUUUACGGGAAAUUUAUAGACAUGCAGUAUUUUUGGUGGGGUCGAAUUGAUGCUCUGGUUUUUUUUUGUUGUCAAAAUUUUCUCUGUUUUUUCAAAUUGAUGCUUUAUUUAUAUCUUCUUCGUGAAAAGUGAUUUAAUUUCCUGCCAAAAGACGAACGAGAAGAACAUUAGAGUCAAACUAAUGCUCACAUAAAUUUCCCGUAAGAAUAUAUAUAUAAUUAGACUGGAAUAGUAGCCCUCUUUACAGAAAAUGACGCGAAAGUUAAUUUAGAAAGAUAUAUUCUUGAUUAAUCCAUUUUCUGAAGCUUUUAUUUUGUAUGGUCAAUUAUACCUUCAUACUAAAAAUUUCUGAAUUUAUAAAUUAGUGCAACUUGACAAUUUUUACUGAUGAUAUCUUCUAUUUUUCCUUUCUUUCUUUUUUUUUUUUACUCUCAUUGAAUGUUACUGUCAUUUUACUUACAAAUAGGUUUGAAUUUUAUUUAGUUUUCUCAUAGUAUUUGUGCAAGUACUAGAAGGUCAAACCCCGCAUACUUUGAUUGCCAAACCACCGUCCAAUUUAAAAAAAGAAAAAAAGAAAAAAAAUGUGUAAUCCAUGAAUCUGGUUAAUUUUGUUUGUUUGUUUUUUUUUUUUUAAAUAUCAUUCUUUUUCGGCCACCCAAAAUAUCAUUGAUGACUUUUCUGGUCUAAUGCUAUGUAAAUAGUAUGUUAAGUAAAACAUAAUCAAUUAUUUGUGUUUUAUCUCUAAUUAGAACAUCAAUCAGUUCAGUACCUCACAAAUAAUUCGCAAUAUCUACAAAAUACUAUAAUGGCUACAAAACAAAUCCUGCUUGCAAAUUGUCAAGGAUACCUAUCCGUUCGCUUGACAAGUCAUUUGAAUAAAUAUUGUUCACAUUCCUUACUCUGUCAAUUAUCCAAAGCACCAUCAACUUUAGUUUGAAUAGUAUACAUGCCAUCACCAUUACCAAGAAUCAAGCAUGAAAGAGUCAUUCUAUAGAGUGCAGAACAUGACUCUAUGCGGUAGUCAAUUUGACACACGACGAACAACAUAUGCUGCAUAACAUACAAAUUAAUUUCCCAUAUGUGAUGCAAUUUUCUCCUCAACAUAUGCGCAAUUCUUUCCAUUCCGGCCGUUGAUUGAACCCUUUGGCAACAAGACGAGCUUUAAGCCUGUCAGCAGAACCGUUGGAAUGUCUUUUAAUACAAAAAUCCAUUUGCAGCCAACAAUAUUGGAAGGGAUGGGAGGUGGAACAAGCUUCCAUGUCCCGUUACGAACAAGAGCAUCAUACUCUUCUGACAUAGCUUGACGCCAGUGAGGAUUUUUGAUAGCUUGCGUCACAGUUGUAGGUUCACAAUCAGAAGAAGGGCUAAAAUGAGCACGGAGGUUAAGUUUUUGUAACGGCUUGUGAAUCUUAUUUUUAGCUCGGGUAGUCAUAUCAUGAUGAUUUGUGGGGCAAUGAUGUAGUGGAGUUUGGGAAGAUGAUUGAAGAGGAAGUGAAGAAGUGCUUUGUGUAGAGGUAGAAGUAGGUUGGGAGGAUUGCUGCGGAGAUGUUACCGGUAGAGAAGAAGGAGCAGUACACGGUGGCAACUCCAGAGGGCCCAUAGUGAAACACUUGCGUAAUUAGGAGUGGUAGAAGAGCUUGUAAUGAUUUGUAUGGAAAAACAAACUCUACAAAUUUAACGAGACGUGAAAUGAAAAUUUGAAAGGUGGAUGGGUCAAAACAUAAAUAAGCACUUUGAGAUAAAGGAAUAUCCUAUAAAAACACAAGGCUUAGAGGGUGGUUCGAGUUUAUAUGAUGAAACACAAACAUUCAAAAAUUUUAAGUUUAUAUUAAUUAGGAGUGGUACCAAAAAUUAAUUAGGAGUGGUCCGCGGGACAUGUAGCUAUGGGGUUGUUGGAUGUGUUUUGGAUAUUUACAGACAUGCUGAGUUUGAGUUUAUAUCUCAACUUAAAAUUUGUAGUUUUCACUUGAAAAAAUUCAGUUAAAAAUUGAUUGGUAGAAUUGUGAAAAAAGUUUAAAUUUUUAGUUCAACCCGAUUGCAUAUUUAAGAACAUCUCAAAUGAAUUGCUUACUGCUAUCAUCAUCAUUAUUGUCCAUAUAAUAAUGGAUCUUUAUUAUAUAUAUAUGUUUCCACUAAAAUAUAUUUAAUUAUUCUUUAUUUUUCCAUUGUUGCGUGUAAGAUUUAUUUGAGUUCUAAGUUAUAUCAAUACAAAUGUUAUCUUAUCCAUUAAAAGUUAGAUCCAACAAUUAUGAAAAUUACCAUAGAGUUGCUUUCAACUAUUUUUUAAAAAUACCAGGAGUAAAAAAUAAUUAGUUCAAAUGGUGGAGACUAAAAAGCGUUCACCUUUAUUUUUUAUCUGUUAUUUAUUUUUUUCAUUAAUGCACAUGCUAUACAUUUGAGACAUUCCAUUAAUUGCCAAUUAUGUAUGUGAGAUAGUAAUUUAAAUUAAAAAAAUAAAAGUGAAAGUUAAUCCUAUGCAAUGUGAAUAAAUUUCUUUCCUUUUUCCUUUACUCUUUUUAUUUGACAAUAAAGUUUCCAUCUAUCAUCUAUCAUCUAUGUACGCAAAAUUUCUGCAACAGGUACAAAACAUAAAAAUAUAUGAUUGUUAAGGGAAACGCGCAGGAGUUCAUCAUUUCAAUGUUCAGCAUUACCAAUUUUGGCAUUAAGCUGAAUAUAUUCCACUUAGAAAGCAAAAUAUUAGACUCGUGAUUUUAAUUCAUUCAUUAUCUCUCAUUUUAAUCCCAAAAUAUUCAAGAGCAUCCAAGUUACCAUAAGACUUCAGAGGCUCAAGCCUUAGCCAGAGAUGGUUAAUUGAUAGACUAUGUGCCUGGGUCGAGCACUGGAAGCCUGCAAUGCAGACUGAUUGAUUUAUCAGUUUAACGUGUGCCAGGAAUGAAGAACUGGAAUAUCACCGUCAAGCAAGCACCCUGUGGAGCAAUACCGAAGAAUGCACAAUCCAGCUUUGCUAGGUGACACUGGAGGCUUUUUGAAAAGUGCUUCACGCUCACUUGCACAGAUUGAGCAUCCCCUCUGGAUAUUGCCCUCUCUGAUCGAGUCUGAGCACUCAAAUUUUGGUCCUCAGAGGGAGCUACAGUUUCUCUCCACUAACCAACAAUUUUCUAAACUCAGCACCUAGUGUGAUCAGAGUUGUUGAUAUUUGCAAAUGGAGAUCCCCAUAUUUGCAAAUGGAGACAUUUAACAAAUCACCAACAUGCUUCAUCCGGUCCACGAAAUUCUGCAACUGAUUCAAAUCUGGAACCUGAACCAGAGUCGGAGGUAUAUCUUGAGCCAUAUCUAAAGCAGUUUGAAGUUCAAGACCUUGAGCCCUUGACAAUGGUUUUGAAAUUGGAACAUCUUGGAUUACUGCAGACUUGUACCCCUUGGUUUCAAAGGUAAGGAAAGGCAUUGCUUGAGUACAAUUUGGAGGCAGCUUCUUCACCAAUUUUAUUUGGAGGCGAUUGGUAGCGGAUCCAGCUGCACCAAUUUCAGAGCAACUACUGACACUACUUCGAACAGCACACUGAAGAAGUGAUAUGUCUACGGCGAAGGCAAUGCAGUCCUCAUUUUGGCUUGAGACACAGUAAUCAUCGUAGAGAGUUUCCUUGUGAAACUGGGCAACACAUUGAAUCCCUUCGCCACUGAGAAGGUUGUGGAGGAAGUAAGCUUUCUCUCUAGUGAGGAAGAGGUGGCAUACCUUCCCCAUUUUGUCUAGGGCAGGUAGGAAUCUUUUUUCUAAGAGAUUUACUUCAUUCUCUGUGAGAAAUGCUUUGAACUUCAUCCCUCUGUCUCUAUCCUCACUUAUCAGGAAAUAAGUUGAAAGCACUACGAAGAGAGAGAGAGAGAGAGAGAGAGAGAGAAUUAAGAUAUAUAGACAAGAAAAAUAUUAGAUGUUGAUCUUACAAACUAAUACUUCAAGCAGUAUCCUAGAAAGCUAAAAACUGCAAGAUGGCUUGAAAUUUGAGAAGAGCACGUGCUUUUCCUCCUUAACUUGAGAAAAUGUUUUAUAUAGUGCACCUUACAGAAGCAUUUAAGCAAUUAGAACUUUGCACAAAAACAUCAAGAAGACUAAACAAAUCAGAUGCAGUGCAUUUGUCCAAGCACAAAUUGCAUUUUGUCCUCAACUUUAAUAUUUAUUGAUGAGAAUCAAUACAGGUCCCUCAUUUGUUAUAGAAAGCUUUCUUGUAGUCUCACCAGUUAAUAUGGAUAUUAGAUAAGGAAACUUUAUUAGGUUGCGAGGGUAAAAAAGGAAAGAGAUAUCAUUAUUUUAUUAUCGAUAAUUAUUAAAUUUUUUUCCAAAAAAAAGAACAAGCAAUGAUAUUUUAUUGUCAAUUGCAACCUUUAAUUUUUUUAAAUGCUAUUAGAAACACAAGAUAACAAAGAAAUACUUAUUUUUUCCUAAAACUAAAAUCAAUUGUUUAACUUCUUAUUUCAUAAUCCAACUCCAUUACUAAGUUAAAAAAAAUUGUUUCAAAAUUACUUGAGUCAUAUUCAAUGGACCAACAAAGUAACCGUUUUUAUUUUUAUUGAUUUUUGCAGGAAAUUAAUAAGUUAAAAAUAAUGAAAGCUAUUGUAAAAAAAUUUAUUAUCAACCUCAUAAUUUUUUUUUUUUUGGGGAAGAGAAUUCAAACAUUUUUUUUUUUUAAUUUCCAAGAAUUCUUGACACCCAUCUUAAUUAAAAGCUAUAUUUUUAUUCAAGAGUCAUGCUAUUCAUUCACUCACAGACCAAAGGCUUUCCGCAGCAAUAUUAUUAUUUAAAUUACAACAAAGGGGAAAUCAAACACGUCAUACAGAAGCUUAAAGGUGAAUCUACAAAAUCUAGAGCUCUCAACUACAAAAAUUACACUUGAUGAUCCUCUACAAGAUGAAGGUUGUUCAAUAUCUUGAGAUUGCCUGCCUUCCUCGACGACCUGCACGAUGUGUUUGUACAAAUCAUCAUACCUGUGCACCGGAUUUUUAAUAUCAACGCCACUGCAGCUGUGAUCAAGAACAUAAGAGCAUUUAACAUCUUUUCUCCAUCGAGAAAGAAUGUAGUGAGAUGGGAUCUCCUGCAUGCCACUCUGGUUUAGAACACAAAGAAUGUGUCUGCAUAAAUAUCCUCUGAAAUUGAACAACCCACAAACACAAAGCACCUCCAAGUCGGAGGCAUUGUACAAAACAUCGAAAGCCCUUGAAUCUUUCUCGUUGCUACCAACCUUAAAUUCUUCCUUCACUAUGUAUGUUACAGGUCCAUCAGCACUGACAUGUUUUGUGCUAUAGCAAUACAUAGCCUCCACCUCCGUCUGAAACUUCCUUAACAUUUCAUUUGUGUACAGUUUUGAGAGUUGAAAUUCAUAGUAUCAUCUUGGUUUCUGGAUACAACUUGAAUUUCUUGAAUCCAUAUCUGCCAAGGCUACCAGUUGAUAAUUCGCCUGCAGUGCUUGAUCAUACUUGUCUAAGAAUUCUUUCAAAGGAGUAUUCUUAUCAAGAUAUCCUUCAAAGUAUGAAGUAGAAACCUCAUUCUGCAGGAACGAAAACACUCCUGAUAAAAAAGCUUCCUUCAAAUAAAUAGGAGCCCACCUUUUAUGAUCUUCAUAUAAAGUUUGAAUCUAUCCGUGAUCCUUUAUUCCAUGACAUUGAAUCAUGUCUUCCCAAGCUGCUUCAAAUUUCUCAGGCCUGAGAGAGUGAUAAAUUGCUCUAUGUAAUGCAGCUUUAAUAGCUUCAUAUUCAAACAAUCCUUGGAGUUUCUCUGGAAUUUUUUUGCAUGAUGCAUGACAAUGAAAAGCAAUGAUAAGCUCUUGGGAAAACAUCACCAACAGCAAUUUGCAAGAUUCUACAUUGGUCAGUGAUGAUUGUUUGUGGAGAGCUCCCUAACAUACAUGUAAGCCACGCCGUAAACAACCAUGUAUAUGAUUCUAUGGUCUCACUGGCAAGUAAAUCACAAGUCCACAACCCAACAACACUGAUUGUCCAUGAUGAUUCACCCCAAUGAAUGAAACCAGUGGUACAUCAUAUCUUUCAGUCAGGCACGUAGUAUCAAUUAAGACCACAUCACCAAAGUACCUAUAUGCAACUCUUGACCUGGUAUCAGUCCAGAAUAGGUUUCUCAAGCAUCCCUUUUCAUUUAGAUCCACUACAUUAAAAAAGUUUGGAUCUGUCAACUGCAAAUGACAAAAGAAACUCUGGACAGCUUGUGCAUCUCCUGGUUUAAGCUUCAAUUGAUUUGAGCUAUUAACAUUAUUUCCAAAUACUCCAUUAACAUCUACCAUUUCCCUUGGUAUCAAUGAUAAGAGUUCGAAACAGUUUAAUUUUUUGAACUUCUUCAGCACUAUCUAAAUGCAAUGUUCUUUUGGUUCCAAUACCUAUGUGCUUAUGUGACUUGUAAAACUUUCCGCUUCUUGGGCUUAACAAGUGGUUAUGCUCAAGCUCGACUUCAAUGAUUCUCCACCUUUUGGUUUCCAUCAACCUAAACUUUAUCAUUGCUGGACAGCCAGUUCUUGUUUCUGGUCUUGGGCGGUUUGCCUCGCUUUUCUUCUUGAAGCCUGCACUACUACAGCUCAGCUUUCCUCUAUACUUUUCUCUACUCUUUCGGUACCAUGGAUUGCUAACUCUAACACCAAAACCCUGUUCCUUGGCAUAGCAAUUGUAAAAGUAAUAUACAUCAUCAUACAUCUCAAACUCCAUUCCAACAGUAGGAGGCAAGGGAUUUUGGAUUAUCCCAGUUUGUCCAACAUAUUCAGUCAUCGCACAAUCUCCUACGACCUCAAAAUCAUCAGUGUCAUCAUCACCUACUGGUUCGGUGUUGAGAGAAACUUCAUCCAUCUACAAUGGAUGUUCAAUGAAGUGAGCUUUAAGGAGAAAAAGCAAAAUCAGUUCAAGGAAUGAUAAUAUAAUCAUACAGUUACUUUCACAAAGCUUCAUAUUUCAUCACUGCUUUACCAACAUGCAACUGCCAGAGAACAAACAGACAUGUCAUAGACGCUUGAAUUAAGUAUUGGUACAAAUGAGCACACAUCAUGUGGGACAAAAUUUCAGUCACUAAACCCAAUACCACUUUUUACAUCAUACCAAGGAACAGAUUAAACCCGACACCUUCUUUUAAACCAUACCAAGGAGCAGAUUAAAUCAUCAAUGAAAAAUUAAUCACAUAAUAACUUAACCAGACAAAUGAAGAGCCUGAAACAGCACAAAACUUGAAUCUGAUUAUGAUAAUUGUUGAGUCCUUGUAUCUACAGCUUUCCUUCAAUGAUAAGACAAUGAACAUAAACGAGACACAAAAAAAUUAUUUUAAACUGACAGCCCAUGAUAUAAAUCAAACAAAAUCAACUCCUUUUUUUACACAUUACAUCUCAUAUUCAUUUACAUUGAAACACAAAAAGGAAGCAGGAGUGGGAAAAAAACAACAGCAGAGGAACUUAUUUCCAUAAGGUUUACGAAAUAAGGAAUCUAUUAAAACCCAAAACUUGAGGUCACCACUAAGAAUUUGGUUCUCAUUAUUUUUUUCUUCAUUUUUCACCAAUUGAUGAACUUAAAAUACAAUCAUAAAUGAUAAAACCCCAUCUCCAUCUUUUUGAACUAGAGCUAAAGCAAAGCAUUUUAAGAUGUUUCAUCAUUUUUUAAAAAAAAAAAAAACUCAAUAGUACAAUGUUUUUCAAUGUUAAAUGCACAAUUCAAUCUUCUCCUAAUUUACUCUAAUAAUCUCUUAAUUAAGGAAGAUUAAGCUUCAGUUGUAAGCUAAAACAAAUUUCUUAAAUCAAGCCCCAAUGCUUUAUGCUAUUCAACAAGGGCUCAUAAAUGAUAAAACUACUUCUAUAAAGAUACCCAUUUUCUAAAUUAAUUUCACAAACUGAAAUCAAACUCCUGAAACGUAACGAGCAUUAAUAUAAUCAAGCCCGAACAAGAAUUGAUAAAUGAUACAUAAACUCGUUUACACAUUUCGACAGACACUUUGCAAUCAAUGAGCAAAAAAUUAAUGGAGAAGAUAAAAUUCAAACGAAACAUGCCUUACAUUGAUAAAUUAGAAGGGCAAAAGAAAUUUUAGUACGAUAUGGGAUCAGGGUCUUGCCACGGUGAUGUUAUUUGUGAAGUUCGAGCGACUCAGCAGCCUUCGAGGUUGAAAAUUUGAUUGACCAAAAGCUUCCCGUUCGUUGAUUCUCUAAUAGUAGAAACGAGACUGGCAGUAUACACAACAAGUUCGCCGAUUUUAAAUUCCGUUGUUUGAGAUGGAAAAUUUUUUGAAAAAAUUAAUGUGUUCGAUGAAAAUCAAAAUCUCAAAAACCUUUUGUUUUUCAUUUUUUUGGAAAAAACCAUUGAGAUCCUUACUAUUUUUUCUUAUAUCAUCUUGCUUAAUAAUUUGCAAAGUCUAUCGCAUAGCACCCAUGCAUGAUGUAUGCUGCGUUGUAAUUUACAAUAUUGUACAUGAAUAAAUCCAGCUAAUAUUUGUUAAAAGAAAAUAAUAAUAACAUGUUAAAACUUUAAAAUUUGAUUAUUAGAAGAAAUUUUAAUUUAGCUAAGUAGGUGACAUGAUAAUAAAUAGAUACGUAUAAUGUCCGAGAUUUUUUAUAAGAUUAAUAAAUAUGAUAAAUUUGGAUUAGUUCAAUUUUGACAUAAUUGCAAACAAUUUAAUUUGUGUUGUUUCUCUAAAAGUUUGAGACACAAAUGUUAUUUCAAAUUGAUAAAAGUACAAUUUAAUCCCACUUGCUCUUCAACUAAAAAUUAAACAUGCAAAUACACACACUAAUUUAAAGUCAUCUGUAUAAUUGAAACGCCAUGCACUAGUAGUAGGUCAGAGAAACCAAGGUUGAAAUGUGUAGAAAUGUUGAAACGCCAAUAAUAAUUGAAACGCCAUGCACUGUUCGUUUAUUUUUAUUCAUGAUUUUUUGUAAAACGUAAGAAAUGUGUAGAAAUGUUGCCAGCAAUGAUUUUGGAACUUUGCAUAAAAUUUUUAUCGUUAUUGUUUUUGGUAUUAAGAAAUCCGAGGCGGUGAUUAGACGUAUGUUGCAACAAUUAAGAAAUUUCUUAUUGGAGAUAAUUCGGUAGGUUGCAACAAUUAGAGAAUCAUUUUCCUGUCAGUUAAACGGUUCAUUUUCAGCCAUAACAUGCUAAAAAUGCUACACUUAACGGUUCAUUUUCAUGGAUUUUCUCGGGAAACAAACAGAAAAUUACGGUUUAGAGAGUUGACUGACGUUUUGGCUUUUGAAAUUGAGAAGAUCGCGCGCCAAAUUGGAAGAGGGAAAGUGAAAGUGCGAGUUUUAAUAUGGGCAUUAGAUAAGGAAAUUUUAUUAGGUUGCGAGGGUAAAAAAGGAAAGAGAUAUCAUUAUUUUAUUAUCGAUAAUUAUUAAAUUUUUUUCCAAAAAAAGAACAAGCAUGGAUAUUUUAUUGUCAUUUGCAACCUUUAAUUUUUUAAAUGCUAUUAGAAACACAAGACAACAAAGAAAUACUUAUUUUUUUCCUAAAACUAAAAUCAAUUGUUUAACUUCUUAUUUCAUAAUCCAACUCCAUUACUUCGUGCUGGUUUUUUCAGGUGAAUAACAGCUAAAAAUAAUUUUAAAAGCUGUUACCAAUUCUCAUGAACUGUUACAAUUAAAAAAAUCAAGCAUGCAUGGAUGGUUAAGUGUGUAGAGAGAACCUCCAUCCUUAUAAUUCUUACUUAUGCAUGGUUAAGUGUUUAUAUUUAAACACUAAUUUCUAGGCUUCUUUUUCCCAUGUGGGAUAAGCCUCAUUUCCUUUCAAAUUUCCAACUUCAAGGGUGAACUUUGAGAGACAAUUUCUCAUUCACCCAAGCACCAUUUUGAGAAAAUAAAAUUAUACUUUUGAAGUAUGAACGGAAUAGAAUCCGAAUCUCACAAUAUUUCCCACUUUAGUUAAAUAGGACCCACUCAAAAUGUGCUCUCAAAAUAACAUGUUAUGCUAUUUUUUCAACAAAAUUGUGGGCCAACAAUAGUGGGCAUGGUGUCGACUUUUGAGAAAGCCUGGAGAUGCGUUGAAGAAGAAUCAAUUGGAAUUAUUGGCCUAUAUGUCAAUGGGGGAGUUAGAAAAUAUUUACUCAAAUCAACAACAAGUUCCUUGAUAGUCCAAAUAAUUUUGAUGUUGCGAUCUGGGUAGUGGUCUGCCAAGAUUUGCAACCCCAGAAGUUUCGGGAAAAGAUUGGGAAAAAGAAAGGCUUCUUCGAUGAGUCAUGGAAGAUAUGAAGUUUUGAAGAGAAAGCACUCGACAUAUUCAAGAAUUUAAGCAAGAUGAAGUUUGUAUUACUGUUGGAUGAUAGAUGGGAGCAUGUUGAUUUAAUUAAAAUUGGUGUCCCUCUUCCAAGCAGAAAAAUUACAUUCAAGAUAGUCUUCACAACUCGUUCUAUUGACAUUUGUGGCCUCAUGGAAGCUCACAACAAGAUUAAAGUGGAGUGUUUAAAUGACAAAGAAGCAUGGGAAUUAUUCUGCAAGAAGGUUGGAGAAGAUGUGGCGACUCUGUCCAAGUGCUAAGGAGAUCAGCCUCUAGGUAUGUAAAAACAAGUAUAUCCUCUUUUGAAAUUCAGUUAUGAUAAUUUACCAAGCGAUAAAAUUAGAUCGAGUCUGUUAUACUGUAGUUUGUUUCCAGAAGACUUUCCAAUUAGCAAAAUGGAAUUGAUACUGAGAUACGAAAUCAAGGAUACUACAUUAUUGGUGUUCUUGUUCCUUUAUGUUUAUUGGAAGAAGAGGCUCCACUGUUUGUAAAAGUGCAUGAGGUGAUACGCGAUAUGCUUCUGUGGAUAGCUGUGAAGGUUUUUUUUUUUUUUUUUUUUUUUUUUUAUAGGGAUAGCAUGUGAAGUUGAGAAGGAGAGAGAGAAUUUUGCAAGGAUUAACUGAAGUACCAGACAUUUGGAAAUGGGAAGGGUUGAGAAGGGUGUCUUUGAUGAUCAACAAAACUGAGAAGGUAUCAGAAAUUCCUUCAUCUCACGAUCCACUAACUUUGUUGCUUCAACAUAAUUAUUUAGAGGUGAUCAAUAAUGACUUCUUCCAAUCUAUGCAUUCCCUUAGAGUUUUGAACUUAUCAUGUAAUCAUUCUCUAACUGAUAAUUUCAAAGUUAGUUUCCCUACAUACGAGAGUUGCCGAAUGAGUUAACGUUCGUAGUGAAUCUUAAGUUUUUGAAUGUGGAGUAUGCACGGUUUCUUCAUUCAAUUCCAGGGCAAGUGAUAUCCAGUUUUACGAUGUUACAAGUUUUGAAGAUGUUUGGUUGUGGCAGGUCAUCUUCUGAUCGUGAGCCACACCAGAAGAUAGCGUUUUAUUUGGAGGCAGUAAAUUUUUGAUUGCGGAGUUGUUUGGUUUGAGAGACAUUUAGAUGUGUUGACCAUCAUCCUAAGAAGCUCCCAUGCUCUGAAAAGAUUUUUGAGCUCCAACAAACUUCAAAGUUGUUGAUGCCGAAAUCCGGAUGAGUUGAUCGAAUCUCAGAUCCCUGCAUCAGCAUUGAAUUUGUUUGGUGGGAAGCUGAUGAUUAGUUAGCACCAUGAGCAGAUUUUCUAUGAGCAGAUGUUCUGUGAGCAGAUCAGAUGUUCUCCUCGUUCUACGACCAGGGUCUCUGCUCGAUCAACUUCACCACGACCAGGAUCUCUCCUCGUAAAGCUUCUUCUCCAGAGGUUCCUGCGCACACAGACAAGUCAGAGUACGCCGGUUGUUUUCCCGGCGCAAACCCUCCGACGCUCAAGUCAGAUAUGAAGGUUCGGGGAACGCUUGCCACAGAUCUUAUGGCUUUUGUGUAGUUUUCUUUAGAAUUGCUUUUAUCUCUCUUCUAAUCUCAAAAUUGCUAACCCUUUUACCUUCGUUGGCUACCUUUUUAUAGGCUUCCUCUCAAUCCCAGUUUUCCGCAGUCUAUGCCGUUAUCCCACGUUCUCCUUCAAUUUUCAUCCCUCCUUUUUCGGGUAGUGGCCUUUAAAUGCUUUUAAAUGCUACAUCAUGGGAAACGUGGGGUAUCGCAUCUCUCGUAACGGUUCUGGGAAGAAUGUAAACGCCAUAAUUCUGUGGGAUCGUGUUCCUGCUUUUCCAGGAGAUGGGUAUCAGCUCGGGAUACACCUUUUGUCAGUAUCCGUCUCUGAUCGGUUCAUGUUGCCCUCUGCUCUGCUCGUACAGUUACACUUGGCUGAGGUGAUUCAUGCCGGGGGUGAUUCAUGCCGAGGUGAAAACAGUACUAUGGCCGACCUGGUAUCAUUAUUGGCUCAACACCAGUCCCCCAGUUUCUGGUCUUGUGAGUGAAAUGAGUCAAGAGUAGAAACUGAUAUUCAAAUCUUACCAAUCCGGGGGCUUCUCCUCUGGUCUUUCAUCUAUCGGGAUGGUCCUGAGGUAUCAUUUUUCUUCAAGGGAGAUUUUGACCUGAGUAUGGAAUAGGAAGUCAUCUGCUCAAGUUUAGACCACGUGGUCGAGGUGAUCUGGUCAAGCUCAUAGCACAUGGUCGAGGUGAUCUGCUCCACCUCAUAGCACCUGGUCGAGGUGAUCUGCUCCACCUCAUAGCACAUGGUCGAGAUGAUCUGAUCCACCUCAUAGCACCUGGUCGAGGCGAUCUGCUGAAGCUCAUACCAUCUGGCCAAGGUGACCUGCUCAACCAUUUGCUCACUUUCACUUGGAGGAGAUCAUGGUCGCUCUAUUUAAUUCCUCAAACACCAGUCCCCCAGUUUCUAGUGUUGAGAGUGAAACAAAUCAAGACUGGAAACUUUAGUGGUCUGCUCGUCUUCGCUUGGUUGAGCAGAUCCUGGCACGCUUGGCUUCUGUCUCGCCAUAAAACAGGCUUUGAGACUUUGUCGAGCCUUUGCAUGCCUUCGAUUCUUCAAGGAUUGGGAUUCUGCUCGCCUUCUCGUGGCCGAGCAGAUCCUAGCACGCUUGGCUUCUGUCUCGCCAUAAAACAGGCUUUGAGACUUUGGUGAGCCUUUGCGUGCCUUUGAUUCUUCAAGGAUUGGGAUUCUACUCGCCUUCUCGUGGCCGAGCAGAUCCUGGCACGCUUGGCUUCUGUCUCGCCAUAAAACAGGCUUUGAGACUUUGGUGAGCCUUUGCGUGCCUUUGAUUCUUCAAGGAUUGGGAUUCUGCUCGCCUUCUCGUGGCCGGUGGCCGAGCAGAUCCUGGCACGCUUGGCUUCUGUCUCGCCAUAAAACAGGCUUUAAGACUUUGGUGAGCCUUUGCGUGCCUUUGAUUCUUCAAGGAUUGGGAUUCUGCUCGCCUUCUCGUGGCCGAGCAGAUCCUGGCACGCUUGGCUUCUGUCUCGCCAUAAAACAGGCUUUGAGACUUUGGUGAGCCUUUGCGUGCCUUUGAUUCUUCAAGGAUUGGGAUUCUGCUCGCCUUCUCGUGGCCGAGCAGAUCCUGGCACGCUUGGCUUCUGUCUCGCCAUAAAACAGGCUUUGAGACUUUGGUGAGCCUUUGCGUGCCUUUGAUUACUUCAAAGAUUGGGAUUCUGCUCGCCUUCUCGUGGUCGAGCAGAUCCUGGCACGCUUGGCUUCUGUCUCGCCAUAAAACAGGCUUUGAGACUUUGGUGAGCCUUUGCGUGCCUUUGAUUCUUCAAGAUUGGGAUUCUGCUCGCCUUCUCGUGGCCGAGCAGAUCCUGGCACGCUUGGCUUCUGUCUCGCCAUAAAACAGGCUUUGAGACUUUGGUGAGCCUUUGCGUGCCUUUGAUUCUUCAAGGAUUGGGAUUCUGCUCGCCUUCUCGUGGCGAGCAGAUCCUGGCACGCUUGGCUUCUGUCUCGCCAUAAAACAGGCUUUGAGACUUUGGUGAGCCUUUGCGUGCCUUUGAUUCUUCAAGGAUUGGGAUUCUGCUCGCCUUCUCGUGGCCGAGCAGAUCCUGGCACGCUUGGCUUCUGUCUCGCCAUAAAACAGGCUUUGAGACUUUGGUGAGCCUUUGCGUGCCUUUGAUUCUUCAAGGAUUGGGAUUCUGCUCGCCUUCUCGUGGCCGAGCAGAUCCUGGCACGCUUGGCUUCUGUCUCGCCAUAAAACAGGCUUUGAGACUUUGGUGAGCCUUUGCGUGCCUUUGAUUCUUCAAGGAUUGGGAUUCUGCUCGCCUUCUCGUGGCCGAGCAGAUCCUGGCACGCUUGGCUUCUGUCUCGCCAUAAAACAGGCUUUGAGACUUUGGUGAGCCUUUGCGUGCCUUUGAUUCUUCAAGGAUUGGGAUUCUGCUCGCCUUCUCGUGGCCGAGCAGAUCCUGGCACGCUUGGCUUCUGUCUCGCCAUAAAACAGGCUUUGAGACUUUGGUGAGCCUUUGCGUGCCUUUGAUUCUUCAAGGAUUGGGAUUCUGCUCGCCUUCUCGUGGCCGAGCAGAUCCUGGCACGCUUGGCUUCUGUCUCGCCAUAAAACAGGCUUUGAGACUUUGGUGAGCCUUUGCAUGCCUUUGGUAAUUUCUUCGAAACUUGGGAUUCUGCUCGCCUUCUCGUGGUCGAGCAGAUCCUGGCACGCGUGGCUUCUGUCUCGCCAUAAAACAGGCUUUGAGACUUUGGUGAGCCUUUGCGUGCCUUUGAUUCUUCAAGGAUUGGGAUUCUGCUCGCCUUCUCGUGGCCGAGCAGAUCCUGGCACGCUUGGCUUCUGUCUCGCCAUAAAACAGGCUUUGAGACUUUGGUGAGCCUUUGCAUGCCUUUGAUUCUUCAAGGAUUGGGAUUCUGCUCGCCUUCUCGUGGCCGAGCAGAUCCUGGCACGCUUGGCUUCUGUCUCGCCAUAAAACAGGCUUUGAGACUUUGGGGAGCCUUUGCGUGCCUUUGAUUCUUCAAGAAUUGGGAUUCUGCUCGCCUUCUCGUGGCCGAGCAGAUCCUGGCACGCUUGGCUUCUGUCUCGCCAUAAAACAGGCUUUGAGACUUUGGUGAGCCUUUGCGUGCCUUUGAUUCUUCAAGGAUUGGGAUUCUGCUCGCUUUCUCGUGGCCGAGCAGAUCCUGGCACGCUUGGCUUCUGUCUCGCCAUAAAACAGGCUUUGAGACUUUGGUGAGCCUUUGCGUGCCUUUGAUUCUUCAAGGAUUGGGAUUCUGCUCGCCUUCUCGUGGCCGAGCAGAUCCUGGCACGCUUGGCUUCUGUCUCGCCAUAAAACAGGCUUUGAGACUUUGGUGAGCCUUUGCGUGCCUUUGAUUCUUCAAGGAUUGGGAUUCUGCUCGCCUUCUCGUGGCCGAGCAGAUCCUGGCACGCUUGGCUUCUGUCUCGACAUAAAACAGGCUUUGAGACUUUGGUGAAUCUUUGCGUGCCUUUGAUUCUUCAAGGAUUGGGAUUCUGCUCGCCUUCUCGUGGCCGAGCAGAUCCUGGCACGCUUGGCUUCUGUCUCGCCAUAAAACAGGCUUUGAGACUUUGGUGAGCCUUUGCAUGCCUUUGGUAAUUUCUUCAAAACUUGGGAUUCUGCUCGCCUUCUCGUGGUCGAGCAGAUCCUGGCACGCGUGGCUUCUGUCUCGCCAUAAAACAGGCUUUGAGACUUUGGUGAGCCUUUGCGUGCCUUUGAUUCUUCAAGGAUUGGGAUUCUGCUCGCCUUCUCGUGGCCGAGCAGAUCCUGGCACGCUUGGCUUCUGUCUCGCCAUAAAACAGGCUUUGAGACUUUGGUGAGCCUUUGCAUGCCUUUGAUUCUUCAAGGAUUGGGAUUCUGCUCGCCUUCUCGUGGCCGAGCAGAUCCUGGCACGCUUGGCUUCUGUCUCGCCAUAAAACAGGCUUUGAGACUUUGAUGAGCCUUUGCGUGCCUUUGUAGUAAACUUUGACUGGUUUCUUAACUCUAGCCUAGCUCUCUUUUCUUAAAUCAUUCUCAUAUUGAGUAACUUUCAAGAAAUCAAGUUAACUAAGUUAAACAGUCAGCCCUAAUAUAAGCACAAUUAGUUGAAUGAAUAUAAGGCAUCCUCAUAUCACAUAGUAGGAUUUAGAGAAAUAAUUAAAUUUUCAUGAGAAAAUUGUUUGUAAAUAAAAAUUUAACUUCUGACCUGUUCUGAUUUCUGCAAACGUCUGCCUUCAUUGUGCUCUCAUUUAAGGGUUUUGCUACCUUGUUUAAGCACGCUCAUCCAUUUAUGUACUGUAACAUUCUGAUUUGCUUCGACUAGAUGAAAAUUGAUAGAAACAAAAAUUUGGCUUCUCGUACCGGUCCCCACAGACGGCGCCAAAUGUUGAUGCCGAAAUUCGGAUGAGUUGAUCGAAUCUCAGAUCCCUGCAUCAGCAUUGAAUUUGUUUGGUGGGAAGCUGAUGAUUAGUUAGCACCAUGAGCAGAUUUUCUAUGAGCAGAUGUUCUGUGAGCAGAUCAGAUGUUCACCUCGUUCUACGACCAGGGUCUCUGCUCGAUCAACUUCACCACGACCAGGAUCUCUCCUCGUAAAGCUUCUUCUCCAGAGGUUCCUGCGCACACAGACAAGUCAGAGUACGCCGGUUGUUUUCCCGGCGCAAACCCUCCGACGCUCAAGUCAGAUAUGAAGGUUCGGGGAACGCUUGCCACAGAUCUUAUGGCUUUUGUGUAGUUUUCUUUAGAAUUGCUUUUAUCUCUCUUCUAAUCUCAAAAUUGCUAACCCUUUUACCUUCGUUGGCUACCUUUUUAUAGGCUUCCUCUCAAUCCCAGUUUUCCGCAGUCUAUGCCGUUAUCCCACGUUCUCCUUCAAUUUUCAUCCCUCCUUUUUCGGGUAGUGGCCUUUAAAUGCUUUUAAAUGCUACAUCAUGGGAAACGUGGGGUAUCGCAUCUCUCGUAACGGUUCUGGGAAGAAUGUAAACGCCAUAAUUCUGUGGGAUCGUGUUCCCGCUUUUCCAGGAGAUGGGUAUCAGCUCGGGAUACACCUUUUGUCAGUAUCCGUCUCUGAUCGGUUCAUGUUGCCCUCUGCUCUGCUCGUACAGUUACACUUGGCUGAGGUGAUUCAUGCCGGGGGUGAUUCAUGCCGAGGUGAAAACAGUACUAUGGCCGACCUGGUAUCAUUAUUGGCUCAACAAAAGUUGUACCUGAUCUCUCUAUCCUAAAUGCUUUGAUUCGAAGUCAGUUGAUGUUUUUGGCUAGGCUGAUCUGAAGCAUCUCAAUAGGCUAUAGAUAUUGCGAGUUGUAAGCUUUUGGAAGAAGUGAAGAUUGACUUUGUUGGGAAAGCACAAUGAACCCAUGGUUUUCACAGCCUUAUGUCACGGAAGUUGUCUAAAUACUGCACGGGUUGCUGCGCAAAGUAACCAUCCUAUGACAUUGAGCCAUGUUGAAAUAUCAUUUUGCUGUAAACUGAGGGAUUUGACAUAGCUUGCUUUUGCUCCAGACCUUCUUGUUGUUUCCAGAAAAUGUUGCCAUGAUAUAGAGGAAAUACUCGGUGUUGGAAAAUUAGGUGAAGAGAUGACGUCAAAUCUGGAACCCCCUGCAAAACUCCAAGGUUACGUUUGGCAUAUAGGAUUGGAUUAAAUUGGGUUCUAUUUAUAUUUUUAUGUUUGGUACAGUUCCGGAUUGAACCAUAUUAGAUUAUAUUUAAAUAAUAUUGAAUAGUAUUUAAGUUGGUAUUUUAAUAUAAAUAUCAAUUAUCCAUGAAAUUUUAUAAUCAUAAUUAAAAUAAAUUUAAAAAGCAAUUACUAGGAAAAUUAAAUAUAUUGCAAAAAGUUAUUGGGUAGUCAUAAUAUAAUAAGCAAAUAAAAUUAAAUAAAACAAAUUAAAUAUUUAAUUAUUUUUAUCAAAUAUUUAAAAAUAUUAUAUAAAAUCAAUUCAUUAAUGGUAUUAUUAAUUUUCAUGAUUAUUUUUAAUAUUAUAUUAGUGAUUAUUAAAUUUAAUACAAUCAAAUAAUGUAAUAAAUAAUUACACGUUUAAUUUUAUCGAUUAAUUAUUAAAUAUACAAGUAAUGAAAAUUUAAUCUCAGGAGUUGGUAGACGCAAAAGUACUAAUUUAAUUAGAUCAUAGAUAAUAAAUAAAAUAAAUUUUAAGUAAAUCAUAAUAAAAAAAUUAAUUAAUUGAUUCAAUCAAUCAAUAUUAGGUGUAAAUAAAAAAAGAGUAACGAUAUAUCCACAAACUCUUACACAAACUCAUGUGUCAUGAUAAGAUUGAUUGAAUUAAAUAUCACUUGGCCCACAUAAUUUAUUUUUAUUAUUUUAUAUUUUCAUUCAACCAAUGAAUUAACGCCACAUCAGUUUGUACAAGAUAUGUUUGUACAGGAAUUUGUGGCUGUAUCAUCACUCAUAAAAAAAAGAUACAAAUAAACCUCUCAUAAAUGGACAACUUUUAUCUUUAAUCUUAUCCCAACUAAACACAUGUGUAAAUUAGGAUUAUUAAUCCCAUGAUUUUAGGAUUAAAUUCAAAUUUAUUCCCCCUUAAUCCAAUCCAACUAAACUUGUCAAACAUGGGAUAAAAGUUUAAUUCUAAAAGCAUCACUAAAAGGCUCUUCAAAUAAGAUUUUAUUACUUAUUUGAAGAGCCAUAUCAAUAUUUAACGCUCCAAAAGACACUUCAGUUAAGAUUCUUCAAACAAUAGAUGAUUCUCUCUUUUCAAAUUUCGAGAGUUGAUUUCUCCCUCUUCAAUUUGUAUUUUAUUAUUUUUCAUUGGAGAAAGAGAGAGAAGUGCUUUAAUUGCUAUUGACUUUUUCCUUAAAAAAAUAAUUAUUUGAUUAAAAUAAUAUUAAUUUAUUUCUAUUUAAAGAGUCUUUUAAAGAAUAAUAUAUUUUUUUAUUUUUUUUAUUUAUCACAUAGGUAAAUAAAUAAAUAUUUAAAAAAUAAAAUUAAUAGAGACUUUUGGAGAUACUCUAAAAUUAGUCCAAUCCCAUACUUAAUCCUAGCAUCCAAAUAUAGCCCAAGUUGUUUGCUUAAAGAAGCUACCAAAUUUGAAGAGCGUUUACGGGAAGGCCCUGCGUUUCCCAGAUGUAUGCAGAAUUUUUGUAUCUAAAUGGCCAGAACUUAAGAAGCUGACGCUGGAUUUUGAAAGGGCGGGCCAAGGUAAAAUUCUUAUCAAGGGAAAGGAAAAUCGGUGGAAACAACUUCAAUGGGAGGAUCAAGCAACUCAGGAUGCAUUGCUUCUGUUUUUCAAAUCAACUGACAAGUGAUUGAAGGGGGCAUCAUCAGCCUGGAUGGGGAGAUCCUGGAGCAGAUCAGCAGGGUUUGAAUCUGCAUCAUCAACAUCAUCAGGAUCUCUAUUUCUAUUGCUGGUCGUAAUGCCUGCCGACUGUUGCUUGAAAAAGUGAUUAAGUGAGCCAGUUUUUUGUUUAUUAAAUUUUGUCUUAAUUGGCGUCCAAUAGAAAUUUACAAGAAUUACUUUUCUGUUCAUGCAAUCGGCGUCUGAACGCGGCUGAUCGGUCACCGGUGUUGGCGUUUACUGUGAUUAGACAAAUUGUAGGACUUCAAAAAUAACUUCUAUAGGGGUAAUUUCGAUUUCACAUAAUUAAUUUUAUUUACAAUAUUUUAUUCCUGCAAGGUCAACUGAGAUUCUUUCCACCGGGCACACCCUUCAUGUUCUUUUAUUUUCUGUCUUUUAUUAGCCGUUGGGUUUUACUACUCUUAUAUCCAACGGCUUGCCACAACAAGACAAAUGAGGUGGUACCUUCCAACUGCUGAAAGGUGGUUUUGGCCCCGAGUGAAACAGGGGAUGCACUUACUAUUAAGGACAGUUGGUGGCCAGCUAAUGCAUUCAUUUUAUGUCCUUUCGUCUUUUUGAAUUAUUGAAGACAAGGGGCUCCUCGCUUUUACUGUAGGUAAGAUCCAGAUAAUCUCGAUUAUCAAAAUAAUUAUUUUAAAAUACCUUAAUUAUUUUUUUUUUUAUGUUGCGUUUAUUAAACUAGAAUAAAAAUGAGUUGAAAUCGGAAUGAGUAGGAACAAGAAUGAAAAUGAAAAUAAUGAAUGGGAAUCAAAAUAAGUUGUUUACUUGAACUAUAGAAAUCAAAAUCGUAAUGAGUUGAGUUACCAUUAAUGUGUUUAUUUUGUCUUGGAAUCAGAAUCGAAACAAAUUAGAUUGUAACAAAUUACUAAAAAGUACUUAAUGGAUUAUUGUUAUAAUUAUUAUUAUUAUUAAUUAAUUAAUUGUACAAAAUUUUAAUUAAUUAUAAUAACUAUAAUAAAAUUAUUAUAAAAAUAUAUUAACUAAUAAUAUUAAUAUAAAUUACUUAAUUAAAAUAAUAUAUUAAUUGUGAUUAUUUAUUCAAAAAAUAUAAUUAUUAAUAAUUAUUUUUAAUAAUAUAUUAAUUCAUAGUAAUAAUUAUAUAUAUAUAUAUAUAUUUAUUUAAUUGUAUUAAUUUUAUUUAUUUAUUAUUAAUAAUAAAUGAAUUAAUUAUUAUAAUUAUUGUUAAUAAUUAUUAUAAUAGUAUAUUAAUUAAUUAAUUACAAUAAUAAUAUAUUAAUUAAUGUGAUAUUUAUUUAGGAACAAUAAUUAUUAAUAUAUUAUUGUUAAUAAUAUAUUAAUUAUUGUGAUUAUUUAUUCAAGAACUAUAAUUUUUAAUAAUUAUAGUUAAUAAUUUAUUUAUUUAUUUAUUUAUUUAUUAAUCAUAAUAUAUUAAUUAAUUAAUUAUAAUAUUAUAUUAAUUAAUUAUAAAAGAGGAUAAAGUGGAUAUUUUUAAUUUUGGGAAGGGCAAAAUAGUUAAUCCUAGGAAUGAGAGACUCUUUCUCACCUCUGCAUGGGAAUCAAUCUCUCAUUCUCUAUUCUCAAAUAGUAGUAGACCCCAUCAUUUCGAUUCUAAUUCUUACUCCAUAUUUGUGAAGUAAACAUCAUCAAUCAUUCUGAUUCUGAAUUUUUGUGAAUGGAGAGAUGCCGGAGCAGAUCAGCAGGGUUUGAAUAUGACCUUUGGCGCUUGCUUUUUUUUGUGAUUUUUUUUUUUCAUUUUUUCCUUCUUGUCAUUUUAUCAUUUCUUUGGCUUUGUCUCUAUUGCGGGUGUUAUUGCAUGCUUACUGUUGCUUGACAAAGUUUGCUAGCUUUUCCUUUUGUUUAUUAAAUUUUUUAUGGUCACAAAGAAUUACUUGUUCUAUUUGAGAGUGAUAUGAAUCAAUUUUUCAAUUAUAUAUUUUGUGGUCAAUGUGAAUUCAAUUUCAUUUGUCUCCCGCAAUUAUGAAAAAAUUACAGUCAUAAUAUGGAAAAGUACACCGGCAAAAACUUUGUAAAAGCUUCGGAGUGAUACGGGGAAUUCACUUACUACUAAGGACAAUUGGUGGCAAGCUAUUCCAUUCAUUUUAUGUCCAUCCAUCUAUUUAGUUAUUGAAGAUAAGUGGUCCAUUUGUAAAUUUCAGAUUGUCUCUCUCUCCCUCUUGAAAUAACAAUAUUUAAUAUAUCUCUUAAAUUAUUAUAAAUUUUAAUUUACUCUCGAUUUAAAAUGGAGCAUGUCGAUAAAUUUUUUUUCUUCUUAAUAAAAUUGACGUAAGUUGUGUUUACAGUAGUUUGAAGUUUGAAAUAUUUUAAAGAUUAUUAUUCUAUAAGGGAGUAAUAUGAAAUGAAAUUUACUUUUCAUGUGUGAACUGAAAAAGGACGAAGCAAGUGUCCCUACUUUUAUUUUAUUUCAAGGAGGAGUCAUCUCACAUACUUAAGCUCUUAACAUUACAUUUUUUUUUGUUACAUUUUUUUUUUAAUUUUUUUUUUUACACAUGCGUGUGGGUUGCUUAUCUGUAAGCUCCUUAAUAUAUAUUUAACACAAAUCAUGAAAAAGAUGGGAUUAUAUCAAGAUGAUCAAAGCAUGUAAAAAAAGAAAAAAGAAAAAAAAAUUAAGAAGUAAGACACUGAAAAUGGAGAAGAGACGGAAGCAAAAGAUAUUCCAAAACAAAGCAAUAACAAAGCAAUCUAUCCCCUUUCGAGGGCAGACUCAACAGGUUUAAAAAAGUACAUGCUUUGGAUUGGUAGUUGCAAUCAAGGGAAAAUAAAUAGGAUCCAAUGAAAUUUAAAUCUUGGAGAAAAUAAAUAAUCAUGCAGAUUUUCAAGAUUUUAAUAAGGGAUACUAAUAUCUUAUUUUGAUUAAUAACAUUCUUUCACUGUGUUAACUCAAAAAAAAUAUUAUAAUGCUUUACAAUAAAUACAAAUGUCCUAUUAAAUGAAUAUAUAAAAAAUUUAGAAUAUUUAGAAUAUUAUAUAAAAUAAUUUUAAUAUAAUGCGUGAGAUAUAUUUUAUUAAUUUAAAAUGUCAUUUUACCUAAAAAAUAUGAUAAAUUAAUAAUUACAUGUUUGAAGUUAUUUCAAAUAUUAAAAAAAUUUAAUAUUAUUAGUCUUUUAGAUAGAUUAAAUUAUUUUUUAAAGAGAUAGAUUAAAUUAUUUUAAAAUACCUUAAUUGUUUUUACUUUAAACAUUACCGGCCUUUCUUUUAUUUUAUUGCAAAUUAAUGCUAACAAGAAAAAGCUAGAUCAUAUUCCGCAAAAGCAAAAGUGACAAACACAACCAGCUGGAAUCUUUUAUAAAACUACAAAUUAAAAUGGAUUUUUUUUUUGAUAAAUUACACAUGAAAGUGGAUUCUUUUGAAUAUAAGUGGGGUAGGCUCUUUUAUUUUAUUUUUGAAUAUUGUAUAACGGGACUGUAGACUCUUUUAUUAAACUACAAAUUGUAUAGUCUUUUUAAAAUUGUUAUGAAUUAGUGGCCCCUACAAUCCUCAACAAUUGUACCAAUAUUCACAAGUUGGUGGCCCCUACAAUUCUGUUCCGAUAAUUUAACUGUGCAAGUCCUCAUUCACAAUCUUCCAGGUCAUGCUCUCAAUAAUUGUUUUUUUUUUUUUUUUUUUUUUUUUUUUUCUGCAUUCCCUUUCAUGCUCUUAAUAAUUGAAGAGCAUACUUUUCAUUUUCAAAUGUGGAGCCGCAUCUAAUGUCGCUAAUUUAAUUUGGGAUUAAAUUAGGGGACCAUUAUAUUGCAGUGUGCACUAAUUUUUGUGUUUAUCUAAACUCUUUAAGUUUAAGACAUAUUAUGGCAUAAAUAAGAAUAUAACAAUAACAAAAGAGUUAGAAAGUGUAGAGAAGAUCUUGCAGAAAUAUAAAUAAUAUCUAUUUUAAAAUAAUUUUUAAUAUUUUAUGAUCCAUUAGAUAUAUUUUAUUAUAUUAAAAUAAAUUUUAUAAUAAAUAAAAACAUCCUAUUAAAAUGAAUAUAUAGAAAAUUUAGAGUAUUUUAAGUAUUAUAUAAAAUAAUUUUAAUAAAAUAUGUGAGAUAUUCAUAGUUUAUUAAUUUAAAAUACCAUUUUAAAAUUAAAGAUUUAUUUAUGAUAAAUUAAUAAUUAUAUUUUUGAAAUUACUUCAAAUAUUAAAAAAUUAAUAUUACUAAUCUAUUAGAUAGAUUAAAUUAUAUAUAUUAUUUUCUAUUUAUUAAAAAAUUAAAAUUAUUUUUAAUUACUAUUCAAAAAAUAUAAUGAUAAAAAAAAAUCUUAACAUCUUUAUUAAAAAUUUAAAAAUUUACAUGAUCAAUUCUCUAAAUAUUUAGGGUAUAUGUGAACAUCGGUGGAGAAGCUUUAUUUAAUAUUAUUGAUUUAAAUAAUAUGUCAAUUAAAAAUGCGCGGAGAAGAAAUUUCGGUGGGUAUUUUAGUCUUUUCAGCAAUUAUCAUGAUCAGAUCAGCCUUUAGCUUGAAACGUCGGUCAGAAAAGUUUUAAAAUUAAUGCUAACAAGAAAAAGCUAGGUCAUAUUCCACAAAAGCAAAAGUGACAAAACAACCAGCUGGUUUUUUUUACUAAACUACAAAUUAAAAGUGGAUUCUUUUGAAUACAAGUGGGACAGACGAUUAGGCUCUUUUUAUUAAACGCAAGUAAAAAGUAGUCGAAUAGUCUUUUUUCAAAUUAUUGUUUUAUUAUUUUUCCUUCAAAAGUUAGUGUGGCUCAUGUUUGCAGGUGCGAAUGUCAGAUCACAUGCGAUGGUGCUUUUUUCAAUCGUUGCUUGGAUUGCUUUCUUGGAAAAGCAGCAUACAUACGUAACCUCCAAGAUAAUCUUGAUGCCUUGGAGACUGAAUUGGGAAAUCUGAUCGCUAGAAAGAACGAUGUGAUGAGGAGGGUUGUCGAUGCUGAACGGCAACAAAUGAGAAGGCUGGACGGAGUGCAAGUGUGGGUUUCGAGGGUGGAUUCUGUUAAAACUGAAGCUGAUCAAUUUAUAAGAGACGGCUCUCGAGAAAUUGAAAAAUUAUGUGUUGGAGGCUACUGUUCCAAGAAUUGCAUGUCAAGCUACAAGUUCGGGAAAAAAGUGGCUAAAAAGCUACGGGAUGUGCGGACUUUAAUCAGUGAAGGAGUUUUUGAGGUGGUGGCUGACAGAGCUCCAGAGUCUGUAGCAGAUGAAAGACCUACUGAGCGAACAGUAGUAGGCUUGCAAUCACAACUUGAACAAGUCUGGAGAUGUCUUGUAGAAGAAUCAGCGGGAAUCAUUGGCCUAUAUGGCAUGGGCGGUGUUGGUAAAACUACACUACUGACCCAUAUCAACAAUAAAUUUCUCGAGAGUCCAACCAACUUUGAUUGUGUGAUUUGGGUUGUAGUUUCAAAAGACCUGCGACUCGAAAAAAUUCAAGAAGAUAUUGGGAAAAAGAUAGGUUUGGUUGGUGAUUCAUGGAAGAGUAAAAGUGUAGAGGAGAAAGCUGUCGACAUCUUCCGGAGUUUAAGAGAGAAGAGAUUUGUAUUGUUGUUAGAUGAUAUAUGGGAGCGGGUUGAUUUAACAAAGGUGGGCGUUCCACUUCCCGGACCAAAAAAUACUACCUCAAAAGUCGUAUUCACAACCCGUUUCAUCAAUGUUUGUGGUACCAUGGAAGUUGACAGGAAGUUUCAAUUAGCAUGCUUAUCAAAAAAGGAUGCUUGGGAACUGUUUCGAGAAAAAGUUGGGGAAGAAACUCUUCAGAGUCAUCAUGAUAUCGAUGAGCUAGCCCAAAUUGUGGUCAAAGAGUGUGGUGGUUUGCCGCUCGCACUUAUUACUAUUGGUCGAGCUAUGGCCUACAGAAAGAAAGCGGAGCAGUGGAGUCGUCCAAUUGAAGAGUUAAGGAGAUCAGCUUCAGAGUUUGCAGGUUUGGGAAAAAAAGUGUAUCCUCUUUUAAAAUUCAGCUAUGAUAGUUUACAGAAUGAUAGGGUUAGAUCUUGUUUCUUGUACUGUUGUUUAUAUCCUGAAGAUUAUGGCAUUCUUAAAUGGGACUUGAUUGAUUGUUGGUUUGGCGAGGGAUUUUUUGGGGAAUCUGACAGGUUUGGUGCAGAAAACCAAGGAUAUGACAUUUUGGACACUCUUGUUCGUGCAUGUUUAUUAGAAGAGGUGGAAGAUGAUGAAGUUAAAAUGCAUGACGUUAUUCGUGAUAUGGCUCUAUGGAUAACUUGUGAAAUUGAGAAGGAGAAGAGAAACUUUUUGGUUCGUGCAGGUGCUGGAUUAAAAGAGGUACCGGGUGUUAAAGGAUGGGAAAAUGUGAGAAGAUUGUCAUUGAUGCAAAACCAAAUUGAAACUCUGUCAGAGGUUCCCACAUGCCCUCAUCUCCUCACUUUAUUUCUUGACUUUAAUCAGGAGUUGGAGAUGAUCGCGGAUGGCUUCUUCCAACUUAUGCCUUCUCUCAAAGUUUUGAAGAUGUCAAACUGUUCGAAUUUGAAAUUACCUGUUGGGAUGUCAGAGUUGGGUUCAUCACUAGAACUUCUCGAUAUUUCAGAAAACAGCAUAACAGAGUUACCGGAAGAGUUAAAGAAGUUGGCAAAUCUGAAAUGUUUGAAUUUGGGGUGGACAAGGGAGUUAAAUAAAAUUCCACGGCAACUAAUAUCAAAUUCUUCAAGGUUACGUGUGUUGAGAAUGUUCGCUACUGGCCGGUUCAAUUUUCAUGAAGCACCAGAAAACAGCGUUUUAUUUGGUGGGGGUGAAGUUUUGAUACAGGAAUUGCUCGGUUUGAAAUAUUUAGAGGUAUUGGAGUUGACCUUGGGAAGUUAUCAUGCUCUCCAAAUUCUUUUGAGCUCAAAUAAGUUAAAAAGUUGUAUUCGAUCUCUUUUCCUCGAGUUGACCGGAGAUACAGCGUCAAUUAUUGACGCUACGGCUUUCGCAGAUCUAAACCACCUCAAUGAAUUAUGGAUUGAUAAUGGUAUUGAGUUGGAAGAGUUGAAGAUUGAUUAUACGGAGAUAGUACGAAAAAGGCGGGAACCUUUUGUUUUCCGCAGCCUUCACUGUGUUACUAUGAUUUCGUGCCGUAAAUUGAAAGAUUUGACAUUCCUCGUUUUUGCUUCAAACCUCAAGUCUCUUCGGCUACGCAAUUGCUAUGCUAUGGAAGAAAUAAUCAGCGUCGGAAAAUUUGCUGAGACUCCUGAGAUGAUGGGACGUAUAAGCCCUUUUGAAAAUCUCCAAAUGCUUGAUUUACAAGGUUUGCCACAUUUGAAGAGCAUCUUCUGGAAGCCAUUGCCUUUCACUCAUCUGAAAGAAAUGGAGGUACUUAGGUGCGAUCGGCUUGAAAAGCUUCCACUCGAUUCCAACAGUGCAAAGGAGCGCAAAUUUGUUAUUCGUGGAGAAGAAGACUGGUGGAACCGACUUCAAUGGGAGGAUGAAGCCACUCAAAUUGCUUUUCGUUCCUGUUUUAAAAGUGAUGCUUUAUUUAUAUCUUAUUCGUGAAAAGUGAUUUAAUUUCCUGCCAAAAGACGAACGAGAAGAACAUUAGAGUCAAACUAAUGCUCACAUAAAUUUCCCAUAAGAAUAUAUAAUUAGACUGGAAUGCACACCUCUAGAUUGAACAGAAUUAAAGCUGAGAAGAUAUUGAGUAUAGUAGCCCUCUUUACAGAAAAUGACACGAAAGUUAAUUUAGAAAGAUAUAUUCUUGAUUAAUCCAUUUUCUGAAGUUUUUAUUUUGUAUGGUCAAUUAUACCUUCAUACUAAAAAUUUCUGAAGUUAUAAAUUAGUGCAACUUGACAAUUUUUACUGAUGAUAUCUUCUAUUUUUCCUUUUUUUUUUUUUUUUCACUUUCAUAGACUGGCAGCGGAUCCUGCGGCACCAAUUUGAGAGAAUAUACUGACACUACUUCGAACAGCAAGCAGAAUAUGUCUACGGCAAAGGCAAUGCAGUCCUCAUUUUGGCUUGAGAUGCAGUAAUCAUCGAAGAGAGUUUCCUUGUGAAACUGGGCAACACAUUGAAUCCCUUCGCCACUGAGAAGGUUGUGGAGGAAGUAAGCUUUCUCUCCAGUGAGGAAGAGGUGGCAUAUACCUUCCCCAUUUUGUCGAGGGCAGGUAGGAAUCUUUUUUCUAAGAGAUUUACUUCGUUCUCUGUAAGAAAUGCUUUGAACUUCAUCCCUCUGUCUCUAUCCUCACUUAUCAGGAAAUAAGUUGAAAGCACUAUGAAGAGAGAGAGAGAGAGAGAGAGAGAGAGAGAGAGAGAGAAUUAAGAUAUAGAGACAAGAAAAAUAUUAGACGUUGAUCUUACAAACUAAUACUUCAAGCAGUAUCCUAGAAAGCUAAAAACUGCAAGAUGGCUUGAAAUUUGAAAAGAGCACGUGCUUUUCCUCCUUAACUUGAGAAAAUGUUUAAUAUAGUGCACCUUACAGAAGCAUUUAAGCAAUUAGAACUUUGCACAAAAACAUCAAGAAGACUAAACAAGUCAGAUGCAGUGCAUUUGUCCAAGCACAAAUUGCAUUUUGUCCUCAACUUUAAUAUUUAUUGAUGAGAAUCAAUACAGGUCCCUCAUUUGUUAUAGAAAGCUUUCUUUCUUGUAGUCUCACCAGUUAAUUCACAGGUCUAUAAUCAUCUUGCAAAGUUAAGGGCAUUUCUUUCGAUCUAAAGUCUUUGCAUCACCACCUCAUCACACGCCAAGCCAAUAUUCCAUUUACCUCUACAACAAAAAGUUUUAAUUAAACAAUCCUAAUGCACGCAGCCAAAUAAAAUGCAGUAAGAAUAUUCAACUUAAAAAUCUGAAAGCCAACUUGGUGAAUUGCCUCCUUAGGUGAAGUUCCAUGCUUUACUAUAGUUGACAGAACUCAGCAAAAGCUUCCAUACAACAGAUUUUGAAAAUGAUGAUGCCAACAGAUACUUAUUCAAUCCAUUGAAACUCCAAAGGUUCAUUGUUCAUAGAAGUUUACAGAGUUUUGGUCAUCAAAUAGCUCAGACCUAAUCCCAAACAAAAAACGAGUGAAAAUUAGAUCACGAGCAGCUAAUUGUAAAUUCUAACUUAACUCUUCAUCUCCUUUGUAAACAAGAAACAAAAUGGAGACACGCAAAAUGAAUAUGGAGAAAAUUUGAACUCAAAUGAAAUGAGGGCACAAAAGCAAACAAAUGGCAUGCACCAAAAAACCAAGCCUCAAUCAAAAACUAAUUAACCAUUAAGAAAAAAAUUGCCCAGAGAAUGAACUCCAAAUUCAGGAGUCAAGCAAGAACCUUUCAUUAUUUCAGAAGCUCCUGUACAAAUUAAUAAGUUAUGCUCUUUGGAAGCAAACCUAAAUUCCAAGAGAAACAGAACCCAAAAAAAUUUGCAAUUAUACGCAAAGGAAGUGAAGCACAGGAUUCUAUCACACAUAGGAAUUGUAUAACAAGAGAUCGAUAUAUCGAAUUAGAAAACUCAAUUCGAAUUUGUGUCAAAAAUCAAAAUUAGAAGAUUUCACAUUUCGAGAGGAACAAGCAACAGAUGAAGUUCAAAAUUUCAGCCAUAACAUGCUAAAAAUGCUGCACUUAACGGUUCAUUUUCAUGGAUUUUCUCGGGAAACAAACAGAAAAUUACGGUUUAGAGAGUUGACUGACCUUUUGGCUUUUGAAAUUGAGAAGAUCGCACGCCAAAUUGGAAGAGGGAAAGUGAAAGUGCGAGUUUUAAUAUGGGUAUUAGAUAAGGAAAUUUUAUUAGGUUGCGAGGGUAAAAAAGGAAAGAGAUAUCAUUGUUUUAUUAUCGAUAAUUAUUAAAUUUUUUUCCAAAAAAAAAACAGGCAAGGAUAUUUUAUUGUCAUUUGCAACCUUUAAUUUUUUUAAAUGCUAUUAGAAACACAAGACAACAAAGAAAUACUUAUUUUUUUCUAAAACUAAAAUCAACUGUUUAGGGCCCGUUUGGUAUUGUUUCUAAAUUUAUAUUUUCUGACAAUAAAAAUGAAAAUGAAAAUGAUGUUUUGCAGUUGCUGUAUUUUAAAUUUAAGUAUACGUUUGGUAUCAUUUUCUAUAUCCUAUAUUUUAAAAUUAAAAAUAAUAAUAUGUGUUUGGUAAACACAUUUGAAAAUAAUAAAAACAGAGAAUAUGCGUUUGGUAAUACUUUUUUUAAAAAGAGUUUUUACUAGUAUUUACGUCAUAUUUAUAGUUAUAAAAUAAUUAUUUAGCUAAUACAUACACAAAUACAACAUAAUAAUUUAAACAAAAUUAUUAUAAAAAAAUUACAUGAUAAUAAAGUUUUAGAAUUAGCAUUAAUUAAAAAAAAGUUUUACAUUGUCAUUAUUUUUACACCAUAAUUAAGAUAUAUAUUACAACACAUGAUUUAAACAAAAUAAUUAUAAAAAAAUUACAUGAUAGGCAUUAUGCAUUACGCAUGUAAUCAUGCCACAUAAAAGCUGCAAUUCUAUCUCUUAUAGCAUUCAUCUUUGCGACACUUGAAGGAGAUAAAUCAAUAUUAGUAAGUGACCUACUAGUGUCUCCUUCUUCGUUGGUAACCAAAUCUUGCACAUCAAAGUCUCCAAAUAACCUAUCACAGGCAAUAAAUUCAAAUUGUGAAUCCCAUCUAAAGCAAUAAAUUGAAAUUACAGAUUGUUUGAUUGGAUUGAAUCCUAUCCUGGGCAAAGCUUGAAAAAACUUUAUUUCUCUCUAGUAACAAAAGUCCUAUUUGCCUAAUGCAUUUUCUCUGUAAAAAAAAAAAAAAUUGGAGUGACAUGCAAUAAAUUCAACUUGUGCAUCAUCAACAAAAUGGAAUUUGGAGUAAAAUCAACAUCAUGGCAAUGACAAUCGUGAACAAUAUCAUCUUUACAUGCUAUUAAAAACAAUUAAAAUCACUCAAAUAAUUUCUGAAAUUUUUAUUAAAUUCUCAGGUUUUUUUUUUUCAUUCUAAAUGUCAUAUAUACAAAUUCAUUACUGUCCAAAAACAUCCUACUUUAAGAAAUAUUUAAAAGUUAAUUAAGUAAAAAAUCUUGUAAAUUAUAAUGUCUUUUUUUUUUUUCGUUUUAAAUUGGUUUCCAAAGAAUGAUGUCUAUGCUUACAGAAGCAAAACAUGCCAAACAGCAGCAGCGACAUUUUGUGAAUUGUUUUUAACUUAAACAAAACAAAUACCGGCAAGUGACAGAUCCGAGAGAGCAACAGCAGCUGGCGUGAAGACGAGCAGCAACGGCUGAGCAGAGCAACAGCGGAAACAGAGCAGCAGCGAAGACGAGCAGCAGCGGAGCAGAGCAGCAGCAGAAACAGAGUAGCGGCGGCUAUGGCGGAAACACAGCAACGACAGUGGUUGAGAGUGCAGAUUUGCUGAGGAAAGGGAGAGAGUGCAGAUUUAUUGCAACUGAAUCAAGAAGGCUGCGGGGGAAAGGGGAAGAGAGAGAGGCAAUGAAGAGAUAAGGAGGAGAGAGUGGAUCGGGAGAAAUAAAGAGAGAGAAAGAUGUUGGAUGAAGAUAAGGGGAGGGAGAGAGUGCAGAUUUGCUGCAACUGGAUGAAGAAAGUUGGGGGGAAGAGAGAGCGGCAGUGAAGAGAUAAGGAGGAGGUCACGAUUUUUCUUUUGUUUUUUAAUUCAUUUUUAGGUUUAGGUGGCGUUUGUUUUUUUGUCUGAAAUCUGAAUAGACUUGAAUUAGUCUGAAUUCUGAAUAGGUCUGAAUGUCUGAAUCUGAAUAAUAUGUUUGUUUUUUCGUCUGAAUCUUGAAAAAUAAGUAUUAAGUUGUUUGUUUUUUUCAACUUAAAAAGCUGAAAAUAUAUACUUUUACAUUUGUAUCCUUAUUAAAUUUGAAUGUCAAAUAAAUAAUAUAUUAAAUACCACAAUAUUUUAACAUUUAUAAGUAAAACUAUAUUCAAGUGAAUACAUAAUUAUUUUAGAAUUUUAAUAUAUAAAAUACCAUAAAUUUCAAAUUUUAUCGUAUAUAAUAUAAGAAAGAAAAAACAGGGAUAUUUUUAUGUGGGGUAGAUAUCUAUGGGUGAGUUUUGGGAUAGACAUGAAAAAUAAAUUAUAAAACAUGGAUAUUUUUGACAUUAGCAAGUAAUUGACUUAAUUUAGAUUUCUCCAUUAAGUAAAAAGCCAAAAAAAUUAGCUUAUUUUAUUAAGUCAAAAUUAUUUAAAAAUUCUCAUUAAGUUAUAAAAACAAACAACUCUAAUUAACUUAAUUAAUUAAGUUAAGUCACUUUAAGUCAUUAAGUUAAAAAACAAACGCAACCUUAGUCUGUAAAAUUUGGAGAACAUGUUUAACUUGUUUUCAGUUGUAUAGUUAUAAUAAUGAAUCCGAAUUUUGUGUUUUGUAAUUUGUUUUGUGAAAAAAAUCCACCAAACAUGUUUUAUGUGUGUAUUAUAAAAAUGAAAACGCAAAUAUGGCUUGAAAAACGGUACCAAACGGGCCCUUAACUUCUUAUUUCAUAAUCCAACUCCAUUACUAAGUUAAAAAAAAUUGUUUUAAAAUUACUUGAGUCAUAUCCAAUAGACCAACAAAGUAAUCGUUUUUAUUUUUAUUGAUUUUUGCAGGAAAUUAGUGGCUUAAAAAUACUGAAAGCUAUUGUAAAAAUCUUUAUUAUCAACCUCAUUGUUUUUUUUUUUUUUUGGGGAAGAGAAUUCAAUUUUUUUUUUUAAUGAAUAUCGCUGUUUCGUUUGAGUUGGAUGUGAAUUCAAAUUCAUUUGAGUUGGAUGUGAAUUCAAAUUCAAAUAUUCUUUGUUUUUCAAUUCUGAACUCGAUUUCUUUUUCUCAAGAAUGUUAUGUAGAAAUGAUUUUUACUAAAUCAUUUUUGAUGAAUUGUUUAAAUUAAACAAUUGGAAUAAGAAUUGUAACGAUUUAUCAUAAGCGCGCUAAUAUGAUAACUUGUUUUACGAAAGAUUAAUUAAUCAAUUAAUAUUAAAUUAUAUAUUAGUCAAUUAUAUAUGUGUUACAUUUGUCAUGGUUUGUGCGUGAUACUACAUAAUUUCUAAAAGAAUAUAGUAAAAACACGUUAAAAUGUUAUUUUAAUGAAUAAAAUUUUAUAAUUUUAUUAAUUAGGUGACACAAUAAUAAAUGGAUUUCUGUAAGAAUUGAGUUUCUUGAGAUAAUUAUUACAUAAGGAGAAGUUUAGUUGGUUCAAUUUUGACAUGUUAAGAAGAGCAUCACAGCACAGAAAACACAAAUUGCCACUUCCACUAAUAAAAGAUACCUGUUUGAAAAGUAAUUAUAAACUAUCUUCUUUGUGUUAUUUCUCAAAACUUUUGUGGCACAAAUGUUAUUUCCAUUGACAACAGUACGAAAUACCACCCCUUUCACUUGAGCAGGAGCAAAGCAAAGGUAUGAUGAGCUAUCUCUGUAUAAUUGAAACGCCAUUACUAAACGAUUCUUGAUGAUGGGAGCCACCGUGCCAGCUUUGUCGCUGAUUUGGUAUUAUUCUUAACUUGCAGAUAGUUGUGGAUAUGAUAUGCAAAAGGUAAGGACUAUAUCUUCUUGAUGGAGGCCUCUGAUUUUUUCCCUUCUAUGUAAUUUAGUAAAUCGCAUUUUCCUUUGUGAUUGAUAUAUCAUACCAAAGUCAAGUCUUAAAUACUGCUGUCAUAUGUUAAGGUUCAACUUCCAUUUUGAUUAACGUCCAUCUGCUGCUGCUUCCAAAAGUGAGAAUGAGAUACUUUGGUUAAUUUCAGUAGUUGAACCCAAUAGAGUACUUUAUUUAGAUCUUCAUGGUUCAAAGGCCUGAAAAAACUUGCCGGUAUUUGGAAAAUGACAUUCUGUGCUUUUAUUUAGACUUAUUAUUUAAGUGAUAAAAACUCCCGUAACCUGCUGUCAAGAAAAUUUCAGAUUGUUAAAAGACAACAUUUUGUUUCGGCCAAAAAUGUUUGUUUCGAUUAAAGACUUGAACCAUUUUCAUUUAACCUUGAUUGUGAUGCUUUACAUUAUGCAUGUUCCUCUCAAUCAAUAAAAGUUGAGGUCAUGAUUUUAUAUUUCUAUUUUGUAACUUGAAAUAAUUGGUCUGCCUGUUUCUGUAGCUUGAUAACAUGAAUUUUUCCUUCUGAAGUUAAUUUGAUCAAUAAAGUAAUUCUUCGGAGAUGAUAUGCCCAUUCUAUAGUCAUUUUCUUAGCUAACAUGUUUUUUCUUCACUCUUCAGAGCAUGUCUAAACUAAUUGAUCGCUCAGCGGAGACUUUGGGUGAGAAGACAAAAUUUCUUAGUAAAUCCUCUGAAAAGGUAUGCAUAAUUCUCGAGUAUUAAAUAACCAUUGGUCAUAAUUUUUGUUCUUUUUUUGGAGAUCGUUAAAAGUGGUUGAUGACCUAUUUUUUACUAUCAUAGAGGGAUCAUGAAUUCCUUUUCUUUUCUGUGGCUCGGCAACACUUUCGGGCCAAACUAAGGAAAUCUAUUUUAGGUAAUGUAAAAACCAGUUGUAGGAUGUAAUAGUUUAUUAUGCCCUGACAAUAACUUUUUGUAUAAUUGUCAGUUUAAUGAAUACAAGAGGAACUCUGUUGGCAAAUUCAUCCAUGAUAGAAUAUAGAUGCUAAAAUUAUUUAUGCAUACCAGUUGCCUUAACUAAUUUUUCUCAACACUGGUAUUGAACAGGAAAAUGAAUAUGCAAUUUGUAUAUUGUGCCAUUGUGGAGAAUUUGGAUAUUCUUAUUUAAGUAUCAAGGAGAGUAUUUGCCUCAUCUUUAAACAAUGAAUCUUUGAGAAAUGAGGAGUGGGUGAUUGGCAGUGUCUUCAUGUAAAUGUUCAUUUAUUUGUAUUUUGAACUAUUACGAGAAUCUUUGUGUGCCAAAUUAGUAAUACAAAUGUUCAGAUGAUUUUUCCUGUUGAUCAUGCGCGUGUAUCUGCACACAACCAUUGUGUACCACUUUAUUCUGAUGCGCAAAUAUCUGUAGUUUAGAAGAAAAGAAAUAAUAAUCAUAUAUUAUUGCUUGGUUCAUGAUUAUUAAACGAUUAUGGCUUUAGAAAAUCCACAAAUCCUUUGUGUUCAUAUAUGAAUGUGCAAAGUUUGCUAUAUCUUAGAUUACCUUCUUCCAAGAUAACAAGUUCAUAUAUUUUUUUUAAUCCUUUUUCAUCACAGUUGAAUUUCAAGUGUAAGUUUUGUUAUUAAUAGCUGGUGUCCUGUUAUUAUGAUUUCAUAAACAGUGAGCGGAUAUGUGCUCUACUUUUGGAGGGCCUCCACAUGAAAGAAAAUUGCAACAAUUGAAUUCUUCUGGAGGUUAUGGUAUUUAAUUUAUUUUCUCAGCUUGUUGAAAGACUAAUAUAUUUCCUUCAGUACGCACGGCGUGGUGGGAAGGGUUUUUAUUGAAAGAAUUAUGAUAUUUCUUAGACUUUGUUUUGGAAGGGGGUGGAGGGAUUUCUCAUCCAUAUAUGGUUACUUGAUUAGCUUUUGACUGUAUUGUCUCCGUCGUGCAAAGGAAAAUCCAAAUACUAACGAAGGGGAAUUGCUUAGGCACCCAAAAGACAGAAAUGAAUUACAGAAGGAAGUUUUUGCUGCUUUAUUUAGUGCUGCUGAGAAAUCUGAUGGAUUUCCUGAAAUUACGGUGAAGACGGAGUGGAGGUCCAACGCAUUAGGAAAGGUGGUGAGUGAACCGCCGGAGGAAUUAGUACCAGAAUACAAGGCUAAUGUGGUGCACUUGCAGCAAGAUGACCAGACCUGUAUGUGCUCUUAUAUUAACUAUAUUGUUGGAUUUGUGAGUGUGUACAUUUUUGUGUGUAUACUCACUUUUGUAUUUAUGCAUAUUAACGUGUGUAGGAUUCUUGAUUUCUGCCACUUACUGGAGAACUAGUGGAAAGCUUUAUACUGAUAUAUGUGCUAUAACUAAUGGAAACUACGAUAUGAAUAUUUUCUCUCACCUGGAGAACUGUAUAACAGAUAUAAUUUGUGGCUCUGGAAUACUGAAGAUUCUGCAAUAACUAAUGGAAAAUAUGAUAUGAAUAUUUUUUCUCACCUGGAGAACUUUGUAACAGAUACAUUUUGUGGCUCUGGAAUGUCUAAAGAAUGCUUCAGUUUAGAUCAAAUAUCUUUUAGUUAGAAAAGAUAAAAUUCUCUGAAUCUGAAAGACUGAAACAUUUUGCAUAUUUUGUGAAAGGGUAGUAUCUGUAGAUACUAGCUCAUGCAUUGAGGUAAUAUCAGUGUUAAAGAAAAACAACAAUAAUUUAUUAUACAAAAUUAGGUUCACUUGCUUUAAAUGCUGGUCUGAUCAACCAUAUCAACCUGUAAUGGUUCUGCAGAAAUAUAUAUACGGGGAGAAACUAGCUAAAUUUUCCUUUCACUUAUGGGUUUGGUCUUUUUUUCCCCUAUUUUUCAGCUUUCCUUCUCCUGAAGUAUGUUAACAAUUGCAGAUAAUGACGAAGAGGACCGCUUCCAGGCUCUUUGUAGAGCUGUGAUGGAAUAUAGGGGCACAAUGAAGGAAUAUUGUAAGGCUGUAGGUACUUUCUCUCUUGUCAUUUAUGUUUUCUCACACAUUUUGUAUAUGCCCUGAACAUGCAGCUUUGUAUGUGUCAAUUGCCUUUUACAUUUUAAAAGCCAUAAAGUAAGAAUACAGUUCCUUGUCAGGCUAUUGAUGCGUUCGCUCAGAAGGGUCAUGUUCAAGCAGGAAAACUUCUAGAACAUGUAAGGUUUCCAUCUACAGCCAUCCAUUGACAGUGUCAAAGUAUUUGGCUGCAGCUUCUAGAAGCUACAUCUAGAAGCUUUGAUGCAGCAAAUGUUGAAGGCACCGCCAAGGAGAAAAAGAAGGAAGAAUGAAGAAGAUGUUGCAGAAGUUGAUCUUGACAAAUGAUGGUUGGAACGCCAAAAUGGAAGAAAGAAAAAAGGUUGGAACACGGCUUUGAAGAAGCCACGAGAAGAAUAAAGAAAAUAUUAAAAUAAUAGCUAAUUUUGGCUAUAUAAAGGAAGCUCCCCUUUUUUUGGUUUGUGUAUCCAAUCCUCAGUUUCUCUUCUUCAUUCAGAGAGUGUUUCUUUGGGGUGUAUUUGGGGAUUAGGUGAGAGAAAAUUAUUUCUGAAAGAGUGGUUGUAAUAAUUUUCCACAUAGUGAAUAUUUUUUCUCUGGUUGUCUUUUUGACAACGGCCGUGGUUUUUCUCCAUAUUUGGAGUUUUCCACGUAAAUCUUGUGUUGUGGGAUUGAUAUUAUUUUUCAUUUAAUUUUUCUUGUUAAUUUGUUAAUUGAAAAAUUGCUUGGAGAGAUCCUGGGAGGAAGCUCAAUUUCCUAACAGUGGUAUCAGAGCCAUUGAUUGAAGUUUUUUGGUGUCGGGGCACUGCUCACGUAUACGGUACUGUUUACGUAUACGGUACUAUUCACGUGAAGCAGUGGGAGCCAAUCCAAACAGUUCGUGGUGAAGAGUAAAAGCUUAUCUGCAAAGCAAAUAUGUCAGGAUUGAAAUUUUCAAGUCCGGUGAAAUUUGAAAUAGAAAAAUUCGAUGGGAGAAUUAACUUUGGCUCGUGGCAAGUUCAAGUCAAAGAUGUGUUGAUUCAAUCUGGGUUACACAAGGCAUUGAAAGGGAAGCCAUCCCCUGCUUCCAGUAGUGGCUCUGGAAAAGCUAGUAUAAGUGAUGAAGAUUGGGAAGAAUUAGAUGAUCGAGCUGCAAGUGCCAUACGACUAUGUCUAGCAAAGAAUGUUCUUGCAAAUGUAGGAAAAAUUCCUACAGCGAAAGAACUUUGGGAGAAGCUAGAAAAGUUGUAUCAGACAAAGAGCAUCUCAAAUCGAUUGUACCUGAAGGAGCGAUUUCACACACUGCGAAUGGCUGAAGGUACAAAAAUUUCUGAUCACCUCAGUGUUCUCAAUGGUAUUGUGUCAGAACUAGAAGCCAUUGGAGUUAAAAUUGAAGAUGAGGACAAGGCGCUUAGGUUACUAUGGUCACUUCCAACUUCCUACAAACACUUGUUACCUACUUUGAUGUACGGGAAGGAGACAGUAGAUCUUGAAGAAGUUACUAGUACUUUACUCUCAGAAGAAAGAAGACUGAAUGGUGAAAGUACUAAAACUACAGAUGUCUCGGCUUUGGCAGUUGUAGGGAAUUGGCAGAAAGAUAAAUCUAAGAAGAAAGGAGUCUGCUGGGGGUGUGGACAAUCGGGGCACUUAAAAAGAGAUUGUCAUAGUAGAAAUAGAGUAGGAUCGGCAAGUGGCUCCAGAUUAGAUAUUGAUAGUAUUGCUAGUGGUAAGUCUCUCAUCAUCGUGGGAGACGAUGAUCCCUUAUAAAAUGGAUGAUGAUGACAUCCUCAUGGUAUACCGCUAGUACCAUGAAAGGGGAUAUGUUACUACUAGCGGGUCCACAAGAUUUACACACAAGGCAUGGUUGGCAUUGAUGCAGGGUGUGUGGUGGAAUUUAUGUCGAUGGCUGACAAACUUCCAGGAAGACCAACAUGGAAGUUGCACCAUAAAUUUCAGCAAGAUAUUUCGACAUGUGCCGAUGUAAAAUUCUUAGAAUUGUUAAUUAAUUCUAAGUGGUAUACUCUUUAUGGUGGAGUAUGAUAAUUCUCUAUGGUGAGGAUUAUGACUAAGGUGAAAAUAGUAAGGUUAGUGUGGAGAUUGAUUGAUUCUCAAUCAAAACUCCAAGUGGGAGAAUGUCAAAGUAUUUGGCUGCAGCUUCUAGAAGCUACAUCUAGAAGCUUUGAUGCAGCAAAUGUUGAAGGCACCGCCAAGGAGAAAAAGAAGGAAGAAUGAAGAAGAUGUUGCAGAAGUUGAUCUUGACAAAUGAUGGUUGGAACGCCAAAAUGGAAGAAAGAAAAAGGUUGGAACACGGCUUUGAAGAAGCCACGAGAAGAAUAAAGAAAAUAUUAAAAUAAUAGCCAAUUUUGGCUAUAUAAAGGAAGCUCCCCUUUUUUUGGUUUGUGUAUCCAAUCCUCAGUUUCUCUUCUUCAUUCAGAGAGUGUUUCUUUGGGGUGUAUUUGAGGAUUAGGUGAGAGAAAAUUAUUUCUGAAAGAGUGGUUAUAAUAAUUUUCCACAUAGUGAAUAUUUUUUCUCUGGUUGUCUUUUUGACAACGGCCGUGGUUUUUCUCCAGAUUUAGAGUUUUCCACGUAAAUUUUGUGUUGUGGGAUUGAUAUUAUUUUUCAUUUAAUUUUUCUUGUUAAUUUGUUAAUUGACAAAUUGCUUGGAGAGAUCCUGGGAGGAAGCUCAAUUUCCUAACAGACAGCAGAUACAUUUUCAUUGAGCAGACACUGUUAGCAUUCAAGAUGCUGGCAGAUUCACUUGAUUCUUAUUAGUUUGUUUAGUGGCAAAGCAUAUAACCUGUAUUUCAAAGCCAAGUUGUGCUAUUGAUUAUGUUAACUUUAUUGUUAACCUAAAGUGAUAUGGAGGACAUAAUCAAUGUAGGAAAAUUAGGUGAAGAGACGAUGUCAACUCUUGAACCUCUUACAAAGCUCCAAGUUCUUUACUUGAAGAAGCUGCCAAAUUUGAAGAGCGUCUACUGGAAGGCAUUUCCAUUCCCAGAUGUAUGCAGAAUUUUUGUAUUAAUGCCCAGUUCUUAAGAACCUGCCACUGGAUUUUCAAGGGACGGGCCAAGGUAAAAUUCUUAUCAAGGGAAAGGAAGAUUGGUGGAAAGAACUUCAAUGGGAGGAUCAAGCAACUCAGAAUGCAUUGCUUCCAUUUUUCAAAUCAACUGACAAGUGAUUGAAGGGGGCAUCAUCAACAUCAUCAACAGAGAUGGAGAGAUUCUGGAGCAGAUCAGCAGGGUUUGUAUAUGAUCUUUGGUGGUUGCUUUCUUUUGUGAUUUUUUUUUUCUUCCUGUCAUUUUAUCAUUUCUUUGUCUCUUUUUCUAUUGCUGAUGUUAGUGUAUGCUUACUGUUGCUUGACAAAGUUUGCUUGCUUCUUGUUUAUUAAAUUUUUUAUGGUCACAAAAUAUUACUUGUUCUAUUUGAGAGUGAUGUGAAUCAAUUUUCAAUUAUAUAUUUUGUGGUCAAUGUGAAUUCAAUUUCAUUUGUCUCCUGCAAUUAUGAGAAAAUUGCAGAGUCAUAAUAUGGAAAAGAACACCAGCAAAAACUUUGUAAAAGCUUCGGAGUGAAACAGGGAAUUCACUUACUACUAAGAACAAUUGAUGGCGAGCUAUUCCAUUCAUUUUAUGUCCAUCCAUCUAUUUAAUUAUUAAAGAUAAGUGGUCCAUUUAUAAAUUUUAGAUUUUCUCUCUUUGAAAAUAACAAUAUGUAAAAUAUCUCUUAAAUUAUUAUAAAUUUUAAUUUACUCUCGAUUUAAAACGGAACAUGCUGAUGAAAUUUUUUUCUUCUUACUAAAAUUGAAAUAAAUUGUGUUUGCAGUAGUUUGAAAUAUUUUAAAGAUUAUUAUUUUAUAAGGGAGUAAUAUGAAAUGAAAUUUACUUUUCAUGCGUGAAAUGUUGAAAAAGGACAAAGGAAGUGUCCCUGCUUUUAUUUUAUUUCAAAGUGGAGUCAUCUCACAUACUUUAGCUCUAACAUUACAAUUUUUCAGGUUACAUUUUUAUUUAUUUAUUUUCUUUUUUACACAUGCAUGUGGGUUACUUUUCCGUAAGCUCCUUUAUAUAUAUUGAACCCUACGAAGAAUGUUAUGGAAGAGCAAAUGAUAUUUCUGAUAGACUCUAUUUGAUUAUGUAGCCUGAAUGGAUGUCUUGUUGAAAGAUAUUUCAGUGCAUUAGUUCAUCCUUGUCUCUCAAUGUGUUUUUAAUGGUUUUUCCAAUUGUUUAUUAUUAUAGAUUGAUUGUAAAUUGAUAUGAAUUUAAUGUUGAAAUGUUUUCUCUUUAGUGGAAUGAAUUUAAAAGUGCAAAAGAUUAUUGCACACGGAGAAAUAAACAUAUAUGCUUUAUAACUUUAGCAAUCGAUUCUUUUACAGCUGGAAACAGAGAUGAUGAUUAUCAUAAGGAUGAAGAAAAGGACAAAAAUUGUCAAUGAUUAACGAAAUCUCUAUGCAAAUUGAUUUUAGCAGGAAAAAAGUGAGCUAAAUGAUGGAGACGAUUAGUGGUAAUAUUUCAUAGAGUUCCUUCCAAUCUUCUCAUGAAUCCCCUUUUUGAGUUAUAUUUAUUUUAUUUUUAAAAUAUCUUUUUUCUCUUUUACUACACUUCUAAUUUUUCAUUUUUUUUUAUUGUUAAACUCAAAGUAGUAUUGUGAUAUUUUUUAUUUAUUUUGCAAUCUUAUUAUUACUCUACACUUAAGUUAAAAAGUUUUAUAGGUGAUGAAUUUUUGAAUGUUAAUCAUUAGCUUAAAUUUCACAUAUUUUACAUUAUAAUUUGAAAUUUAGUACCAAAAUAUUUAAUCAAUAAGAAUUAUGAAAAGAUUAAUAGAUUAUUCUAAAUUUAUACAACUUAUUUUAGUUAGAUCAGAAGUAGCAGGUUAAAAAAAGAAAAGAUUGGUUAUGAAAUUUGUUGGAAAAAAAUCUAUGUGUGUUUAAUUUUUAUUCGUUGUUAACUCUAAUUAAAUAGGUUAAAUAAUUUUGUUAUUUUUUACUUAUCAAAAAAUUUAAGAUCAAUAUUUUUAGUUACCAUUUGAAGGAUAUUAUGACAAAAACAAAAUUUUCAUGUCUUUGUUAAAAAUUUGGGGGUUUGUAUAACUAUUUUUUCAAAUGUUAGGGGCAUAACUGUCUUUUUACUCUUAUAUAUAUGAACCAUGGUGGUGAAAAAGCGUGAUUUAAUGUUAUUUAUUUAAAUAAUAUCUCAAUUAAAAAUGUAAGCAGAAGAAAUUUUGGUGGGUAUUUUAGUCUUCUAACGAUUAUCAUGAUUAGGCCCUGGUCUUGAAACGUUGGUCAGAAAAAUUUUAAAAUGCGUUCAUUGUCUUUACUUUAAAAACGUUAUUUUAUUUUAUUUUAUUACAAAUUAAUGCCAACAAGAAAAAGCAAGAUCUAAUAUUCCACAAAAGGAAAUCGUAAUAUUCCAUAAAAGCAAAUAACCAGCUGGAUUCUUUUAUUGAACUACAAAUUAAAGUGGAAUCUUUUAUUAAACAACAAAUUAAAGUUCAAAUAUUUAAAUAGUAGUGCGUUAGACGAUUAGGCUCUCUUAUUAAAGGCAAGUAUAAAGUAGUCAAGAAUCGAACAUCUCUAUUGUCUAGUCUUUUUUUUUUAAUUCUUCUUUUAUUAUUUUUCAGAAUAGGUUUUGGUGAUUACUAUUGGGUUAUUAUUCAGAGUUAUUGUUAUCUUCCGGGGCAGUUUCUGUUAAUCGAAAUCGUUAAUUAAAAUUUUAGAACUCUUAUGGGAAGAAUGUUUUUCUGUUAUCUUUUUUAUAUUCUAAUUUCAACUGUAAGGAGUCGUUUUAGAAUUUGGGUCUGGAAUCGAAUUUCAAUGCAUGAAUUAAUAUUUUUAAAAAAAAUUACUACACGCAGUUUAGGUUACAAACUAUUUUUUGCAAAGUUGACUAUGAAAUUGGAGAAAUUAAGUAAUUUAUAAUGUUUGCAAAGGAAGAGACUAACAUACUUCCAAUUACACUAUCUCUCUAUUAUCAUAAUAUUAAGACUAAAGUAACUUUAAAUAAAUUUUAUUUGAAAAGUUAUAUCAAAUGCAGUCUAAUUUUAUUAACUUGAAGAGUUAAUAAUUAUAGAAAUUAUUGUUCUAACUUAAUUAGUACAAGUGGUAUAAAGGUUAAGUGUGCACUAAAUCUGUUUAAAUUUUUUCCAGAAUAACUAACAGAGGUCAUUACUAGAAUUAUAAUUACUAGUCUAUUAGAUAGAAAAAAUUAUUUAUAUUGUUUUAUAUUUAUUAAAAAAUUUUAAAGUCAAUCUUUUUAAUUACUAUUUAAAAAAUAUUAUAAUUAAAAAAAUUUAAUGUCUUUAUUAAAAAUUUAAAAAUUUACAUGACCGUUCUAUAAAUAUUUAAAGUGUAACUGUCAUUUUCUCAUAUAUAUAUAUAUAAAUCACGGUGGUGAAGCUUUAUUUAAUAUUAAUGAUUUAAAUAAUAAUAUCUCAAUUAAAAAUGUACAGAGAAUAAAUUUCGGUGGGUAUAUUAGUCUUUUACAAUUAUCAUGAUUAGCCCUUCCUCUUGUAACGUAGGUCAGAAAAGUUUUAAAAUGCCUUGAUUUCAAUUUCUGCUUUAUAUUUUUCCCCGUAUAAUGGGGAGAGGUCAUUACUAAAAUUUCUCUUCCACAGCAAUUACAGCAGCUUCAGUUAAUCAAACUCAAAUCAAUUUUCUUUCUUAACAAAAUUCCAAAGAUGUGUAGCAUUUUUCAGAUCACAUGCGAUGGUGCUCUUUUCAAUCGUUGCUUGGAUUGCUUUCUCGGAAAAGCAGCAUACAUAAGCAACCUCCAAGAUAAUCUUGAUGCCUUGGACACUGAACUGGGAAGACUAAUCGCAGCAAAGAACGAUGUGAUGAUGAGGGUUGUCAAUGCUGAACGGCAACAAAUGAGAAGGCUGGACGGAGUGCAAGUGUGGGUUUCGAGGGUGGAUGCUGUUAAAACUGGAGCCGAUGAAUUGAUGAGGCACAGCUCUCAAGAAAUUGACAAAUUAUGUGUUGGAGGCUACUGUUCCAAGAACUGCAGGUCAAGCUACAAGUUCGGAAAACAAGUGGCUAAAAAGCUACAAGAUGUGAAGACUUUAAUCGCCGAGGGAGUUUUUGAGGCGGUGGCCACUGAGGUGGUGCCCGAGAGAGCUCCGGAACCUGUAGCAGAUAAAAGACCCAUUGAGCCAACAAUAGUAGGCUUGCAAUCACAGCUUGAAGAAGUUUGGAGAUGUCUUGUAGAAGAAUCAGUGGGAAUCAUUGGCCUAUAUGGUAUGGGCGGUGUUGGUAAAACCACACUAUUGACCCAUAUCAACAAUAAAUUUCUUGAGAGUCCCACAAACUUUGAUUGUGUGAUUUGGGUCGUAGUUUCAAAAGACCUGCGACUUGAAAAAAUUCAAGAAGAUAUUGGGAAGAAGAUAGGUCUAUCUGAUGAUUCAUGGAAGAAUAAAAGUUUUGAAGAGAAAGCUGUGGACAUCCUGCUGAGAUUAGGAGAGAAGAGAUUUGUAUUGUUGUUAGAUGAUUUAUGGGAGCGGGUUGAUUUAACAAAAGUGGGCGUUCCACUUCCCAGCGCACAAAAUACUACCUCAAAAGUCGUAUUCACAACCCGUUCCAUUGGUGUUUGUGGCAGCAUGAGAGCUAGGCCGGUUAAAGUGGCAUGCCUAUCAGAAAAGCAAGCUUGGGAACUGUUCCGCGAAAAUGUUGGGGAAGAAACUCUUGAGAGUGAUCAUGAGAUCGUUGAGCUAGCCCAAACUGUGGCCAAAGAGUGUGGUGGUUUGCCACUCGCACUUAUUACUAUUGGUCGAGCUAUGGCCUACAGAAAGAAAGCGGAGCAGUGGAGACGUGCAAUUGAAGAGUUAAGAAGAUCAGCUUCAGAGUUUGCAGGUUUGGGAAAAGAGGUGUAUCCUCUUUUAAAGUUUAGCUAUGAUAGUUUGCAGAAUGAUACAAUUAGAUCUUGUUUCUUGUAUUGUUGUUUAUAUCCUGAAGAUUAUGGCAUUCUUAAAUGGGACUUAAUUGAUUGUUGGAUUGGUGAGGGAUUUUUGGGGGAAUCUGACAGGUUUGGUGCAGAAAACCAAGGAUAUGACAUUUUGGACACUCUUGUUCGUGCAUGUUUAUUAGAAGAGGUGGAAGAUGAUAAAGUAAAAAUGCAUGAUGUUAUUCGUGAUAUGGCUCUAUGGAUAGCUUGUGAAAUUGAGAAGGAGAAGAGAAACUUUUUGGUUUGUGCAGGUGCUGGAUUAAAAGAGGCACCGGAUGUUAAAGGAUGGGAAAAUGUGAGAAGAUUGUCAUUGAUGCAAAACCAAAUUAAAACUCUGUCAGAGGUUCCUACAUGCCCUCAUCUCCAUACUCUAUUUCUUGACUUUAAUAAGGAGUUGGAGAUGAUCGCGGAUGGCUUCUUCCAAUUUAUGCCUUCUCUCAAAGUUUUGAAGAUGUCAAACUGCUGGAAUUUUCAAUUACCUGUUGGGAUGUCAGAGUUGGGUUCAUCACUAGAACUUCUUGAUAUUUCACAUACCCGAAUACAAGAGUUACCAGAAGAGUUAAAGUUGUUGGUAAAUCUGAAAUGUUUGAAUUUGAGGGGUACAGGCCAGUUAAAUAAAAUUCCACGGCAACUAAUAUCAAAAUUUUCAAGGUUACUUGUGUUGAGAAUGUUGGGUACUGGCCAGUUCAAUUUUCAUGAAGCACCAGAAGACAGCAUUUUAUUUGGUGGGGGCGAAGUUUUGAUACAGGAAUUGCUCGGUUUGAAAUAUUUAGAGGUAUUGGAGUUGACCUUGGGAAGUUAUCAUGCUCUCCAAAUUCUUUUGAACUCAAAUAAGUUAAAAAGUUGUAUUCGAUCCCUUUACCUCGAGUUGUUCACAGAUACAACGUCGAUUAUUGAUGCUACGGCUUUCGCAGAUCUAAACCACCUCAAUAAAUUAUAUAUUUAUAAAGGUUUUGAGUUGGAAGAAAUGAAGAUUGAUUAUAUGGAGAUAGUACGAAAAAGGCGGGAACCUUUUGUUUUCCACGGCCUUCACCGUGUUACUAUGGUUUUAUGCCAUAAAUUGAAAGAUGUGACAUUCCUCGUUUUUGCUCCAAACCUCAAGUCUCUUUUGCUAGUCGAUUGCUAUGCUAUGGAAGAAAUAAUCAGCGUCGGAAAAAUUUCUGAGACUCCUGAGAUGAUGGGACAUAUAAGCCCUUUUGAAAAUCUCCAAAUGCUUGAUUUGUCACGUUUGCCACAUUUGAAGAGCAUCUUCUGGAACCCAUUGCCUUUCACUCAUCUGAAAGAAAUGGCGGUACUUAUGUGCGAUCAGCUUAGAAAGCUUCCACUCGAUUCCAACAGUGCAAAGGAGCGUAAAUUUGUUAUUCGUGGAUACACAGAGUGGUGGAACCGACUUCAAUGGGAGGAUGAAGCCACUCAAAUUGCUUUUCGUUCCUGUUUCCAACCUCGUCCCUGAGCGGUGGUCGCAAAUUUUGAUUUCUGGUGAGUGCGUUCGUCUUUUAAAAGAAGAAUUUAAAAGAAAUUUAUUCUUGUCGUUUUCUUCUCUGUUUUUAUUUCAGUUUGUUUCUCUCUCUCUCUCUCUCUCUGUUUGUCUUCCGUAAAUCACAAUUAAAUGUUGAAUUAAUGGAAUUAAUGCUUCAUAAAUUUGCCGGCACUGCCGUUACUUUACUUUUUGCUGUCAAAUUUUGCCCUUUUUAUUUUUUAACAAGUUGAUACUUUAUUUAUAUCUUCUUAGCGAUUUAAUUUCCUGUCAAAAGACGAACGAGAAGAACAUAUGACUUAAACCAAUGCUCGAAUAAACUUGCUGUAAAAAGAUAUAAUCUCACUGAAAUGCACACGCCUAGAAUGAAUAGAAUUAAAAUAGGGAAAAUAUUAAGUAUAUUAGCCCUCUUUACCGAAAAUCAAAUGACAAUAAAUUUUUUGAAGUUUUGAUUUUCUAUGGUCAAUUCCACCUUUUGCAAUUUCUUCUGUUCUAACAAAAACCAAUUUCUAUGUUCAAGCAUUUUCGUUUGGAUAUUAAUAAUUCUCCACCGAAAGAGUGAACUCUUGGAUGCUGCUGCUCAAGGGAUCUCUAAUCAAUAGCCCGAAGGGCGCCGAGACCUGACCGGACCUACGCCCAAGUUUGGUCUUAAAGCCUGGGCUUGAGCCUGGCAAUUAAAUUAAAACAUUAAUUGAUUUCUUGAUUGAAUUGUCGUGUAAUUGAUUUAUGGGGGAUGACACAUCAACAUACUUGAAAAUACACUAAUCUCAGCAUCAUCGGUUAGUAACUUUUAGAUUUAUGGGUAAUCAAUAGUUAAGAUUAGUUGUCAUUAAUACUAAAUAAUUUUUACUUUUUUUGUCUCUUCUAGAGGAUCUUCUAGAAAAAUGCAUCCACAAGUAAAUUUAAUACUUUACAUAAUAAACAAAGCCUAAAUGUUAAAUUUAAGAAACUGCAUUGCAUUUCAGUUGAAGCUGACUUUAAUAUUUAGGGUAGAAAAAUAAUUAAUUUUAUUUUUUGAAAUGUCCAUAUUCAGAGCAAAUUUCAAAAAGACUCAAUAAUUUCUCAUAAAUUUCAAUUAAAAAUAUUCAAUUUGUUGUUUCAGUUCUUUUAUUUUUUAUUUUUUCCAACAUGAAAGCGACUUAAUGUUACUAAAUUGGUUUUAUGGUCUUUGGAUUUUCAUGACCCAAUAAUUGGAACAAAACAAUUUUCUCAAGCGCUCUCCCGCAACAUUUUAUAAUUGAAGCCGCGGCCCCGCCCGUGGUUCCAAACUUUAUCUUUCUCCCGCUCUUUAAAUUAAUGCGAGCAGCCUCCGUCCUUGACUAGUUGACUGCUUUUGUUCUUUUUUAUUAAUUAAUUAAUUAAUUAAUUAAUUCAGCCGCCCCCCUUUCUUGUCCCAAUGUCUUCUACUUUCGGUUUCCUUUUAUUAUCUCUUUAUUUUUAAAAUAUGCUUAUAGUAAUAAUAAAAUAUAAAAAUUAAAAUUAAAAUUAACAUAUUAAAAUAUAAUUUAUCAGAAAAUUAAGAUAGAGAAAUAUUAUAAGCACAUCAAUCAAAAAGUGAAAAAAAAAAUUUUAAUUUGCAUUAAAUAUAAACUUUCAGUGUUAAUCAAUUUUCUAAAUAACUGAAAUUAUUUUAAAAUAAAAAUAAAUUAUUCUUCCAAGAAAAAAAAUUACACCCACUCACUGGACUGGCUGUCAAGAGUCGCUUUAGGACUGAAGUUGGUAACUUUUGCAAGCAGUCUGAACUUGAAUGGCAGCAACCCACGCUUUCAGAUUUAUGGUUAAUCAAUAGCUGAGAGUUGUUAUCGCUAAGUGCAUCCGUUGCUAAUGUUUUUAAUGUUUUUUUCUCUCUCCUACAGCAUCUUCUAGGAAAGUGCAUCCGUUGCUAAAAUUUAGUAUUGUAAAUAAUAAACCAAGAAUAAAUAUUAAAUCUAAGAAACUGUAUUGCAUUUAAUAUUUAAGGGAGAAAAAGAAUUAUAGUGUCUUUAUUAAUCAGUAAUGAGAAAAGACUAGAGUAAUAAUAAAUUGUAUUGCUAUUAAUGUGUUUAUUUUAUUUUGUACUCAAAAUGAAUUAUUUUAAAUUAUUGAAAUACCUUUAUUGUUAUUCUAAUUAUUAUUAUUAUUAUUAUUAUUCAAUAUUUAUUAUAAUAUUUUAUUAUUAUUAUUAUUAUUAUUCAAUAUUUAUUAUAAUAUUUUUCAUAUUACUAAAAAGUAAUAAUAAUAAUGAUAAUAUUGGAAUUGUUGUUUUUUUAUAUUAUUAUUAUUAUUAUUCAAAACACUUCUUGUCAGCUCAUUCAUACGUGAAGACCAAAACCAAAUCUCUUCUUCUCCUUCUUUUCUUAUAGUGCAGGAUGUGUGUGCUCGGACUUCUCUCUCAUUCUUUUUUCUUUUUAGAUUUUGAAAACCUAAAAAAAAGAGUGUAGGAGUUUUUAUUUUCUUAAAACAAGACUUUUUGAAUUAUCCAAUUGAGUUAAAUUCUGUGGCAACUGGUAUUUACAUUUCUUGUUUAUUUCGCAAGUUAUUAUUGCCUAAUGCUAUGUCAACUCUAACAUUCGCAAUUUUUUUUUUGGUCCUCUUUUAACACCAAACAUUAGUGUAGGUUAAGUAACAUAAUCAGUACUGGGACAAUUUGAAAUCCCUUUGUGGCAGUGACAAUGAGAUCUCAUUUUAACCGAUAAAGUCUUUUGACUCUGUCAACUCAAAAAAAUAGAUUCAAAUGUUUUGUAAUAAAUAAAAAUAUAAUAUUAAAAUAAAUGUGACAAUAUAUAUUUUAAAUAAUUUCAAUACAAAAAACAUUUGAAUGUUUUAUAAUUUAUUAGACAUAUUUUAUUAUAUUAAUAUAAAUUUUCUAAGAAAUAUGGACAUAAUAUUAAAAUAAAUUUAUGAAAAAUUUAAAUUAUUUUGAAUGUAAAAACAUUUUAAUGUUUUAUAAUUUAUUAGACAUAUUUUAUUAUAUUAAUAUAAAUUUUCUAAGAAAUAUGGACAUAAUAUUAAAAUAAAUUUAUGAAAAUUUAAAUCAUUUUGAAUGUAAAAUAAUUUUAAUGUUUUAUAAUUUAUUAGACAUAUUUUAUUAUAUUAAUAUAAAUUUUCUAAGAAAUAUGGACAUAAUAUUAAAAUAAAUUUAUGAAAAUUUAAAUUAUUUUGAAUGUAAAAUAAUAUUAAUAUUAUUAAUCCAUUAGGUAUUAAUUAUAAAAAUUAUUUAACCCAAAGAUUUUUUAUAUCCUUACAAUAAAUAUAAAUAUAUUAUUUACAUUUAAAAAUUUAAAAAUUUAAAAAUAUUUAAAUAAUAUUAAUCUACAAUUAUAUUUUCAUUUAUUAUAAAUAUUUAAAGUCAAAUCUUUUGCACUUCUAUUUUAUUACAAUUAUGGCGCACAAAGAAAGAGCCAUAUAUGAUUUAUAGCGUUAGAAAUUGGUUUAUUUUAAAGCUGGAAACAGAGAGGAUGAUUAGUAUAAGGAUAAAAGAAAAAGGGAUAAAGAAUAUUAAUGAUUAACAAAAUCUCUCUGCAAAUUGAUUGCAGUAGAAAAAAAGUGAGCUGAACAAUCUAGACAUUUAGUGGUAGAGUGAUAUUUCAUUUGUAGCAAAGUACAUCUCAAGGUUAAGGGAAAAGACUUAAGAUCUCGCUUUUGAUUAUAAUACUUUUUUUUAAAGAAAAAAAUUAAUUUUAAUAUUUUAUAAUAAAUAAAAAUAUAAUCUUAAAAUAAAUAUAAUAGUACAUAUUUUAAAAUAAUCUCAUUAUUUAAAAUUGUUUUAAUAUUUUGUAAUUUGCCAGAAAAAUUUUAUUAUUUUCAAGUAAAUUUUAUAAUAAAUACAAACACACUAUUAAGAUAAAUAUAUGAAAAAAUUAAAGUAUUUUGAAUAUUAUACAAAAUAAUUUUAAUAUUGUUAAUAGUGAGAUAAUUCUAUUAAUUUAAAAUGCUACUUAACCUUAAGAUUUAUUUAUGAUAAAUUAAUAAUUACAUUUUUAAAUUAUUUCAAAUAUUAAAAAUAUUUUAAUAUUACUUAUCUAUUAGAUAGACUAAAUUAUUUAAAUUAUUUUGUAUAAAUUAAUUACUAUUUAAAGGAUAUUAUGAUAAAAAGAUCUUAGUGUUUUUAUUAAAAAUUUAAAAUUUACAUGACUAUUUCUUUAAAUAUUUAGGGCAUAUAUGAACCACGGAGGAGAAAAGCUUUAUUUAAUAUUUUAGAAUAGUUUUUGAUCAGUACAAUUGGGUCCUUAUUCAGAAUUAUUGUUCUCUUCCGCAACAGUUUUUGUUUAUCAAAGUCAUCAAUUAAAAUUUUAGAAUUCUUAUCAUCAGAAGUAGUCGUUUUAGAAGUUGGGUCUUGGAUCAAAUUUCUACGAGUGCAUGAAUUAACAAUAAAAAAAUUUCAUUACACACGGUUUAAGCUACAAAACUACUAUUUGCACAGUUGACUAUAAAACUUACCUCCAAUUACACUAAACCUCUCUAUUUGGUAACGUUGAGACUAAAUUAAUUUUAUUAGCAUGAAAAGAUAAUAGAAAUAUAAUUAUAAAUACUAUUGUUGUUAAUCAAUUAGUACAUGUGAUAUAAAGGUUAAAUGUGCACUAUAUUUAAUAAUUAAUUAGUGGAGCAUGUUAAACAAAAUGUUAAUGUAUAUUUAUAUAGUGUUAGGAAUAUGCAAAGUCAAGUCCUCAAUUUGCAUUAUCCUGUAUAGAAUAUUACUCUAAAAAUGUUUUACUAUAAUUGGCUUAGAACAUUUGUAAAGAAAAUAAUAAUAAAAUAAUAAAUAACAUACACCGUCACAUAGCAUCUAGACAAUGAUAGAAAAUUAUUAAAGAGAGUGCAAACAAUUAAUUAGAGAUUUUUAUGAUGACUUUUAAUAUUCAUGAUAAUAACAAAUAAAUACAUGUAUCACUUUUUUAAAAUAUUAAAUUUGACGUGCUCCAUUAAUAAAUUAUUAUUGUAAUUCAGACUCUAUCUAUAUAUCCUUGCACUAAGAAUAAUUAAGGUGGCGUUUGUUUUUUUAACUUAAUGACUUAAAGUGACUUAACUUAAUUAAUUAAGUUAAUUAGAGGUGUUUGUUUUAUAACUUAAUGAGACUUUUUAGAUAAUUUUGACUUAAUAAAAUAAGCUAAUUUUUUUGACUUUUUACUUAAUGGAGAAAUCUGAAUUAAGUCAAUUACUUGCUAAUGUCAAAAAUAUCCUUGUUUUAUAAUUUAUUUUUCAUGUCUAUCCCAAAACUCACCCAUAGAUAUUUACCCCACAUAAAAAUAUCCCUGUUUUUUUCUUUCUUAUAUUAUAUACGAUAAAAUUUGAAAUUUAUAGUAUUUUAUAUAUUAAAAUUCUAAAAUAAUUAUGUAUUCACUUGAAUAUAGUUUUACUUAUAAAUGUUAAAAUAUGAUGGUAUUUAAUAUAUUAUUUAUUUGACAUUCAAAUUUAAUAAGGAUACAAAUGUAAAAGUACAUAUUUUCAGCUUUUUAAGUUGAAAAAAAACAACUUAAUACUUAUUUUCUGAGAUUCAGACGAAAAAAUAAACAUAUUAUUCAGAUUCAGACAUUCAGACCUAUUCAGAAUUCAAACUAAUUCAAAUCUAUUUAAAUUUUAGACAAAAAAAUAAACGCCACCUAAAUCAUAAUAAAAAUUUUCAUAACUACAUCUCGUUUCUUCCUCAUAAUAAUAAUUAGAUUGGUUCGAAUAUUAUAACAGAUUUAGUGUAUAGCCACAUCCAAUUUAAAUAUUGACCCAAUUGGGAUGGUCCCCAAAAAAAAAGAUUCGUUAAAGGAUAAUUCUAAUUAUUUUCACUUCUCAAACGUUAGUGGGACGUUUCUAUUAGCGCACUCGUAAGCCAAGUUGUCAAAUAUUUAUAUUAAACUACAAUUGCUGACAAGAAAAAUCAAGAUCGUGUUGCGCAAGUGGGUCCCGAAUAGGACGUGCCUAAAUCUCUCGUAAGCCAAGUUGUCAAAUGUUUAUAUUAAACUAACAAUUGCUGACUAGAAAAAUCAAGAUCGUAUUAAAAGUGGGUCCCGAAUAGAACGAGACUAAAUCUUUUUAAGAAUAUUAUCAUUUUAUUGAUAUACCAUGUCAGUAUUAAAAUUUAUUAAAAAAUAUAUUUUAUUAUUAAAAUUUUAUAUUGUUAUCAAUUCACUAUCAUAUUAUUUCGUUAAGAAAAAAUUAAUAUUUAACGAAAAUUGAGAUAAAAAUUAAUUUUUGUUCUCUGUCUUUAUUUAUUUAUUUAUUUAUUUGGAUCUUCUGCAAAUCACAAUCAAAUGUUGAAUUAUAAAUUUGCCGGCAUUCCUUUUUUUGUUUUUUUUGGGCCGGGGGUGGUGUUGAAUUGAUGCUCUGAUUUUUGACUUUUUGUUGUCAAAUUUUACUCUGUUUUUUCAAAUUGAUGCUAGAAUAUUUGAAUCAAAUUAAUGCUCUAGUAAAUUUGUCCAGUUGCCGUAAAAAGAUAUAAUUACACUGAAAUGCACACCUAUGGAAUGAAUAGAAUUAAACAGAGAAAACAUUAAGUAUAAUAGCUGUCUUCACAGAAAAUCAUAUGAAAAUAAAUUUUUGAAGUUUUUGUUUUUCCGUGGUCAAUCAUACCCUUUAUAAUUUCUUCUGUUCUAACUACAAUAAAAUUUUUGGUCCAAGGAUUUUUAUUAGGGGUAUUAAUAAGAGUCCACCAAAAGAGUGAACACUUGGAUGCUGCUUGAAGGGUCUCUAAUCAAUAGCUGGAAGCAAUUGAGAAGGCGGUUGCUACUGUGAAUUCAAAUGUAAAAUAUUUGCUAUUCUUCGAUUUGGUUCAUGAUUUCGUAUGAAUAUCGUUGUUCCGUUGAGUUGCAUGCGAAUUCAAAUGCAAAAUAUUCUUCGAUUUUCAAUUUUGAAAUCAAAUUUUUUUUCCUUCUCAAGCAUGUUAUGCAGAAACGAUUUUUACUAAAUCAUUUUUGACAAACUAUUUAAAUUAAACCACUGGAAUAAGAAUUGUAAGGAUUUAUCGUAAGCUUACUAAUACGAUAAUUCUGAAACUAUCACCUUUUUUUUUUUUUUUGAUUUGUUGCAGGGAAACCCAAAUUUUGUAUUUUGUCAGUUUCAUCUGAUAUGGAAUUUAUUUCCUCCCUAAAGAUUUAUCAAACUGCUUCUCUUCCGUGCUUCAAAUAUCUUUAUGCAAUUACGAUCUCAUAGGAAAAGAGAGUUUGGGUUGUAUUUAUUAUAGUAUUUAUUUUUUAUUUUUUGUUAAAAGAAAUUUAUUUUAAAAUAGUUUAUAGCAACAGUUUUUAUUGAACAAUAAUGAGGAAGGAUUAUUAUAGGUUCAAAUAGUUGUUAGAACAUUAUAAAAAAGUCCAUUUACUAUCAAAUGUUUUAAAUUGGUGCAACCUGAUAGUUGUCUCAUAUAAUUUUUUUAGGGUAAAAACUCGUUUAAUUCCUAUAUUUUAAGAUUAGUACUCAUUUAGUCCUUAUAUUUUUAAAAAUGUCUCAAAACAUUCAUACCCUUAAAUUAUUAACAUCUCUGCUGUUACUUUUUAUUUCUUUUGACUUAUUUUUACAAUAUUGCUCUCUUACAAUAAUGUUUCUUUUUAUAAAAUUAAUAAAAAAAAAUUAAAUUAUCAAUUUAACCCCAAAAAUAAAAUAAAAAUAAAAAGAAUAAAUAUUAAUUUUUGUGAAAGCUUACAUGUGUCCAAAAUAAAUUUUAUUGUAAAAAUAAUUAAAUUGCCUUUUUUUUGGACAUUAGUAAUAAAAAAAUUAAUAUAUUAAUUCCUCAGCAGUGUGUUACAAAAAGUAAAAUAUAUUAAUUUUGUUUUUAUUUUAGACAAUGAGAUAGAGAAAAGUACAAGAUAAAGGAAAGGACUUCAAAACUCACUGUUCAUCAUAAUGCCCUUUGUCUUUAAAAAAAAAAUCAUUCUAAUAUUUUAUAACACAUAAAAUAUAAUCCUAAGAUAAAUAUAAUAAUACAUAUUUUUAACUAAUCUCGAUAUUUAAAAUAUGUUUUAAUAUUUUAUAAUCUAUCAGACAUAUUUUAUUAUAUUAAAGUAAAAUUUAUAAUAAAUACAAACAUAUUAUUAAAAUAAAUAUAUAAAAAAUAUUUAUUUUUUAUAUGUUUACACUGAGGACUCUCUUUAAUUCAUUUAUUUUCUCUCUCUCCAAACAGGUACUGUCUUCAGAUAGCAAUGCUAUGAUAGUAAUCCAAUUCUCUUCUCCCCCACCUGAGCGAGAUUUGAAUUUGAAUCCCUUGUUUUUCACCCACUCUGUUUUUUUUCACGCAAGAUUUGACAAUUUGAGUUAAAAAAUAUGGUCCAAAACUUGAACACGUAUCUUUUAAUUGUAAUAAAAGUUCUUUAAGCUUUGGAGAUGGCAUAUAUAUGGCUGGAAGUGUCCUUUUCUUUGACCUAGAGGCAGCACCAAGCUAUCCAGCAUCAUCAUUUUUCAAGUGGGUCUUAAAUGCCUAGAAACGUUGGUGUUUCUUGAUUUAAAGAUGACACAUGCUAUAAGUGUGAAUGGUUUGGCUAAGCCUAAAUUUAAAGUCUACUCAAGUCGCAUUCAGGAUCAUGGAAAUUGGAAAGGGAGAGAUGAUAGCAAGAUUUAUAAUAAACAAUUAACUUGGGUCCUCAGUGUACAAAGCAAAUGCCACGCAAGCGAUAGCCGGCCCGGCCCAGAAAACCCAGUGGCCAUCCCAGAGAUGGCCUCCUCUAACGAGUGCUGGGCCCAAACAUCUUGCCGGGUUGAACCCAGCUCCGGCAUAGCCCUUUUGAGCAGUAACAGUUGUCGAGACAAAAACCAGAAGACCCAACACUGUUCCAAUGACAAUGCAUACGGUAACUCUGCCAAGAGCCUUGGCUUGUCUGGAGUCAAAAGCCAUCCACACAGAAGCAAAAAGGAACACAAACGAGCAAAUUAUCUCAAGCCAAAGGGCCUGCCUAGUCCCCAAGCCGAUCUCAAUAGGCCCAUCUGGCCCAGGUACCACAACAUUCAGGCUGCAGCCUCCAAGUUGUCAAAUAUUUAUAUUAAACUACAAUUGCUGACUAGAAAAAUCAAGAUCGUAUUACAAGUGGGUCCCGAAUUGGACGUGCCUAAAUCUUUUUAUAAUUUUCCCAGUGUAGCGGACACAGGUCAUUACUAAAUUUCUCUUCCACACGCCACAGCAGCUUCGGUUAAUCAAACUCAAUCAAUUUUCUUGGCUUCUCCGCUUAUCAAUAUUACAAGGUAUGGGUAGCAUUUUUCAAAUCACAUGCGCUGGUACUAUUUUCAAUCGUUGCUUAGAUUGCUUUCUUGGAAAAGCAGCAUACAUAAGUAACCUCCAAUUUAAUCUCGUUGCCUUGGAGACUGAACUAAGGAAACUAAUCGCAGCAAAGAACGAUGUGAUGACGGCGGUUGUCAAUGCUGAACGGCAACAAAUGAGAAGGCUGGACCAAGUGCAAGUGUGGGUUUCGAGGGCGGAUGCUGUUAAAACUGUUGAAAAAUUAUGUCUUAGAGGGUUCUGUUCCAGGAACUGCACGUCAAGCUACAAGUUCGGAAAACAAGUGGCUAAAAAGCUACGAGCUGUGGAGACUUUAAUCGCCGAAGGAGUUUUUGAGGCGGUGGCUACGGAGGUGGUGCCUGAGAGAGCUCCAGAGCCUGUAGCAGAUGAAAGACCUACCGGGCGAACAGUAGUAGGCUUGCAAUCACAACUUGAACAAGUCUGGAGAUGUCUUGCAGAAGAAUCAGCGGGAAUCAUUGGCCUAUAUGGUAUGGGCGGUGUUGGUAAAACUACACUAUUGACCCAUAUCAACAAUAAAUUUCUCGAGAGUCCAACCAACUUGAUUGUGUGAUUUGGGUAGUAGUUUCAAAAGACAUGCGACUUGAAAAAAUUCAAGAAGAUAUUGGGAAAAAGAUAGGUUUGGUUAGUGAUUCAUGGAAGAGUAGAAGUGUAGAGGAGAAAGCUCUCGACAUCUUCCGGAGUUUAAGAGAGAAGAGAAUUGUAUUGCUGUUAGAUGAUAAAUGGGAGCGGGUUGAUUUAACAAAAGUGGGCGUUCCACUUCCCGGACCACAAAAUACUACCCCAAAAGUCGUAUUCACAACCCGUUUGAUCGAUGUUUGUGGUAGCAUGGAAGCUGACAGGAAGUUCAAAGUAGCAUGCUUAUCAGAAAAGGCUGUUUCGAAAAAAAGUUGGGGAAGAAACUCUUGGAAGUCAUCAUGAUAUCGUUGAGCUAGCCCAAACUGUGGCCAAAGAGUGUGGUGGUUUGCCACUCGCACUUAUUACUAUCGGUCGAGCUAUGGCCUACAAAAAGACAGCCGAAGAGUGGAGAUACGCAGUUGAAGUUCUAAGAAGAUCAGCUUCGGAAUUUGCUGGUUUGGGAAAAGAGGUGUAUCCUCUUUUAAAGUUUAGCUAUGAUAGUUUGCAGAAUAAGACGAUUAGAUCUUGUUUCUUAUAUUGUUGUUUAUAUCCUGAAGAUUAUGGCAUUCGUAAAUGGGACUUGAUUGACUGUUGGAUUGGUGAGGGAUUCUUAGAGGAAUCUGACAGGUUUGGUGCAGAAAACCAAGGAUACUACAUUGUGGGCACUCUUGUUCAUGCGUGUUUACUAGAAGAGCUAGAAGAUGAUAAAGUAAAAAUGCAUGACGUUGUUCGUGAUAUGGCUCUAUCUAUAGCUUGUGAAAUUGAGAAGGAGAAGAGAAACUUUUUGGUUUGUGCAGGUGCGGGACUAAAGGAGGCACCUGAUGUUAAAAGAUGGGAAAAUGUGAGAAGAUUGUCAUUGAUGCAAAACCAAAUUGAAACUCUGUCAGAGGUUCCUGCAUGCCCUCAUCUCCAUACUCUAUUUCUUGCCUCUAAUAAUAGUUUGCAGAGGAUCACCGCUGGUUUCUUCCAAUUUAUGCCUUCUCUCAAAGUUUUCAAGAUGUCAAACUUCUGGAAUUUAAUUUUGGAAUUACCUCAAUGAAUUAUUGAUUUUUAAAGGUUUUUGAUGGUUGUCGAAGCCAACAAAAAUAAAUACAUACUCUAAAUAAAUUGUGUAUAGUGAUUGAGCAGGGUCAUGUCCACAGAGAUCGGUAAUUAUUUAAAUCCUUUUAAAACGUAAAACAUAAAAUGGGGGUUUUGUUGACAAUAAUAAAAAUCAAAUUAAAAUAAUAAGAAUGCAAAUUAAAGUUGUAAUUCAAAUUGGAGAAAGCUCUGGUUGAAGGAAUUAAUUCAACUUGAUUCGACUACUGAUCAUUGAUUCAAAUAUAGAUUAUUAUUACUUAUGAAUAGACCAGUUAUAGCUACCGAGAUCCUCUAAUAGCCAAUCUCUCCUUAACUAGUCGAUAACUAAGGUACGACCGUUGGCUAUUUCCCUAAUCAAUAGACAACCCUAGAUACGAUCAUAUGAUUUAAUCAAUUGACAGCCUGAAAGACCAGAGAGACCCAAAUCCUAAUCAACACAUAUGAUGAUUCAUUUAAAUUAGAUUGUUUAUUCUCAUAACACAACUCACUGCUAUGUUAUUUGUCACAAACAUUAAAAUCUUCAUACGAUGAAUCCUUUAAUUAACAAUAGAUUAAGUUGAUAAUUAAAUAGUGGCCAAUUACCUAAUUAACAAACAUAAUCAUGAAACUAAUUCAGAGAAUAAACAAAUACCCAAAGAGUAAUAAAACAAUUAAAGCAUAAGAAAGAUCUCACAGUAGUGAUGAAUCAAAGCUUCAUUAUCCUUCAACCAAAAAAAUAAGUUUAGUUCUUCAUAGAGAGAAGAUAAAAAUUAGAUGUAGGGUUUCUUUCUUUUACUCCAAUUCCAAAAUUCUCUUUUUCACAAUAGAUUCCUCCUUAAAUACCCUCUCUCUCUCUCUCUUCUCUUUUAGAGUUCUAUUUAAAAUAAAAUAAUAAUAUUUGAAAUAUUAAAUUCUUAAUUACAAAAAUAACAAAAAAUACAAAACACGUUAAACUCAAAACUGCAGGUUCGCAGUUGACAGCACGCGCCCACGCCUUAUCAACAAAGUUCUUCUGCCGCUCAUAAUUUCUCCAAGAGAACAAUCAUCCUUAAACAUCAUCUUGUAACUCAAUUUUAUCACUAAUCAAUAGAAUUGCACCUACAAAAGUAAAACACAAGUAAAUCACUAUUAUUAAGUGCAAAACAUCGAUAUUAAGAGAAGUAAACAAUGCAAAACUAGUGCAUAAAUUGCACUCUAACAAAUUCCCCCACACCAAGAUGAUGCUUGUCCUCAAGCAUAUAACUCAAGAUAAAUCUCAAAUCUCCACUCAAUUCUCAUCUCAACUUAUCCAAAAACAAUUUUAAGCAAGCAUACCUUAAGAAAUUAAGUCGAUCAACAUUCGAGAGACAAGGAUUUUAAAGCAUAGAAUUUCAUAAGAUAGAAUAAGAACAUUCAACCACUAAGAAGAUCCAUUCAAAAUUCAAGUGCAACAAGAUUUAAUAGCCCUCUCAAUAACUUCACUCCAUGCACUCAAAGUGUUUAGGGUGUCAUUUAUUCACUCAAAUCAAAUCAAAGAAUGCUAUUACCAUAAGCUUGCUCAUAUAUCACAUUUCAAUCCACAAAACAUGAAUAAAAUGCAAAAAUCUAAGGGUCUUAAAAGGGUUGUAAUGGGGUUAAAUAGGUUAAAUGAAAAAGAAAGGUUUACGAAAGAAAAAGAGAUCAAAAUGAGAAGAAUGAACUCAUUGAAUGAACUUAUGAUAUCAAAAUGCUUAUUUCUACUCAAGUCACCAAGAAUGUAAACUUUUUUUUUUCGAUUUUUCUUUUUUUCUUUUUUUUUUCCCUUUUUUUUUCUUUUUCCUUCUUUUUUGUUUUUUGUUUUUUUUUUAAUCAAACAAAAGAAACGAACCUUGCACAAUUUAAUUCAAGCAUAAUGCUUGUUGAUCUAAUUGAGAAACUUUAAUACAAGGUAGAAAAAGCAACAAAAUAUAUCCACACAAUGAGUCCAAAAAUCUCCUUAAAUUGAGGCUCAAAAAAAAGAAAAAUGGUUAAGUAGACGAAGAGAAUUAGAUGGGUAAUGGUUAAGGUUCAAACAAAGGUAGCAAAUAAAGGUCUUCGGGUAGAGAAAAAGGAAAAUGCGAGAAUAGAAAAAUGGUAAAUGGUUUGCCCUUAUCAUUUUAAUGCAUAAAAUCCCGAAAUGUGGCUUCAACAUGCAUAACAAAGCAAGUUCUAGAAUAAACAAACUAGGAUUGAUAUUCACAUAACAAAAAUAAUUAGAGCAAAGUGGUUGAUCAUAGGCUCAAAUCCUCACAAAGUUGGUAAAUUUGCCAUCAAAUCAUGUACACUCUUCAAAUGAAUCAAUCAUCAAUAGUGGUGUAGAAUGAGAAGAAGGUAUGAGUGAGAAAUAAAAGGAAAAGUAAAAAGGAUAAUAAGCGAGAAAGAUGUAUGUAGUAAAAAAAAAUGAAAGAUAAAAUGUGAGUGAUGAAAGAGUAUGAUAGAGAAAAAAAAAUAGAUGUAAAUAAUUUGAGAUAGAUGGGAAAAAAGUAGUGAGAGAGAAAGGAAAAGAAAAUUAAUAAUAUAUGAAGCAUGCUAACUCCAAAAUCAUUUAAGGAUGAGUAGAGUGAAAAUAGAUGAGCAGAGUGAAAAUAAUAAUUCCAGACAUCAAUAAUAGUGAAAAUAGAUGAGCAGAGUGAAAAUAAUAAUUCCAGACAUCAAUAAUGCAAAAAUCCCUCCCCCACACCAAGAACUUACAUUGUCCCCAAUGUAAGAUAAUCAAAGCUCACAUAAAAAUUAAAGCGUAAGGAUAAAAGAUUGAAGGCAAAAAAAAAAAAAAAAAAAAAAACUUCCCUGAAUUGUGAGCUUUGAUCCACAUAACGUCUAUGAGCUUGGCGGAAAUGGUGGGGUAAAUCCCACACUCUCGAAGUAUACGGCCAAAUUCUGCUCCAUCUUGUUCAGCUUGUGCUCCAUUUUCUCUAACUGAAUGCUCAAAGGUGGUGCGGAUGUAGAAGGAAUAGUUGGCGGGGCAGCAGUGCCGUCGUCAAACUCGUCAUCAGAGGUAGCACCACUCCUAGCAUAAAGCUUCUUCGGAGGUUGAGUGGGUCCUGGUUCAGUAAACUGAAAUCUCCCCUCCUUGAAUUCGACCACACCUGUUCUUUCAAACACAGACAUAUCCAAAAAUUCCUUUUUGCAAGCAGGAUGCAAAUCAUUAUUGUCGAGAUCAAGCACACAUAGGUUUAUACCUAACAGAGUAAUGUAUGGACCAAGCAAUAAAGUCCUAUACCGUUUAAGCACACUUUGAAAUUGAUCCGCUAACCAAAAACCUAAAUUAGGCCUCACAUCAUUUAACAUGCACCAGAUAAAAUAAAAUUCAGUUUUAGAGAAAAUUCCUGAAUGAUCUUUCUUGCCUAAAAAAUUAAAUAUUAAGAAUCGAUGCACACAUUUCAAAACAGGAUCACGUAAGAAAGAACUCUUUGAUUUACUCGGGUCAUAGGCAUUGUGAUCAACAGAUAAAUUACGCCAAAGACCAUAAGUCUCAAAAUUUUCGCUAAAGUCACAAGUUGUUCCUAAAUAUUCAUCACUAGUAGAAUAAUCAUCAUCAAUGAAUCCUAAAGUUAGGUUAAAAUCCGUGAUAGAGUGUGAAAAAUUUCGUCCCGUUAACCUAAACUUAAUGACAUCCGGGGUAUGCAAAGUAAAAUCAUUCGGCAUAGUAAAUUGAAAAGUAGCAUAAAACUCCCUAAUCAACUCAACAUAACCCAAGCAAUCAACAUCAACAAACUUACGCAACCCAAUCUUAUCUAUCAAAGAAUCAAAAUUAUUCUUAACAUUCAAUUUUUCAAGAGUCGGGUAAUGAAUAUACUUAGCUGGAAGUAUUUUACGCGUGGAAAUAUCUUUGUACCUCUCUUUCUCUUGUUGAGUCGCGAAUGCGAGGCACCCUCCGAGAUUGGAUUCCGCAAGUGGCAAAACACUCAUGCCUUUUCCAUGCUUUGAUCUUUGUCUCACGGCUUGGCGUGAAUCUGAAAUUAUGUUCCAUGGAACCGUAGUGGGAGCGGCAAUCUUAGAUUUCUUUGCGACGGGUGUCUUUUUCGAUGACUUGGAAGUAGAUGCUUUCCUCUUCGGCAUUGUUACAAUAAUUGCACUCACGGAUUUCGAUUUACCCGGCUGGAAUACAGGGUGUAGGCUGGUUGCGUUGCGUUGUUGCUCGGCUGGAGCUUGCUGAGCGGCUUGGGGCUGGUUGCGAACUGCUGGUUGCGUGCGGUUGCUGUUUGCAUGGAUGUGUUGCGCGCGAGAGCUGGUUCGCGUUGCUGGUUCGUUGCACUACGGGACUAUUGCGCGCGAGAGCUGCUUCGCGUUUUUGCGGCUGCUUCGUGGGCUGUUGGUGCUGCGAGACACGAAAUGGUGGUGCUGCGCGGGCGGGGUGGUGCUCGAUACUGGUGCUGCGCGCUCGGGGUGGUGUGUUUUCCGGCGGGCUAGUGUGCUGCUGGUGUGCUGCAAGCGGCUGGAGAAGAAAACAAGUUCUGGAAAAUUAGAGAUUUUGUGAACAGUAAAUUUUUUUUUUGAACAGUGAUUUUUUUGAAUUUUUUUAAUAAAUAAAUAUAUAAAUAUAUAAAAGAAAGAACAAAAGAAAAUCUCUUUUUUUUUUAAUAAAUAAAUAGAAAAAAAAUAAUUUUUUUUUUGUAGUGAUGAAUCACUUUGAGACACCAAAAAUUUUAGAAGUACUUUUUUAAUAAGCACGUGGGCACGCCUUAAAACUAUUUUACUUUAAAAAUUACAAAAGUACUUUUUUAAUAAGCACGUGGGCACGCCUUAUCAAAAAUUUUCUUCUGACCAAAAUAAGCAAACACAUUAAAUUUUUUUUUUUGAAUCAAAACUAAAAGAAGAUAAAACAAAAACCAAAAUAAACAAAUCAUUUGGGUUGCCUCCCAAAAAGCGCCUUUGUUUUAUGUCUUUGGCUAGACACAUUUAUGUAUCAAUCUCCAUAAUUGGGACUCUCGAGAGCCACAUCCUCCACAAUAUUCACCGAAAAACCUUCAUAAAAAGAUUUUAAGCGAUGGCCAUUAACCUUAAAACCUUUGUCAGAGGUCGGACUCCGAAUCUCAACUGCACCAUGAGGAAAAACAUUAGUAACAAUAAAAGGUCCAACCCAGCAAGAACGUAAUUUACCUGGAAAAAGUUUAAGCUUAGAAUGAAAAAGAAGAACUUUUUGACCAACAGAGAACUCCUUUCUCAAAAUCAUUCUAUCAUGAAAUGUCUUCGUCUUUUCCUUGUAAAAAACUUCCUGCGCUAUAGGGUUAAUAACAUCCACAGAAAAUACCGAAUGUUCCUCACUAGGAUAUUUCAUGGCAUCAUUCAUAUUGAAUUCUAUAACCUCUCCAUCAAACUCCAUAGUGAGAGUCCCUUUAUGUACAUCCAUUUUAGUCCUAGCAGUCUUAAGAAAAGGUCUUCCUAGCAAAAUUGGGACAGAAUUAGAGGAGUUAUCCUCUUCCAUAUCAAGUACAUAAAAAUCAGCAGGAAAAACUAACUCAUUAACUUGUACUAAGACAUCUUCUAAUACCCCAUCAGGAUAUGCAUUAGACCUAUCAGCUAGUUGAAUUAUCAUGCCAGUUUCUUUUAAUGGGCCAACAUUCAAAGAUGAAUAAAUGGAACGAGGCAUGACAUUAAUAGAAGCUCCUAGAUCUAGCAUAGCCUUUUCAGCUCUGACAUUACCAAUUUUGCAAGGGAUAGUAAACAUACCUGGAUCCUUGCACUUAGGAGGUAGUUUCUUUUGAAGAACUGCUGAAACAUUCUCCCCCAUGUGAACUUUUUCAUCUCCUCUUAAUUUUCUCUUAGAGGUGCACAGUUCCUUAAGGACUUUAGCAUACUGAGGUAUUUGUUUUAUAGCAUCUAAUAAAGGAAUAUUUACCUCAACCUUGCGAAAUGUCUCAAGGAUGUCUUUCUCUUGUUCCUCCUUCUUGGAUUUUGCAAACCGGCUUGGAAAAGGAGGAGGUAGCACAAUAGGUAGGGGUUUCGCUCUGGUGGGUUCCGCAUCUUGAGAUUUAGGCAUCAAUUCAUUCUUCUCAAGCUCAUCUUCUACAUGCUUUGUCACUUUCUUACUAGGCUCUUGCAACUCCUUCCCACUUCUAAGGAUGACAGCACUAACGUUUUGCUUUGGAUUCACCUCAGAUUGUGAAGGCAAUCUCCCUAAUGAUUGAGACUCCAGAUGGCUCACUAUAGUCGCCAAUUGACUCAUUUGAUCCUCCAAAUUCUGAAUACUUGCUGUAGUUGCCUGCUGAAAUUGUUGAGUGUUAGUCGCAAGUGAUUUAACAAUUUCUUCAAGAGAUAUACUUGACUUGGAGUUUGACUGUGGAGGUUCUGGUUGUCUUGGGGGAUACUGUUGUGGGAAUCCUGACGGGCUAACUCCAUAGCUGAAGUUGGGGUAAUCCUUCCAUCCCGGAUUGUAUGUUUGUGCAUAAGGAUCAUACCUCCUCUGAGGCAUGCCUGGAAAUCCUCCAACUGCAUUGGCUUGUUCAACGAGUUCUUCUUGAAGUGUAGGACACAUAUCAGUUGAAUGACCCAUAUUGUAACAAAUGCCACAAGUCUUCACCUCAUUCACCUUCCUUGGAGUGGGAUCUUGCCUGCUGCCAAAUUGUUAUGCAUUGGCAGCCAUAUUAGAGAUCAACUCCCUUGCUUGAGUAGGGGUCUUGUUCACCAACACACCUCCACUAGCAGCAUCUAUCAUACUCCUCAUAUCCAUCAAUGACAGUCCUUCGUAAAAAUAUUGAAUAAGAAGUUGAUCAGAAAUCUGAUGCUGAGGACAGCUGGCACACAAUUGUUUGAAUCGCUCUCAAUACUCAUACAAAGUCUCCCCAAGAAGUUGUCUGAUCCCACAAAUGUCUUUUCUGAUGUUAGCAGCUCUUGAAGCAGGAAAGUACUUCUCGAGGAACUGCUUCUUCAAACCAUUCCACGUUGUAAUUGAUCCAGGAGGCAAGUAGUACAACCAGUCUUUAGCUAGUCCAUCUAAAGAGAAAGGAAAAGCACGCAGCUUAAUCUGCUCUUCAGUCACGCCUUGUGGUCUCAUACUUGAACACACAGCAUGAAACUCCUUAAGAUGUUUAUGAGGAUCUUCACCUGCAAAACCAUGAAACUUGGGUAACAAAUAAAUGAGACCAGACUUUAAUUCAAAAUUUGCCUCUAAGUCUAUAAUUCAAAAUUUGCCUCUAAGUCUACAUAUUGAAUGCAGAGUGGUUGUUGAUUCAAGUCUGGUUCAGCUAACUCUCUAAGAGUGCUUUCUGUAGGUGCAGCUCUAUCCAUCACUUGUUCUUCCGAAUCGCUAGAUGAUUCAACUAAAUCAGGCACCGUAUCUGUUUCAGAAAGCAAAGGUGACGAGGAUCGUUGCUUAGCUCGCUUCGUCUGCUGUCUCAGCUGGCGAGCCGUCUUCUCAAUUUCAGGAUCAAACGAAAGUGUACCUGUAUGAGAAAAACGAACCAUACACCAAGUAAAACGUAAAAAGGAUUAAAUAAAUGACACCAAUCCCCGGCAACGACGCCAAAAUUUGAUGGUUGUCAAAGCCAACAAAAAUAAAUGCCUACUCUAAAUAAAUUAUGUAUAGUGAUUGAGCAGGGUCGUGUCCACAGAGAUCGGUAAUUAUUUAAAUCAUUUUAAAACGUAAAACAUAAAAUGGGGAUUUUGUUGACAAUAAUAAAAAUCAAAUUAAAAUAACAAGAAUGCAAAUUAAAGUUGCAAUUCAAAUUGGAGAAAGCUCUGGUUGAAGGAAUUAAUUCAGCUUGAUUCGAUUACUGAUCAUUGAUUCAAAUAUAGAUUAUUAUUACUUAUGAAUAGACCAGUUAUAGCUACUGAGACCCUCUAAUAGCCAAUCUCUCCUUAACUAGUCGAUAACCAAGGUACGACCGUUGGCUAUUUCCCUAAUCAAUAGACAACCCUAGAUACGAUCAUAGGAUUUAAUCAAUUGACAGUCUGAAAGACCAGAGAGGCCCAAAUCCUAAUCAACACAUAUGAUGAUUCAUUUAAAUUAGAUUGUUUAUUCUCAUAACACAACUCACUGCUAUGUUAUUUGUCACAAACAUUAAAAUCUUCAUACGAUGAAUCCUUUAAUUAACAAUAGAUUAAGUUGAUAAUUAAAUAGUGGCCAAUUACCUAAUUAACAAACAUAAUCAUGAAACUAAUUCAGAGAAUAAACAAAUACCCAAAGAGUAAUAAAACAAUUAAAGCAUAAGAAAGAUCUCACAGUAGUGAUGAAUCAAAGCUUCAUUAUCCUUCAACCAGAAAAAUAAGUUUAGUUCUUCAUAGAGAGAAGAUAAAAAUUAGAUAUAGGGUUUCUUUCUUUUACUCCAAUUCCAAAAUUCUAUUUUUUACAAUAGAUUCCUCCUUAAGUACCCUCUCUCUCUUCUCUUUUAGAGUUCUAUUUAAAAUAAAAUACUAAUAUCUGAAAUAUUAAAUUCGUAAUUACAAAAAUAAUCAAAAAUACAAAACACGUUAAACUCAAAACUGCAGGUUCGCAGUUGACAGCACGCGCCCACGCCUUAUCAACAAAGUUCUUCUGCCGCUCAUAAUUUCUCCAAGAGAACAAUCAUCCUUAAACAUCAUCUUGUAACUCAAUUUUAUCACUAAUCAAUAGAAUUGCACCUACAAAAGUAAAACACAAGUAAAUCACUAUUAUUAAGUGCAAAACAUCGAUAUUAAGAAAAGUAAACAAUGCAAAACUAGUGCAUAAAUUGCACUCUCACAGUUUUGAGUUGGAAGAAUUGAAGAUUAAUUAUACAGAGAUAGUACGAAAAAGGCGGGAACCUUUUGUUUUCCGCAGCCUUCACUGUGUUACCAUAGAUUCGUGCCUUAAAUUGAAAGAUUUGACAUUCCUCGUUUUUGCUCCAAACCUCAAGUCUCUUUCUUGCCGUGCUAUGGAAGAAAUAAUCUGCGUUGGAAAAUUUGCUGAGGUUCCUGAGAUGAUGGGACAUAUAAGCCGUUUUGAAAAUCUCCGAAGUCUUCGUUUGUCACAUUUGCCAAAUUUGAAGAGCAUCUACUGGAAGCCAUUGCCUUUCACUCAUCUCAAAGAAAUGACGGUACAUGGGUGUAAUCAGCUUAAAAAGCUUCCACUCGAUUCCAACAGUGCAAAAGAGCGUAAAUUUGUUAUUCGUGGACAAGCAGACUGGUGGAACCGACUUCAAUGGGAGGAUGAAGCCACUCAAAUUGCUUUUAGUUCCUGUUUCCAACCUUAACUUGAUUUCUGGUUAGUGCCGUUUCCUUAACUUUUACAUAUAUUCUCGUCGUUUGCUUCGUUCAAAAUACUAGGUCUUUUGUUCUCUGUUUUUAUUUCGCCAAUUUUUUUUUUUUGUCUUCUGCAAAUGACGGACAAAUGUUGAACUAAAAGGAAUUAAUGCUUUAUAACUUUGCCGGCAUUGCUUUCUUCUUUUUCUUUUUUGUUUUUUUGGGGCGAGGGGGGAUCGAAUUGAUGCUCUGGUUUUUGACUUUUUGUUGUCAAAUUUUACUCUGUUUUUUUCAAAUUGAUGCUUGAAUAUUUGAAUCAAAUUAAUGCUCACGUAAAUUUGUUCAGUUGCCGUAAAAGGAUAUAAGAAAUACACAACUCUAGAAUGAAUAGAAUUAAACAGAGAAAAUAUUGAGUAUAUUAGCCGUCUUCACAUAAAAUCAUAUGAAAAAUAAAUUUUGAAGUUUUGAUUUUCUAUGGUUAAUCAUACCCUUUAUAAUUUCUUCUGUUCUAACUACAAUAAAAUUUUUAGUUCAAGGAUUUUUAUUAGGGGUAUUAAUAAUAGUCCACCAAAAGAGUGAACAGUUGGAUGCUGCCCUAAGGGUCUCCAAUCAAUAGCUGGAAGCAAUUGAGAAGGCGGUCGUUACUGUGUACAAAGCCAUGCAGUAUUUGCUAUUCAUCUUAGUAAUUAUGAAGCUUUGGUAAAAUUUUCAAACAAAGUUGACAUGUUAUUUUGAGAUUUGGUUCAUGAUUUUGUAUGAAUAUCGUUGUUCCAUUGAGUUGUAUAUGAAUUCAAAUGUAAAAUAUUCUUUGGUUUUCAAUUUUGAAUUCAAUUUCAUUUUCUUAAGCAUGUUGUGCAGAAAUGAUUUCUACUAAAUCAUUUUUGAUAAACUAUUUAAAUUAAACAACUGGGAUAAGAACUGUAAGGAUUUAUCGUAAGCAGACUAAUAUGAUAAUUCUGAAACUAUCAUUUUUUUUUUCAAUUUGUUGCAGGGAAAGCCAAAUUUUGUGUUUUUCAGUUUUAUCUGAUAUGGAAUUUAUUUCCUCUACACUAGCUACCUAAAGAUUUAUCAAAUUGCUUCUCUUCCCUGCUUCAAAUUAAUAUCUUUAUGCAACUACAAUCUCAUAGGAAAAGACAGUUUGGGUUGUAUUUAUUAUAGUUGUUUUUUUCGUUAAGAGCAAUUUAUUUUAAAAUCGUUUAGUAGUAACAGUUUUUAUUGAAUAAUAAUGGGGAAGGAUUAUUAUAAGUUCAAAUAGUUGUUAGAACAUUAUAAAAAAUUCAUUUACUAUCAAAUGUUUUAAAUUGGUGCAACAUGAUAAUUGUCCCACAUAAUUUUUAGUAAUAUAUAUGGCCCAUAAAUUUAAUAUGAAUAAAUGAGUUUCGAUAGUUAAAUUUGACACGAUUAUUAAAUAAGUUAUAUCCAUGUCAAUUCGACUUAAAAUCUGGUCAAAUUUAGAUUUAGAGUUUAUAACAUGAUAACUUGUUUUAUGACAUGAUUUACUAAUCAAUUAAUAUUAAAUUAUAUUUUAGCCAAUCAGAUAUGUGGUACAUUUGUCAAAUUUUAAAAAUUAUUUAUUUAUAUAUGAAAUAAAUUUGACUAGACUGUGUGUAGGUAAUAGUGCAUAAUUUCUAAAAAAAUGUAAUAAUAACACGUUAAAAUGUUAUUUUUAUGAAGAAAAAUUGAAAUUUUAUUAAAUAGGCGACACAAUAAUAAAUGGGGUGAGAUUAUUUACACUUUAAGAAUUACUUUGAACAUUAUUUUAUUUUAUAAAUUUUAUAUUACAAAAACACCCAUAGUUUAAUUUACCAUUAAGAACAAUUUUGUGCGAUUAAAUAAAAUACAUUACUCUUUACCCUUUCACUACAUCGACAUAAAUCCUAAUUUUUAUGUUUCUAAUUUCUUUGAUAUGCUUAUUGAAGUCCACAUUAUAAUCAAUUUUAAACUAUUAUACCACUUAAAUACAUUUUAGAAUGAGAAGUUUGGUUUUCUUCAUGGUCUGCCUUGCUGAUGCUGUUCUUGAAACUAUCGAACUUAAUAAUUUUAUGGCCAAAAUGAUAUAUGUUGAACCAGCUUUUACAUCGAAUUCUACCACCAUAAAAAAUCAUACUUGUAAUAUCUCAAGGUUCCAAUUUAUCAAAAGUUAAUAUUUCAUAUUUGUUAGUUCCUAACAGUCACAAGAGCGUACAAGCCAAUUUUUGUAGCUCCUUUUUCUGCAGUAGAUUCAAGUAUAUUAUUAUCAAGCAUUUUUGUUACACCCUUAAUUCCUUAUCAUCAUCCCUUCAUUCAGAGCAACUAAACAGAGGUCAAUGUCAUUAUGUUAGAGUUACGAGGAAGAGUACUGCCAAAAAAGUUCUUUGUAUGGGAUUUAAUUUUCUGGGUUUGUAGUGAUGAACAAAUUGAGGGUUGUUUUGGUAUUUUCAAGAGUGUAUUGAGUGAAAAUUAUUUUUAAAAAAUUUAACAAAUGAGUGUAAUGAGUAAAAAAGUGUUUAAAGUAUUUUUUAGAGUACAAAUAGCUCCAUCUUAAUAAAUGAGUUCUUGUAAAAAUUGAGAUUAUUGAUAUAAUUAUUAAAUAGGUUGGAUUGAAAUUAGUUUAAUUUUGACAAGAUAAUAAGACGACGCGACACAAAUACAACCAACCAGUCAACCCCAAUUGCAACCUUUUACUAAUAAAAGAUACCUGUUUGAAAAGUAAUUAUAAGCUAUCUUCUUUGUGUUAUUUCUCUAAAAAUUUGCGGCACAAAUGUUAUUUCCAUGGAGAAAAGUACGAAAUACCCGCUUUCACUUCAGCAGAAGCAAAGCAAAGCUAUGAGCCAUCUCUGUAUAAUUGAAACGCCAUUGCUAAACGGUUCUUGAUGAUGGGUGCCACCGUGCCAGCGUUGUCGCUGAUUUGCAUGAUUUAUUAGUUGUUCAGAUGGCGGAUUUUGUACUCUCACUUUCAUUUCAUUCUUGAGAGCCACGUACAAUACUAGGUGGCAUUGAAGUUGCCCCAGUGGUUAGUUUUCUGAUUUUUUUUAAUUCAAAUUUUUAUGUUUUAGAAAAAUGUAAGAAAAAUGUAGAAAUGUUGACAGCUACAAUUUUGAAACUUUGCCUAAAAUUAUUAUCGUUACUUAUUGUUUCUUAGCUAAAGAGAAAUCCUAGAAACAUGAAAUUAUUAUUCUAUGCUUGUUUUAAUAUUAUACAUUAGCAGGUUAAUUAAAAAUUAGACGUGAAUACAACAAGAGAUAAGUGGAGAGAAUUUGGUAGUCGACUGCAUUUAGAAUUUAAUUUUUCUUUUAGCUGCCGAUCAUUAAAUUUUAUAUUUCAGAAAAUUAUACCUAGAAUAUUUCAAGGAUAUACUACGAAGAUUAUGAAGGUUUGAUUACAUGUCACUAUCAAUUGCCUCAAUCAUUUGUAGUAAAUUAAUUAAUCAUUUUGCUGCAAAUGAUUUCCUAUUAAAAAAUUCAAGUCAGAGCUGAAUUGCACAGUAGUUAGUCGUACUUGCAAUUCAAAUUAAGUAUUGUAUUUUCUGCCUGAUUUGGUUGAUUCAACUAUGUGCAUUUGCAUAAUGGAGAUGCUUAUGAACGUUGUAGUAUAGAAAUCGAAACGUCUUGUCUUUUGCUAAGCCCAGAAGCAAAGUUCUUUGUAUUAUACUCAUCAGUUUUCUUCGUUCUCUUCGUUGAAAUUUUAUCCAAACAGCGGUUUCUUCGAAUUUUUGCCUUCUCUUACAUUUUUAAAUCUAUCAAAGAACGGUUACCUGAGAAGAUUGCCAUCAGGUAUUUCGAAAUUGAUUUCAAUACAAUACCUUAAUCUAUCAGAUGCUCCCGUCACUCAGUUGCCAAAAGUGACAAAAGCCUUAGUAAAUUUUUAGAGUAAAAGCUCAUUUUAGUCAUUGUAUUUUAAAAUUAAUAUCUAUUUAGUCCUUAUAUUUUGAAAAAUACCUUGAAACAUCCAUGCCGUUAAAGUAUUGAUACCCUUACCGUUACUUUUUAUUUAUUUUGGCUUAUUUUUACAAUAUUACCCUUUAAUAAUAUUUUUUUGUUUGGACAUUAAUAAAAAUAAAAUAAUUAAAUUACCAAUUUAAUCCUAAAAAAUAAAAAUAAAAAUUUAUAUUAAUUUUUAAUUGUCAAAAAUUGUAUGCAAACUACCAAGUGUGCAAACGGUGCUUGCAAAAAAAUUAAUAUAAUUUUUUUUUAAUUUUUAGGGUUAAAUUAGUAAUUUAAUUAUUUUCUUUUUAUUAAUGUCCAAAAAAUUAGUAAUUUAAUUAUUUUCUUUUUAUUAAUGUCCAAAAAUUAUUAUAAAAGGGUAAUAUUGUAAAAGUAAGCUAAAAGAAAUGAAAAGUAACGGUAGGGGUAUCAAUACUUUAACGGUAGGGAUGUUUCAAAGAGUAAAUGGACACUAAUAUUAAAAUACAAGGACUAAAUAUGUUUUUACCCUAAAUCUUUAAGUGUUUGAAUUGGAGUACAUAAAUUAUCUCUCUACAAUUCAAAAACAACAGAUUUGUUACUUUUCAACGCUACAGGUUCCGCGAAUAUUCAGUUGUGGUUAUCUUGUUGAAACACCAGAAAAUAGCGUUCUAUUUGGUGGUAAUGAAUUCUUGGUUGGGGAGUUACUUAGUUUAAAACAUUUAAAUGUAUUAAGCAUCGCCUUAAAAGGUUUUUCUACCGUCCAAAAACUUAUGAGCUCCCAAAAGUUUCAAAGUUGUACAAAAUGUUUGGAGCUUAUAGACAGUGAUGAUUCAAAGUCGUUUGCCUUGGCAGAGUUGAAGCAUCUUGAAAAACUAGGUAUUUCAAAUUGUGGAAAUUUGGAAGAGUUUAAGUUCUGCUGUGUCGAAGUUGGAAAAGCUCGAGAAGAUUUUUGUUUGAACAGCCUUCACCAAGUUAAGAUAAAGGCUUGUCAUAAAUUGAGGGAAGUGACAUGGCUUGUGUUUGUACCAAAUCUCAAGGUUAUUCAGAUAGAAAAAUGUAUGGAGAUGGAAGCUGUUGGGAAAGAGACUACCACAAGCAGCUACAAAUUAAGCGAAUAUAAAAUUCUUUCCCUCUUUGUGUGAUUAAAAUAGGAUGUGUACUACAAACAAAUAAGCAGAAAAAUAAACCAAUAAAUCCAAAGCAAAAACCAAUCACAAGAGACACCGAUUUUUACGUGGAAAAUCUAAAUUGGGAAAAAUUACGGGAUAGUAGUCUGAUAUAAACUUCCACUAUAUUAAUGAGAUUACAACACAAAUUCUUCUCCAGAUAACACUAGAGGCUAACAAUAUUAAAAUUCUCAACAAUCUUGGUUUACAAUAAUAGAUCUAAAAUCUAUUUCUUCAAUAAGUGAGUAUCUCAAAUAAUAGCUACUGAGAGAAUAAAAUACAGAUCAACACCAGUAGAAAUAUAGAGGGCAAUGUCAGGAACUUACCCUCCAAAUUUAGGAGUAAUUAGAGCUAAAAUUACCUUUUGAUUGUUGAAUUAAAGAUUGAAAACCCAAAAAAAAAAAUCUCUUUCUCUCGCAGUGUCUUCUCACUUUCGCGAAAUGGCUACAGCUCUCGCGAUUCUUCACUUAUUUCCUUAGUUAAUUUCAUCCAAUUCCAAAAUUUUACAAUAAUUACACAUCAAGCAAAUUAUUUUGGACUUUAAACUUUUUGGUCCACUGAAGUGAGAUGGACCCUACAAAUCUCCCCCUCCAUCUCAUCUUAGGGGCACCACCAAGCCCGCUCUCUGCUUACAGCUUUCCAGCUUGUCCUUGGGUAAUGACUUUGUCUCAAGCUGCAACUGUUUCUACUCAAGCACGUCUUGUAUCCAAUGAUACUUCAUAUCAAUAUGCUUCGAUUUCAAAUGAUAUGUUGAAUUCUUUGCCAAGUGGAUGACACUUUGACUGUCACAGUACACAACAUAACUAUCUUGAUUAACACCUAGUUCUUGUAGAAAAUUCUUCAUCCACAAGGUUUCUUUGUAACUUUCGGUCAUUGCAAUAUACUCUGCUUCUGUAGUAGACAAAGCAACACACUGCUAAAGUCUGGACUGCCAUGAAACUGCUCCCCCUACAAAGGUGAGCAAAUAUCCUGAUAGGGACUUUCUAGAAUCAACAUCUCCUGCCAUAUCUGCAUCCGUAUCUACUUGUAAUAUAGGUUUGUCACCACCAAAACAUAAACAUGCCUUGGAAGUGCCUCUGAGAUAUAUGACAAUCUACUUUACUGUUGACCAGUGUUUUUUACCCGGAUUAGAGGGAAACCAGUUGACUACCAACUGUUGAAGCGUACCUCAAACUACCAACUGUUGAAGCAUAAGGAACUCUUCUUAUCUCUUGCUUCUCUUUCUCACUUGUGGGACAAUGCUCGAAACUAAGCUUGAAAUGACCUGCAAGUGGAAAAUAAACAUAUUUUGCUUUGUCCAUAUUAAAUCUUUUAAGAACCUUUUCAACAUAUGCUUCCUGAGAUAACCAUAAAUUCCCAGUUUUUCUGUCACGAGAAAUCUUCAUGCCAAGAAUUUGUUUCGCCGAUCCCAAGUCCUUCAUUGCAAAAGACUUGCUAAGCUCUCUCUUCAAAUUGUCAAUCUUACUAGUAUCCUUGCCAACAAUCAACAUGUCAUCCACAUAAAGUAAAAGAAUAAUAAAAUCAUUAUCACUAAACUUUUUCACAAACAUACAAUGAUCACACAUUGUCUUGCAAAAGCCAUGAUUCUCCAUAAAAGAAUCAAACUUCUUAUACCACUGUCGUGGUGCCUGUUUCAGCCCAUAUAAAGUUUUUUUCAAUUUGCACACAAGUUCUUCUUUACUUUUGACACUGAACCCUUCAGGUUGUUCUAUGUAUAUUUCCUCCUCUGAGUCAUCGUGUAAGAAAGUAGUCUUUACAUCGAACUGUUCAAUUUCCAAAUCCAAGCUAACUGCUAAUCCCAGAGGUGCUUGCUCCACUGGUUCUGCUGGACCAUUAUUAUUAUCCUCUCCAGCUCCCCUAUGAUCAACAUGAACAACAUGUGGAGAAACCGAAGUUGGAAUAAUAGGAAUCUCUGGAGAUGGUUGAGACUUAUCGUUUUUUUUUCAUCACCAACUAUUUAAUCUUUAAGAAACACAACAUCUCUACUUCUGAUUAGUUUUCUUGCCACUGGAUCCCAUAAUCUGUACCCAAAUUCUUCAUGUCCAUAGCUUAAGAAAAUACAUUUCUUGGCUUUAUCAUCAAGCUUCGAUUUCUCAUCUUUAGGGAUAUGAACAUACACUCUGCACUCAAACACCCUCAAGUGUUUAUAAGAAACAUCUUUCCCAAUCCAAACUCUUUUAGGUACAUCGUCAUCUAAUGGAGCUUAAGGAGAAAGGCUAAUCAAAUCAACUACAGUACGCAUAGCCUUCGCUCAGAAGGAUUUAUGAAGCUUGGCCUCAGAAAACAUACAUCUGACUAUCUUUUCAAUUGUUCUGUUCAUCAUUUCUUCAACACCACUCUGCUGAGGGGUUUUUGGUACAGUUUUCUUAAGUCUGAUUCCAUGAGAUCUGCAAUACUGCUCAAAUGGUCCUCUAUACCCACCAUCAUUUUCUGCCCUGACACAUUUCAAUUUUUUUCUUGUCCCUCUCUCAACAUAAGCAUAAAAGAAUUUAAACAUAUUAAGCACGAAAGAAUUUAAACAUAUCAAGCACUUAAUCUUUAGAUUUUAAAGCAAAAAGUCCAUACUUUUCUAGAACAAUCAUCAAUAAAAGUCACAAAAUAAAGUGCACCUCCUAUUGAUCUAUUUUGCAUCAUGCAAAUAUCAAUGUGAAUCAAAUCAAGGAUUUGUGAUUUCUAGAUGGAGAAAAGCUUUUAAAAGUUACUUUAUGUGUCUUUCUAGCUAAACACUAAACACAAGUCUUGAGGGACAUACCUACAAAGCUGGGUAGAAAUCCUUUUUUGGCAAGAGUUUCUAACCCUUUCUCACCAAUGUGACCAAGCCUUUUAUGCCAUGUCUCAAUGUCAGAAUUGUUUACAGCCACAUUCAUAUAUUCUUUCUUGAUUUUGGCUUCUAUUACGUAGAGGGUGUUCAUUUUCUUUUCUUUAGCCAACACUAGAGAGCCUUUGGUGAGCUUUCAUUUUCCUUCACCAAAUUAGUUAGUAUAACUAUCAUCAUCAAUUUUUCUUGUGGAGAUCAAAUUAAGACGAAUAUCUAGUACAUGCAAGUUUGCCUGUGGAGAUCAAAUUAAGGCGAAUAUCUAGUACAUGUCUGACAUCUUUAAGGAGUAGCUUACAGCCAACACUGGUUUUCAAGCAAAUAUCUCUUAUGCCCACAAUCUUGGAUGCCCCCUCAUUUCCCAUCCGAACAUGGUCAUAAUCACCAUUAACAUAGGAUGUGAAGUAAUCACGAUGUGCAGUAACCACGAUGUGCAGUAACAUGAAACGAAGCACCUGAAUCAAUCACCCAAUUACUGGUAUGGCAAGUGAGAUUUAUAGAGCUAUCAUUCUAAGCAAUGCCCAUAUCACCAUUAAUUACGACUGCAACAUUCUCUUUGUCGUUUUUCUGACCAUCGCCUUUUUCUUUCGCAUGUUCUCUUUUCCACAAUCUACACUACCUUUUUACAUGGCCCAUUUUCUGACAAUGAAAGCACUUAGCUUCUCCUAUGGGACUUAGAUCUUCCUCCAGGGUUAUCAUUAUUCUGAUGACGGAAAUUUCUGCUUUGACUUCUCCCCCGUCUUUCUUGGUUUUCUGAAACAAGUGUAGCUGACUCAGAGGGAACUACUUUAGCAUUCUUUCUUCGAGAUUCUUCAUUCCGCAGUCUAUCUGUAACCAUAUCCAAGUUUAAUUUACCAUUCGAUGCCGAAUUAUUCACUGACACCACUAAUGUCUCCCAACUAUCAGGUAAAGAACUAAGCAACAACAAUGCUUGUAACUCGUCAUCUAGAAUAAUCUUCAUAGUAGUCAACUGAUCAACCAAACCCUGAAACUCACUAGUGUGUUCAGUUAUACUGUGGCCUUUUUUAUAUUUCAAGUUAACAAGCUUUUUCAUCAGAUUGACUUUAUUUUGUGUUGUUGGCUGCUCAUAAAUUAUUUCUAAUUUUCUCCAAAGAACAUCAGCCUUGGAUUCCUUCGCGACAUGAUGGUACACACUCUGAUCAAUCCAUGACCUAAUAGUGCCCACGACUUUCUGGUUCAAUUGAGCCCAUUUCUUAUCAUCUAUAUCAGCAGGUUUAACUUCAUCACCUUCAAUAGGUUCAUGUAAGUCUUUCAUGUAGAGCAAAUAUUCCAUUCUAGACUUCCAAAUAUCAUAAUUCCACGACUCAAUUUAAUCAUGAACACCAAAGACUCCUCUAUUUCAACCACACAAGUAAUAAAACUCUUUCCCUCUUUGUGUGAUUAAAAUAGGAUGUGCACCAUAAACAAAUAAGCAGAAAAAUAAACCAAUAAAUUCAAAGCAAAAAUCAAUCACAAGAGACACUGAUUUUAACGUGGAAAAUUCAAAUCGGGAAAAACCACGGGACAAUAGUCUGAUAUAAACUUCCACUAUAUUAAUGGGAUUACAGUACAAAUUCUUCUCCAGAUAACACUAGAGGCUAACAACAUCAAGAUUUUCAACAAUCUUGGCUUACAAUAAUAGAUCUAAAAUAUAUUUCUUCAAUAAGUGAGUAUCUCCAAUAACAGCUAAUGAGAGAAUAAAAUACAGAUCAACACCAGUAGAAAUGUAGAGGGCGAUGUCAGGAACUUACCCUCCAAAUUUGGGAGAAAUCAAAGCUAAAAUUAUUUUUCGAUCGUUGAAUCAAAGAUUGAAAACCCAAAGAAAAAUAAUAUCUCUUUCUCUCGCAACGUCUUCUCACUUUCGCGAAAUGGGUACAGCUCUCGCGAUUAUUCACUUAUUUCCUUUAUAUAUUUUUUUGGUUAAUUUCAUCCAAGUCCAAAAUUUUGCAAUAAUUACACAUCAAGCAAAUUAUUUUGGACUUUGGGCUUUUGGUCUACCGAAGUGAGAUGUACCCUACAGAAGCAAUAAUCAGUGCAAGAAAAUUGGGUGAAGUUCAAGAGAUGAUGGCAGAUCUAAACCCUUUUGUAAAACUCCAAUAUAUUGGCCUCUGAAUUCUACCAAAAUUAAAAAAGCGUCUAUUGGAAUGUGUUGCCCUCUCCACAUGUCAGGAAAAUUUUUGUAUCUGAAUGCCCAAUUCUCAUUAGGGGAGAGGAACACUGGUGGAAUGAGCUGCAAUGGGAGGAUGAAGCAACCUAUAAUGCUUUUCUUCCUUGUUUUGGAUCCAUUUGACGGGCAUCAACAUGGAUUAAUAUUUUGCAGCGGACCAAUUUGAAUAAAACUUACGGUAAGUGCUUUUCCAUUUAUUGCAUAUUUAUAUCUAAUUUUUGUUUUCCUUUAUGGUUAAAUUUUGCCCUGUAUAUGUUGUUGUACGGUGACAUUCUUGAAUCAAUUAUUAACUUUUUUAAUUCUCGUCUCACAACCACCCUUCUGAUCAUGAGGAUAUGCCGAUAUCAAAGAGUCGUAAUUUGGGAUACAAAUGUAAGAAUUAGGCAGAUGACAUGUUGUUUCAAAGCUUUCGAAGAAGGACUAAAUAUGUAUUGAAAGCCUCCAAUUUUGCGACUGAUUUUUUUUUAAUUUGUUAUUUUUAUGGGUGGCAAAAAUACCCGUCCGAUCUGGACCCGGCCGAUUUGGGCCGGGUACGGGGUAUGAAGCCGGGUUGGUCUUGAGCAUCACUUGAAACUUGGAACUUGGAUUUUAUUAAAAAAUAUUAUAAAUAUAUAUUAUUUUAAAUAUUUAUAUUUAUUAGACUCAUCUAUUACAUAUAUGUAAAAUUUUAAACAUUUAAAGUUUAUAUUUUCAUGUCUAAUUUCAUUGAAAUAAAUUUAAAAAUUAUAAAAUUACCAAUAUAUAUAUAUAUAUAAUAUUAAAAAAGUAUAAAAUCUGAGUACUCAGAUUAAAACCCGGUUCAAGUGUCUAAAAAAUACAUGUGGACCGAGUCCGAACAUUGCGAUACCCAGACCCAAACUUGGGUUUUGCCAACCCUAGUCUUUUAAAUUGCUUGAUUGUUAGUUGUCGUAAUGUAAUGUUUUAGUAUAGAAAAAUGAUAGCCAAGACAACAAUAAGAGGGCACAUUGUGCAUGCACAAUAGUGGAUAAUUUCGGCAUUCCGAAUCCAAUUAGGGUGGAUAACCUUUUAUUAGUAUUAACCUUCUCUCGUACUCGAGUAAUGUAAAAUAUGCUUAGAAGCUGUGGAUCCCCCUUUAUAAGUGUUAGGCUUCUGCCAAACUCGAUUGAUGUGGGAUGCCUUUAUAGGCAUCAAGUUUUCUCCCAUACACUUUACGUUAAAAAUAAUAAUGAUAAAAUAAAUCCAUUUUAAAAUAGACUCAUUUUUCUUUUCUAUAUAAACAAACUCAUUCUUCAAAUCAGUUGUGGGUAGAAGGAGCUGAGUAGAGAAGAACUGGGCCCCUUUCGUUCCCCUAAAAACCUCACCAAACCUCUCUUGUAAGCUUCUCAGUGUCCCUCUCAAUAUUUCUUAUGAUCUCAUUUUUGAUUGAAUCACUUCUUUUGCGUGCUGCAUUUUUGUGUGUCGUAUUUAGGUUUAUCUUAUCUGGAAUCCUAUUGUGAUUGAUGGAACAAGUAAUCAAUUUUUAGUUUAUUUGGAAUGGAACUAUGGUUUAUUUGGAAUGGAACUAUCUGGGUGUAACGGAUUAAAUUAUGACAUUGGGGAGAAGGCACUAAGGGGUUUGCUUGACACAUUUGGUUUUGUGUUUACUCUGAAAGAAAUAGCUUUUGCUUAUCGCAAUGCAGUGCGAAAUCCCGAUUUGGGUGGUGAAUUUCUCUAUCCCAAUUAGGCUGGUGAAUUUCUCUGUGACAAAUAGGCAAACACCUCAACCUCUUCUAUCCAUCUUCUACUAGUGAGGCAAGGGAUAAAAAGUCUUCAAAAUCAUCAAAUAGUAACAUCUUCGAGAAUUCAUUUUAUGCAAAUGGAAAAUCUAGACCUUCUAAGACAAAAUGGCGUCCAGUAUCAGGAGGUACCGUUUCAAGUUUUCUUGGUAAAAAUUAUGUAAACCUGCACAGCCAGCUAACGGCACUUUUCUAGUUUUCUGGCAUCAAAACCAUUGAAGUCGUAUCCAAAGGAGUUUCCCAUGUCUGCACUUUGUGGAGAAGAAACUAAACAAAAACAAUCAAAGGAUGACCAUUUGCAGAAGGAUGCGGAAGAUUUUCUGUUUAAAUUGCUAGGAGAAGUGUUCCAGCUGAAUAGGGAUGUGAUUCGGGAAGUUCCAGUAAUGUCUUAAAUAUGUUGAUGCCAAUUUAAUACAUAUUGUCAUUUUCGAUGUUCUUUCUUUCUUUAUCUUCUUUUCUUCUUCUUCUUAUUCUUUUUCUUUUCGUGUGCAUGUGAUCACUAAUUUGUUAUUAUACUUAACUUGCAGGUAGUUGUGGAUAUGAUAUGCAAAAGGUAAGGACCGUAUCUUCCUGAUAGAGGCCUCUGCUUUUUCCCUUUUAUGUAAUUUAGUAAAUCUCAUCUCCCUUUGUGAUUGUUAUAUCAUAUCAAAGUCAAGUCUUAAAUACUACUGUCAUAUGUUAAGGUUCAACUUGCAUUUUGAUUAACAUCCAUUUGCUGCCGCUUCCAAAAGUGAGAAUGAGAUACUUCGGUUAAUUUCAGUAGUUCAACCCAAUAGAGUACUUUAUCUAGAUCUUCAUGGUUCAAAGGCCUGAAAAAACUUGCCCGUGAUUGUAAAAUGAUAUUCUGUGCUUUUAAUGCAUAGAGGGAACAGGGUGUCAAAGGAAUUAGCAGAUUCUAUGGCAGAUUCUAUGCCUAUACAGCUGUAACAAUUAUCUUUAUGAUUGUAAAUCUUAUAUGUUUUCCUUAUUUAGGAUAUACUAGCUGUAGGCUAUUUUAGAUAGUUAUGUAUAUGAUAGUUUAGCUAUGUUUAGGGCUAAACAUAAGCUUGUAUUCAUAGUAUAUAAAGGGAAUUCUCCUCCAAGAGAAAGCAUAACUUUUGCUCAAAAUUCUCUGAGUUUAUCAUGGUAUCAGAGCCUCAGUUCUGAAUUCUCUUCUUCCUAGUUCAUUCCCUUGUUUUUAGUUAUUCUUUUUUUUAUCAAGUUAUCUCAGCCUCAUGUCUUCAGACAAGUAUGAUGCUUUUUUUAUCCGUUUUAAUGGCACAAAGUACUCAGCCUGGGCAUUCCAUUUCGAGAUAUUUGUCAAAGGCAAAGAUCUAUGGGGACAAGUUGAUGGCAGAAAACCUGCCCCUGACAAAGAGAUAAACCAAGAUGGGCACGCCAAGUGGGAAGUCAAGGAUGCUCAAAUCAUGGCAUGGAUUCUAGGAUCUGUGGAAUCCAACUUCAUCUUGAAUCUUCGACCCUUCAAGACUGCAGCAGGAAUGUGGAAUCAUCUAAAGAAACUCUACAGUCACACCAACACUGCUCGUCGAUUUCAGCUUGAACAUGAGCUAGCCAAUCUCCAACAAGGCAGUCUCUCUAUUUCUGAUUUAUCUCCAACAAGGUAGUCUCUCUAUUUCUGAUUUUUAUUCUAUCUUCAUGAUUCUUUGGGCUGAAUAUACUAAUAUAAUCUAUGCUACCUUACCUCCCGAAGGUCUUAGUUCUAUUCAAUCUGUACAUGAAACUACUAAGAGGGAUCAGUUUAUGAUGAAACUGAGAUAUGAAUUUGAAAGCACUAGGUCCAAUCUUAUGAACCGAGAAUCUGUCCCUUCUUUGGAUACAUGCCUCAAUGACUUAUUUCGUGAGGAGCAACGACUUCUUACUCAAAACACCAUGGAACAAAAAAAAUCCACUUCUGUUCCUAUGGCUUAUGCAGCUCAAGGCAAGCUAAAAGGUAGGGACAUAAGUACAGUUCAAUGUUUUUGUUGCAAAGGAUUUGGACAUUACGCUUCAAAUUGUUCAAAAAAAUUCUGCAACUACUGCAAAAAAGAUGGACAUAUCAUUAAGGAAUUCCUUACUCGACCCCCCAAGAAAUCUGAAACAAUAUAUGCUACCUCAGUUGGUUCUUCUAGUGCUGGUAGUUCUGUGGAUACAGCACAUUCAACCCAAAGUGCUCCUGCUCCUGUUCAAUCUGUGACCCCAGAAAUAAUUCAACAAAUGAUCAUUACUGCAUUCUCCUCAUUAGGACUCUCAGGUAAAUCACCCACUACAUCUCCUUUGUACUUUGAUUCUGGGGCUUCCCAUCACAUGACAAACAAUGCUAAAUUCUUCACCAAUGUAAGUAAAUACCUUGGAAAUCUAAAAAUUCAUACAGCUGAUGGCAACUCUUUACCUAUCACAACCACUAGUGAUGUUUCUUCUUCUAUAACCAAUGUCUUUGUCUCUCCUGGUCUUACCACUAAUCUUGUUUCAGUCGGUCAGUUAGUUGACAAUAAUUGUAAAGUAGAAUUCUCUAAAUCUGGUUGUGUUGUGCAGGAUCAGUAGUCAAGGAAGAUGAUUGCCAGGGGGCCUAAAAUAGGACGUCUUUUCCCUCUCCAAUUUGCUAAGUCUCCAUGUUUCUCUUUGCCUGUCAUCACUUGCAAUUUUGCUAAUGUUAAUUAUCGAUCAUGGCAUAAACGUCUAGGACACCCAAACUCUAAUGUACUUUAUGCUUUGCUAAAUUCUAGUUUACUUGGGAAUAAAAGAUCACCAUCCCUUAGUGUUGUUCAAUUUGAUUGCAAUUCUUGCAAGCUUGGAAAAAGUAAAAUUCUGCCAUUUCCCACUCACACACCGAAUGUUGUCCAGCCUUUUGAUUUGAUACAUAGUGAUGUGUGGGGUAUGGUGCCUGUUACUAGGGAUGGCAAGAUAAUCCGGACCCGGACCGGACCCGCACGAACCCGGAUGAUCCGGACCGGGUUGAACCCGCACCGGAUGUAUAUUUUAUCCGGAUCCAGUUUUAAUUUUCUUAAACUCGGACUUAUCCGGGUUCGGUUCCGGGUUCACCUGAACUCGGAUUUUCGAAACCCGGACCCGAAUUUUUUGUUUUAAAUAUUAUUUAAUUAAUUUUUUAAAUUAUUAUUUAUAAGUAUAAAAGCAAAAAAAAAAUGAGAAACAAAACAAACCCUACAUUUCCUACGGCAGUCGCUUCCUCAUGUUCAUUCCCCAGAAUUCAGCAAAUAAAUUCAAAAUCAACGUGGCCUCGAUUCUUUCGACUGAGCAAUCAAAGAAUUGGUUAAAGCUGAUUGAAAACAUUGAUUUGACUGUACCUCUUUGAUUGCUUAUUCUUCUCAUGUCUUUGACCUUCUCGAAAUCAAAUGAGUUUUUUUAUUAGCCCAAGUCCUAUCGUUGAAGUUUAGCUCAUAUCCUGGUGAAGAAGAGGUCCUAGGUUUGGUUCGAAGAUUUCUCUCUCUCAGUAGUCGGUUCAUCAUCAUCCAUCAAUCAUCAGCAUCACAACAUCGCGACGGUGGCCGCACUUUUCUGCAAGUUUCAAUUUCUACCUUAUGUGUUAAAAUUAGAUUUAUUCUGAGAUUUGGGCUCAAGGAAUCAUGUGGCUUUCUUUGUUUCUUUAAUUUUCCCAUCUUCCUCAUCCUCCACUAUCUUCGCAAGAUCCCAUGAGUUCUAUUUGUUUCUGCAAUUACCAAAGAGUCAAAAUUGGCAUGCUUGAAUUUUUUUUUUAUUUUAGGCAUAUAUUCGGGUUUAAAACCCGCAUUCCGGAAACCCGGACUUUUCCGGGUUCAACCAGGACCGGACCUGGAGCUAAAAAAAUCCAGGUUAUAUGCAGGUCCGCUAAUUAAAAUUGAUCAUCCGGGUCCGGAACCGGAAAGACUAAACCCGGACCCGGACCCGGAUUUUGCCAUCCCUACCUGUUACAUCUCAUGCUAAUUACAAGUACUUUGUCACUUUUAUUGAUGACUAUAGUCGCUUCACAUGGAUUUAUUUUCUACAUUCUAAAGAUGAAGUGUUCUCUGUUUUCAAGCUUUUUCAUGCACAUAUUCAGACCCAAUUUUCUACUAAUAUCAAAAUUCUUUGCUCUGAUAAUGGGGGUGAGUAUAUGUCUCAUUUAUUUCAAGAAUUUUUGCACACCAAUGGUAUAAUUUCUCAAAGAUCUUGUCCUUCAACCCCCCAACAAAAUGGGGUGGCUGAAAGAAAGAACCAUCACCUUCUCGAUGUUGUCCGCACUCUUCUAUUAGAGUCAUUUGUACCCUCUCGUUUUUGGUGUGAAGCUCUCUCCACUGCUAUCUAUCUCAUCAACAGAUUGUCCUCUCCUUCCUUGAACCAUGUCUCCCAUUUCUUUCGGUUAUUUGGCCAUACACCAAAUUACUCCCAUCUCCAUACCUUCGGUUGUGUGUGCUAUGUUCAUCUUCCUCCACAUGAGCGUACAAAACUCACAGCCCAAGCUGUGAAAUGUGCUUUUCUAGGAUAUUCUAUGCACCAAAAAUGUUUUCUUUGUUAUGAUCUAAAUUUGCAUCAUAUAAGGGUUUCUCAAAAUGUGAUUUUCUUUGAAAAUCAGUAUUUCUUUUCCGCACACCACGACGAUUCUUCCCCUUCAUUUUCUGUUUUGCUAAAGUUUACUAACCCUUCUGCAGAUUCUGUACCUUCUAAACCUAUCAUAGUCUAUCAGCGACGCAAGAAUUCAGUACCUCUCGGGCCCCCUCCAGCAACUUCCCUAAAUGCUGAUCCAGUUCCAGCAACUGCACCUGAACCUUUCAAACACAGUACUCGGGUUCGUAGACCACCAGAUAGGUAUGGUUUCACCUCUCCAUUAUCUUUGACAACCACUUUGUCUUCUAUUCCUAUUCCUUUAUCAUAUAAACAGGCAAUGAAGCAUGAAUUUUGGCGAAAAGCUAUUGAAUCAGAACUUCUUGCACUUGAAGAAAACCAAACUUGGGAUAUUGUUUCAUGUCCUCCAUCCGUGAAACCCCUUAGUAGUAAGUUAGUGUUUUCUAUCAAGCUGCUUUUUGAUGGAUCCAUAGAUCGUUACAAGGUUCGGUUGGUGGUUCUUGGCAACAAGCAAGAAUAUGGCCUAGACUACGAUGAGACCUUCGCGCCGGUAGCCAAAAUGACCACUGUUCGAACAAUAUUAGCCCUUGCUGCAUCACAAUCAUGUUCUUUACAUCAAAUGGAUGUAAAGAACGCUUUCCUACAUGGUGAUCUCAAAGAGGAAAUUUACAUGAAACUUCCCCACGGUAUGACUACUUCCUCUCCUAAUGAUGUUUGCAAACUAAAACGUUCGUUGUAUGGGUUGAAACAGGCACCGCGAGUAUGGUUUGAGAGUUUAGAUCAACUCUUUUCGGUUUUUAAUUCACUCAAAGUUAGUAUGACUCCUCCCUUUUUUUCCAACAGACAUCUAAAGCCAUCGUUGUUCUCCUUGUUUAUGUGGACGACAUCGUUAUCACUGGUUCUGAUAUGGAGGCAAUUUCUAAACUUCAGAAUUUGUUGCACUCCACUUUUCACAUGAAAGACCUCGGUCAACUCACCUAUUUUUUGGGGUUAGAGGUACAUAAUCUGCCUCAAGGUAUCUUCUUGAAUCAGCACAAGUAUAUUCAGGAUUUAAUUCAAUUAGCUGGACUUAUGGACAAAAAUUCUGUUGACACCCCAAUAGAACUUAAUGUGAAAUAUCGAUGAGACGAAGGGGAACUACUUCAAGAUCCUACUUAUUUAUCUAACUAUCACCCGCCCAGACAUCUCUUAUGCUGUCCACAUCGUUAGCAAGUUCAUGCAAGCCCCUCGACAUCUCCACCUAUCCGCAGUCCGCCGCAUCAUUAGAUAUAUUCUUGGCACUCCUAGCUGCAGUUUAUUCUUCCCUACUGGUUCUUCACUCCAACUACAAGCCUACAGUGACGCAGAUUGGACUGGCUGCCCGGGCACGAGAAAAUCUACUAUGGGAUGGUGCAUGUUUCUUGGUGAUGCCCUUAUCUCUUGGAAAUGCAAAAAGCAAGACUCAGUCUCCAAAUCAUCCACUGAGGCAGAAUACCGCGCCAUGUCUGCAGUCUGCUCCGAGAUCAUUUGGUUGCGUGGUCUCUUAACAGAGCUUGGUUUCUCACAACAUCAACCUACUCCCCUACAUGCUGACAACACAAGUGCCAUCCAAAUUGCAGCCAACCCUGUCUACCACGAGCGCACGAAACACAUAGAGGUUGACUGCCACUCUAUUCGAGAGGCCUAUGACCGCCAAGUUAUCACCCUCCCGCAUAUCUCCACUACUCUACAGAUUACAGAUAUCUUCACCAAAUCCAUGACAUGUCAGCGACAUAACGUUCCUGUUAGCAAAUUGAUGCUUGUAGAUUUACCAGCAUCAAUUUGAGGGGGGAUGUCAAAGGAAUUAGCAGAUUCUAUGGCAAAUUCUAUGCCUGUACAACUGUAACAAUUAUCUUUAUGAUUGUAAAUCUUAUAUGUUUUCCUUAUUUAGGAUAUACUAGUUGUAGGCUAUUUUAGAUAGUUAUGUAUAUGGUAGUUUAGCUAUGUUUAGGGCUAAACAUAAGCUUGUAUUCAUAGUAUAUAAAGGGAAUUCUCCUCCAAGAGAAAGCAUAACUUUUGCUCAAAAUUCUCUGAGUUUAUCACAGGGAAGUAUAGCUUUGGAAAAGGCCGGAUCAAUAACUAUGGAGAGAUUUAUAAGUGAUAAAAAUUCCCGUAACCCGCAGUCAAGAAAAUUUCACAUAGUUAAAGACGCCAUUUUGUUUCAGCCAAAAAUGUUUGUUUCGAUUAAAGACUUGAACCAUUUUCAUUUAACCUGAUUGUGAUGCUUUAUGUUAUGUAUGUUCCUCUCAAUCAAGAAAAGUUGAGGUUCAUGAUUUUAUAUUUCCAUCUUGUAACUUGAAAUAAUAACUGGUCUGCUUGUUUUUGUAGCUUGAUAACAUGAAUUUUCCUUCUCAAGUUAAUUUGAUCAAUAAAGUAAUUCUUCAAAGAAAAUAUGCCCAUUCUAUAAUCAUUUUCUUAGCUAAUAUGUUUUUUUUUCUUUACUCUUCAGAGUGUGUCGAAACUAAUUGAUUGCUCAGUAGAGACUUUGGGUGACAAGACAAAAUUUCAUGGUAAAUCCCCUGAAAAGGUAUGCAUAAUUCCUGAAUAUUAAAUAACCAAUGGUCAUAGUUUUUGUAUACGACUCUUUUUGUGGAGAUCGUUAAAAGUGGUUGAUGAUCCAUUUGUAAUUUCAUUGAGGGAUCAUCAAUUCCUUUUCUUUUCUGUGGCUAGGCAUCACUUUCGUGCCAAAGUAAGGAAAUCUAUUUUAGGUAAUGUAAAAAACAAUGGUAGGAUGUAAUAGCUUAUUAUGCACUGACAAUAACUUUUUGUAUAAUUGUCAGUUUAAGGAAUACAAGAGGAACUCUGUUGACAAAUUCAUCCAAGAUAGAUGCUAAAAUUAUUUAUGCAUGCCAGUUGCCUUAACUAAUUUUUCUUAACACUUGUAUUGAACAGGAAAUGAGUAUGCAAUUUGUGUACGUGCCAUUGUGGAGAAUUUGGAUAUUCUUAUUUAAGUAAGAAGAAGAGUUUGCCUCAUCUUUAAACAAUGAAUCUUUGAGAAAUGAGGAGUGGGUGAUUGAAAGUGUCUUCAUGUAAAUGUUCAUUUACUUUUAUUUUGAACUAUUAUGAGAAUCUUUUAUAUGCCAAAUUAGUAAUACAAAUGUUCAGAUGAUUUUUCCUGUUGAUCACGCGUUUGUGUCUGCAGACAACCAUUGUAUAUCACUUUAUUCUGAUGUGCAAUUAUGUAUAGAUUAGAAGAAAAGAAAUAAUAAUCUUAUAUUAUUGUUUGGUUCAUGAUUAUUAAACGAUUAUGGCUUCAAAAAAUCUACAAAUUCCUUCUGUUCAUAUAUGAAUGUGCCAAGUUUUCUAUAUCUUAGAUUGCCUUCUUCCAAGAUAACAAGUUCAUAUGUUUUUUAAUCCUCUUCAAUCACAGUUGAAUUUUAAGUGUUAAGAUUUGUUAUUAAUACCUGGUUCCCUGUUAUUAUGAUUUUUAUUAUGAUUUCAUAAACAGUGUAUGGACAUGUGCUCUACGUUUGAAGGGCCUCCACGUGAAAGAAAAUUGCAACAAUUGAAUUCUUCCGGAGGGUAUGGCAUUUAAUUUAUUUUCUCAACUUCUUGUAAGACUAAUAUAUUUCCUUCAGUAGGCAGGGCAUGGUGGGACGGGCUUUUAUUGAAAGAAUUCUGAUAUUUCUUAGACUUUGUUUUGGAAGGGGGGUGGAGGGAUUUCUCAUCCAUAUAUGGUUACUUGAUUAGCUUUUGACUGUAUUGCCUCAGUCGUGCAAAGGAAGAUCCAAAUACUAAUGAACGAGAAUUGCUUAGAGACCCAAAAGACAGAAAUGAACUACAGAAGGAAGUUUUUGCUGCUUUAUUUAGUGUUCCUGAGAACUCUGAUGAAGAUGGAGUGGAGGUCCAAAGCAUUAAGAAAGGUGGUGAGUGAACCGCCAGAGGAAUUGGUACCAGAAUACAAAGCUAAUGUGGUGCACUUGCAGCAAGAUAACCAGACUAGUAUGUGCUCUUAUAUUAACUAUAUUGACUGGAUUUGUGAGCAUGUUCAUUUUUGUGUGUAUAAUCACUUUUGUAUUUAUGCAUAUUAAUGUUAGUAGGAUUCUUGAUUUCCUCCACUUACUGGAGAACUAGUGGAAAGCUUUAUAGUGAAAUAUCUGCAAUAACUAAUGGAAACUAUGAUUUGAAUAUUUUCUCUCACCUGGAGAGCUUUGCAACAGAUGUACUUUGUGGCUAUGGAAUACUAGAGAUUCUGCAAUAACUAAUGGAAACUCUGAUAUGAAUAUUUUCUCUCACCUGCAGAACUUUGUAACAGAUACACUUUAUGGCUCUGGAAUGUCUAAAGAUUUUUGUCUGCUUCAGUUAGAUAAAAUAUCUUUUAGUUACCUACAUUAUGGAAAAGAUAGAGUUCUCUGAAUCUGAAAGACUGAAACAUUUUGCAUAUUUCGUGAAAGGGAAAUAUCUGUAGAUACUAGUUCAUGCAUUGAGGUAACAUCAAUGUUAAAGAAAAACGGCAAUAACUUAUUAUAUAGAAUUAGGUUCACUUGCUUUAAAUGCUGGUCUGGUCAACCAUAUCAACCUGUAAGUGUAUCUGCAGAAAUAUAUAUGGGGGGACAAACUAGCUAAAUUUUCCUCUCAUUUCUGGCUUUGGUCAUUUGUUCCCCUUAUUUUUCAGCUUUCCUUCUCCUGAAGUAUGUUAACAAUUGCAGAUAAUGACUAAGAGGACAGCUUGCAGGCUCUUCGUAGAGCUGUGAUGGAAUAUAGGGGCACAAUGAAGGAACAUUGUAAAGCUGUAGGUUCUUUUUCUCCUGUCAUUUAUGUUUUCUCACACAUUUUUUAUAUGCUCCAAGCAUGCAAGUUUGUAUGUGUCUUUGCCUUUUAAGUUUUAAAAACCAUAAAGUAAGAAUACAGUUCCUCGUCAGGCUAUUGAUGCAUUCACUCAGGGGAAUCAUGUUCGAGCAGGAAAACUUCUAGAACAGGCAAGGUUUUCCAUCUACAGCCAUCUAUUGACAACAGAUACAUUUUCAUUCAGCAAACACUGUUAGCAUUCAAGAUACUGGCAGAUUCACUUGAUUCUUAUCAGUUUGUUUAGUAGCAAAGCAUAUAACCUGUAUUUCAAAGCCAAGUUGUGCUAUUGAUUAUGUUAACUUUAUUGUUCACAUAAAGUGAUAUGGAGGAAAUAAUCAUUGUAGGAAAAUUAGGUGAAGAGGUGAUGUCAAAUCUUGAACCUGUUACAAAACUCCAAGUUCUUUACUUGAAGAAGCUACCAAAUUUGAACAGGGUCCACUGGAAGGCCUUGCCAUUCCCUGAUGCAUGCAGAAUUUUUGUAUUUAAAUGCCCAGAGCUUAAGAAGCUGCCACCGGAUCUUGAAAGGGCAGGCCAAGGUAAAAUUCUUAUCAAGGGAAAGGAAGAUUGGUGGAAACAACUUCAAUCGGAGGAUCAAGUAACUCAGAAUGCAUUGCUUCCAUUUUUAAAAUCAACUGACAAGUGAUUGAAGGGGGCAUCAUCAACAUCAUCAACAUGGAUGGAGAGAUUCAGGAGCAGAUCAGCAGGGUUUAUUACGACCUGUGGUGGUUGCUUUUUUGUGACUUGUUCCCUUUCAUUUUUUCACUUCCUGUCAUAUUAUCAUUUCUUUGUCUCUGUUUCUAUUGCUGAUGUUGCUGCAUGCUUGCAGCCCUUGACAAAGUUAGCUAGUUUUUUUGUUUCUUAAAUUUUGUAUGUUCGGGACUGUCACAAAGUACUACUUGUUCUAAAUGGGGGUGAUCCGGUGAUGUGAAUCAACUUUUCAAAUAUAUAUUCUGUGGUAAUUGUGAAUUCAAUUUCAUUUGUCUCCUGCAAAUUAUGAAGAAAGUGCAGAGUUACAAUAUGGAAAAGUUCACUGGCAAACACUUUGUAAAAGCUUCGGAGUGAAACAGGGAAUGCACUGGCAACUAAGGACAAAUUGGUGGCCAGCUAAUGCAUUCAUUUUAUGUACAUUCCUCUUUUUAAUUAUUGAAGAUAAGUGGUUCGUUGCUUUUGUUGUAGAUAAAAUUCAGACGACCUCAAUUGUGAGAUGACAAUAUUUAAAAUAUCUCUUAAAUUAUUAUAAACUUUAAUUUAUCUUAAUUUUAUUUAAAAGAUAAAAGAAAAAUGUGGUAUAUGGAUAAGAUUUUUUUUAUCUUCUUAAUAAAAUGAAAUAAAUUAAAAUUUAUAAUAAUUUAUAAUAUUUUAAAAAUUAUUAUUUCAUAAGAGAUUAAUAUGAAAUUAAUCCUUUUUACUUUUUGAAUGUGAAAGGACAGGAAAAGAGAAGCAAGUGUCACUGCUUUUUAUUUUAUUUGAAAUCGGAGUUAUCCCAUAUACUUUACUACUUUAGCUCUAACAUUACAAUGUUUUUAGGCUACACUUUUAUUUUUCUUUUUCCCCCUUUUUUUAUACAUGCAUGUGGAUUACUUUCCUCUAAACUCCUUAAUAUUUAAGACAAAUCAUAAAAGCGAUUGAAGUAUAACCAGAUGAUCAAAACAUUUAACCCAAAAAAAAAAAAGAAAUAAAACAUUGAAAAUGGAGAUGUUGAUUAAUUUAGAAGAGAUGCAAGUAAAAGAUAUUCCCAAAAAAAAGAAAAAAAGAAAAAAGCAACGUUAGUUCAUCCAUGUCUGUCAAUGCGUUUUUUAUGGUUUUUUUUUCCAGUUGUUUGUUGUAAUAGAUUGAUUGUAAAUUGAUAUGAACUUGAUGUUGUAAUAUGUUUGCUUUUGUGGAAUUAAAUUUGAAUAUUCAAGAUUAUUCAAGUCUUAUUUAGUAUGUGUUCGGUUGUGUUGUCGAUAAUUUUACAUUCUAAUAAGUUUUCACCUAAAAUAUUAGCAUGAGUAGUAGUCCUUAAACCUUUGGUCAAAAUUAUUGUUGUUGUUUCUUUUAGAGGAAAUUUUUUUAUUAAAGCCUCGUUAACACUAUUCCUUAUUAAGAUUAUAAGUUAGUGUCGGUGCAGGAUUUGCAGCGACAAAUCUUGUCUAGCCACGUGUCAAAGUACAAAUAAAUCAAGGGAAAGCACAUGACAUGGAUUAGGAUCCAAUAAAAUUUAAAUCCCAAGGAAAAGGACAACUGUAUCCUAAAGUUUCAAUAAGAGAUACUGAGAUAUCUUUUGACUAAUGUUAUUUUUUGGCUUUAUUAAUAAAAAGAUCCAAUAGUUUAUAACAAAUAAAAAUAUAGUAUUAAGCUAAAUGUGAUAAUUUACACAUUUUACAUAAUUUCAAUAAAAAUUUUUUUAAUGUUUUACAAUCUAUCAGACAUAUUUUAUUAAAUUAAUAAGAAUUUUCUUAUAAAUAGCAACAUAAUAUUAAAAUAAAUUUAUAAAGAUUUAAAUGUAAAAUAAUUUUAGUAUAAUUAAUACGUGGGAUAUAUUUUGUAAAUUAUAAAAUUACUUAACCCAAUGAUUUUUAAAAAUCUUUAAAAUAAAUAAAAAUAAAUUAUUCACAUUUUGAUGUAAAAUAUUUAAAACAUUUUUAUACAUUAGUCCACAAUUAUUUAUGUUAUAUUUGUAUUUAUUAGAAAUUUUGAAAGUCAAAUAUUUUUCACCUCUAUCUUACUAGAAUUAUUGCACACAGAGAAAGAGCAAUAUAUGCUUUAUAGCUUGAAAAUCGAUUUGUUUUAUAGCUGGGAACAGAGAUGAUCAUUAUUAUAAGGAUUAAAAAAAAGAUAAAGAAUAUUAAUGAUUAGCGAAAUCUUUAUGGAAAUUGAAUUUAGUAAGAAAAAAUUGUGCUGAUUUUAGUGGUAUAGUAAUAUUUUAUAUAGAGAAAAAUAAAAGCUGCACCUCAAGGUUAAGGGAAAUGGUCAAAACUCUUUUUUAAUCAUAAUACCCUUUUUCCUAGAUAAUUUAAAAAUUUUACUCUAAUAUUUUAUAAUAAAUAAAAACAUAUAAUCCUAAAAUAAAUAAAAUAAUAUAUAUUUUAAAAUAAUCUCAAUAUUUAAAAUAUAUUUUAACAUUUUAUAAUCUAUCAGAUAUAUUUUAUUAUAUUAAAGUAAAUUUUAUCAUAAAUACAAAACAUACUAUUAAAAUAGAUAUAAAAAUUUUAAAGUAUUUUGAAUAUUAUAUAAAAUAACUUUAAUAUUGUUAAUGCGUGAGAUGCAUUUUAUUAACUAUUAGAUAGACUAAACUAUUUAUUUUAUUUUCUAUUUAUUAUAAAAUUUCAAAGUUAAUCUUUUUAACUACUAUUCAAAAGAUAUUAUGAUAAAAAUAAAAUUUUUCUGUUUUUAUUAAAAAUUUAGAAUUUACAUCUAUUUUUUCAAAUAUUCGGGGUGUAACUGUUUUUUCCCUUUUUUAUAAACGAACGGUGGUGAGAAAGCUUGAGUUAACGUUAUUUAUUUAAAUAAAAUCUCAGUUAAAAAUGUACAGAGAAGAAAUUUCUGUUGGUAUUUUAGUCUUUUACCAAUUAUCAUGAUUAGGCCUUGGCCUUGAAACAUUAAUUGUUUCAGUUUUAGCGCUAGUGGCGUUGAAAGUUGUCAAGAAAAAGCAAGGCCAUAUUCCACAAAAGCAAAAGUAACGUAGGCUCUUUUAUUAAAGGCAAAGUAUAGUCAAGAAUCGAAUAUCCUGUCGUCUACUCUUUUUUAAAUUCUUCUUUUAUUAUCUUUUAGAACAGUUUUAGGUAAUUACAAUCAUUAUUCAGAGUUAUUGUUAUCUACUGGGGCAGUCUCUGUUCAUCGAAGUCGUUGCCUUUUUUUAUGGAUCAGUUCCAGUGGUAAGCAGUAAUUUUCUUAGAACUCCGAUCUUUAAUUCGAGUUUCUGUGUGAAUUAAUAAUAAAAAAUUUUCAUUACACGCAAUUUAAGCUACGAAUUACUUUUUGCAAAGUUGAAUAUGAAAUUGGGGGAGAAAUUCAGUAAUUUAGAAUGUUGGUAAAAAUUGACGAACAUAUCUCCAAUUACAGUAAAACCUCUCUACAGUCAUAACAUUAUAACAAAAUUAAUUUUAAACCUAUGUUGAGGUAAUAUAGGUUUAGUUACAAAAUCAUUGUUUUAAUAUGGUUAGUGUCAAGUGAUAUAAAGGUUAAGUAUGCAGUACAUUGAUAAUUAAAUAAUGAAGCGUGUCAAAUCUAAUGUAUAUAUAUUAAUGAUAUAGAUAGACAUAGUUUUAAAAAACUAAUUAAUGUAUAUUUAUGUAGUUUUAUGAAUAUGGAAAGUCAAGCCUACACUUUACAUUAUCCUUAAUUUUUUCUCUCAGUUAAAUUCUACAAAUAUUGUACAAUGAUUGGGCAAGAACUCUAAAUUAAGAAUAAAUUAUUGUCACACAUAAUUUUAGAAAAUAUUUUAUUUUGUCUUAAACCUGUAAUGUAAGUAAAUAUAUAUAUAUAUAUAUAUAUAUAUAUAUGGGUCCGCCUAAGUUACAUUUAACGUAGCUUACGACUGUCAUGUAAAAUAUCAUGUAGACUCUUAUACUCGUUAUUAUUUAUAAUUUAUUUAUAAGUAUUAUAAAUUUUUUACAUUGUAAAAUUUCAUUUAGUCCCUUACCAUCUAUUUUAUUUUAUUGAAACCCUUAGAAUACCAACUCGCCCUCUAUAAUUUUAAAUUCUCAAAAUUCCCUCUAUUUAAUUGAAAAUUAUAAUUAUUAUUAAAUGAAUUAUAAUUAUAAUAAUUAUUUUAUUAUAAUUAUAAUUUUAAAAUGGAUGAUGAUGAUGAUGAUGAUGAUGAUGAUGAUUAUUAUUAUUAGCAACAAGAAGAAUAAAAAGUAUUAUAAUUAAUUAAUCUAUUAACAAUAAUUAAUAAUAAUUUUUUAGUUAAAUUGUUAAUAAUAAUUAACAAUAAUAAUUAUUAAUAAUUAAUAUUUUUGAAUAAUAAUAAUAACAAUAACAAUAAUUAAAAUACAAAAUAAUAAUUAUGAUAAAAAUUAUUAAGAAUUUUAUAGUAAUUUGUUACAAUUUAACUGAUUUUAAUUUUGAUUCUAAGACAAGGUAAGCACAUAAAUCGUAAUACAACUCAUUUUAAUUACGAUUCUUACAGUUCAAGUAAACAAAAUUAUUCUGAUUCCAAUUUUUCAUUUUAAUUCUAACUAUUCUGAUUCUAACUCAUUAUAUUUCUAUCUAAUUUCGAUCCUUAUUUAGUAAAUGCAAUAUAAAAUUCAUAAUAGUUAUGAAUAAAUUGUGAAUAAUAUAGAGUGGUUUACAAUUUUAUAGUGCAUUAACUAAAGAUGAAUCGAAAUUAUUUGGAAACAUAAUGAGUUAGAAUCGGAAUAGCUAGAAUCAAAAUAAGAAAUUGGAAUUAGAAUAAUUAUCUACUUGAACUGUAGGAAUUGUAAUUAGAAUAAGUUGUAUUACCGUUUAUGUGUUUACUUUGUCUUAAAAUUAAAAUUAGACUGAGUUAAAUUGUUAAAAAUUACAAAUAAAAUCCUUAAUUAAUUUUUAUUAUAAUUAUUAUUUUGUAUUUUAAUUAUCGUUAUUAUUAUUCAAAAAUUAAUUAAUUAUUAUUUUUAUUAUUAGCAAUUGAACUAAAAAAUUAUUAUUAAUUAUUGCUAAUAGAUUAAUUAAUUAUAAUAUUUUUAUUCUUAUUAAUAAUAAUAAUAAUGAUAAUCAUCCAUUUUAAAAUUAUAAUUAUAUAUAUAUAUUUAUAAUCCAUUUAAUAAUAAUUAUAUUUUUAAUUCAAUGGAGGGUAUAUUUAGAAUUUAAAAUAAUAGAGGGCGAAUUGGUACUCUAAGAGUUUUAAUGAAAUAAAACAUAGGAUAAGAGACUAAAUAAAAUUUUAUAAUACAAAAAAAUUUAUAAUACUUAUAAAUAAAUUAUGAAUAAUUAGGAGUAUAAGGGGCUAUAAGAUAUUUGACAGGGCAGCCGUAAGUUACGUUAAAUGUAACUUAGGCGGACCCUAUAUAUAUGUGUGUGUGUGUGUGUGUGUGCAUAUUUUGCAACGUAUAGAUAAUUGUUAGUAUAUGGAGACAAGUCUUUUAAGGUAGGACCUAGAAAAAUUUAUAACUUACUACACUGGGGAGUUUUUAUUCCUUUUUAUAAUUGCUCAUAUUGAUACGUUCUUACACAAAAUAUUACCAUUGACAUAUUUUACUACAAUUAGUUUAGAACAUUUGUUAGGAAAAAAAAAAGAAAAGAAAACAUUCCUUGGAUGUAGCUCUCCUGACUAUUUAAAUCUUUUAAGGAAAAAAAGAAAAAAGAAAAACUGACACAUUCAAAUCUUGAAGCAAUUACAUUAAAACCUCUCCAUAAUGAUAGGAAUAAUCUCCAUUUAGAAAUAAAAAAAUUUGUUCGCAAUUUAGGCAGAGUUAUUAAUAAGAAUAAAAUCCUCAUUGUAAUAAGUUAUAUUUAUUAUGGAUCCCAUCCUAAGGAACUUGUCUCUAUAUAGUAAUAAUUAUUUGCAUAUUAUAAAUAUAUAUGUUGCAUUAGAUAAAAUGAACUUGUCUCCACAUACUACUUAGACAAUGAGAGAAAGUUAUUAAAGAGAACACAAAUAUUUAGAGAUUUUUAAGAUUACUUUGCAUAUUUAUAACAAUAAUACAUUAAUAUAUGUAUUAGUUUUUUGAUAUAUUAGAUUUGACUUGCUCUAUUAAUAAAUUAUUAAUACGAUGCAUACUUCAUCUCUAUAUCCUUGCAAUAAAAGUAACUAAGAUAUAACAAUAAUUAUUAAUACGAUGCGUACUUCAUCUCUAAAUCCUUGCAAUAAGAGUAAUUAAGUUAUAACGAUAAUUUUUGUAACUACAUGCUUAUUAGGUUUUAACUACAUAAUAAUAAAUUAGUUUCGUCCUAAUAUUAUAAUUAUGUAGAGUUGUAGUGUAUAGACACACCCAAUUUAAAUAGUAAAUCAAAUAAAAUUGUCCCCACAAAAAAGAAAAAAGGGGUAAAGGAUUGUUAUUUCUUCAAACAUCAGGAGCACGUUUGUGCAAGUGCGAUGCCUUUCUUUUGAAGGCAACGUCAGUGGGUACCCAAUAGGACGUGUGUAAAUCUUUCCAAAAUUUCUCCGGUAUAACGGACAGAGAUCAUUACUUUUCUCUUCCAUAGACCACAGCAGCUUCAGUUAAUCAGACUCAAUCAAUUUUCUUGGUUUCUUCGCUUAUCAAAAUUCCAAAAUAUGGGAAGCAUAUUUCAAAUCACAUGCGAUGGUGCUUUUUUCAAUCGUUGCUUGGAUUGCUUUCUUGGAAAAGUAGCAAACACAAGUAAGCUCCAAGAUAACCUUGUUGCCUUGGAGACUGAUUUGGGAAAACUAAUCGCAGCAAAGAACGAUGUGAUGAUGAGGGUUGUCAAUGCUGAACGGCAACAACUGAGAACGCUGGACCAAGUGCAAGUGUGGCUUUCGAGGGUGGAAGCUGUUGAAACUGAAGCUGAUGAAUUGAAAAGACACGGGUCUCAAGAAAUUGACAAAUUAUGUGUUGGAGGCUACUGUUCCAAGAACUGCGCGUCAAGUUACAAGUUCGGGAAACAAGUGGCUAAAAAGCUACGGGAUGUGCAGACUUUAAUCGACGAAGGAGUUUUUGCGGCGGUGGCUACUGAGGUGGUGCCUGAGAGAGCUCCAGAACCUGUAGCAGAUGAAAGACCCACUGAGCCAACAAUAGUAGGCUUGCAAUCACAACUUGAACAAGUUUGGAGAUGUCUUGUAGAAGAAUCAGUGGGAAUCAUUGGCCUAUAUGGUAUGGGCGGUGUUGGUAAAACUACACUAUUGACCCAUAUCAACAAUAAAUUUCUUGAGAGUCCAACCAGUUUUGAUUGUGUGAUUUGGGCCGUAGUUUCAAAGGACUUGCGACUCGAAAAAAUUCAAGAAGAUAUUGGGAAAAAGAUCGGUUUGGUUGAUGAUUCAUGGAAGAGUAAAAGUGUAGAGGAGAAAGCUCUCGACAUCUUCCGGAGUUUAAGAGAGAAGAGAAUUGUAUUGUUGUUAGAUGAUAUAUGGGAGCGGGUUGAUUUAACAAAAGUGGGCAUUCCACUUUCCGGACCAAAAAAUACUACUUCAAAAGUCGUAUUCACAACCCGUUUCGUCGAUGUUUGUGGUAGCAUGGAAGCUGACAAGAAGUUCCAAGUGGCAUGCUUAUCAGAAGAGCAUGCUUGGGAGCUAUUUCGAAAAAAAGUUGGGGAAGAAACUCUUGAGAGUGAUCAUGAUAUCGUUGAGCUAGCCCAAACUGUGGCCAAAGAGUGUGGUGGUUUGCCACUCGCACUUAUUACUAUUGGUCGAGCUAUGGCCUUCAAAAAGACAGCCGAGGAGUGGAGUCAUGCAAUUGAUGUGCUAAGAACAUCAGCUUCCGAGUUUGCAGGUUUGGGAGAAAAGGUAUAUCGUCUUUUAAAGUUUAGCUAUGAUAGUUUGCAGAAUGAGACGAUUAGAUCUUGUUUCUUAUAUUGUUGUUUAUAUCCCGAGGAUUAUGGCAUUCUUAAAUGGGACUUGAUUGAUUGUUGGAUUGGUGAGGGAUUCUUAGAGGAAUCUGACAGGUUCAGUGCAGAAAACCAAGGAUACUACAUUGUGGGCACUCUUGUUCAUGCAUGUUUAUUGGAAGAGUUAGAAGAUGAUAAAGUAAAAAUGCAUGACGUUGUUCGUGAUAUGGCUCGAUGGAUAGCUUGUGAAAUUGAGAAGGAGAAGAGAAAAUUUUUGGUUUGUGCAGGUGCUGGAGUAGGAGCGGUAUCAGAUGUUGAAGGAUGGGAAAAUGUGAGAAGAUUGUCGUUGAUGCAAAACCAAAUUGAAAUUCUGUCAGAGGUUCCCACAUGCCCUCAUCUCCUCACUUUAUUUCUUGACUUUAAUUAUAAAUUGGAGAUGAUCACCGAUGGCUUCUUCCAAUGUAUGCCUUCUCUCAAAGUUUUGAAGAUGUCAAACUGUGGGCAUGUCAAAGUUUUGAAAUUACCUUUUGGGAUGUCAAAGCUGGGUUCACUACAACUUCUUGAUAUUUCACAUACCGGCAUAAGAGAGUUACCAGAAGAGUUAAAGUUGUUGGUAAAUCUGAAAUGUUUGAAUUUGAGGUGGACACAUAUGUUAAAUAAAAUUCCACGGCAGCUAAUAUCAGAUUCUUCAUGGUUACGUGUGUUGAGAAUGUUCGCUAUUGGCUUUGAAAAUUCUAAAGAACCAUCAGAAGACAGCGUUUUAAUUGGUGGGGGUGAAGUUUUAGUAGAUGAAUUGCUCGGUUUGAAAUAUUUAGAGGUAUUGGAGUUGACCUUGCGAAGUUAUGAUGCUCUCCAAUUUUUUUUGAGCUCAAAUAAGUUAAAAAGUUGUAUUCGAUCUCUUUUCCUCAAUAAGCUGGGAGACACAAAGUCGAUUCAUGCUACGGCUUUCGCAGAUCUAAAGCAUCUCAAUGAACUAUGCAUUCGUUCGGCAGUGGAGUUGGAAGAAUUGAAGGUUGAUUAUACAGAGAUUGCGCCAAAAAGGUCGGAACCUUUUGUUUUCCGCAGCCUUCACCGUGUUACUAUGGAGCGGUGCCAUAAAUUGAAAGAUUUGACAUUCCUCGUUUUUGCUCCAAGCCUCAAGUCUCUUUCGCUAUACGGUUGCAAUGCUAUGGAAGAAAUAAUCAGCGUUGGAAAAUUUGAUGAGACUCCUGAGGUGAUGGGACAUAUAAGCCCUUUUGGAAAUCUCCAAACGCUUUAUUUAACUGAUUUGCCAGAGUUGAAAAGCAUCUACUGGAAGCCAUUGCCUUUCACUCAUCUCAAAGAAAUGACGGUACAUGGGUGUAAUCAGCUUAAAAAGCUUCCACUCGAUUCCAACAGUGCAACAGAGCGUAAAUUUGUUAUUCGUGGAUACACACUCUGGUGGAACCGUCUUCAAUGGGAGGAUGAAGCCACUCAAAUUGCUUUUCAUUCCUGUUUCCAAUCUCAUGAAAUAUAAAUUCCUGAGCGGUGGUUGCAAAAUUUGAUUUCUAGUGAGUGCUUUUUUCUUAAACUCUUACAUAUAUUCUCGUCGUUUGCUUCGUGCAACAGACUAGGUUUUUAUUUCAGAUUCGUUUUUUGUCUCCUGCAAAUCACAAUUAAAUGUUGAAUUAUAUGGAGUCAAUGCUUUAGAAAAUUUUCAAGGCACUGCCAUUUCCUUUUUCUUUUUUCUUUUUUUUUUUUGGGUCGAAUUGAUGCUCUGUCUUUUUACUUUUUGUUGGCAAAUUUUGCUCUGUUUUUUCAAGUUGAUGCUUGAAUAGCUGAAUUCAAUUAAUGCUCACAUAAAUUUGUUUAGUUGCCGUAAAAGGAUAUAAUUAGACUGAAGUACACACUUCUAGAAUGAAUACAAAAUGUUAAAGUAUACUAGCCCUCUUUACAGAAAAUCAAAUGAAAAUCAAUUUUUUGGGGCUUUGAUUUUCUAUGGUCUAUUAUAUACUCUUUUUAAUAUCUUCUGUUCUAACUAUAACCAAAUCCUUUGUUCAAGGAUUUUUAUUUGGGGUAUUGAUAACUGUCCACCAAAAGAGUGAACACUUGGAUGCUGCUCAAGGAUCUCUAAUCAAUAGCUGGAAGCAACUGAGAAGGCGGUCGCUACUGUUUACAAAGCGAAUCAGUAUUUGCCAUUCAUCUUAAUAAUUAUGAAGCUUUGGUAAAAUUUUCAAACAAAGUUGAACAUGUUGUUUUGAGAUUUGGUUCAUGAUUUUGGAUGAAUAUCGUUGUUCCGUUUGAGUUGGAUGUGAAUUCAAAAUCUAUAUAUUCUUUGGUUUUCAAUUCUGAACUCAAUUUCUUUUUCUCAAGCAUGUUAUGCAGAAAUGAAUUUUACUAAAUCAUUUUUGAUGAAUUGUUCAAAUUAAACAAUUGGAAUAAGAAUUGUAAAGGUUUAUCAUAAGCAUGCUAAUAUGAUAAGUUGUUUUAUGAACGAUUAAUUAAUUAAUCAAUUAAUAUUAAAGAAUAUAUUAGGCAAUUAGAUAUGCGUUACAUGUCAUGUUUAAAAACUAUUUAUUUAUAUUUCAAACAAAUUUGACUGGAUGUUGUGUAGGUAAUACUCAUAAUUAAUUUCAAAACAAAAAAAGUAAUAAAAACACGUUAAAUUUUGUUUUUAUGAAGAAAAAUUUAAAAUUUUGUUAAAUAGGUGAAAAUAAUAAAUGGAUUCGUGUAUGGUUUGAGAUUCUUGACAUAAUUAUGAAAUAAGCCGGAUUCGACUUAGUUCAAUUUUGACGCGAUAAGAAGACGACACCACACAAACACACGAUAAGAACCGGUACCUGAGAAGAUUGCCAUCAGGAAUUUUGAAAUUGAUUUCACUACAAUACCUUAAUCUUUCAGAUACUCCCAUCACUGAGCUGCCAGAGGAGCUAAAAGCCUUGGUAAGUCUUAAGUGUUUGAACUGUACACAAAUUAUCUCUCUACAAUUCAAAAACAACUGAUUUGUUACUUUUCAAUGCUACAUGUUCUGCGAAUAUUGAGUUGUGGUUAUCUUGUUGAAAGAUCAGAAAAUAGAGUUCUAUUUGGUGGUAGUGAAUUGUUGGUUGGGGAGUUGCUUAGUUUAAAACGUUUAAAUGUAUUAAGCAUCACCUUACAAGGUUUUUCUGCUGUCCAAAAACUUACGAGCUCUCAAAAGUUUCAAAGCUGUACAAAAUGUUUGGAGCUUAUAGACUGUGAUGAUUCAAAGUCUUUUGCCUUGGCAGAGUUGAAGCAUCUCGAAAAACUAGUUUUUCGAAUUGUGGAAGAGUUUAAGUUCUGCUGUGUUGAAGUUGGAAAAGCUCAAGAAUGUUUUCGUUUGAACAGCUUUCACCGAGUUAAUAUAAAGGCUUGUCAUAAAUUGAGGGACGUGACAUGGCUUGUAUUUGCUCCAAAUCAUACGGUUAUUCAAAUAGAAAAAUGUAUGCAGAUGGAAGUAAUAAUCAGCGCAAGGAAAUUGGGUGAAGUUCCAGAGAUGAUGGCAGAUCUAAACCCUUUUGCAAAACUCCAAUAUCUUCGCCUGCGAGUUCUACCAAAAUUAAAAAGCGUCUAUUGGAAUGAGUCACCCUUUCCGCAUGUCAGGGAAAUUAUUGUAUCUGAAUGCCCAAUUCUCAAGAAGCUUUCACUCGGUUUUAACAAUGCAAAGGAAUCUAAAAUUGUCAUUUAUUACAUGUUUAUAUCUAACUUUUGUUCUCCUUUAUGGUUAAAUUUUACUAUAUAUAUGUUGUUAUACGGUGACAUUCUCGCAUCAAUUAUUAGCUUUUUAAUUCUCUUCUCGUAUUAAUUGCCCUUCUGAUCAUGUAGGAUAUGCCGAUGUCAAAGAGUAGUAAAUUGGGAUACAAAUGUAAGAAUUAGCCAGAUGACAUGUUGUUUUGAAGCUUUCGAAGGACUAAUUAUGUCAUUCAAAGCAUCCAAUUUCGCUACUUUUUUUUUUUUUUCAUUUGUUGCUUUUUCUAUUUUUAGAUAGCUUGAUUGUCAGUUGUCGUAAUGUAAUGUUUUAGUAUAGAAAAAUGAUAUUCGGCCAAGACAUCGAUAGGAGGGCACAUUGUGCAUGCAUACUCGUGGAUGAUUUUGGCAUGCCGAAUCCAAUUAGUGUGAAUAACCCUUUAUAAACAUCAGGCUUCUCUCAUACCAGAUAGAGGUGGCAAAAAUACCCGCUCGGUCCGGAUCCAGACCAUACCCGGGCGUUGUGGGUCGGGUAUUACUUAAUCUGGGUAUAAAGUCGAGUCGGUCUUGGGCAUCACUUGAUAAACCCGGAACCCAGAUUUUAUUAAAAAAAUAUUAUAAAAUAUAUAUUAUUUUAAAUAUUUAUAUUUAUUUGACUCAUUUAUUAUACAUAUAUAAAGUUUUAAACACGUAAAGUUUAUAUUUUCAUGUCAAAUUUUAUUAAAAUAAAUUUAACACUUAUAAAAUUACCUAAAAAUAAAAAAUAUAUAUACAUAUAAUAUUAAAAAAUAUACAAUUCGGGUACCCAGAUUAUCUGGCCCGGACUCAGACCCAGACCAAUUGCAUCCAAGCAGGAUCCAGUCAUUGCAAUAAUCGGACCUGGCCUGGGGUUUCGCCAUCUCCAAUACCAGAGCAAUGUAGAAUAUGUUUAUAAACUGUGAAUUACCCUUUAUAAGUAUUAGGCUUCUUUUAUACUCGAGCGAUGUGGAAUACCUUUAUAAGCAUUAAGCUUCUCCCAUACACUUUAUGUUAAAAAUAAUAAUAAUAAAAUAAAUCCAUUUUAAAAUAGGCUUUUUUUUUUCUUUUUCUAUAUAAACAAAAUGCAUUCUUCAAAUCAAUAGUGGGUGGAAGAAGUGAGUAGAGAAGAACUAGGCCCCUUUCAUUCCCCUAAAACCUCACCGAAACCUCUCUUGUGAACUUCUCAGAUUCUCUCUCAAUAUUUCUUAUGAUCUCGUUUUUGAUAGAAUCACUUCUUUUGCAUGCUGCAUUUUGUGAGUUGUUUUUGGGUAAUAUCUUAUCUGGAAUGCUGUUAUGAUCAAUAGAACAAGUAAUCAAUUUUUGGUUCGACGGAAGUCGAUUUAUUUAUUUACUAUUAUUUUUAUUUGAAAUUUUGUACAAUUGUGUUUCAUUCAUUUCUUUUCUUCUUUUUAUUUUUUUAUUUAUUAUGUAGAAUUGUGUUUCAUUUGAUAUUGAUCAUACUGUAGAUAACUAUGUGAUUGUAGCUGGGGAUUUUAAGUUUUGUGAAUUCAAGAAACUGUCAAAAUGCUAGUGAAAUUGGGACCUUUAUUCAUAAGCUUGUGGUUUUGAAAAGUAGCCCGGUUCAACUGAUGAAGUUCCUUUUUGGGAUUCUUUUUUUUCUAGGCUGCAAUUCGGAUAUGUACGUGAUAGACAAUCUUUUGUGGGUUUAGCAUAUCUUCUUCGAUUUUAUCUUUUAUUCCCCAAUUUUACAGCUACACACCAUGAAUGCUGGGUGAUUGUACAGAAAAUUUGUGUUAGAACAAAAGCAUUGUGAAGGAGUUUCUGUGCUAUAAGUUAUUGGCUUCAGUUUUAUUGGCAUUAAUUGGGUAGAUUAUGUGUUACAGUGAUUCAAUUUGUGAUCCACACUUUAAUUUUCUCUUUUCCCCAAUUAUUUAUGUCAAAUUCAAAUCCAGAAGCAUGUGCUGAUUUUUUUUUUUUUGUGUUAAUCUGUGAAGUUUAUUUGGAAAGGAUGUAUCUGGGUCUAAUGGAUUAAAUUAUGACAUUGAGGAAAAGGCACUAAAGGUUUUGCUUGACACAUUUGGUCUGUGUUUACUCUGCAAUAAAUAGCUUCGCUUAUCGGAAAUCCCGAUUUGGCUGGUGAAUUUCUCAGUGACAGACAGGCAAACACCUAAACCGCUUCUAUCCAUUUUUCUGCUGGUGAGGUAAGGGGUAAAAAGUCUUCAAAAUCAUCAAAUAGUAACAUCUCUCAGAAUUCAUUUUAGAAAAAUGGAAAAUCUAGACCUGCUAGGACAAAAUGGCGUCCAGUAUCAGGAGGUACCGUUUCAAGUUUUCUUGGUAAAGAAUAUAAUAAACCUGCGCAACCAGCUAAUGGCACUUUUCUGGCAUCAAAGCCAUUGAAGUUGGAUCUAAAGGAGUUUUCCCAUGCCUGCACUGUGCAGAGAAGAAACUAAACCAAAACAAUCAAAGAAUGACCAUUUGCAGAAGGAUACGGAAGAUUUUCUAUUUAAAUUGUUAGUAGAAGGGUCCCAGCUGAACAGGGAUGUGAUUCAGGAGGUUCUCGGUAAUGUCUUAAAUAUACUGAUGCCAAUUUAAUACAUAUUGUCCUUUUCAAUGUUCUUUCUUUCUUUUUUUUUUCCCUUCUUCUUCUUUUUUCUUUUUGUGUGCAUGUGAUCACUGAUUUGGUAUUACGCUUAAGUUGCAGAUAGUUGUGGAUUUGAUAUGCAAAAGGUAAGGACUAUAUCUUCCUGAUGUAGGCCUCUGCUUUUUCCCCUUCUAUGUAAUUUAGUAAAUCGCAUCUUCCUUUGUGAUUGUUAUAUCAUAUCAAAGUCAAGUCUUAAAUACUGCUGUCAUAUGUUAAGGUUCAACUUGUAUUUUGAUUAACAUCCAUUUGCUGCUGCUUCCAAAAGUGAGAAUGAGAUACUUUGGUUAAUUUCAGUGGUUGAACCCAAUAGAGAACUUUAUUUAGAUCUUCAUGGUUCAAAGGCCUGAAAAAACUUCCUGUAAUUGUAAAAUGACAUUCUGUGCUUUUUAUGCAAUAGGGAACAGGGAAGUAGAGCUUUGGAAAAGCCUGGAUUGAUAACUAUGGAGAGACUUAUUAUUUAAGUGAUGAAAAAUUCCCAUCACCCGCGGUCAAGAAAAUUUCAGAUAGUUAAAGACUCCAUUUUGCUUCAGCCAAAAAUGUUUGUUGCAAUGAAAGACUUGAACCAUUUUCAUUGAACCUGAUUGUGAUCCUUUACGUUAUGCAUGUUCCUCUCAAUCAAGAAAAGUUGAGGUCAUGAUUCUAUAUUUCUAUAUUGUAACUUGAAAUAAUAAUUGGUCUACUUGUUUCUGUAUCUUGAUAAGAUGAAUUUUCCUUCUCAAGUUAAUUUGAUCAAUAAAGUAAUUCUUCAAAGAAAAUAUGCCCAUUCUAUAAUCAUUUUCUUAGCUAAGAUGUUUUUUCUUCACUCUUCAGAGCAUGUCAAAACUAAUUGAUCGCUUGGCAGAUACUUUGGGUGAGAAGACAAAAUUUCUUGGUAAAUCCUCGGAAAAGGUAUGCAUAAUUCCCGAGUAUUAAAUAACCAAUAGUCAUAAUUUUUGUACAUGACUCUUUUUUCUCUUUUUUGUGGAGAUCAUUAAAAUUGGUUGAUGAUCCAUUUUGUAAUAUCAUAGAGGGAUCAUCAAUUCCUUCUCUUUUCUGUGGCUAGGCAACACUUUCUGGCCAAAGUAAGAAAAUCUAUUUUAGGUAAUGUGAAAACCAACGGUAGGAUGUAAUAGUUUAUUAUGCACUGACAAUAACUUUUUGUAUGAUUGGCAGUUUAAUGAAUACAAGAGGAACUUUGUUGACAAAUUCAUCCAAGAUAGAUGCUAAAAUUAUUUAUGCAUGCCAGUUGCCUUAACUAAUUUUUCUUAACACUUGUAUUGAACAGGAAAAUGAAUAAGCAAUCUGUAUAUUGUGCCAUUGUGGAGUAUUUGGAUAUUCUGAUUUAAGUAACAAGGAGAAUACUUGUCUCAUCUUUAAACAAUGAAUCUUUGAGAAAUGAGGAGUGGGGGAUUGGAAGUGUCUUCAUGUAAAUGUUCAUUUAUUUGUAUUUUGAACUAUUAUGAGAAUCUUAUAUGCCAAAUCAGUAAUACAAAUGUUCAGAUGAUUUUUGCUGUUGAUCAUGCAUUUGUGUCUGCACACAACCAUUGUAUAUCACUUUAUUCUGAUGUGCAGGUAUGUGUAGCUUAGAAGAAACAGAAUAAUAAUCAUCUAUUAUUGCUUGGUUCAUGAUUAUUAAACGAUUAUGGCUUUAAAAAGUCUACAAAUUCCUUCUGUUCAUAUAUGAAUGUGCCAAGUUUGCUAUAUCUUAGAUUAUCUUCUUCCAAGAUAACAAGUUCAUAUUCUUUUUAAUCUUUUUCCAUCACAGUUGACUUUUAGGUGUUAAGAUUUGUUAUUAGUCCCCUGUUAUUAUGAUUUCAUAAACAGUGUACGGAUAUGUGCUCUAACUUUGGAGGACCUCCACGUGAAAGAAAAUUGCAACAAUUGAAUUCUUCCGGAGGGUAUGGUCUUUAAUUUAUUUUCUCAACUUCUCGUAAGAUUAAUAUAUUUCAUUCAGUAGGCACAGCAUGGGGGAAGGGUUUUUAUUGAAAGAAUUCUGAUAUUUCUUAGACUUCGUUUUGGAAUGGGGUGGAGGGAUUUCUCAUCCAUGUAUGGUUACUUGAUUAGCUUUUGACUGUAUUUCCUCAGUCAUGUAAAGGAAGAUCCAAAUACCAACGAAGGAAAAUUGCCUAGACACCCGAAAGACAGAAAUGAGCUACAGAAGCAAGUUUUAGCUACUUUAUUUAGUGCUCCUGAGAAAUCUGAUGGAGACCGAAUGGAGGUCCAAAGCACUGGGAGAGGUAGUGAGUGAACCGCCGGAGGAGUUGGCACCGGAAUGCAAGGCUAAUGUGGUGCACUUGCAGCAAGAUAACCAAACCGGUAUGUGCUCUUAUUUUAACUAUACUGACUGGAUUUGUGAGUGUGUGCAUUUUUUUGUGUAUACUCUUGUAUUUAUGCAUAUUAAUGUGUGUAGGAAUUUCUGCCACUUACUGGAGAACUAGUGGAAAGCUUUAUACCGAUAUAUCUGCAAUAACUAAUUGGAAACUAUGAUAUUAAUAUUUUCUCUCACCUGAGGAACUGUGUAACAGAUAUACUUUGUGGCUCUGGAAUACUAGAGAUUCUGCAAUAACUAAUGGAAACUAUGAUAUGAAUAUUUUAUCUCAACUGGAGAACUUUGUAACUUGUAGCUCUGGAAUGUCUAAGGAAUUUUGUCUGCUUCAGUUAGAUCAAAUAUCUUUUAGUUGCAUACAUUAUAGAAAAAGAUAAAGUUCUCUGAAUCUGAAAGACUGAAACAUUUUGUAUAUUUUGUGAAAGGGAAAUAUCUGUAUAUACUAGUUCAUGCAUUGAGGUAACAUCAAUGUUAAAGAAAAACAGCAAUAAGUUAUUAUGUGGAACAAGGUUCACUUGCUUUAAAUGCUGGUCUGGUCAACCAUAUGAACCUGUAAGUUCUGCAGAAAUAUAUAUAUGGGGAGAAACUAGCUAAAUUUUCCGUUCAUUGAUGGCUUUGGUCAUUUUUUUCCCCUUAUUUUUCAGCUUUCCUUCUCCUGAAGUAUGUCAACAACUGCAGAUAAUGAUGAAGAGGACAGCUUGCAGGCUCUUCUUAGAGCCAUGAUGGAAUAUAGGGGCACAAUGAAGGAACAUUGCAAAGCUGUAGGUUCUUUUUCUCCUGUCAUUUAUGUUUUCUCACACAUUUUUUAUAUGCUCCAAGCAUGCAAUUUUGUAUGUGUCAACUGCUUCCUAAGUUUUAAAAACCAUAAUGUAAGAAUACAGUUCUUUGUCAGGUUAUUGAUGCAUUUGCUCAGGGGGAUCAUGUUCGAGCAGGAAAACUUCUAGAGCUGACAAGGUUUUCCAUCUACAGCCAUCUAUUGACAACAGAUACAUUUUCAUUCAGCAAACACUGUUAGCAUUCAAGAUACUGGCAGAUUCACUUGAUUCUUAUUAGUUUGUUUAGUAGCAAAGCAUAUAACCUGUAUUUCAAAGCCAAGUUGUGCUAUUGAUUAUGUUAACUUUAUUGUUCACAUAAAGUGAUAUGGAGGAAAUAAUCAAUGUAGGAAAAUUAGGUGAAGAGAUGAUGUCACAUCUUGAACCUCUUACAAAGCUCCAAGUUCUUUACUUGAAGAAGCCGCCAAAUUUGAAGAGCGUCUACUGGAAGGCAUUUCCAUUCCCAGAUGUAUGCAGAAUUUUUGUAUUAAUGCCCAGUUCUUAAGAAGCUGCCACUGGACUUUCAAAGGCGGGCCAAGGUAAAAUUCUUAUCGAGGGAAAGGAAGAUUGGUGGAAACAACUUCAAUCGGAGGAUCAAGUAACUCAGAAUGCAUUGCUUCCAUUUUUAAAAUCAACUGACAAGUGAUUGAAGGGGGCAUCAUCAACAUCAUCAACAUGGAUGGAGAGAUUCAGGAGCAGAUCAGCAGGGUUUAGUACGACCUGUGGUGGUUUCUUUUUUGUGACUUUUUUCCCUUUCAUUUUUUCACUUCCUGUCAUAUUAUCAUUUCUGUCUCUGUUUCUAUUGCUGGUGUUGCUGCAUGCUUGCUGUCCUUGACAAAGUUAGCUAGUUUUUUUGUUUAUUAAAUUUUGUAUGUUCGGGACAGUCACAAAGUACUACUUGUUCUAUAAGGGGGUGAUGUGAAUCAACUUUUCAAUUAUAUAUUCUGUGGUAAUUGUGAAUUCAAUUUCAUUUGUCUCCUGCAAAUUAUGAAGAAAGUGCAGAGUUACAAUAUGGAAAAGUUCACUGGCAAAUACUUUGUAAAAGCUUCGGAGUGAAACAUGGAACGCACUAGCAACUAAGGACAAAUUGGUGGCCAGCUAAUGCAUUCAUUUUAUGUACAUUCAUCUUUUUAAUUAUUGAAGAUAAGUGGUUCGUCGCUUUUGUUGUAGAUAAAAUUCAGACGAUCUCCAUUGUGAAAUGAUAAUAUUUAAAAUAUCUCUUAAAUUAUAAUAAACUUUAAUUUAUCUUAAUUUUAUUUAAAAGAUAAAAGAAAAAUGUGGUAUAUCGAUAAUUUUUUUAUCUUCUUAAUAAAACGAAGUAAAUUAAAAUUUAUAAUAAUUUAAAAUAUUUUAAAGAUUAUUAUUUCAUAAGAGAGUAAUAUGAAAUUAAUCCUUUUUACUUUUUGAAUGUGAAAGAUCAAGAAAAGAGAAAGUAAGUGUCCUUGCUUUUUAUUUUAAUUGAAAUCGGAGUCAUGUCCUUGCUUUUUAUUUUAAUUGAAAUCGGAGUCAUCCCAUAUACUUUACUCCUUUAGCUCUCUCCUCAAGGUGAGAUGCGUGUGUUGGGUGAAGAUUUGGUGAGUGUUGUGAUAUGCGUGCUACUUUGAGAAUUUAUAGAUAGCACAAAACGCAGCGUUCUGUGUUAAUUGUGGUUCUUACUGUGGUAAGAAUCUCAUUUUCUUAUUUCAACAGGUUUACCAGAAGAAAAAUCCCUUAGAUCACAUCACUGCCUUUUCUCUCAUUUUCUCUCUCUAUAUUUUCUAAUACAUUCUACAUAUUUUUCAUGUCCUCACAUACUUGUAUUUCAAAUGCAAUAGAUGUGUUUAUAUAGAGGCUAAUGAGAGUGAUUAAAGUUAACUAAAAAACUUCUAUGUAAAAUAAACUUCUAUGUGUUUAAAACCAAUAAAAUAGUAAGUAUAGCAGCCCUUUUUACAGUAAUGAAGUGAAAAUUAAUUUAGCAAGAUAUUUUCUUAAUUUAUACUUUCUUUUUGAAGUUUUUAUUUUCUAUGGUCAAUUAUACCCUUUACAAUUUCUUUUGAUCUAACUACAACUAAAUUUUUGGUUUAAGGAUUCUUAUUUGGGAGUAUUAAUAUGUGAGCGAAAGCUUGGAUACUGCUCCAGGAUAUCUAAUCAAUAGCUGGAAACAAUCGAGAAGGCGGUCACAGCUGUGCACAAACAGCUUUGGUAAAAUUUUUAAACAAAGUUGACAUGCUAUUCUGAGAUUUGGUUCAUUACUUUGUAUGAUUUUUUCUCAAGCAUGUUAUGCCGAAAUGAACAAUUAAAAAAAAGAAGGAAAAGUUAGGGUAAAAUUUUUACUAAAUCAUUUUUUAUUAACUAUUUAUAUUAAACAAAUGGAACAAGAAUUGUAGUCAUUCGUCAUAAGCAUGCUAAUAUGAUAAUUCUCUGACUACCAUUUUCUAUUUACCCCUUUUGCAGCAGGGAAUCCAAAUUUUGAAUUGUCCAAUGAUCCACAAUCAAUCCAAUGGUCCAAAACUUUUGGUCGUUAUGCGAAAAUUUUUCCCAAUUUUGGGCCAAUAUUCUAACAAGUUUUAUUGAAGGGCUGGACUAUUGGCACCACUCUAAAAUUUCCUUAAAACCCCUUUUCUAUUACAAUUACAUUUAAAGAUAAAAAUAAUUACCAAUUCAUCUAUUUUAAUAUUUUAUCCCCCUUCAAACUUUUCUAUUUUCUUCUCAUCAAAAUUUUUCCCUCAAAUUCUCUGUAUUUUUUGUUUUAUUCAUUUAUUAACAUAUUCUUUUUAUAACAAAUCCAAUUUUUCAAGCAAAAUUAUAGUACAAUAUUGAUUGUUGUUUGCUUUAUUAGAAGGGACUUUUUAGCUGAGGAAAUAAAAACUGUAUAUUUGGUUUCUUCUAACUGCUCGUUGACGAUAGUCACGGCAUCCUGCACAUUUCUAAUGACUUCCUUUAGUAUGUUCUGCUUCUACCUCAUUAGUUCCAAAUAGCUUCUGUUAUCCCAUGCGUACUUCUUAAAAAUAACUUCUGCUAUUUUUUUAAUUAAUUAUUUGAAUCUUGGAGUUUUCUUUUUUAUCUUUUCCACAAUUUUUCAUUCGGAUUUAUUCAUAAUCGUACUAAAAUUUUUUACAUUAUAAUUCUAAAGAUAUUGAAUCUAAUUCACUAAUUUGUAUUAAGAAGUUUAUCGCAUAAAUUUUGUGCGGAGAUUGAUAUAAUAAGACUCUAAAAUAAUUUUAGAACCAAGAAAAUAUUAAGAAAUCGAAAGAUUGACAAAUUAGAAAUAAGGGUAAUUCUGACAUUAAAUGAAAUAUUAGGGACAAAGGAGUUUUUAGAGGAUUUUAAUGGGGUGCCAAUAGUUCAACUCUUUAUUGAAAUAAAAGGGAGAAGAUCGUUAAAUUGAAAAGUCCAUUUUAUUAUCAAGUGUUUUAAAUUAGUGCAACGUGACAAUUUUUACAGAUGAUAUCUUCUAUGUUUUUCAUAUAAAAUUAAUGUUAUUUUACUUACAAAUAUAAACUCCUAAAUAUUUGUAGUAGAUUUGAAGUUGAGCCCAUGAAACGGUAAUGAGGAAUUAAUGAGACUGAGGAUCUGCAAUUUAGUCAUGAAAAAUUUGUAAUUAAGCACGACUAAAUUUCAAUUUUCUCUUUGUAAUUUCUUUGGGUGCCUGAAAUUUUUUCUCCCCUAAUUUUCUGAUUACAAGUGUAUAAUUGUAAGUGCAGCCAAUUUUAUUUUCAGGGAAUACUAUUGGACUGUGUGGCUAUAUAUAUAUACACACACACGAAAAAUGUUUCAAUUCGGAAUUUUAAAGUGCAGGAACGCCCGAGAAAACGCAUAAACCGUGCAGUUUAAACGCUUUAAGUUUUAAGCCUUUAAAACCCCGCAGUUUUAAAGUUUUUCUAGAUGUUUCCCGCACUUUAUGAUCUGCUUGGUGAAAAGUUUUUUAAUCUGAGCUUAGAAUCUAGGAUUAAAAUUAUGGAAAAAUUUAAGUAUUACACACACACACACACUAUUCGGUCUUUUUUUUUUUAAUAUGAGUUUAGAUGUAGAAUUAAAGUUCGAAAUGAAUUUACUGUGUUAUAAAUCAAUUUUUACAAUGUUGUAAACUGAUUUAUGAUAUUAUAAAUCCAUCUUAAAUUUUAAUCUCAGAUUCUGAGUUUGGAUCUAAUAAACACUCUCUCCGAUUAUGUUGUCUAUAAUUUUGCAUUCAAAGAAACUUCACGAAAAAUAUAAUAUCAUGUGUAGCCCUAGAAACUUUAAUAACAAUAAAAAAGAUAUCAUAAGAAAAGAAACUCAUAAUUGUUCAGAUAUUUAUAAAUUGGUGGCCGUUGGAAAUUUAACUGUCAGUGCCAAUCCGAGAAAAGUCGUCGUGCACAAAAGACUUUUAGCCAUACGUUCUUCCAAGUCAAAUGAGACAGGGGAUGUACAAAGAAUAAGACAUGUCAUUCAUUGUUUGUUUGCUGCAUUCCCUCUCAUUUUCUUAAUUAUUGAAGACAGGUUGCUCAUAGCAUGUACUUUUCAAAUGUGGAACCACAGCUAAUGUCACUAUUUUAAUUUGGAAUUAAAUUAGGGCCCAUGUAUAAAAUUUAUUACAUUAUAUUGCAGUGUGAAGUACUAGGGGUGUUCGCGGAUCGGAUUUUACGGAUUGGACAUCGAUCCAUAUCCGAUCCAUGAUUUUGCGGAUUAUAAUUUUUCAAUCUAAUCCAAUCCACGGAUUGAUAAAAUUCAAUCCAAAUCCAAUCCAUACAUCUGCGGAUCGGAUGCGGAUUUGACUCAAUCCAUAUGCAAUCCACCAUUUUCCGCAUUAGUUUUCGAAUUAAAAAUUUUUAGUUCUCUCCAACUAAUGAAAUAAAAAAAUCUAAUAUAAAAUAAUUUUGCUACCAAUUAAAUUUAAAAUUGAAUAAAAUUUAAAUAAAUUAAUUGUUUAAAUAAAGCUAAAAUAAUACAUUUAAAGUUUUAAAAUAUAACACAUCGAGACUAAUUAUUCAAAUAAAGCUACAAUAAUACGUUCAAAGUUUCAAAAUAUAACACACCAAGCUUAAUUGUUCAAAUAAAGUUACAAUAAUACGUUAAUAUAACACCGAAAUUAAUUGUUCAAAUAAAGCCACAAUUAAUUGAAAUGGCGAAGUUUCGGAAACCAAACACAGUCUGAUCCUUCACCAGGGCUGUUGCGCCUGUCAAAAAGUGGUGAUUACGGAGCCAUCCACGAUGAGAACUAGGAGAAGUCGUACGGGUGGCGAUCUUGAAGGUUGUGAUAGUGAAAUUGUUCAGUUGGGACCAGUGAAUGUGAAGUGACUCGAUGGACUUGGGAAAGAAGAUGGCUUGCUCUUGUCGGAAUCGCGCAGCCGAUGUCCUUUAAAUCCGCGUCGAGAGUGUAUCCAACCAGUAUUGAGUGUUGCUAGUGUGUGUGAUAGCGGGGAAGCUUAGGGUUUUUUGUUUGCAAAUUGUUGGUGACUUGGCGUUAUGUUACUUUGCUUUUGCUAGUGCGUGUGACUUUGCCUUUAUUUUGUUUUACAAUUUUUACAAGUUAUAUUUGUAUAUUUGAUUAUUUAAUUAUUUUUCAUUUUAUAUUAUUAUUGGGUAAAUGCUAAGAUAUGUUAUAGUGCUUAGUAACUAUGCAAUGUCACAUUUAUAAUUUUUUUUAAUUAAAUUUAUAAUAAUUUUUUAAUAUUAUAUAUAUAUAUAUAUAUAUAUAUAUAUAUUUUUUUUUUUUUUUUUUUUUUUGCGGAUUUACGGAUUUCUGCGGAUUUACAGAAGUAAAUCCAUAUCCAAUCCAUUGACUGCGGAUUUUUAAAUUUUCAAUCCAUAUCUAAUCCACCAAUCCACGGAUCGGAUUUAUACGAAUCAGAUUGAGCGGAUCGGACGAAUUGAGCGGAUCGGAUUGGAUUCUGAACUCCCCUAGUGUGAACUAACUUUUAUGUUUAUCUAAACACCUUAAAUUUAAGGCAAAUUAUGGCAUAAAUAAGAAUUAUAACAGAACACUUAUGAUGUAUAGCAAAAGAGUUGUGAUGAAGAUCUUGAAGAAAUAUAAUAUUAGCGCCGAGUUAAGUAACUAAGAACACCCCUGAACUGAAUAAUGGUCAUCAAAAUUGUGUUACUUGCACUUCUAUUUACUAAAAGUUUGGUUAUGUUCCAUUUGAGUUUUUAUCUUCAAAUUUCAAAAUCUUGCUAAGUUUUGACAAUCACAAAGGCUCAGUUUGCUUGUUCUAUAUUUGUAUGAUACGAAUCCAAAUUUUUGUGAUCUAUUUCCUCAAUUUUGAAUACAAAUUCUUUUCUUCUCCUGCGAACCAGAAAGAAAUGUUGUAUUAAAAAAAUGGAAAUAACUUCAUGACAACAAAAAUUAGGAAAAAUAAUAUAAACCAAAUUAGGAUAAAUAAUAUCAUUUUCUAGAGAAGCAGGCAAAAAUGGAAAAUGAUAUUUCAAUUCUUCAAGAUCCCAAAUCUCUGUUUCUAAAUUUUCUUUCAUUUUGCUUCUCGCAUAGAAUCAUUUGGUAUUAAUAAAAUUUUUACUUAUUAAACAAAAGUUAAAAAAAAAAAUUCUAUUCCUGCUGUUAAUCUAUGAAUGGUUUCAUUGUUGGAGUUUCUUUCAGAAGACAAGAAUACUUUGGUUAAGUGUUUGGCUAAGUACUAAAUUAGAGGUUGUUAGAGAGAAGAAAUUAAAAAAAAAAUCCUAACCCUUUAUUCAGUGUUUAAUCAGCAAAUAUUCAACUCAACAUGAAUCUUAAUCAUCUUUAAAAAAAUAUUUUAUUCAAUUUUCUAAUAAUAUUUAUGCAGGUACUAGAAGUUAAAACCCUACUUACAUGGAUGCGUGGCCAUCGGUCCAAUUUUUUUUUAAAAAAAAAAAAAGAGAAAAAAAAUGUAAUCCAUGAAUUUGGUUAAUUUUCCUUUGUUUGUUUCUUUCUGUUCUUCCCCCCCUCUCAAUAUCAUUCCUUUUUGGCAGCCUAAGGACAUUUUCACAAAUACCUUUUGUGCAGAAGUCUUUUAAACCAUCAAUCAGAAGAAACAUGCUUCCAGUGAUACCUCCAAUUAUCAUUGAUGAUGUUAAGUAAAUAAGGGCACCAGCUCAGCCAUGCCAUCAUCCCCACCCCGGGAUGGAUCACCUCAGCCGAAUGGUACGAGCAGAAUACUGAUAAUGAGCCUUCUACAAACAUGGGCCGACCAGAGACAUAUACCGAGCAGAUACCCAUUCCCCAAAAAGCGGGAACACAAUCUCACGAAAUCACGGCAGUUGCGCUUUUCCCAAAAUCAUUGAGGGAGACACGGUGUCCCACGUUUACCCACAAUGUAGCAGUUGGAGUCCCAUGAGGGGCUGCCACUACCCGAGAAAGGGGGGAUGAAGGGUGAACGGAAACGUGGGACAACAGCUAUAAAAGAGGAAGAAACCAAUGAAGAGGAGGAGAAAAAACAGAGAGAGAAGGGAAAACUCUGUCAAAUUAAAACUAGACUGUUGUUCUGCAGAAACUGAGAGUGAGUCGUAAGCCAUUCCGAAAUCUAAAUUAAACCAUUUUCCCGUAAACACCUUGUGCUAACUUAGGCAUCGGAGGGUUUACGCCGGUAAAACUACCGGCGUCUCUGAUUCAUUUUUGUGAAUGCAGGCUUAGCAAGAUAAAAAGGGGUGAUUCCAACCCAGUGACGUAAGCGAUCGUUAAGGCAAGGAGAAAGUGACAUCGUUCCCAUUAAGCAUAUAAGCGUUGGUGGAAGAAUCUGGUCGGGUAAAGGGUGAGCAGAUUUCAGCAUCAACAUUUUGGCGCCGUCUGUGGGGAGCUGGAUAAAAAGCUACCACCAAAUUAGUAGUCAUCGGAGAAGCAGCGAACAAUCGAUUAUGGAUAUAUCAAGGAAGGAUGCCCUAGGUGGCGACAAUGAAACUGGUGAAACAAUCACUCUCCGAGAGAUAGCAAAUGAAGCUAGAGAGAGGAUGAUGCAAGAUCGAAUGGAACGGAUGGAGAAACAAAUGGAAACUCUCACGACCAUAUUGCAUGAGCUGAGGGAUGAGCAGAGAAGGGACUAUGAAACCCCCGUAGGGAGGGAUGAAGUUGAGGCAGAACCCAGCCUCCGGAGGCGUAGAGUCAAGGAAAUCCCUCCACCAGUAGACCAACCCUAUGGGGUGCAUCCCCAUAGAAAUAUUGGUAGGGUUCCAGUAGAGCGCGUAGAUGAAGGGAGAGACCAACCUCGCUCCGGACGAGUACUGGAAAUUGAUGGCCGAUGAGCCAAUGUUGAUGAGGGAGAGCUUAGACAGCGGUUGCAAAAUGCCGAGCAGGAGCGAGAUCAGAUAGCUGCGCGCGAUCCGGACCGUGCUGUAGAAUUGGAGGGUGAGGUGCGCAGAUUGGCGCAGGUGAUGGAGGAGAUUCAGGGCAAGAGAAAGCCCCCGAGUUGGAGGAUAAUGAUAGAUGAAGAGUCUCCGUUAUCAGCCGAGAUCAUGGGUACUUUAAUCCCAAGAGAUUUCCGCUUCCCCGACCUCAAAUACUCCGGGCGAAGUGACCCACUGGUGGAUAUUGAACGCUUCAACGACAUGACGGGUGUGCAGGAACUAACACCAGCUCAGAGGUGCAGGGUGUUCCCAUUGACACUAGAGGGAUGAGCCCAACAAUGGUACCGCAAGCUGCCACGAGGAAGUAUAAAAGGAUACGAGCAGAUGUGCCAAGAGUUGGCCGAGCAGUUCCGAGGAGCAGUAGCCCCAGAGGACGAUACGAUGGAACUGAUAGGGAUGAAGCAGAAGGAACAUGAAUCCCUUCGGGAAUUUGUAAAAUGAUACCACCGGGCCGUGCUUGAUCUGGGAGCUUUCAAUCACCCAUAGGCGUUGAGGGGAUUAAAAGAGGGCGUGAGGAUAGGCCGACUAUGGUACAACUUGAGAAGCCCCCUAGUGCAGAAUUAUUCGGCGGGGUAUGAGCAGGAGAGGAGAGAUAUAGAAAUCGAAGAGGAGAAAUCGGCGAGGAUAAAAAGUGAACAGCUGGAAGAGCUGAGACGAAAGGAAAGGAGAACCCCGAACAGGAGCGGGUCGGGAAAGCGAGCUGGGGAAUCCUCGGUGACGGGCGCAAUAUCAGCUCGGUCUUGCCCUUACCCCAUGGUUCAGAGACCGCAACAGUUCCAACACAGCCGAGCUCCACCUUCGCGCCCCCCAUUCCCGGAGCGGCAACGAGAAUUCCGGCAGUUAGCUGCCCAUCUUUAUCACAACGCCCCCAGGGCACUACAUACAGCCAACUCUAGAGCUGGGCGACCAGGUCAGCUACCUAUAAUAUCAGCUUGGGACGAUAUCCAUGAUAGCCGAGCAGUCCAGCUAAUCGACCAGAGCCUGGCAUAUAGACAAUACACCCCAUUAAAAGUCCCUAUGGAGGAGUUGUACGAGAGGAUCGAGGGACGAGGCCUGCUGUACCCUCCAGCCCUUAUAACAAAACCUGCUCACCGACGUGAUAAGAGCAUAUUCUGUAAAUUCCACGACACUCAUGGUUACACUAUCAGCCAAUGUCGCGACCUAAAGAUUCAGGUGGAGGAUUUGGUGAGGAACCGGUACCUGGAUGAAUACGUAGAUGGAGUGUCCUCCGUCAUUGAAUCACAGUACAUGCGGGAUGAAGGAGUUGAGAGGAGCCUGGAACGUGAACAGCCAACUAUCCGUGUGAUAGCAGGAGGGCCAACAUUGGCUGGGGAUUCGAACCGGGCACGGAAGAACUAUGGGAGAUACGCCAUGACAUGCAAAAAAGUGCUUUUCAAUUUGCCAGCAGCCAAGAGGGCGAAAGUGAGGCAAAUUCCCAUUAUGUGGACAGAUGACGCCGAAGUGGGUAUCUUAUAUCCUCAUGAGGAUGCACUAAUGAUUAAGGCAAUGGUGGCUGGCACAGAAUUACGGUGAAUACUGGUGGACACGGGUAACUCGGUUGACAUACUGUUUAAGUCGGCCCUAAAUGAUAUGGGAAUUUCAGACUUAAAACUAGAGCGAACGAAUACAUCCUUGAAGGGAUUUGGAGGAGGACGGUUAACCCCCAUUGAUCGCGGGGUCGCUUGCCACAAGUUGGCAAUCAGGAAAGGGGUAAGGCCGGUGAUGCAGAAAAGGAGGUGCUUUAACCAGGAAAGGUACGAGGCCAUAAAUGCCGAGGUGGAAAAGCUGUUGAAAGCAGGAUUUAUAAGGGAGGCCAAGUACCCGGAGUGGAUUUCCAAUGUAGUACUGGUAAAGAAGGCCAACGGGAAAUGGAGAAUGCGUGUGGAUUUCACAGACCUUAAUAAGGCAUGCCCGAAGGACAGUUUUCCCCUACCAAAAAUAGAUCAAUUGGUGGACUCAACAGCGGGUCACAGUCUGCUCAGCUUCAUGGAUGCCUUUUCGGGAUACAACCAGAUACCCAUAGACGAGCAGGAUGAGGAAAGCACCACCUUUAUAACUAACAUGGGUUUGUUUUGCUACAGGGUAAUGCCUUUUGGCCUGAAAAAUGCCGGAGCUACCUAUUAAAGGUUGGUGAACAAGAUUUUCAAGCCAUUGAUCGGCCACACUAUGGAGGUAUAUGUGGACGAUAUGAUCACAAAGUCUAAAGAACCGAGGGAUCAUGUGAAGCACUUGGAAGAGACCUUUGAACUGCUGAGGAAGUAUGAAAUGAAGCUGAACCCGGAGAAAUGUGCAUUUGGGGUCAGCUCAGGCAAAUUUUUGGGAUUCCUGGUGAGCCACCGAGGGAUCGAGGCCAACCCGGAAAAGAUACGGGCGGUAACAGAAAUGAGGUCCCCACGAACAGUUAAGGAGGCGCAGAACCUUACAGGGAAAUUGGCAGCAUUGAACCGAUUCAUCUCACGGGCCACAGAUAAAUGCCACCCUUUCUUCCAAACCAUAAAGAAAGGGAGAAAGAUGGAGUGGACGUCAGAAUGUGAGGAGGCGUUCGGGCAGCUGAAGGAAUAUCUGGCCCGCGCCCCGUUACUAUCAACUCCAAGAGAAGGUGACCAGCUGUUUUUGUACUUAGCAAUCUCAAAAUGGGCUACCAGCUCGGUAUUAGUCAGAGAAGAAGAAGGAAAGCAACACCCCGUAUACUACACUAGCAAGGCCCUGGUAGACGCAGAAACCAGGUAUCCGCUGAUGGAGAAAUGGGCACUAGCUCUAAUAACAGCAGCACGCAAACUUCGACCAUAUUUUCAGGCCCACCCGAUAGUUGUGAUGACUGACCAGCCUCUUCGGCAAAUGCUCCAAAAACCAGAUGCAUCGGGUCGGUUAGUAAAGUGGUCCGUGGAGCUGAGCGAAUUCGACCUAUUCUAUAGGCUCCGAGGAGCAAUCAAAGCCCAAGCUCUGGCCGAUUUUAUGGUUGACCGUGUCGAGUCAGGGGAAGAAGUUCAGGAGGAGCAACUAGUGGAACAGGAGAAUCCGAAGGGGGUGUGGAUGGUAAUGGUUGAUGGGUCACGUAGUGAACAAGGAUCCGAAGCAGGAAUCGUAAUAUGAAGUCCAGAAGGGAUCGAGAUAUCCUAUGCAGUGAAGUUUGAAUUUCAGCUCACGAACAACCAAGCUGAAUACGAAGCCUUCAUCAUUGGGCUCGGGAUCGCACAUGCACUACGAGCAGAAAAUGUAGAAAUCCGAGCAGAUUCCCAAUUAGUCUGUAAUCAGCUCAGUGAUCAAUUCCAAGUAAGAGAAGAAAAGAUGGGGCUUUAUUUGAAGAAGGCAAAGCAAAUGGUCGGGCUCUUCCAAGAGGUAGAGAUAAAGCAGAUAUUCCGAAACGAGAAUUACCGAGCGGACAUGUUGGCCAGAAUGGCCGCAGUUGUGGAUCCAAAGUUAUCCAAGUCAGUUCCACCUGAUCCCUCUGCUCUUUGUCCCCCUGGUCGGACUCAGCCAUAUAUUUCUGCACUCCAGCCUCCAGCUUGCUCAUAUUAAGCACAAAUAUGAUGCACUUAUAGCAGAAAGUAACCCCAGAGUUAUACUCUGCAUCCAGCCGAUCAUCCACAUCAGCAAAUUUGCCUUUCACCUCGGCCAACUGCUCACUCAGAGAUUUGAUUUCUCCCUCAAGGGUCGUCUUCAAGGUAUCUCGCUCACUUUGGGUGGCCUGAAGAUCAGACUUCAGAUCACCUAACUCACCCUCGAGCUUGGUGGUGGUGGACUCAGCCAUGGCCACUUUCUCCUCCAGGUCCAUGAUUUGCUUGUGCAGAUCAAGCAACUUUUCCUUCGAGCAGUCAGCAGACUCAACAUUUUUCUUCAAGUCCUGGUUGUCAUCUUGAAGCUUCCUCUCAUGGCGCAUGGACCUAUUCUUGUAGCACGAAACCAGGGUGGCUAGCUUAAAGGAGACCAUUUAAACGGAACCAGCUAACUCGGCGAGGUUCAUACUCUCGAUGUCCUUCACCAUCUUGGGUCCCACCGAUUUACCGUAAUCCCUCUGGUACGGGCUCAGGUAAUCACCUUGAUCCCGAGAUGGAAGAGGAAAGGAUCGGUUCCCGGACUGAAUGCUGACCUCAUGACUCUUAUCACUCACCUUCUCCCCACCAUUUUUCCGAGGUGGAGGAGGGGGCAGAGCGGGAACAUAAGCCUUGGGUGAACCAGUAUGGGCCUUUUUCGGAGGAGGAGGAAGGUUGUUGGAGCUGCUUGUACCCCAACCACGCUUUUUGGUCAUGGCGCUGAGGAUCUUGUUAUCCAUUCCGGCAGCUACGUCCACUAAACGCAAACCGACCAGAUUUGUUGAUGACAAGAGAUCUUGGCAGGUAGACGCGUUCACCAAAGCAGUCUCCACAUGGAGCAAGGGUCUGUCUUCAAGCUCCUUGAUCAAACCCCACGACUCUGAAAGAGCAAACAAGGUUAAAGAACCCAAUAAGUGACGAUUGGAGAAAAGAAAAUAGGCAAUAAAUAAACGACCUGGGGUGACAAAGCGCGUUGGAAGGUGAAUAUCACCACCAAGCGAAUGGGCUGCUGGACACCAAUUUCCUCCAGCAAAUAAGAAUUUUUUCUUCCAAUUUUUACAUGAGGAAAUAAAUCUGGUGAUCGGCUUCCUCUUUGCAGAGCUUGACAUGAAGUAGUACUAGCCUGCUUCUUUUGGGCUACUCCGCAGCUGGUACAAAUGCUUUACCUCAACAAGGGAGGGUUCCUCUGAUCCGCACCUCUCCCAUAGCACAUACAUAGCUGAGAGAACUCUCCACCCAUUUGGGUGUAGCUGACCUGGAGCCAGGUGCAUACCACCCAAUAUCUUGGCAAAAUAACGCUGAAGGGGCAACCGAGCUCCUAAUUUGAAACUCUCCAGAUGCAUCGUCACAUACCCCCUCGGAGGUCGGCUAGGAACGUCAUCUUUCCCGGGGAUUACAAGGAGAACCUCUUCAGGUAUGUUAUAGAGGGUUCUAAGCUUGAGCAGGUCAGUUGGGGUGGUAGCACAAGCUAUAUAGUCGAUAGGGUAAGAAUCUGCCUCCACUCUAUGGCAAAGGUUUCUCUACUUAGGGGGUCUGCUCGGCUCAGAACUGCUCCCCUCACCAUCACCCACUUCUUCAAGGACCCCAGCCCCACCAGAACUAUGGUUCUCACCAGAGCCCGAUGCGGGUCCACCUCGGUUUCCUACAAGCUCUAAUUCAGGGGAAGGAGAAGUGACCAUAGGACGAGGGUAUUCAGGAGUAUCCCUGUAAUAGGAGGGACCUACAUUGCGAGAAGCGUAUAGAGGAUCACUGGGUCCAAACAGAUGGGGAUAGGAAUCCUCUAUCUCUUCAUCACUCUCAUCUACAAUUAUUUUUCCCUUCCGGUUUGACAUAUUGAAGUUUAAAAAGGGAAAGCACAAAAUAUCCAAAUGUAUGGGUACAAAAAAGGGACAAAUACAGAACCCACAAUACAAAACCCAAUCAACAACAACCAGAGAAGGGGUUAAAGGCUAUACCUGGAAUAGGCUGGCACGGAUAGCGCUGUCGUGACAAAGAAAGAACCCAGCAAGUGGAGGCUCCGGAUGCGGGAAGUGUGAGCAAAGUUCAAAGAAGGAGUUGGCUUACGGAGGAGAGACGAAUAAUAAAACGAUGAUGAUUCAGUCUAGGGAUUUGAAACGAAAAGGGGAAAAUGGAAGCGGGAUGCCAGCUCACUCACCAUAUAUCGAGGAUGGAUAGCCUGUCGUUUUAAAUUUCAAAUACGAAGAGUCGGGAAGCGCCACGUCACUAACCGUCAUAAGAGGCCUGACGAGACGUACGCCCAAGUAUAUACUAGAUAUAUUCAUGAAGGCCCAUACUCGGGCCAAAAUCUCCUUAGACAAGAAAUGGAACCUCCGAUCCACCACAAUAAUGCGAGGACCAGAUGGGUAGUUCCCAGGAUCGGUAAAAUCCGAUUAUCAGUUUCUACUCUCAACUCAUUUCACUCGCAAGACCAGAAACUAGGGGACUGGUGUUAAGUAAAUAAGGGCACCAGCUCAGCCAUGCCAUCAUCCCCACCCCGGGGUGGAUCACCUCAGCCGAAUGGUACGAGCAGAAUACUGAUAAUGAGCCUUCUACAAACAUGGGCCGACCAGAGACAUAUACCGAGCAGAUACCCAUUCCCCAAAAAACGGGAACACAAUCUCACGAAAUCACGACAGUUGCGCUUUUCCCAGAACCAUUGAGGGAGACACGGUGUCCCACGUUUACCCACAAUGUAGCAGUUGGAGUCCCAUGAGGGGCUGCCACUACCCGAGAAAGGGGGGAUGAAGGGUGAACGAAAACGUGGGACAACGGCUAUAAAAGAGGAAGAAACCAAUGAAGAGGAGGAGAAAAAACAGAGAGAGAAGGGAAAACUCUGCCAAAUUAAAACUAGACUGUUGUUCUGCAGAAACUGAGAGUGAGUCGUAAGCCAUUCCGAAAUCUAAAUUGAACCGUUUUCCUGUAAACACCUUGUGCUAACUUAGGCAUCGGAGGGUUUACGCCGGUAAAACUACCGGCGUCUCUGAUCCAUUUUUGUGAACGCAAGCUUAGCAAGAUAAAAAAGGGUGAUUCCAACCCAGUGACGUAAGCGAUCGUUAAGGCAAGGAGAAAGUGAUAUCGUUCCCAUUAAGCAUAUAAGCGUUGGUGGAAGAAUCUGGUCGGGUAAAGGGCGAGCAGAUUUCAGCAUCAACAGGGGAAAAAGUCUAAAUAGUAUUUUUGACCUCCUACUUUAACUAAAUAACAUUUCUUGAAAGUCACUGGCUCUUAAAAUUUAAUUAAGAAGAUAUUAUAGAUUUAUAAACCCUUAAAAUUUAUUUGCAAGUAACAAUUAGAGAAAAGUCGUCAUGCCCAUACGACUUACUAAAAGUCGUCAACUCGUCAUGACCAAAAUUCUUCCGAGUGUGAAAUACGGCAUUAUGCAGAUGCAUUAAAAACAAAAGCCAGCUAAGAUAUUCUUUGUAUACUUGCAUUCCCUAUCAUCUUAUUAAUAAUUUCAGACACGUCGUUCGUUCCCUGUGACUUUUCAUAUGAAAAAGCACAGUCAGUGUUACAAUUUACAUUUCGAAUUGGGUGUCAUCUAUAUACUCUAGCUAGAUCUAACAUGAUAUUGCAGUAUUGCACUGAUUUUUUUGUCGCAGAGUUUCUCUAUGAAUGCCUAAAAGUUAAAGACACGUCAUGGAAUAAUUAUUUUCUUAAAGACCAAAUUAACAUAAUUCUUGACUCAUUUAUAAAACAACAUUUAUCAUAUAACAGCUCAUAUAUGAAUCAAUUACCUUGAGCAGUAGCAAACAAACAAGAAUCUCAACCACAUCACGAGAUCGCCCACGUACUGUUAUCCAAAACAACAUUGUUAUAAUUAUCAUAAUCCCUUCUGACCUUAACAAUAAUUCUAUUCGUCCUUUCAUAGGUAUAAGUAUCCCAAAAUAUACCUGAUGUCAACCUUUACAAUUCUUUAGAGAAUUGCAGCAGACCAAAAGAAAGAUUUUAAUAAUUUGUAUGCAAAACUGAAAUCAUACAGUAAUUGAUACAGUGAGAAUAGACAUGCUGGGAAUUAGUAUAUAUGAAUAUCUUAAUAAUUUAAAAGUUUCUUAAACUGAUUUUACAUAUCUGAAAAAUUAUAGAAAUCGGAACAGCUGCAGAAAUCAUAAUUUUCCAGCGAAUGUGUUACAAAUUCGGAAAUUCAUAAGUAAUUAAAUUCUUGGGAUCACAUAAUAAUUCAAUAGAAAGCUUAAGAUGUCUAGUUUAUAAAAUGAGAUGUAUGGAAUUUUUUUUUUUCAAUGAUAUGUAUGGAAUUUAAGAGAUUCAGCAGUACUUUCAUUAUAUUAAUUCUUCAAAAAAUCAUGUUGCAAACAAUCACCAAUCUAACAUUCAACAAAAUUAAGUCGUAAAAAUCAUGUGGUUUAUUAAAAGAAUUACCUCAAACAGAUUAGCCUUCCCCUUUCAAAAGCAGCGUGAAACUCCAAAAACUCUUCUUCCAUAACCCAUUCAAACAUGAAGAAACAAAUUAGUAUCUCUUCUUUAAAUGCGCGAUGUGUGUGCCCUGUUUUCUCUCUUAUUCUUUUUCUUUUUUAGAUUUUGAAAAUGCAAAGAAUGCAGGAGUCCUUAUUUUCUUAAACAAGACUCAAUUAAAUUAAAUUAUGGCCUAAUGCUGUGUCAAUUCCAUCAUCAGUAUUUUUUUUUUCCUUGUAACAUAAUCCAUAUUUGGACAAUUUGAA
rnacentral:lncRNA from 1 species